rnacentral:lncRNA from 1 species
CCCUCCAAAGCAUCUGGAUCCAUUCCCUUCCUGUAGUAUUGUUGUUUGGGAUGGCCCUGUGCACCCGCCUCUCUUUGAUUUAGAUGCAGGCCGGCCGCAUGCUGCUGGCAAUACGGUAGUUCUUACUCCAUUGAACCCAACGAGGUAAUCAUGCAUGUUUCUUCUAUGUCUGAGCAUUCAGACCCUUAAUGUUGCAUUCUAUUUCCUUCUCCUUCCUUUAUUUUUGUUCUCCGGGAUGGCCCAUCUAGUUGCCUCUCUUGAUUCAUGUUCAACCUUCCGACUGCCAGCAAUUCGGCAUUGUUGCUAGAUUUUUGCUGCAUUUGUAUUCUUGUACACAUAUUAACUCUUUGAAUUUUGUGACGAGAUAAUUCGCUGUAGAUUUCUUACGGCUAAUGUAGCUACUUCGUAAUUAUCUCUAUACUACACUGCUACUGUCCGGAUGUACUAGCAAUAACUUGGUUUGUUUGUGUAUGCUUGCAGGUAUACAGUCCAGUCUCCACUUUCUGUUAUAUUUUACCCAAAGCAAUAUGACCUCACACAACAGUGGACUGCUAUUGAAUCAUAAUCUCACAUGUGAAUGAUUGACAAUUUUUUCUCUAAUCUUGAUUGGGGCUAGUAUUUAUAACUGCAAAACUUUGCUCACUUUCAUGUUUGUUGCUUGGACUUCUCACACCUGUAAUUUGUUUUAAUUUAUAAAUUGUUUUAAUUUUCAAACAUAUCAUUCAUCAAUUAUGAAACACUAAAGUAAAGAUUGGCUUCAACAUUAUCUCUGUAUUAUCCUAUGAUCGGGGUGUUCUAGCAAGAAAAAGAUUUAUUCAUUUGUGCUUGCAUGUAUACAAUGCACUCUACACAUUUUUAUAUUAACCCAUAUCAAUAUGACACAAACACUGACCCUGAUAACCUCUCUACACUUGAAUAAGGAUGUCAAAUACAACUGACAAAAGAUUUUCCUGUACUGUAAUCUUGAUCAUUGAAAAAAUUCAGUCACUUUUAGGCAGGUACUUAACUUAAUCUUAUUCAUCUGAGUUAACUGGUACCUGUUCGCAACAUUGUACCAAUUUUGUGUCAUUGCAAAAUAACAUGUGCACUUAACUUUUGCUCACUCCUUUUACACCCAUGCAAUUCUACACAUGCUUAUUUUUAUAUACUAAUAGGUCACUGCAGGUUGGGUUAUCUGUUUGUGAACUUAUAUUUUUCUUUUAAUUCAAACUAUGUUUUCUCAAUGCUAGCAGAACUCCUUAGAUUAUACAUCUUCAGAGUCUUGUUUUUGCACACGAGAAUAUAUCUUAAGAGCCCAUUGUGAGCCAUUAACUCCGCAGAAAAUGCUAGCUGCCAAUACAAAUUCUUUAGCUAUCAACAGUGUGAUCAAUAGUAUGCACAAUCUCACCACACAGAAUUUGCUGAGAUGCCGGAUGCUCUACCUUUGUAUUUCCAUCGUCCGCACUCCAGGAUGAACGCCUCUGAAAUCCUCACGUCACUCUUCCAUUAGUUCUGCCAAAAAGGCACAGUAGAUACAUGCACGAAAUGAAUCUGCUCAAGGAUUCUACAAAACGAAAAGUAUGUGUAACUAUCACAAGGAAAUCUCAGGGUGAAGACUAUAGUAACCAGCUGCCACAUGAACAUCACAUUAUCACUAUUGGCUGCAUAAAAAAAGUGAAUGACACAUCCAAGACAUUUCCAGCAACGAGGACCCGGCAAAAGGAAUUUGAUACAUAUUUGCUCCUCUGCUAAUUAACACACAUUUAUAAACAAUAUAUUUAUUCUACAUAUAACCACAUUUAUAAUUAUACUGUACUAAGUACUUGGAUUCAAUAUAACUUUUGUUACUAUACACUUCUUAAAAUUUUCCCUCAACUCAAACCACGUGUAAUUGCAUUGCCAACUUACUAUGGUUCUCUACGAAUAUCAUGGUAUUUUAAUCUUUGAAUCGUUAACAGAUUGGUUCUCUAAAAUUCAUCCUCAAAUACCCGCAGCAACGCGCGGGGAAUCAUCUAGUAGUAUGAACAUGCGUGGCGUAUAGGCAUUUGUCUCUUACUACCACUAAAUGUUGUACGUGCAAUGCACGGUGAUGUUAUGGAGUACGUGCCUAAGUACUAUACUACUACUAUAUUAAUUGUAGGCAUAUAUUAGGUUUUAUAUUUGUUUACGUGUAUGCCCCGAGACAUUCCAACUAGACUUGUCUUUCUCUCCGGGUCGCACUUUGUAUAGUUCAUACCACUAGUAGUACUACGUGUGGUCUCCGACCCAGAAGCGGAAGAAGUUGAGACACCCUACCACGUUGUUCAUGUCCCACUUCUUUCGUUGACGUGUGGGACAUCCAGCACGUGCUGUGUUUGGCACUCCUUCAUCGUAAGAGUUGAAACGCUAGCAUUAAUCAAAAACAAAAAAUAAAUAUAAAUCAACAAUGAUACUAUACCACGCGGUUUCCUUGCUCCUCGAUAUCAGAAAGAAUACUUCUAUUCGCCGACAUGUGGGACGUCGACCAUCCUGGUCCACUUGCCAUGCACGUAGAACUCCAAGGGAGAGUCACCCCGGUCGUCGUGCUACAGUAAUAAUGACUAAUGAGCCGUCAAAUCACAGGCCCAACCUUUCCCACUGUGAAGUUGCUCGGACGAAGGAACCAUCUUGACAUCAUUGAAUUUAGCUUCUUGAAGAAAACUACUAUACCAGCAGUACUGCUAGCUACAGUAGUUACUCCAACAGAGGCCUCCUUUGGUCCAUAGGAUAGGAAUUUUAUAGGAAUAUGAAAAUCAUAGGAAGUGAGAUGACAUGUAUCUUAAUUCCUAUAGAGAAAGAGAUGUCAUUUGAUGCAUAGGAUAGGAAUUUUUCCAUUGAGUCUAGGCUAAUGUACUGGUAAUUUCCUCUAAAACCUAUAGUAGUAACUCGUACAGGUACAUGCUCAUAAUUAAUUAAACAAACGUACGGGCGACACAGACACACACACUAACUACUAGUACUACUACUUCUUACAUGAUGGUCAGACACCGUCAUUCUCCUUCCCGGCUUUGUCGGCGACACCCCACCAUGCUUGGAUCUUCGCCGACCUCUCCGCAGCAGCGCGUGCAUCCUCUUAUUUCUUGUGGCGGCGGGCCUCCCUUUUCUUGAGUGCUUUCUAACUUUUCCGCUCCCUCUAUGCGGCUUUGGCCGCCUCUUGCUCUACCGCCCAUUCAUCCAUGGCAGCUUCAAAUUCCUCCCACGUAGGUGUGAGGUCGUGAGCGGCGACACUGCGGGAUGCCAUCGCUUCCCUACCAUUUUGUGUUCGACCGUGGGCGGUGAGGAUCUCGGUGCGGUGGGAUGCCAUCGCUUCCUUACCGAUUAGUGUGCGGCACGGUGGCAUAAAUGACGUUUGGUGAGAACUAUGGGGUGGAAUGGCUGGACAACCGUAUAGUGCAUUGGUUUGUCAAGAGCUCAAGGACAGAAAACGAACGAAAUUUGGAUUCCCCUUCAAUCCUGCUCAUUUGUUACCAAGUAAAAUGCAUUGGCGGUCAUCGAACUUGUCUUGAUAGCUCACUUUGAUCAUUGUAUACAAGAUAUGGUGAUUAUACAGUCAAUGGCUCAGCGUAUAACUUUGUAUUUGUCUGGUUGACCAGUCAAAUAGUCCGCAUGCGCCUCAUCAGCUCAUGUUCUUUAUCUAUCUAUCUAUAUGGGCCUACCUAUUAGUGGCGAAAGAAAUAAAAACGAAAAUUAUGCAUAUGUGAAGAAUCAAACCACAGACUCGUCACUUCAAUGCACACUCGUCAGCCAAAUGAAAAUGAAAUACUUUGCAUUAAAUGCACAAACCAAUUUUUUUAUAUUAUACGUGAUGCACACAUUAGCACACACCUUCCAUAGAGGCAAGUAGCAUGUACGCGUGCAGACACUCACACUCACGUCGUCAAACCAUGCUAAUGCAUGCACAUCGCCCUCUCAAUCAAAGUCAUGCUCAUGGCGCAACGCAAACGGCGAGCCCGUCACAUGCGCCCCUUGGCGAUGCCUGACAUUACUGUUUAUGCGUUUGCUGGAGGCCUCCGCGAACACCGAGCAUGUAUUCACCUGGCUCAACACCCACGGUCAUACUCGUGACUUGGUGCCUUGCUCAUGUAUAUCAUCCAUAACAAUGACAAUCUAUAAAACAGCCUAGCUAGAGAGGGUACUAUGGUACCUAUAUAUGUAUCGUGAGCGACUGAUCAUAGUGCCAGUACACAUGAGUGUGUGUCUGAUCGAUUCAUCCAUUAUUCGUAAGGUAUGCAUGGUUGUGUGGUUUCUAAUGGUGGUCGUCGAAGGCUAGCUGGCGACAAGAGAGGUUGCAUGGACGCCUGGUUGUCAAUACAUUUUGCAUACGCUUCAAAGGCUCGUCAUCCAUGAGUUCACAUUUUACCGCCACGCCAGCGUCUGACCGCCCUGGCCUACCGAACGAUCCUACCAAAGAUGAUAUCUUUUGCCCUUUUGCCAUUCUUGUUUGAACCUGCUCUUGUGUAUUUUAGCCGUAGCUCAGUGUUCAUCUUUUGUCAAGCAUCUCGAGUAGAUCACUGCCAUGUGCUUUGUUGAUAUGUUGGAGUGCAGUAGCUUAGUUUCUUGUUGCAUUAUAGAUGGCAUCGUGCUGUUAAUCGCGGAAUUGUGCCAUUAUUGUUUUGCUUGCCAUUUGCAAACCGUGCAUCCGAUUCCGGUGAUCUUUAUAUCGAUUUCGACCGAAAUCAACUCAUCUUUCCAGUGGCACGCUUGACAUGCCAAGUUGAGGCCUGGUUAAAUCUUUUCCUUCCGGAGCAUGCAUAUGCAUUGCAUAUCUCAUCCCGCAUAUCAUGUCAUGUUUUGCAGCAUGUUGCUUGUGCAUUGCACCGUGGUUGAUUGUUGCUUCCUUCUCUUGUGUUCUUGCUUGGGUAGAGCUGGGACAUGAUUACGUGAUCGAGGAACCCGUUGAGUACGCUUAUGAGGAUCAAGCUUACGUCAACUCGGAGAACUUUGCAGGCAAGAUGACCAUACCCUUGAAAUCACUUCUAUCUUUGCUUGCUAGUUGCUUGCUCUUUCGCUACGCCGCGAUACCUAACACUUGCUAUAUCAUGCCUCCCAUAUUGCCAUGUCAAGCUUCUAACCCACCUUUCCUAGCAAACCGUUGUUUGGCUAUGUUACCACUUUGCUCGGCCCCUAUUAUAGCGUUGCUAGUUGCAGGUGAAGAUGAAGUUUGUUCCAUGUUGGAACAUGGAUAUUGUUGGGAUAUCAUUAUUAUAUCAUGUUUACUUUAAUGCACCUAUAUACUUGGUAAAGGGUGGAAGGCUCGACCUUAUGCCUGGUGUUUUGUUACACAUUUGCCGCCCUAGUUUCCGUCAUACCGGUGUUAUGUUCCUUGAUAUUGGGUUCCUUACGUGGUUGGGUUAUAAUGGGAACCCCUUGAAAGUUCGCUUUGAAUAAAACUCCUCCAGCAAGGCCCAACCUUGGUUUUACCAUUUGCCACAUAAGCCUUUUUCCCUUGGGUUCUGCAGACUCAAGGGUCAUCUUUAUUUUAAACCCCCCGGGCCAGUGCUCCUCUGAGUGUUGGUCCAAACUAGAGUCCUUUGCAGCGCCACCUUGAGGAAACUUGAGGUUUGGUUUUAUUUGUACGAAGUGCUCAUCUGGUGGGCCCUGAGAACGAGAUACAUGCGACUCCUAUCGGGAUUUGUCGGCACAUCGGGCGGCUUUGCUGUUCUUGUUUUACCAUUGUCGAGAUGUCUUGUAACCGGGAGUCCGAGUCUGAUCGGGUGUUUCUGGUAGAAGGAAUAUCCUUCAUUGACCGUGAGAGCUUGUGAUGGGCUAAGUUGGGACACCCCUGCAGGGUUUUGAACUUUCGAAAGUCGUUCCCGCGGUUAUGGGCAGACGGGAAUUUGUUAAUGUCCGGUUGUAGAGAACCUGGCACUUAACUAAAUUAAAAUGAAUCAACUGCGUGUGUAGCCGUGAUGGACUCUUUUCGGCGGAAUAUGGGAAGUGAACACUGUUCUUGUGUUAUGCUUGAUCGUAAGUAGUUUCAGGAUCACUUCUUGAUCAUUUCUAGUUCACGACCGUGCUUUGCUUCUCUUCUCUCUCUCAUUUGCGUAAGUUAGCCACCAUAUAUGCUAGUGCUUGCUGCAGCUCCACCUCACUACCUUUUCCUACCCAUAAGCUUAAAUAGUCUUGAUCUCGCGGGUGUGAGAUUGCUGAGUCAUCGCGACUCACAGAUACUUCCAAACAGUUGCAGGUGCCGAUGAUACUAGUGCAGGUGACGCAACCCAGCUCAAGUGGGAGCUCGAUGAAGAUCUUGAUCGUAGUCUUGUUUCGUUUCAAGUUGAUCAGUAGUGGAGCCAGUCGAGGCGAUCUGGGACCUAGCAUUAGGGGUGGUCUUUCUUUACUUUGGUUCCGUAGUCGGACCUUGAUUGUAUUCUGGAUGAUGUAAUGCUAUAUCUAUGUAUUGUGUGAAGUGGCGAUUGUAAGCCAACUCUUUAUCUCUUUCUUAUUCAGUACAUGGGAUGUGUUAAUAUUACCCCUCUUGCGACAUGCCUACUAUGGGGUUAUGCCUCUAAGUCAUGCUCCGACACGUGGGAGAUAUAGCCACAUCGUGGGUGUUACAAGUUGGUAAUCAGAGCCUUCCCCGACUUAGGAGCCCCUGCUUGAUCGACUUGCUGGCGUUCUUGAGUCCAGAAAAUGUUUUGAGUCUUAUAGGAUUAUAUAUAUCAAAGAGCAGGAUUCUUGUUACUCCUCAGUCCCUUCGUCGCUCUGGUGAGGCCUCCUGGCGUAGAGUUUUGACUUUUCUAUUCUCAAAUUUCACGAUUUUUUUAGGAUCACGCGGGUAUCUUGGAAUCGUUCCGAUAUUCUUGUGACGAGAACAUUGUUCUUGGUGCCUCCUGACAUUUAGGGGUUGUGGCAGUGUCCCGGGGAUUUGAGCUCUGAGGUGUUGUCGUCACAAUUUUAUCGUUGCAGUUCUGGAUACCUGAGUUUCACCGACAUCGAAAAUCUCCUUUAUGCAGUUGUUGGUGAGAUAACCUCGACGCCACCCAGUACUGGGGCAGGAGUUCAGGAGUAUUUCCAUAACUCGUAUAAUGGAUGCUUUUCGAAGGUUGAGGUAAACUAUUUCCAAAGGUUUCUUGGUUAUGUGUUGAAGGAUGGAUACAGCUGGAUGUAGGAUUUGUUAGUUUCGGUGAGAUAUUAUGCUUCCCCUAUAUCCCCAACACCCGAUUGCAUAACCAGAAAGUUUCGGGAGUUUAUAAGUGGGAAUUCAAGUAGCUCAUAGGAAUUCUUUCCUACAGACACAUGAUACGAUAUGGGAUCUAUCAUACAUUUGUUUUUGGCUUAUUUUGCAAACCAAUCCUUUGUUUUAUUUUGAAUUGUGGUAUUCGAGUUGCUUCAAUGUCAAGUUUUGAUUCCAUACCUUUCCUAAGCCGUGUUCUCAUACUCCUAUGUGAAUACCAAUCCUUCAUGAUAAUCGAGAUUGUCAUGUCCAUCCUUUUUCAAAUGGCGUGUUUCUCUUCAAGUGGAUCCGAUCUUUUUCAUCCGAAAGAUCAACUCUAAGUAUUCUCAACGGUGUUCGUUUCAUUCGUCCCAAGUUGUCUUUGUUUUUCCCGCCCUCCCAUCCCUUUUUCUUCAAGGACUCAGAUUUCGUAAUCAAGUAUCCAUCUUAUUGAUGUGAAGUCUCUCCAUUCUUUUCCGCCAAUAUUCUUAUCUGGAGAUUCUCAGGAAGAUACUAACGAAGCUUCAAGUUUAUCAAUUUUCGUUCUUUCUUCUCUGAUGGGAUAAGUCAAGUUUUCGGUGUUGACCAUAGUCCCUUCAUCGCUUCAAAUGCUUUCCCAUGCCGGUGCACCUCUUAAUCAUCCACUCUUGCUAUUCUAUUGUUCCUGAGUGCUGAAGAUAUCUCAGAAGGCUCGUCUUGUCAUUCAAGAUCCAUUAAAGCUCUUUUUGAGGAUGUUAUCUCAUUCAAGCCAUUUAAUUUAACCGGUGCAAUCUCCUUUUCAAGUAAUCAUUCAACAGUGUUUCUUUUGAGUGGGCCCUAACCCACAGGUCUUUUUCCCAGGAUCUUACCUAACUCUUGUAAUUUUACCGGAGCUAUUCUCAAAUCUUCUAAAGUUUGACGUAAGGAUGAAUUAUCAUCAGUCAAAUGCCUUUCUCCAUGAACUUUAAAAUUCUUUUCAUUAUUGAUUCAACAUUAUAUUCUUCAUUAUCCCGGAGUAUCUCAACAAUUCAUGGUGGUGUUUCUCAGCGUCAUUCUCAACAUUCGUGAUUCUAGCUUGUUGCCAUCCUCUCAUAAUUGUUUUCGAUUGUGGGAAUUCUUUUCACCCAUCCGGAGCAGUUCAGGAGACUUUUCGGUUUGAUUCUCUGAAGCCCAUCAUUUCAGAAUAUUUAUUCUUUCUCACCUUUCGGAUACCAUUCUCCAAAUCUUACCGGUGCAUCAUUCAAGUAUUCACUAAUCAUCUCGGGAUCUCUUUGUUCACUUGUAUCUAAAUUCCCUAAAGUAUCUUCAUUCGUUCUCUAAUACUUCCAGGUGUUCCUUUAUCUUUUCUUCAAUCAUUUUUCAAUUCUUACGUUUGUUCGUUCAAGAUUUCCCUUCCUUCUUUAUAAUAUUAAUUUAUUCGUUGUCUCAAUCCUACCGGUGGUCCAUUGAGUUUAUGCUCUAUCUCUCUUAAUCCUUUCAACGAGAAUAAGUAGUUUGGCAAACCCAUUGCUUUUCAUCAAUUUAAUUGGUGAAGGAUACGCAUAAUGUAAUUCUUAUUCUUGUUUCAUCCAAGUGAUUAAUUCCUUAUUCCGGAGGUUCAUCAAAAUUCUUGAUUUCAAUUGUUUCAUCUUUUUCUUUUCCCGGAGUUCCAACCUCUAUCAGUUAUCUCGUCGUGAAGCACCAUCUAAAUCAUCGCAAGGCUUCACCUUGCGUUUUCAAUUUCUUUUUCCUUUCGUUUGAUCAAUCUUUUAUUACCCGAGUUCUUCAUGGAGGUUCUACAUGAUGGUUCCACAAGGAUUUAAUUUCUUCUCGGAGUGUUCAAUGAGAUUCUUUCCAGAGGAGUUCAAGCAUUCUUCAUCCUGCAUCCCAAAGUGCAAUUCUUUCUAUCUUAUUUUUUCAGGUGGUGUUAUGUCUUUCUUGACAAUUUUCCCUUCAUUUUUCAUGAUUCAAAAGUUAUCAGGAAUGAGAUAUUUAAACCCAUCACUUUCCUCCUUGGAAUUAUCUUGGGUUAUAUUUCACCUAAAGCUUUCCCUAAGGAUUGUUACUAUUUAUGGUGCUUAUCAAUGAACCAAGUUCUUCAGUUACCCUCCUAGUGAAAAUAAGCUUCUCGUCUUCUUGUUCAUAUCAAUCCAAUCUUUUGUUUUCCGUUAGUGGUAGAAUUUCACCUCAUAAUUUUGAGAUGUCUUCCAUAAGCCACAUCAAGCUUAUCCUUUCGUUGUUGAUAAUCCAACAACUCCGUUCUAGCAUAUGUUGUAAGAAUGCUCUCUCAAGAUCUUGUUUCCUUCCGUUCAUUCCAUUCCAUUCAUUCAUUUCUUCUGGAGGCAUUGUGUUGUUGCUCUCUUCUCUCAUCAUCUCGAGUUGUGAGGAUCGUGUUCUUUUCAUGCUUAUCCAUUUAAUCGGAGUGUUGUGUCAUCUCUUCAAGUUCUUUUCAUCUUAUCAAGUUUCAUAUCACUUUUCAACCGGAGUGUUGUCCAAAUUUGUUCUUCCUUGUUCCUCUUUUCUAACAGAUUAUUUUCAUCUUUGCUCAUCUCCGUUGUAUUAUUUUCUCGAAGUUGUUCAACCUCUCAAGGUUCUUUGGUUUCACUCGUUUGGCAAACAAGAAACUUAGCUUACCUCUUAUCUUCCUCUUCCUUUUCCCUCUGGUGCCAUCCUAGAUCUCGGGAUGAGAUCCUCUCGUAGUGGUGGAGUGUUGUAACGCCCCGAGACUGUUGCACCAGGUGUCUUCCAGUUUCUCGAUGUUGUUGCCUUGUCAUUUGUUUGCAUGUCAUGCAUUUCAUCUCAUGUCAUCAUGUGCAUCACAUUUGCAUACGUGUUCGUCGCAUGCAUCCGAGCAUUUUCCCUGUUGUCCGUUUUGCAAUCUGACACUCCUAUGUCCUCCGGCGCCCCUCUUGCCUCUUUUCGUGUGCGGGUGUUAAACAUUCUCGGAAUGGACCGAGAUUUUCCAAGAGGCCUUGGUUCACCGCCGGUAGACCGCCUGUCAAGUUUCGUGCCAUUUGGAGUUCGUUUGAUACUCCAACGGUUAACUGGGGAACCGUAAAGGCCUCGUGUGUGUUGUAGCCCAACACCCCUCCAAAGUGGCCCAAACCCAUCCAAACCCCCUCCAUCCUCUCGGUCGUUCGAUCACGAUCGUGUGGCCAAAAACCGCUCCUCAUUUGGACUCACCUAGCUCCCUCUACCUAUAUAUUUGCACCUUCCCCCGAAAAUUCAUGGACGAAACCCUAACCUUAUUCCUCCUUGCACCGCUGGACAAAAAUCACGCGCUGGACAAGUCCGCGCCGCCGUCCGCGUCCAACCGGAGACCGCCACCUGUCCUGCCACCGCCCUACCACCGUGUGGCCCGGGGAAGCCCAUCGCGGGCCAGCUCGGGCCCGGAUCUGCGUGCCACCACCCGUGCCCGGCGACCCUCGCCGCGUCCCCGCCCGCUGGCGUCGUCUUCACCGCCGCCCUUCGCGGGCGCAACUCGCCGCACCUCCUGUCGCCCGCUUGCAUCACCUAGCCGGCCGACGCCUGCCUCGCCGCUCCACCAGGCGCUCCGCCGGUGCUGCGCUGCCCAUCCCCGUCGCGUGCCUCGCCGGCGCGCCCCGCUCCUUCCGCCGGCGAACCUCGCCACCGGCGCCGCCAUACCUCGCCGGAGGUCCCCGCCGCCUGGAUCUGGAGGUGGACCUGAUCCACCACCUCCUCCAACCAAACACCCCCGCGCCUUGGACCGCUCCAUCCCAAUCCCCUUCGUCCAACUUUUCAGAGGGUAUAUUUUCCACUAUGUCCCAGAUCUGUAAUGUUUUAUGCACCUGUUCAACAUGCCAUAACUCCUCAUCCGUAGAUCUGUUUUGCAUGCAUGAUAUAUCAAAAUGUUCAUAUGGAUGUGCUCUUCAUUUUGUUCCAUUGUCCCAUGCUUGCUUGAGUCCAUCUUGAUGCCCAAAUAGUUGAUGCAAGAGUGCUAUAAAAUGUUAGGUGCUGUUUCUUAGUAGAGUAUGAGCAUUUGUCAUUUUUGUUGCAUUUGAUGUGUGCAUCUUAUGGGCAUGAGCUCUACAUGUGUUUUGGACUAUCCCAUGGCAUCUUUACAGGGGUGUAUUCCAUGUAUUUUUUUAUCAAUGUGGUGACUAGCACAAGCAUGCAAAGUAGAUCUCGUUAUAUUGCUGAUUUCAGAGAAUUAUAAUUUCACUAAGUCAUUUCCCUACUGUUAUUUUUAUGCCAUGUAUUCAUGUUGCUACAGUGAUAUCCAUGCUUCUUUUGAGUAUGUUCCGUAAGGAUGAUUUGGACAUAUGGUUGUGCUCUAUCCAUCCAUGUUCCUGUUUGUAUUUAUGGAGUGCCCUAGCAUGACUCAAUCAUGCUCUACUUUUGCUAUAAAAUGUUCCUGGCAGGUUGUUUACGUGUUAAUCAAUUUUGCAAAGGUUGUUGUAGUUGAUCCAUGCAUGCUAUGAGAUUGUUCUUGCCAUGGUUAGCUUCUUAAUCAUGUCUUCUUGCUGGUAGUAUGAUUAUUUUGUCAUGCAAUGCCUUGUGUUGAGUGAAUCGAUCUCGCAAACAUGCCUUCAUAAUUCUGUUUACGCCAUGCCCAGUUUUCUGCAAAGUCUGAAUUUGUUAACGAAACUUGCUAUGUUUACAUGGGUGCCAUCAUAUCUUCUGAUCCUGUUUCGCUUAUGGUCAGUAAGGGACUUUUGUUAUAUGCUUUGAGUAGAUGCAUGCCAUGCCUUGUUUUGCUAUGUCAUGUUCCUAUAGCAUGUUGUUAUCUUGCUCUAAACAUUGCUUCCUGAUGUUAAUUCCUGCCAUGUUACUAUUUUGACUAAGUCUGUGAAGCUGAUAUAUUUUGCCCUUUUGCCAUGCUUGUUUGAACCUUCUCUUGUGUGUUUUAGCCAUAUCUCACUGUUCAUAUUUUGUUAAGAAUCUCGCGAAGAUCACUGCCAUGUGCUUUGUAGCUAUGUUGGAUUGCAGUAGCUUAGUUUCUCGUUGCAUUCUAGAUGGCAUCGUGCUGUUAAUCGCAGAAUUGUGCCAUUAUUGUUUUGCUUGCCAUUUGCAAACCGUGCAUCCGAUUCCGGUGGUCUUUAUAUCGAUUUCGACCGAAAUCAACUCAUCUUUCCAGUGGCAUGCAUGAUUUGCCAAGUUGAGGUCUGGUUCAAUCUUUUCCUUCCAGAGCACGCAUAUGCAUUGCAUAUCUCAUCCCGCAUAUCACGUCAUGUUUUGCAUCAUGUUGCUUGCGCAUUGCAUCAUGGUUGAUUGUUGUUUCCUUCGCUUGUGCUCUUGCUUGGGUAGAGCUGGGAGACGAUUACGUGAUCGAGGAACGCGUUGAGUACGCUUAUGAGGAUCAACCUUAUGUCAACUCGGAGAACUUUGCAGGGAAGAUGACCAUACCCUCAAAAUCACUUCUAUCUUUGCUUGCUACUUGCUCGCUCUUUUGCUACGCCGCGAUAACUACCACUUGCUAUAUCAUGCCUCCCAUAUUGCCAUGUCAAGCCUCUAACCCACCUUUCCUAGCAAACCGUUGUUUGGCUAUGUUACCGCUUUGCUCAGCCCCUCUUAUAGCGUUGCUAGUUGCAGGUGAAGAUGAAGUUUGUUCCAUGUUCGAACAUGGAUAUUGUUGGGAUAUCAUUAGUAUAUCUUGUUUACUUUAAUGCACCUAUAUAUAUUUGGUAAAGGGUGGAAGGCUCGACCUUAUUCCUGGUGUUUUGUUGCACUAUUGCCACCCUAGUUUCCGUCAUACCGGUGUUAUGUUCCUUGAUUUUGCGUUCCUUACACGGUUGGGUUAUAAUGGGAACCCCAUGACAGUUAGAUUUGAAUAAAACUCCUCCAGCAAGGCCCAACCUUGGUUUUACCAUUUGCGACCUAAGCCUUUUUCCCUUUGGUUCUGCAGACUCAAGGGUCAUCUUUAUUUUAAACCCCUCGGGCUAGUGCUCCGCUGAGUGUUGGUCCAAACUAGAGUCCUUUGCAGCGCCACCUCGGGGAAACUCGAGAUUUGGUUUUAGUUGUACAGAGCGCUCAUCCGGUGUGCCUUGAGAAUGAGAUACGUGCGACUCCUAUCGGGAUUUGUCGGCACAUCGGGCGGCUUUGCUGGUCUUGUUUUACCAUUGUCAAGAUGUCUUGUAACCGGGAUUCCGAGUAUUGUCGGGUCUUCCUGGGAGAAGGAAUAUCCUUCAUUGACCGUGAGAGCUUGUGAUGGGCUAAGUUGGGACACCCCUGCUGGGUUUUGAACUUUCGAAAGCCGUGCCCGCGGUUAUCGGCAGAUGGGAAUUUGUUAAUGUCCAGUUGUAGAGAACCUGACACUUAACUUAAUUAAAAUGAAUCAACCGCGUGUGUAGCCGUCAUGGUCUCUUUUUGGCGGAGUCCGGGAAGUGAACACGGUUCUUGUAUUAUGCUUGAUCGUAAGUAGUUUUAGGAUCACUUCUAGUUCACGAUCGUGCUUUGCUUCUCUUCUCGCUCUCAUUUGCCUAAGUUAGCCACCAUAUAUGCUAGUGCUUGCUGCAGCUCCACCUCACUACCUUUUCCUACCCAUAAGCUUAAAUAGUCUUGAUCUCGUGGGUGUGAGAUUGCUGAGUCCUCGUGACACAGAUACUACCAAACAGUUGCAGGUGACGCAACCCAGCUCAAGUGGGAGCUCGAUGAAGAUCUUGAUCGUAGUCUUGUUUCGUUUCCAGUUGAUCAGUAGUGGAGCCCAGUCGGGGCGAUCGGGGACCUAGCAUUCGGGGUGGUCUUUCUUUACUUUGGUUCUGUAGUCGGACCUUGAUUGUAUUCUGGAUGACGUAAUGAUAUAUAUUUGUAUUGUAUGAAGUGGCGAUUGUAAGCCAACUCUUUAUCUCUUUCUUAUUCAGUACAUGGGAUGUGUAAAGAUUACCCCUCUUGCGGUUAUGCCUCUAAGUCGUGCUCCGACACGUGGGAGAUAUAGUCGCAUCGUGGGUGUUACACUGAUUAAAUAAACUAAUACCUCUAUUUAAGGAAGACUACUAUGUUGCUAACUUCACCCAUUAAGAUAAUGAGGGUGCUUCUAUUUGUUAGUGUAUGUUUCAUCAACUAGUCCCACUAUUACAGUAAUCUCACUCCCUCAAUAUAUGUACCAACAGGGAUGCUCGAUUUUGGUGGAACUGCACGAAAACUUUGGGUGCUUCAUUGCCUUGACUACUUCCUUCCUUUCCUGUUAGUCGCUUAUCUCGGCUUGCUUCCUUCCUUUGCUAUCAGUAGCUUCGCUUAUCUCGGCUUCCAAGGAAAUAGUAAUUGAUAAGCUACCUCACACAGGUUGUACUAGUCUUUAUCCUGAUUAUUGUGCUUGUCAUAUGUAUUGGUAAUUUGGUAUUGUGCUACUAUUUGCCGAUUUCAUAAAGGAGUAACUUGGAGACUAAACUCGCAGGGAAAUCAUUAUAUUGGUCGAUUUCAGUAGAACUUCACAAAAAGAUUAGAUGGAUAUAUACUUAUGCUGCUGCUAUGUACUUCAAAGUUCACUCAGACAAGCAUCGAUGUUGACAAGAAAAAGUGCCUAUAUUUAUUCUAGUAUUAACCGGCGUAAACCAGUUGUCAAACUCCAAGUACUAGGAGAGUGAACAUCAAAAAUAUUGCUUGGUGCAUAGCCCAGUCUUUGGUCCCAACUUGUGCCUUUUGGUUAUCGGCACAUAUGGUAGCGAACUGUAUGGCAUGGAGUCUAAAGAUUCCAAAGAAGUUGGUUGACGCAUAUAUUCAUCUGGCACUUAAUCAGUCUGCACGCAAGGGAUGCUCCAUUUUAGUUGAACUGCACAAAAAAUUUGGAUGGUUCAUUUUCUCAACCGCCUCCUUUCUUGUCUGCAAUGUAGAAUUUUGGCGAGGUACAGGACCAAGUUGAGCCAGUAAACUAGUUGGAUGAAAGUAGUGGCCAAGUUGCUCAAACCUCCCUCGGCAUGAGGCCACUAUUUGAGGAUAAACCUACAAGGAAACUUCAUAUUGUUUGUGCUACCUCUUAUGUACUCGAAAGUUUACUCGUAUAAGCAUUAAUUUUAGCAAGAAGUACCUCUGACUGAACACCAUUUACCACUCUAGGUAAUUAAAGUUCGUCCAUGGAUGAUAUUGUCUAUGAUCUAAAUCAUUUGGAUGCAUAAACAUACUGAACAUGUGUAUAUCUGAAUCUUUUUGUGAAUUAUCUAUGCAUAUUGUCGUGUGGUCUAUCAAUCAUUUGGAUGCAUAGACAUGCUGAACUUGUGUAUAUAUGAAUCUUUUAAGUUUUUGAUUGUGAAUGUUGGCUAUGAAUAUGUACGUGUCCUACAAACCUGAGUUUGAUACUAAUGUUUUAACUUUUCUGUUGUACUUGUGUGUGAACUUGUUAGUAUGUCUAUUGUGGGAUUUGUGACGUGUGGGUGUCAACGGCACACCUUCUUCCCAAGAAGAAUUGCACCUACUUUGUUAGGGUAGGAACGGCGCAUCAACUCUUUUUAAUCUUUUUGCUCUGUCUUACCCCCUCCCCCGCUCAAAUCCUACCGUAAUGUUUUCGGCCUCAAAACAGACAUAGUACUGCAUUGUCUUUGGGGCUUGAUGAAAAAUCGAGUGCUGGUUUCUGUAGGUUGUCCCGCCCAACAAAUGGGCUGCAGGUCCACUGGGGAAUGGGAGGCUAAAAAUACAAGUUGUAUGGUGUAGAGGCAAGUAAAAAACGCCAUCGAGAGCCAUCCACUGAAGAAGAAAAAUCGCAUCUGAUGUGUUUCUCCAUCGCACCGCCGGCCCCCUCUUUCAUCCAGUUCGCUCCAUUCCCCAACCGGCACCAUGGGACGAAAGUUUAUUACCCCCUCGCGCCUGUCAAGGGAUUGAAGAAGCGCGGCAUCGAAUCCAACACCGGUGAUGGCUGCUUGUCCAUGUGAUUUUCAGAUAAGAAACUGCAUGUUUCAGAGGUAGAGCAAUUAAAUCAACAUGCACUUUUCAAACAUGGAUAACAGAAUGUUGGAAAUUUUAUUCAUGGUAAAAAAUGGAACUAACAACAAGUUAACAUCAUGCUGACCAACAUUCAUGUAUAGCACAUCUUCAUAUGAUGCAAAGUCAAAAAGAUAUGCUAUUUUCAAAAUGGCAAGAGAAUGUUUUUUUAAACUGGGAAUGGCAAGACAAUGUUGAAUGUGUGAGAAACUAGGUAAACUAGGGAUGGAAUUUUGGCAAGUGUUAGAUAUUUUUCAACUGCACCAGUUGGAAUCGAACCCGGGCAGUAUAGCUUUUGGGUGAGAGGGUUGCAGCCAUCGGGCUAGUGCGGUAUGUUCGAAAGAAUGAAGGCGGCUUCCCCGGCUCUGCUUCUUUCCCAUCCUUGUGCACUCACCGAGGCGCCACCGUAUGUCGUUGUCAACAUGCUCAACAAAUGAGAGGAAUCCGGAGAGGACUGUACACCAAGAAACUGACAGUGGGGACUCACCAGGUCCAAGCCGUACGCAAGCAAGUGCCCCAUUGGAAAAAAAGCUUCCUCCUAAUUGUAUACUGAUGUUGGGGCCCAUGGGUUUGUCAACCUUAGUCAAUAAACGAAAUAAAAUUCCAACGAUGACUAUCAUCGGGGAGUUUUUUUUCUAGGGGUAUCGAGGAUCUUUUUUUGGUUGUGCGAAAGGGAUAUCUUGGAUCUAGCUGGUAUCAAUUUUUUCAAGAGGGUGAACAAGUAUCAGCUAGGUGUAGGUUUUUUUUAAUAUGUGUAGCCCACGACAUUGGAAGACAGUGGUUUCAACUUAUUUUUUGAGGUCCAUACCGGCCUAUGGGCCUCCCAGCGUAGGUUUUACUUUUUCUUAAAGACCGGCAACCUAUUGUUUUUUAAUAAAACGAAGAUCUCUGUUCUAUUUAUCUAUAUAUAAGAAUAAUAAUGUUGUGUCCAAUUUAUGUUUUCCCUUCUAACCACAUUAUAUAUAUUUAUAUUAUUACUAUUAUCGUAUAUUUUAUAGAGACUUACAUAUACAUUAUAAAAACAUCCCACGUGUCAUUAACUUAUAAAAGUAGAUGUUUAACAGAAGUUGGCAAGGAAAAUCCUGGUUGUUUUUGACUCACAGGCAAGGAAAAUCCUGGUGAUUGCGUACAAAAGCUUGCGAAGAUUUUAAGGACCAAUGUAAUAAUAACACACUCAUUUUGGAUUUGAGCAAUAACUUGCUAAUUUGUUAAUUUUAUAUAUAAAAAUGUGUCGCUCCAGUUUAUUUUUUGAUAUUAAUUGCUCCUUCUAACCUAACAUUAUAUAUGGAACGAGCCCAGCUAAUUCAUGUAUUUCAAGAAAGUGCAAAUGGUCUGAGAUUUCAUAGAAAUAUUAAAUGGGCUGCAUUGACGCAAAUGUACUGUAAAUUCUAGAAAAUAUGGGUUAAAUAUAUGCCACAUUUUUGUAGGCUGAGAUGUGGGCCAAUAGGUCGAAACGUACGUAAGGCAUUGUCAACUUGGUCAACAAAUGAUUAUGACAUCCAUAGCCAUUGGAUUUAUAUCCAACGGCCGACAUGCACCUUUAAUCUCUUGUCUUCAUCCUCCAGCGUCGCCGGGACUGCCUGGUCCGGCCUCCGGCGGCUAGUGGCUCUUCUUAGCAUGCACUACUGCGAAACGCUACCCCACCGCCGACCAGGCUAUCCCUCCACCCCUCCACACCUCCUGUUAUUCUCCAACGACUGCAGCCCCACGCGGCACCAGAACUAGUUAUAACCCUUGUACUCCUCUCAAUCUGCGACUCCACUGCCACGUCUUCCCAUCUCCGGGACGUUCCCUUCUGGGGCCUCGCCGUCAUCCACCGCCUCGCGGCGCUCGGCGCGGCGUUGUAAACAAAUGAGAGUCGUCGGAAGAGGACUGUACGUGGAGAGCCUGAUGACCAGGACCCACGAGGUCCACGGUCGCACCCAAGGAAAGUUCCACCUUAUUAAUCUGGAAAAAAUGUUUCCUCCCCCUGAUAGCUGGGACCCACCAGCUGUAUCUUUGCACGAAAGGAAGUGCCUCCUUGUUAUGCGAAAAAAAACUAUUUCCUCCCAUUGAUAGCUGGGACCCGUCAAAUUUGGUGGCUUACUUGUGGGCCUACUAAGCGGACGUGUACGCAGGGCUUUGUCAACUUUAUCAACAAAUGAUUCUAGCAGCUGGACCGUUAGAUGUUAAUCCAACAGUUGUGCUCCUUCUUCAACCUCUGUUCUUGCUCCUGUCACCCGUGGGUGGCACUGCGGCAGUGCUGCCGCGCACCCGAACUAGUCAAGGUUCCCACUUCUCUCCAUCUGCGACUCGGCUGUCGCGUCUUCCCCAUCUCUGGGUCAUGUUCAUUCGGAGCCAACCGACUUGGACGGAAUAGCCGAUCGAAACGAGGCCUGGCGUACCGUAGAAUGGAGGAAAUGGACUUGUGUUCGACCGACCACGGUCGAAAAAGGAUCAUGUUCAUCGAGAGGGGUCUGGCAUACUGCAAAACGGAGGAAACGGACUUCUCUUGGACCUCCUACGAUCGAAACGGGGUCCUAUUGAUUGGGAGGGGUGUGGCGUACCGCAAAACGUAGGAAAUGAACUUGUGUUGGAGAGCUACGGUUGAAACGGGGGUCCUGUUCAUUGGGAGGGGUGUGGCAUACUGCAAAAUGGACUCCACGGGAUAUUGUUCAGCUCCAUCGUCGACCUCCUCCAGCCUCCACGGGCUACUGUUCAUCCACCGGCGACCUCCUCCAGCCUCCACAUGUGACUAUUCAUCCACGAUGUCUCCCCACCUGCCUCCACCAGCCACUAUUCAUCCAUGGGCUCCUGUUCAUCCAGCCUCCACCGCUCCUCCACCAGCUACUGUUCAACCAGCCCUCUUCACGGGGUCCUGUUCAACCACCCCUCCAUGGGAUAUUGUUCAUCCAGCCCUCCACCAGCUACUGUUCGACCAGCCCUCCACGGGAUCCUGUUCAUCCAGCCCUCCAUGGGGUCCUGUUCAUCCACGCCUACAGGCUCGAUCGGGGUCCUAUUAAUCCAGCAGCAACGGCCUCUAGUACCACGGGGUCCUUCCCAUCCAAGCCCUCCCCCACCCACCGGGAACUGUUCACCCACCCACCCCCAGCAAUGCUCACUGUUCAUCAAGAAGAAACAUCGAUUAGCUUCAAUUAUCAGCAGUAGCGAAGGAAUCACUCGGGUUCAGUUAACAGCAAGGGAUCGAUUGGGGUUUAGUAACGUAGCCAGUGCAAUCACUCCGGUUCGGUUAGAGCCCAACGCCUCACUCGGGUUCAGUUAGAGUGUGAUGCCUUGCACACAUGCGUGUACGUGUACGAGAGAAACAUGCAAACCUCUGUGCAUCGCUCGGCCCCAAUCACCCACCGUAACCGGGAACUCCUUGAUAUUUUCCUCGCCCUCGCUUCCACCACGGUUUUUUCCGUCAUGGAAGGCCCAAAGAAUGUCAUGCAGCCAUGUCUCCGGCCCGCCCAGGACGAAAAGCCCAUUUUCUGUCAUGAUUUUUUUCAUAGAAGUAGGAGCCCACCACAUCUAGGAUGAUACCGGGUUUUGUCACAAUUAUCGUCAUAGAAAUGUCAUAGGCAUGACAAAAAAAAUCGUUCGGCCCAAAAUGCCAUGGGUGUGUCUUUUUUUGUAGUGAGGGCAUCCCGCCGCGAGCCUUAGAGGCCUGGCGUCUUUGAGGAAAGGCUCAUCAAGCCAUCGGCAGCAUCUCCGAAUGCAGGCCCGGCGCUGCUCCGGGAGGAGCCGCCACCGGCCCCAUCCUUAGGGGCCCUGGCCUGUGGCCCGACCUCAGGAGCCUGCCUACUCUUGGCCCUGGAACCUCAGGCAGGCUGCUGGAUUGAGAAGUUCAAGGCGUACCUGCUCCGUGGAGUCUUACUUGAGAAAGAGGAAGACUCGGAGCGCGCGGUCUGCCAAGCCACUGCUUAUUGCUUGCAGGACGACGAGCUGUACCGAAGACGCCCCAACAAUGUCUCGUUGUAGUGCACAUUCGAAGAAUAGGGGCGCGAGCUGCUGGCCGACAUCCAUGGCGGGGAUUGUAGACACCACUCCUCGUCGCGCACCCUCAUGGGCAAGGUGUUCUGCAGCGGGUUCUACUAGCCUACGGCGCUCAACGAUGCGACCUAUCUGGUGCGAUCGUGCGAGGCCUGCCAGUUCCACGCCAAGCAGAUUCACCAGCCCGCACAAGGUCUCCAGACCAACCUGCUCUCAUGGCCCUUUGUAGUAUGGGGGCUGGAUAUCCUGGGCCCAUUUCCUCAGGUAGCCGUCAGAUACCGCUACCUCUACGUCGCCAUUGACAAGUUCACCAAGUUGGCGGAGGUGGAGCCCAUGCGCACCAUCCCCGCUAGCUCAGCCAUCAAAUUUAUCAAGGGCCUCGUGAGUCGUUUCAGUGUCCCCAACCGUAUCAUUACUAACAAUGGCUCCCAAUUCACAAUCAACCUAUUCAGGACAUAUUGUGCUAACCUUGGAACGCAGAUAUGCUACACUUCGGUGGCGCACCCAUAGAGCAACGGCAGGCUGAGUGCGAUAACACAGAGGUCCUGAGGGGCUUCAAGGUAAGGAGCUUCAAGAAGAAGGUUGAGGCCUACGGCAGGGGUUGGCUCGGUGAGCUUCAGUUCAUGUUGUGGUCCAUCCGCACCAUCGCGACUAAGCCCAUUAGCGUGACCCCGUUCUUCCUCAUCUACAGGGCUGAGGCGGUCCUGGCAUUCGACGAGGCGCGUCAGGAUGCCUCACCGGAACGGAUCUCGUGCUCGGGGAGGAGGCCCGUCGCCAAGCCUCAGUCCGCACAUCGAGAUACCAGCAGUGCUAACGUGUUACCACUGUCGUAGCAUCCGCUCUCGGACUCUCGAGGUUUGAGACCUCGUCCUGAUGCGGGUUCUCUCUAGGGAGGGCCUUCACAAGCUCUCGCCCAUGUGGGAGGGCCUGUUCAGGAUCGCCCGCGUCUCCAGGCCUGGCGCCAUAUGCCUCGAGAUGCAGGACGGGGUCCCCAUCCAGAAUACGUGGAACAUCCAGCAUCUCUGCAAGUUCUACCCGUGACACUCUCACAUAAUAAUGAAUGGGGAUGUACAGGCCCCGGAGUCUCCCCGAGCACUGCUCCUCGGCCUCACGGGACUCCCACACACGCCCAAGUGGAAGCCCCAUGCUUCGCGCUGGCGGAAUGGUCAAACAGCAACUAUGCCAAUGCCAAGUGGAGGCCUCGUGCUCCGCGCUGGUGGGAAGACUAGCUUAGGUGCCGGACGUGGAUGUUGCUUGCUUUCUCUUGUAAACAAAUUUACCACUUCUUGGAAUGAAGUUUGAAGCUUCCGCAUCUUUAUUUGAAUGGGGGGUCAGGAUUUUUCUUCUUGAACUGUUUUAUCUCUUGAACCUCCUUUUUUAAGGAAGUAACAGUGGCCCAUUACUCCCUCCCGUGCGUCCCGCGAGCUGGGGUUGGGCACGGUGUUACACCUGGACCAGACCCGGUGAUGUUGGAAUCCUAGGCCACAACAGCCACGGGUCCGCCCGCAUGCACACCUCGCCAAGGCCUUGGCACCCAGAUCCUCGCACUAUGCUCCUGAGCGAGCCAAUAGGCGAGUGUGGUUCCCGGCCCCUAGCCUUAGGAGCAUCCAUCUCUUGGCCUUGUCAGGAAUCGCGACCCGGCACACCAGCGGCGAUCGACCCUCGCUUGGGGGCUUUCGAUGUAGGAUGGGCACCAAGAAAGGGUGGCUAAAAAAAGGCAGUCACGGCUCAGCUCAUUGUUAAGGAACCUCAUGCAAGUGCUGCCUACACCUACGAGAGGUCCGACACCUAGCGGAGGCAUCUCCGGAGGCCCCAAAACCUCAUGAGUCCUCUAGGGACCUCACGAGCUGUGAGCCUCUUGAGACGCUAGAGCAAUCCAGCCAACGAGGAGGGAGCCUCCUCGGGGCCAUAGGGGCAUACCUGGGAUCAAGGAUCCGGAGGGGCGCGCCCCCAUGAUGGAGGGACCCGACAACGGUCACAAGCACACCAAGCUAACUUAUCCUAAUCGCGCCAGGAAGAAACCUUCCAAUUAAUAACUAUAUAGAUACUAUAAUAAGAGCAAGAAACGAUUAUAUAAAGGUGCAGGCGCCGCAGUUCAGUACAAGACCCAUGGGGCCCUUCUUGGUUCUUAAUGCAGAAAACGAAAAACAAACAAAAGAAGCGGCCUCCUGAGGGUCGCUGUUCCUCAAACCCGGCUCCGACGCCUCAGCAAUCAGUCGGAGUCCUCCUCCUCCUUGAUGUGUGCUCGGCGGCAUGACGCCUCACCCCCUCCUGGGUUCGGGCGCAGCAACGUGGCAUCUCGUCGUAGUCGUCGUCGCUCGUGCUUCUCCUGAGGGAGGCGCCGCUGUUGCUGGAGGUGCAGCGGCCGUCGCCAAGGGCAAGGUCACUGUGGACGGCGUCGCCGCCACUAUGGUCCUUGUUGUUGAAGAGGUAGUCGCUAUCACUGCCAUCGCCCUCUGGGCAGCACCCCCAAAGCCUGUCGUCUUCCCCGAAGACCUUGAUGAAGAGCGUCACCGCUACCUCCCACGGGCUCGGGCGAAUGUCUGCCACCCACGGUUCAGGAACACCUUGCAUGCGGGGGUGACCUCGACCUCCACCCAUGAGGCCUUGCUGGAACAGCCAUCGGCUUGCAGCCACAGGGCACCGGGCCCUCCGACCGGCAACUCCUCCAUGAAGAAGUGUAGGCGGUGGAUCUAGACGCCUUCCGGCGUCUCCACCCACACCACAAACUCCCAGGCCACGUCGGCCGUGUGGUAUCACGGGCGCGAUGGUCGGGCGACCACUGUGACCCCCUCCACCUCGACUGCGCCGCCGCGGCUUCCGCUACCGCCCCCAUGGGAGGGACCCUUCCCGUGGCCGUCCGACGCAAUGCGUCCACCCGUGGGAGUGCACCCACGGCCCCGGGGAACCACCACCGGGGUCGUGGUGGACUUGCGGGGAUGGCCACACUCCCUCUUGGGCGACAGUGAUCCUGGCCCCUCCUGGGGGCUUGCCCUUUCUCAAUGGAUGAAAACCUCCUCACCAGCUCCACGGGUGCUACAUCAAGAGUCUGGAUUGGAGGAGCAAGAAGAUGGAGGAUGGGCUAGGGGGCUAUGCUCCCCUCGCCCUCUUAUAGGAGAGCAAAGGCCAACAGUCAUCCCUUCGAAUUCAGGCAAAGAUAGCCCUGCGGGCGUGCACAAGUCAGUUGUCAGCCUAGGCAGUUACCGAGGUGAUGUAGGUAAGCGGAGGCGUUUGCGUGCGCCACGCGUCAGCCUUGGCCCUCGGCCGGUUGGGGCCCGCGAUGCUUGUUCCUCACCCCUUGUCUUCGCCUCGAAGAUAGCUCGAGCGUGCCUUCGGCCCGGGGGCUACUAUCGGCGUUCUGGGAUCGGGGGUACCCAGAUCUGUCUGCGUGUGGCCUAUGGUGUUGGUCCUUCGAGGGCCUGGUAUGGCCCAGCUACAAGACCCCCUAGUACAAGACCCUCAUGAGGCGGACAACACCAAGACCUCCCGAGGGGGUGCUCUCCGAGCCUGCCUCCUAAGGCUGCGAUAACAUGAGCCAUGAUGACCAAGGACAGGCGGGCACCAGCGGGCGCAGAGGAGACAAUUUCUCUUUGGUGCUAAGGAUACAAGGACAAACAUGGGUUCCCAUGGAAUCCCCCAAAGGUUUUUGUUCGGGUCCGACAAGACCAAGACCACUAGCUCGGCAGGACGGGUGUCAUCGCCGUGCCCACUGUUGUGUCAUGGCUAGAAGCUUUAGAGGAGAAGACCACCUUUCAUCAAGAUAAGAUGUACUACUUGUCCCCUUUCAAAUGGUCGUGGUGGGAUCCCUUCCCGCCUAAUUUAUGAGGGAAGAGGACCAAUGCCACUGUAAAGAGAGACCAGCCUCCACCGUAGGAGGGGAUCGGAUCUAUUCCACCCUCACUUCAUGAGCCCUCACAAGGAUGCUCAUCCACUAUAGUAGUUCAUCUUCAGCCUCCUCGUGAGGCCAAUCCACCACAAAGCAGGAGUAUUGUUUUACACCGCAAGGUGGCCCGAACAUGGGUAAACUAUUGUGUUCAUCUUCUUUCUCGCUUGCGCCUACUCAACAAGUCUAGGCCAUAAGGUGGUCAGCUUGAGAUUAGCGUAGGAGGGGAUCUUCACACAUGCCUCAGAGUUCGAACCUUCUUGGGUCUGCGGAGCCCUGAAUCCGAUGAUACAUCGAUUUUGCAUCAUGCAUUUAUAUCGAUAUUUAUUGCAUUAUGGGUUGUUAUUACACAUUAUGUCACAAUACUUAUGCCUAUUCUCUCUUAUUUUACAAGGUUUACAUGAAGAGGGAGAGUGCCGGCAGCUGGAAUUCUGGGCUGGAUAAGGAGCAAACAUUAGAGACCUAUUCUGCACAACUCCAAAAGUCCUGAAACAUCACGGGAGCAUGUUUCAGAAUAUAUGAAAAAUAUUGGGUGAAGGAAGUACCAGAGGGGGGCCACCCACCAUCCACCAGGGUUGGGGCGCGCCCCCUGCCUCGUGGGCCCUCUGGCAGCCCUCUGAUGCCCAUCUACUAUAUGAGGUUUUUCGUCCAGGAAAAAAUCAUAAGCAAGCUCAUGGGACGAAACUCCGCCGCCACGAGGCGGAACCUUGGCGGAACCAAUCUAGGGCUCCGACGGAGCUGUUUUGGCGGGGAAACUUCCCUCCGGGAAGGGGAAAUCAUCACCAUCGUCAUCACCAUCGACCCUCUCAUCGAGAGGGGGUCAAUCUCCAUCACCAUCUUCACCAGCACCAUCUCAUCUCAAACCCUAGUUCAUCUCUUGUAUCCAGUCUUUGUCCCAAAGCCUCAGAUUGGUACCUUUGGGUUGCUAGUAGUGUUGAUUACUCCUUGUAGUUGACGCUAGUUGGUUUAUUCGGUGGAAGAUCAUAUGUUUAGAUCCUUUAUACAUAUUAAUACCCCUCGGAUUAUGAACAUGAAUAUGAUUUGCGAGUAGUUAAGUUUGUUCCUGAGGACAUGGGAGAAGUCUUGCUAUAAGUAGUCAUGUGAAUUUGGUAUUCAUUCAAUAUUUUUAUGAGAUGUAUGUUGUCUUUCCUCUAGUGGUGUCAUGUGAACGUCGACUACAUGACACUUCACCAUUGUUUGGGCCUAGAGGAAGGCAUUGGGAAGUAAUAAGUAGAUGAUGGGUUGCUAGAGUGACAGAAGCUUAAACCCUAGUUUAUGAGUUGCUUCCUAAGGGGCUGAUAUGGAUCCAUAUGUUUCUGGCUAUGGUUAGGUUUACCUUAAUACUUCUUUUGUAGUUGCGGAUGCUUGCAAGAGGGGUUAAUCAUAAGUGGGAUGCUUGUCCAAGGAAGGGAAGUACCCAAGCACCAGUCCGCCCACAUAUGAAAUCAUCAAAGUACCGAACGUGAAUCAUAUGAACGUGAUGAAAACUAGCUUGACAAUAAUUCCCUUGUGUCCUUUCUAUAAGAGUUUGUCCAGUCUUGUCCUCUGCUACAAAAAGGAUUGGGCCAUCUUGCUGCACCUUAUUUACUUUUAUUACUUGUUAUCCGUUACAAAUUACCUUAUCGCAAAACUAUCUGUUAUCGAUAAUUUCUGUGCUUGCAGAGAAUACCUUACUUAAAACUGCUUAUCAUUUCCUUCUACUCCUUGUUGGGUUCGACACUCUUACUUAUCGAAAGGACUACGAUAGAUCACCUAUACUUGUGGGUCAUCAUAUGACACAAUGGAUUUAUACGGUUCCCUAUUUAACAUGAAUGCGGCUGUCUCUAAUGCAUAACCCCAAAAUGAUAAAGGCAAAUCGGUAAGAGACACCAUAGAACGCACCAUAUCUAAUAAAGUACGGUUACAACUUUCGGACACACCAUUACGCUGUGGUGUUCCAGGUGGUGUGAGUUGUGAGACAAUUCCACAUUGCUUUAAAUGAAGGCCAAACUCCUAACUCAAAUAUUUUCCUCCGCGAUCAGAUCGUAGAAACUUUAUUUUCUUGUUACAAUGAUUCUCCACUUCACUCUAAAAUUCUUUAAACUUUUCAAAUAUUUCAGACGUGUGUUUCAUCAAGUAGAUAUACCCAUACCUACUCAAAUCAUCUGUGAAGGCUAGAAAAUAACGAUACCCGCCGCAUGCCUCAAUACUCAUUGGACAUCAUACAUCGGUAUGUAUUAUUUUGAAUAAGUCAUUAGCUCACUCCAUUUUUCUGGAGAACGGAGUUUUAGUUAUCUUACCCAUGAAGCAUGGUUCGCAAGUAUCAAAUGAUUCAUAAUCAAGUGAUUCCAAAAGUCCAUCCGCAUGGAGUUUCUUCAUAUGCUUUAUACCAAUUUGACCUAAACGGUAGUGCCACAAGUAUGUUGCACUAUCAUUAUCAAAUUUGCAUCUUUUUGCAUGAAUAUUAUGAAUAUGUGUAUCACUACAAUCGAGAUUCAACAAGAAUAGACCAUUCAUCAAAGGUGCAUGACCAUAGAAGAUAUUACUCAUAUAAAUAGAACAACCAUUAUUCUCUGACUUAAAUGAAUAAUCGUCUCGCAAUAAACAAUAUCCAGGUAUAAUGUUCAUGCUUAACAUUGUCACUAAAUAACAAUUACUAAGGUCUAAAACUAAUCCCAAAGGUAGAUGUAGAGGUAGCGUGCCGACAGUGAUCACAUCGACCUUGGAACCAUUCCCGACGUGCAUCGUCACCUCGUCCUUAGGCAAUCUUCGUUUAUUCCAUAGCUCCUAUUUCGAGUUACAAAUAAGAGCAACCAAACCGGUAUAAAAUACCCAGGUGCUACUACGAGCAUUAGUAAGGAACACCUCAAUGACAUGUAUAUCAAAUAUACCUUUGUUCACUUUGCCAUCCUUCUUAUCCGCCAAGUAUUUGGGGCGGUUCCGCUUCCAGUGACAAUUCCCUUUGCAGUAGAAGCACUCAGUUUCAGGCUUGGGUCCAGCUUUGGGCUUUCUUCAUGGGAGUGGCAACUUGCUUGACCUUCUUCUUGAAGUUCCCUUUACUUCCCUUGUCUUUUUUCUUGAAACUAGUGGUCUUAUUAACCAUCAACACUUGAUGCUCUUUCUUGAUUUAAGUAUCGCGAAGAGCUCGGAAAUUGUUUUAGUUAUUCCUUGCAUAUUAUAGUUCACCAUGAAGCUCUAGUAGCUUGGUGAUAGUGACUGGAGAUCUCUGUCAAUCACUAUUUUAUCUGGAAGAUUAACUCCCACUUGAUUCAAGCGAUUGUAGUACCUAGACAUUCUGAGCACAUGCUCACUGGCUGAGCUAUUCUCCUCCAUCUUGUAGGCAAAGUACUUGUCUGAGGUCUUAUACCUCUCAACAUGGGCAUGAGCCUGAAAUACCAAUUUCAGCUCUAGGAACAUCUCAUAUGUCACAUGGCAUUCAAAACGUCUUUGGAUCCCCAAUUCUAAGACGUAAACCAUGGAGCACUAAAUUAUCUAGUAGUCAUAGGUCUAGCUUGUCAAUCAUUCAUAACAUCUGCAUCAGCUCCUGCAACAGGUCUGUCACGUAGCGGUGCAUCAAGCACAUAAUUCUUGUGUGCAGCAAUGAUGAUAUUCCUCGGAUCAUGGACCCAGUCCACAUUAUUUCUACCAACAUCUUUCAACUUAAUUUUCUCUAGGAACGCAUUAAAAUUUAGGGGAACGGUAGCACGGGCCACUGAUCUACAACAUAGAUAUGCAAAAACUAUUAAGACUAAGUUCAUGAUAAAUUAAGUUCAAUUAGUCAAAUUACGAAUGAACUCCCACUUAAAUUAACAUCCCUCAAGUUAUCUAAGUGAUACAUGAUCCAAAUCAACUAACCCAUGUCUGAGCAUCACGUGAGAUGGGGUACUCAUCAAUGGUGAACAUCUCUAUGUUGAUCAUAUCUACUAUAUGACUCAUGUUCCACCCUUCGGUCUCUAGUGUUUCGAGACCAUGUCUGUACAUGGAAGGAUCAUCAAGUUUAACCCAAGUAUUAUGCAUGUGCAAAACUUUCUUACACUCAUUGUAUGUGAACGUAGAGUCUAUCACACCCGAUCAUCACGAGGUGCUUCGAAGCGACGAACUUUGGCAACCGUGCAUACUCAAGGAGAACACUUUUAUCUUGAAAUUUAGUGAAGGGAUCACCUUAUAAUGCUACCACCAUUCUAAGCAAAAUAAGAUGCAGAAAGGAUAAACAUCACAUGCAAUUAAAAACAUGUGACAUGAUAUGACCAUCAUCAUCUUGUGCUUUUGAUCUCCAUCUCCAAAGCAUCAUCAUGGUCUCGAUCAUCACCGGCUCGACACCUUGAUCUCCAUUGUUGCGUCGGGGUCAUCUCGCCAAUUAUUGCUUCUACAACUAUUGCUAAUGCAUAGCGAUAAAGUAAACCAAUUACAUGGCACUUGCAUUUCAUACAAUAAUUAAGAGACAACCUUAAGGCACCUGCCGGUUGUCGAUAUUACAGAACAUGAUCAUCUCAUAAAACAAUGUAUAUCACAACAUAUAUUGACCAUAUCACAUCACAACAUGCCCUGCAAAAACAAGUUAGACAUCCUCUACUUCAUUGUUGCAUGUUUUACCUGGCUGCUAUGGGCUUCUAGCAAAAACCGUUCUUCACUAUGCAAAACCACAACGGUGAUUAUCAAGUUUGUUGUUUUAACCAUCUUCAAGUACCGGUCGUAGUCAAAUUCAAAUCAACUAAAGUAGGAGAAACAGACACCCACCAGCCACCUUUAUGCAAAACAAGUUGCAUGCCAGUCGAUGGAACCGGUCUCAUAUGCGUGGACAUGUAAGGUUGGUCUGGGCCGCUUCAUCCCACGAGACCGCUGAAUCAAAAUAAGACAUUGGUGGUAAGCAGUAUGACCAUCACCGCCCACAACUCCUUUGUGUUCCACUCAUGCAGGUCAUCUAUGCAUAGACCUGGCUCGGAUGCCACUAUUGGGGAUCGUUGCAUGGAAAACAAAAUAUUUUCUAUGCACACGCAAGAUCUAUCCAUGUAGAUGCAUAACUAUAUGAGGCGAGGGUAUGUCUACAUACCCUCACAUACCGUUUAGGGAAAGCAUUAUCAAUGCGGUUGAUGUAGUCGUACACCUCCACGAUCCAACCGAUCAAGUACCAAACACACGACACCUCCGCGUUAAGCACACGUUCUGUUUGAUGACGUCCUCUCCUUCUUGAUCCAGCAGGACGGGCGAAGCAGUAGAUGAUUUCCGACAGCACGACGGUGUGGUGAUGAUGGUGAUGCAAACUAUCUUCGCAGGGCUUCGCCUAGCACUACAAAAAUAUGACUGAGGAUGAACUAGAGGGAGAGGGGCACCGUACACGGCUUGGGAAUCGUGGUAUGUGUUGCCCCUCUCCCUCCUCUCAUAUAUAUAUAUAUAUAUAUAGGUGGAGGCACUACUGCAGGAUGCUACUAACAUGACACUAUGACUAGAGACCCUUUGACCAAACUGUGUGCGAUGCAUUAAUCGCAAACGGGGAUGUAAAAAAACCGUCAAAAAGGUGGAAAACGUUUGCAAUGGCGGGGCCAUCAAACAUGGUUCAUAUUUUAGUUGCGUGUGUGUCGUGGGAAACCAUGGCCACCUAUGGCAUCAGAGGGCCCCUUGCUGGUUUGGCAAGGGGAUGUCGCGUUGCACAAAGAGCAGACGAGGGUGGGGUAGCGCAGUAGCGAUCACACAUGCAAUUUUACCCAGGUUCCGGGCACUGUGAGGCGUAAAAGUCUACUCCCUCUUUGGUGGAUUGAUGGUGGAAAAACUGGUGGUGAGGCGUAGUACACUGCCUGGCAGGGGUUGCUUCAGGGCGACAGUGGCUACGCGCGUAUGGGUGUGUCUUAUCCAACUUUCCAACCAUUUCUACGGUUCUCAUGGGCCUCCUUUUAUAGAUUAAGGGGUUACCACAAUGGCAAAGUAGUCAUUAUGCACUAAUAAGAUAGAAAAAAUUGCUAUCGUACCUAACUCUGCAGGCUGACGGGGUGCAUUAAAUGCACCGCUUAACGUCACGUCACAGGUUGCCCGGCAAGCCUUGCUGGGCUAUCUCGCUAGCUCCACACCUGCUUGCUUGACAUGUCGUAGGACAGGUGUUAUCCGUAGGCAUUUCUUGUAGUAAUAGGUCGCCAUUUGCCAAAUGGCCCCCACUUAGUCACUUUUCGCCUUGACACCGCACUGACUGAUGACGUGGGUCAUGGCGGAGUGGUUGGGUGAGGUGGUUUUGCCUCCAUGAGCCUCGGCAGGCCCUGCAGGGGCGUCUUGGGCGCCUUCUUCUUAGGAUGGCCCCGCCACUGUCUAGCUCCUCUGCCCGACAAGGGAUGCCCUUCUCCUGAUGGUAUCUUGUUUCUCUGGCUCGACUUUGGUCUUUUUGAUCUGCAUUUUGGUCCUUCAAUGAUCUUGGUCUCUCGUACUCUGACUUCGAUUGGUGGUUCAAUCCUGUUCUCAUGCCUGUGCAUAGUCUGGGCAACAGACCCAGGGUUUGUUGCACCGAUAGAUGCCCCCGGGCCUGCCCUAAUGGCGCUACCGAGCAUCAUCCGGGUGUCCCUAUUAAGUGCACAAGCAGGGGUGCUGAUGAGGCUGGCCUCUUGGUGUUUUUUUGCUUCUUCGUUGAUCUUGAGCUUGGGUCAGUUUCGGAUUUUCCCGCACAUCGUGUAAAGCCAAUGGUGGUGGGAUCGCUCUUGUAAUGGCCCGUGAAUGACUUUAACACACGUCAUAGAAACUGCCAAUUCACUCUUCCCACCAUGCUCUUAUCCUCAGCCACGUAUGUUGCAUGCAUCGCGCAUGGUAGGUAACGGAGGCGCAUGGCGCGGGAGAGCAUCAAGGGCGAGGGCCUGGCCUUCUUGAAUUGGUGGAGGAGGACGGUGGCCGCCCGUUGAGGGAGUGGCUCCCCUUCCUCGCCUGCCUAUAAAAGGAGGGGUGAAGGGAGGUCGGAGCCAUCCAUCCUUGUGCUCUCCCUCCUCUACUUUCUGCUUCUCGUGGGUUAGGUUGAAGAAAAGAGCCUGGGACCAGCCUCCGGGAUCUUGGUUGAGGCUGGUAUUGCCAGAUGUUGGUGCUAGUGUCCGUGGACUGAACCAGGUCCCUGCUGUGGUGAAUCUCUUGGUGAGGGAGUCCUCAAUUAGGGGGUCUCCGGACAGCCAGACUAUAUCCUUUAGCCGGACUAUUGGACUAUGAACAUACAAGAUUGAAGACGUCGUCCCGUGUCUGGAUGGGACUCUACUUGGCAUGGAAGGCAAGCUAGGCAAUAUGAAUAUGUAUAUCUCCUCCAUUGUAACCGACCUUGUGUAACCCUAGCCCCCUCCGGUGCCUAUAUAAACCGGAGGGUUUAGUUCGUAGGACAACAUACAAUCAUACCAUAGGCCACCUUCUAGGGUUUAGCCUCUACGAUCUCGUGGUAGAUUAACUCUUGUAAUACUCAUAUCAUCAAGAACAAUCAAGUAUGACGUAGGGUAUUACCUCCAUCAAGAGGGCCCGAACCUGGGUAACAUCAUGUCCCCUGCCUCCUGUUACCAUCCGCCUUAGACGCACAGUUCGGGACCCCCUACCCGAGAUCCGCUGGUUUUGACACUGACAUUGGUGCUUUCAUUGAGAGUUCCACUAUGUCGUCAUCGUAAAAAACAACAUCACUUCUGGGGGAGCCCUGGUUGUAGGCCAAACUCUCCAACUAGGCAGCUUCGUCAUGACCGCCCGCUCGACCGCUGCGCCAACGAUGACUUCUCGGGUCAUCGAAAACAACCUCCACAUAGGCUGAAAAUUCGCCGAGCAGAUGGAUCCAAUGGAGCUCUCCUCUCUGAACGAGCUCUUGGAUCACAUCGCCGCUCUGGGAGACGCUAUGGACCACGAUCAGAUCGGGCUUAAACCCGACCAAACGGAGAUUAGCUCUCCGCUGGUCACCCAUCAAAUAGUGGUGGUGGAGGAACAAUGCAGUGUUUCUCCCUCUAUCCUGAGGACGAACUAUGUCCGGAUUCCUGAGCUCUCCGAGCCGGAUACUCGCUCAUGGGAGGACACCUCCCUAACCCUGAACCUGGAAUCAGGUCGCAUACCGAACCCGCAGAGCAACAUCCCGGAGUCCGAACUUUCAAGAUCGGAAACUCCCCCGCCCCGGGAUCUCAGAUUGGGUCAAGGUCUGGACUUAAAUCCACCAACCCACCCAGAUACAAACGAUAUUUCCCACAUUAGGCAAGUGCCCCAACAAACAGUACAUCACUAUUGGGCCAGAUUCCUCCUUGUAAUGAACAAGGUCAAGGACUGCCGUGAGGAAGACGCAAUUUCGUUCUUUUGUAACAAUUGCACGUACAAGGGGAUCCUCAAUGCCAUAAGUUGCCGCGACAUUACACACUUCGCCGACAUGGCGGCCAUAGUACAGAAAUAUUGUGCGAUGGAAAGCACCUGGAAAACCCAAACACAAUUCUGGGAUAAUCCAGCCCUGUCAAAACCCCUAGUCCGAACUAAAAGGGUGCACUCUCAUAAGUCGCCCGACUCAAUUAUAAAGAAACAAAAGGCCACUAUAGGGCAUGGAACCGUAUUGGAGGGAUGGCUUAACGGGCCCUGCAAAAUUCAUAGUACAGCGGAUGCCAUACCAACACAUAGCCUUCGAGCAUGUUGGGUACUCCGGCAGGUGGCCAAAAGCGGUGAGGAUCUCCUCAUCCAAAACACCCUAGAACACCUCCCAGGGGAUCACAAUACAGUACUGACAGUCUUCGAGACCUUCGCCUCAAAUAAUAGGCGUAAGCGAGUACUCCGCAGCCUUGACAACAUCUGCCACGUAGCAGCAACAAAUCCGUGGAGCGACACGGCUAUAACCUUCAAUGCCAGUGACGAACCUCAAUUCUGAACAACCCGAGCACCAGCUGCUUUGGUCCUUAGUCCAAUUGUGGACGGCUUUCGGCUCACUAAAGUGCUCAUGGACGGCGACAGCGGAUUAAACCUCAUUUAUGAGGAGACCCUUCAAAAAAUGGGAAUAGACAGCAACCGUAUAGAGCAAAGCAGCACGACCUUCCGAGGAAUUAUCCCUAGUCGGGAGGCACAUUGCACUAGGAAAAUCACACUAGAUGUGGUAUUCGUCACUCAGGAGAAUUAUAGGUCCGAAGAAAUCACAUUCCAAGUGGCCCUGUUCAGUAGCGGAUACCGCGCCCUUCUAGGGCGGGAGGCAUUCACGAUUUUCCGAGCCAUACCCCAUUAUGGGUACAUGAAGCUCAAAAUGCCUGGACCCAAUGGAAUCAUCACUCUAGCUAGUGAUCCGGACAUAGCACUCCGUGCCGAGAACAAAACAGUCGCACUAGCCCUCGAGGCAUUAACCGAAGCCCUUGUGGCGGAGGAGUUAACCGCGCUGCGCUCCACAAUGGACAGGGACAACGUGAUACUAGACAAAAGAUCCAAGUCCACCUCCUUUAAACCAGCGGAUGAAAUAGUCAAAUUCCAAGUCCAUCCAACGGAUCACACAAAAACAUCAUCCAUCGGGGCACAGUUAAACCCCGCUGUAGAUGCCGCACUACGGGAGUUUCUGCGCGAGAAUUGGGACAUAUUCACCUGGCAUCCUUCAGACAUGUCAGGAAUCCCAUGCAGAUUGGCCGAGCAUAGUGUUAAUGUUCUAAAACGAUUCAAUCCGGUCAAGCAGACUCUUCGGCGUUUCUCUGAACCUAAGCGACAAGCCAUGGGAGAGGAGCUAGCCAAGCUACUGGAGGCCAGAUUCAUUAGAGAAAUAAAACAUCCGGACUGUCUAGCAAACCUGGUGAUGGUACCAAAGAAGGACAAAUCCUGGCGCCUAUGCGUCGACUUCAAAGACCUUAAUAAGGCUUGCCCAAAGGAUCCCUUCCCCUCCCUCGCAUCGGUCAAAUCAUCGGUGCUACUGCAUGACACAAAUCAUUGUGCUUCCUCGACGCAUACUCCGGUUACCACCAGAUUAAGAUGGCGGAGUCCGAUCAAGCAGCAACGGCAUUUAUCACUCCAUACGACCCCUUCUGUUUUAACACAAUGCCCUUCGGGCUCAAAAACGCUGGCACAACAUAUCAGCGCAUGAUUCAGGCAUGUCCGGAAAAGCAGAUCGGCAAGACAGUGGAGGCAUACGUAGAUGAUGUGGUCAUUAAAACCAGACACGUCGACUCCUUAAUAGAUGACUAGAGGCUCAUGUUCGCCAAUCUCCGAACAUACGACAUUAAGCUCAAUCCGGAAAAAUGCAUUUUUGGCAUACCCGCCGGAAAGCUCCUGGGCUUCAUUGUCUCCAGUAGAGGAAUUCAAGCAAAUCUGGCUAAAAUCCGAGCCAUGUCACAGUUGGCUAUCCCAACCGACCUCAAGCAAAUAUAGAAGUUAACUGGAUGUGUGGCGGCCUUAAGCCGCUUUAUAUCCCGAUUAGGAGAAAAGGCACUCCCCCUUUAUCGCCUUCUUCGGUGCACCGAACACUUCGAGUGGAUGGACGCAGCCACGACUGGACUGGAAGACAUAAAAGCCAUCCUAGCCACUAACCCAAUCUUGGCCGUGCCAAAUGUCGGCGAACCAAUGCUAUUAUAUAUAGCGGCAAUGCACCAAGUUGUAAGUGCAGUGCUCGUCAUCGAACGAGAGACAGAUGGACAUAAAUUCCCGCUUCAAAAGCCGGUAUACUAUGUAUCUACCGUCCUCACUCCAUGCAAAUCACGGUACCCACAUUACCAAAAGAUAGCAUACACGGUAUUCAUGUCAUCCCGGGAAUUACGACACUACUUUCAAGAGUGUUCAAUCACGGUGGCCUCUGAAGUACCACUCAACGACAUAAUAAACAACCGCGAUGCCACGGGCUGGAUUGCCAAAUGGGCGAUCAAGCUCCUCCUGUUCGACAUAACAUACAAACCAUGACGAGCCAUCAAAUCGCAAGUGCUGGCUGAUUUCAUCGCCGAAUGGACAGAAGCCGAACUCCCUAAAGAGUACGGCGCCUACUCCAAUUGUAUAAUGCACUUCGACGACUCUAAAAUGCUGGCUGGUCUGGGGGCUGGCGUCGUCCUGACGUCCACCACCGGAUAUACAGUUCAAUAUGUACUCCGAAUACUAUACACAGACUCCAAUAACGCAGCUGAAUACGAGGCCCUAUUGCACGGUCUCCGGAUGGCAGUUUCGAUGGGCAUUCAACGCUUGGAGGUGCGUGGGGAUUCAAACCUAGCAAUAUCCCAAAUAAAUGGAGACUUCGAUACCAAGGAUCCAAAAAUGGCGGCAUAUCGCAACGCCGUUCUCAAAAUGUCAGCUCGUUUCGAGGGGCUUGAAUUCCACCAUGUGGUCCGGGAAAAUAAUCAGGCGGCGGAUAUCCUCGCCCGUCUCGGCGCUCAGCGCGACCCUGUUCCCACCUAACAUCUUCCUGGAAAAACUGUUUAAGCCGUUCGUGGUAUGGGAAGGGGACACCGGCAAUAAGAGCCCAAACCCGGUCACAACACCGGAUACCGAACACUCUGAUACAAUCGGAGGCUCUGCCAUUGAAAUAACACAUUCAUCCCAUGUAAUAAUGGCUGUCAUCGUUCCCUGGAUAAAGCCAUUCCUGGCCUACCUAACCAGGCAGGAACUACCCGAAGACCAAAAUGAGGCACGCUGCAUAGUGCGGCGAUCUAAAUCCUACAAGGUCCACGCGGGAGAGCUUUAUAAGAAAAGCACUACCGGAGUCCUUCAAAGGUGCAUCUCCGAACAGGAAGGGCGGAAUCUUUUGGCAGAAAUCCAUGCCGGACUCGGCGGCCACCACGCCGCAGCCCGGGCCCUUGUAAGCAAGGCCUUCCGUACAGGUUUUUACUGGCUGACUACCCGGGCAGAUGCGCAACAUCUGGUCCAACAUUGCGUCGGUUGCCAGCUUUUUGCAAACCAAAGCCAUAUGACGCCCACCUCCCUCCAAACAAUCCCCAUCACUUGGCCCUUCACGGUUUAGGGGCUUGAUAUGGUCGGACCCCUUAAAGGGGGGAACCCAUAAGAAGAAAUACUUACUGGUCAUGGUGGAUAAAUUCACCAAAUGGAUAGAAGCCAAACCUGUCAAAACGGCUGAAUCUAGACCGGUGAUAGACUUCAUAUCUGGGGUUGUACACUGUUAUGGCGUCCCCACAAUAUCAUCACUGACAAUGACACGAAAUUUACAGCCAACAAGGUGAAACUCUGGUGCAGCAAUAUGGGCAUCAAGCUUGACUAUGCUUCUAUCUAUCACCCGCAAACUAACAGUCAAGUUGAGCGAGCAAAUGGUCUUAUCAUGAGCGGUAUUAAAGCCAGACUAGUGCGGUCCUUAACGGAACCAACACGCACUGGGUAGAGGAGCUCGACUCCGUACUAUGGGGGCUGGGGACCACGCCGAAUCGCACUACCGGAUACACACCGUUCUUUAUGGUGUACGGCGCAGAGGCGGUUCUGCCUUGCGACAUAAUUCAUGACUCACCUCGAGUGCGCAUGUACGAAGAAAAAGAGGCCAAGCUCGAUAGGCAGGACAGUUUGGACGCCCUAGAGGAGGAGCGCGACAUGGAAAAGGUUCGUUCAGCAUUUUAUCAGCAACAUGCUCAAAGGUAUCACAGCAGAAAAGUACGGGCCAAAAACUAGAACGUUGGCGAACUAGUUCUACGCUUGCCGCAGAAGAAAAAGAACAAGCUCAAGCCCAAAUGGGAAGGUCCCUUCAUUAUUGACCACGUUCUGACCGGUGGAGCGUACCGUCUGCGGGAUGCAUCGGAUAAUCGAAUCGAACCAAACCCAUGGAACGCGGCCAGACACCAAAGAUUCUACGCCUAGCGCCGGACUAUAUGUUCAUCUCCUCACCACCGUCAAUUUUUUUGCAUAUCUGUCUUUUUUCUCUCUUGCUCUUUUUUUCUCAUCCCGGCCCUAAAAGGCUAAACUUGUGUCUUGAUUGCACAAUCACGCCGCUCUUGUCGCGCUCAUUAUACCUGGGGACUUCUUAUACAGAAGCUUGAUAUAAUCAUUUUUCUGGGCUUUAUGUCCCGCACAUGUGUCAUUCUUCCACAUGUACCUUUUUUCGCCAUUAUAUGCAUCGAUAUGACUUAAGUUUUGGCCAACCUGGGUUGCCUGGCUCUUGUAUUUAUGCCCUAUGUUCCCAUUAAUUCAGCUAGGGCAUAAGGGGAGCACCUUUGCGAUUGUUACUGCCGGGUCAGUCGGAUGUGUACCUCAGACUGGGUGAAGCCGAAAGCUAGCGUUCCUAAGGGAAUAUUUGGUCGGCGAACAAAAGAUGACUUUUAUUUUGAAAAAAUGCCCCCAGAUGUUUACAUCCUGCGUUUCUUUUCGCAAUUCGGACAUGCACAUUAGGGCAUGCGUACCCAGGGAAAGGAACCCUUAACGGAACUAUUCUCCCUGGAAGAUGUUUCUUACUACCCAUGUAAUAUAACAUAGCUAGUUGGGUACUUGUCUUUUCAAGCACUUAUGACCCCUACGCCUGGUUUCCAUGCAUACCCCGGUUUUUAUAUAAUCGAGCAGGUAUUCGGAUACACUCCGUACUAUCAGGCCCAGACGUCGAAGCGAAAAGGUGCGCCAUGACAAAUGAUUUACAAUCCGGCUAGGGACAUUACAUAUGUCACUUGAAGUACAGAGCCUCUAAGACUGAUUCAACUCUUCUUCUAUACCAUCCAACAGGCUGUCUAGCCUACAAUCGUGUUGCGAAUACUUUGCGGCUAAUUCUACUUGAUCAUAUACUAAGCUGACAGGGAUCUCCUUCCCAUCAGGCCCCAUAGGUCCGACCUCGGCCAUGUGGUUUGGGUCCGCUUUGGUGUAUCGCGUCUUCACCAUAGCCCAAGCUUCCCUCGCACCUUGUCGGCAAGCUGAUAUCUUCCAUAAUUGGAAGCGCCGCCGUGCUCCCUUGAGCUUCUCUACAAGCUCUCCCAUGCCAAACGGUAGGGAUGCUGAUGGCCACAAGGCUUCGGAAAUACCCUGCAUCACCUGCCGAACUUGCUCGUGCAGUUGUGAGAGCUCUGGUAGAAGAUCAGCCGAAGACCCGGGCAUCUCUUCUGUGGGACGACCCAUCAGCAUAUCUGCAGACACAACUCUGUUAGUCGGCUUCGUCGCCGAACUCCUUUAAAAGUAUGUUCAAGCACUUACUAAAAAUGUCGCGCCGAAGCCGCUUAUUCUCCUUUAUGGAGUCCGCCAGCUGGGCCCAGACAUCUUUCAAUUCCUCGCCCAACCGGGUAUUGGCGUCUUGGAGAUUGUUUUUCUCCUGCCUAAAUCACAUAAGCACGCACUCACCAGUAUUUAGUUGUCUAUCAGCACGUACUGCAUUCACCACUACGGCCUCCGGACUCACUCCGGGGUCACCUGCAACAUCUAUUGUUAGAUUUGCAUACAUGCCGCAUACUACCUGGUACCUAUCUUCUUUGCAAGGGAAAAAUGUGUUACCAGAGGGACCCUUCUCGGACUCCCUCAACGCGGUAACAGCAGCCCCUAGCUGGGCCUUGCACUCUUCCAGCUCUUGAGACAAUUGCGAAUUCUUCUCCAUAAGAACUACUCAAAUAAAUGAUCCUUAAAUCAGUUGUGUCAACUGUUUCAAGUCUCAGGGGCUACUAAUACAUAUAAUCGUCAGAUUUACUUACCUGUAUAUCCCUUACAUACUGAUCUGUGGCUCUAGCUAGACCAUUUUGAGAAGCACGGAUGUACGCAUCUCCGGAAUUGAAGGCAUCAAAUGCCUCUGGUGAGAAACAAGCGUCACGGAGUACGGCCCGGCGACGCCUGUGAUUCAUGGCGCUCUCCACUUCGGAAUUCGUAGCAGAUAGUCUGUCUGCAUCCUCUGUAGGAGGAACAUCCGACGUCUGCCCCGCAUUAGCUUCCGCCUCUAUGUCCAGCCCUGGAGCCCGAUUGGUCGAGGCGUGAUCGACAGCCUCUCCGGAUAUAGUCCGGCGAGCAUUUUUUCUAGGAAACACGGAUGUCGUUAUAUUUUAAGCAAGAUGACAACCACGAAAUGAGGUUUUGUGUUAUACCCCAGUGUUGGUGUCUCCGUCCUGACCGCCUUCCUUUUUGCCUACCCGGCUUCGGUGCCUCUUGUUGGCGAGUUGUCAUAGGUUCGGCAUGGCGUCCCGAAGGCCUUCCCUGUAAGACACCAUACGUGUUCGGUAGGUGAGGUGCAUAAAAGGGGAUCCUUUUUGGGAGUUGGGAAUUGGGUUUUUCUAACGUGCGAUGCAGGGAGUAGUCCCGGAUAGUCGACCAUUAUUGCCACCAUGGCAUCAUCGCAGCUCAAUUGAUAGAAUUGCAUGUCUAUCAGCUCCACGAAUAUGUCCGGAUCCUCCUUGAGUCCGGGAUCGAGGGCCCGGCCAGGGUCCUCAGGUUGUGGAGCUGGGUUGUUGACCUCCUUUUAUCGCUUUUUGCAGUUCCUGCCAUGAAAUGGCAAGGUGAGUACCUAUGAUGAAGAGUGCGGGAAGAUUGAGAGCGAAAAGGGUACAACUCACCCACCUUGGAGGGUUGUACAUGGAGAAUCCGUCCCGUGGUUUAAUGUGGAUGAACUCCUCUUCCUCUCCCUUGAACAACUCGGACAGAACUUUUGCUAAAGCAGCAGGUGAGUCCGGUCCCUUGCGCCCGCAACGGGUGGCAUCGUCUUCCCCGUUAAAACACCACAGGGGGUUCCCUCAAUAUUGAAGUGGUUGCACCCCCCGCAUUAUGCAUAUUGACAUAACCUCGAUUAUUGUCAACCCUGAUUGAGCCAGUGCUUUUAUCCGGUUCAUCAGAUAAAGGACUUCUCUGGUAUCUUCCUCCUGGGGGCUCUGUGGGCGCCAACUUUAGCGUUUCUUUAGAGGAGCAUUGUCGAACUCAGGAAGACCCCGCCGAACAGGGUCUGGAAGAGGGACGUCCUCCAUGUAAAACCACUCCGAAGGCCUGUCUUCGGACGUCUUCUUUGGAGUACCGAACGGAUAUCCGGUCUCGGCGAUGCGCAAUAUUUAGGCUUCGCCCACUUGAUAAAGUGACCCCUUCUGUGUGUGGGGCACAAGGCAGAAUAGCCUUUUCCACAGCUCGAAAUGAGCAUCGCAGCCCAAAACAACUCGCAAAUGGCAACAUAGCCGGCGGUGUGUAAUAUGGAAGCAGGGGUGAAAUUAUGCAACUGGAGGCCGUAAAACCCCAGGAGUCUGCGGAGGAACGGAUGAAUUGGAAAUCCAAGUCCCCUUAGUAAGUAAGGGACAAGGCAUACCCGCUCCCCCAUGGAGGGAUUGGGGAAGCUCUCUGCUUGCUCCCCGCCAUUAUAAGUGGCGAGCCCGGCUCAGACGAGGACCAUAUACAUCGGAAGGAGAAAUCCUAGGGUCUGCAACUGUACUAAUCGGCCGUGCGGGACGGAACACUUCUCCCAAUCGCCGGGCUUCGGGCUACGGGAGCGAGAGGAGGAGCUGCGGUGGCUGGCCAUGAUGGAAUGGAUUUUUUCGAGCGUGCUCCAGUGGAUUCUCACUGUGGGAAGAUGGUGUGGAUUGGAUCUAAGAAUCCCCAUCCCUUUAAUAGACGAUUUAUUUACUUGGCUAGGUGGGUGAAUGUAAAAACACCCUGGCUCCUCGCAUUCACUCAACAUGUGGAAGAUAGCCCUUAUUGGGCGCAGAAGCCAAGAAGUCCAACAUUUAUGGGAGCCGGACACUACUUAACAAAUAUUCAAGAUUUGGAGAAGAACCCGCCUUGCAAUGCCGAACACAAUACUGCACGCUAGACUCAACGUCAUUGAAGCCUGGUUCGGGGGCUACUGAGGGAGUCCUGGAUUAGGCGGUCUCCGGACAGUCGAACUAUAUCCUUUGGCCGGACUGUUGGACUAUGAAGAUACAAGAUUGAAGACUUCGUCCCGUGUCCGGAUGGGACUCUACUUGGUGUGGAAGGCAAGCUAGGCUAUACAGAUAUGUAUAUCUCCUCCCUUGUAACCGACCUUGUGUAACCUUAGCCCCCUCCAGUGUCCAUAGGAAAACAUACAAUCAUAUCAUAGGCUAGCUUCUAGGGUUUAGCCUCUAGGAACUCAUGGUAGAUCAACUCUUGUAAUACUCAUAUCAUCAAGAACAAUCAAGCAGGCCGUAGGGUAUUACCUCCAUCAAGAGGGCCCGAACCUGGGAAAACAUCGUGUCCCCUACCUCCUGUUACCAUCCGCCUUAGACGCACAGUUCGGGACCCCCUACCCGAGAUCCGCCAGUUUUGACACCAACACUUGGCGUCUUCGGGGCUCGCCCGGGAGGCAGGACUGGAGAUCAUUGGUAAUCGCAGCACUGCCCCUCCCGGAGGUCUUGGGGCUAAUGUCAAUGAGAGGUGCGCCUUCCUGCCCGCCAAGGUGGGGAGCAGAGUGCCUCGAGCCCCCUGGUCGUCUUGGUCGCUCGCCGUCUCUCCAGGGAAGGUGUUGGGUUCGAGUCUUAGUGCUUCUCGGGAGCAACGGUGGUGAGGAGUCCGGGAUCGAGGGCCCAGCCAGGGUCCUCAGGUUGUGGAGAUGGGUUGUUGACCUCCUUUUAUCGCUUUUUGCAGUUCCUGCCAUGAAAUGGCAAGGUGAGUACCUACGAUGAAGAGUGCGGGAAGGUUGAGAGCGAAAAGGGUACAACUCACCCACCUUGGAGGGUUGUACAUGGAGAAUCCGUCCCGUGGUUUAAUGUGGAUGAACUCCUCUUCCUCUCCCUUGAACAACUCGGACAGAACUUUUGCUAAAGCAGCAGGUGAGUCCAGUCCCUUGCGCCCGCAACGGGUGGCAUCGUCUUCCCCGUUAAAACACCACAGGGGGUUCCCUCAAUAUUGAAGUGGUUGCACCCCCCGCAUUAUGCAUAUUGACAUAACCUCGAUUAUUGUCAACCCUGAUUGAGCCAGUGCUUUUAUCCGGUUCAUCAGAUAAAGGACUUCUCUGGUAUCUUCCUCCUGGGGGCUCCGUGGGUGCCAACUUUAGCGUUUCUUUAGAGGAGCAUUGUCGACCUCAGGAAGACCCCGCCGAACAGGGUCUGGAAGAGGGACGUCCUCCAUGUAAAACAACUCCGAAGGCCUGUCUUCGGACGUCUUCUUUGGAGUACCGGACGGAUAUCCGGUCUCGGCGAUGCGCAAUAUUUCGGCUCCGCCCACUUGAUAAAGUGACCCCUUCUGUGUGUGGGGCACAAGGCAGAAUAGCCUUUUCCACAGCUCGAAAUGAGCAUCGCAGCCCAAAACAACUCGCAAAUGGCAACAUAGCCGGCGGUGUGUAAUAUGGAAGCAGGGGUGAAAUUAUGCAACUGGAGGCCGUAAAACCCCAGGAGUCUACGGAGGAACGGAUGAAUUGGAAAUCCAAGUCCCCUUAGUAAGUAAGGGACAAGGCAUACCCGCUCCCCCAUGGAGGGAUUGGGGAAGCUCUCUGCUUGCUCCCCGCCAUUAUAAGUGGCGAGCCCGGCUCAGACGAGGACCAUAUACAUCGGAGGGAGAAAUCCCAGGGUCUGCAACUGUACUAAUCGGCCGUGCGGGACGGAACACUUCUCCCAAUCGCCGGGCUUCGGGCUACGGGAGCGAGAGGAGGAGCUGCGGUGGCUGGCCAUGAUGGAAUGGAUUUUUUCGAGCGUGCUCCAGUGGAUUCUCACUAUGGGAAGAUGGUGUGGAUUGGAUCUAAGAAUCCCCAUCCCUUUAAUAGACGAUUUAUUUACUUGGCUAGGUGGGUGAAUGUAAAAACACCCUGGCUCCUCGCAUUCACUCAACAUGUGGAAGAUAGCCCUUAUUGGGCGCAGAAGCCAAGAAGUCCAACAUUUAUGGGAGCCGGACACUACUUAACAAAUAUUCAAGAUUUGGACAAGAACCCGCCUUGCAAUGCCGAACACAAUACUGCACGCUAGACUCAACGUCAUUGAAGCCUGGUUCGGGGGCUACUGAGGGAGUCCUGGAUUAGGGGGUCUCCGGACAGUCGAACUAUAUCCUUUGGCCGGACUGUUGGAGUAUGAAGAUACAAGAUUGAAGACUUCGUCCCGUGUCCGGAUGGGACUCUACUUGGUGUGGAAGGCAAGCUAGGCUAUACAGAUAUGUAUAUCUCCUCCCUUGUAACCGACCUUGUGUAACCUUAGCCCCCUCCAGUGUCCAUAGGAAAACAUACAAUCAUAUCAUAGGCUAGCUUCUAGGGUUUAGCCUCUAGGAACUCAUGGUAGAUCAACUCUUGUAAUACUCAUAUCAUCAAGAACAAUCAAGCAGGACGUAGGGUAUUACCUCCAUCAAGAGGGCCCGAACCUGGGAAAACAUCGUGUCCCCUACCUCCUGUUACCAUCCGCCUUAGACGCACAGUUCGGGACCCCCUACCCGAGAUCCGCCAGUUUUGACACCAACACUUGGCGUCUUCGGGGCUCGCCCGGGAGGCAGGACUGGAGAUCAUUGGUAAUCGCAGCACUGCCCCUCCCGGAGGUCUUGGGGCUAAUGUCAAUGAGAGGUGCGCCCUCCUGCCCGCCAAGGUGGGGAGCAGAGUGCCUCGAGCCCCCUGGUCGUCUUGGUCGCUCGCCGUCUCUCUAGGGAAGGUGCUGGGUUCGAGUCUUAGUGCUUCUCGGGAGCAACGGUGGUGAGGGGAAAACGAGGGAAGACGGAGAAGGCGGGUGGCAGGGGGUCAAGUCGGAGUACAAUGGCGUGGAUGCCCUCGCCUCCAACUAGUGACCUGCCGCCUCGUCUUUCCACCUUUCCCUUCCCUCCCCGGCACCAUCAUCACCAGCCUCCUAGGGUGAUGGCCGGGGAGGGAUGUUCCCUGGGUGCCUUUGCCUCCCCUCCAGUAGUCUUCCAGCUGAGCUUUGGUGGAUGACCCAACCGGGGCUCAAGCUGGGGCUUCGUGCUGGUCCUGAAGGUGGCGACCAGGGGAAUGUCACUAUGCUCCUGCACUCCUCCUUCGCAGCCUUGCCACUCCCGGUCUUGUCAGGCGGCGCCGGGUGGGUCGCGAUGGGACCGUGAUGGGCUCCUGCUUUGGUGCCCUUUUCUUGUCUUUUCCUCCUUCUACCAUAGUGCGUGCUGGAGGGAAAACGAAAAGAGGGGAUUAUGGGGCACUUAUCUUUUUUCAAUCUUAAAUCUGUAGGGACUUGCCAAAUUUUAAUUCAAAUAAUGUAAUCUCUCGAGUCCAUAUUUGUGUUCUGUAAUGCUUGUACUUGUAUUACCAGCGUAUUAAUGAAAAAAUGGGAUGCCUUCUAUAUAAAGGUGGGAACCCAUGCAUGUAUAUGUCCAUGCAAUGGUGAGAUGGCCCCUUCGUGUAAAUAAUAGAGUUUCCCCCGUAGGCUAUCUUGCCGACACCCUUUUGCUUGUCGGAGAACUAUGUCUAUAGGGCGAAAACAAAGGGACCAACCCCCCGCCAACUUCCUUUUACCAAAGGCCACUGCGACCAUUCUGACCGAAGCAACAUUCAGUCAAGGAUAGGAGCACCUAAGUUUCAAUAGAGUGGUGAGGUUUUCUCACGCACAAGUUAUAGUUUACAGAACACUAAUGGAGGAGAGGUAGAACCUAUCUUUUUGGCUUGCCAGGGAUUGCAGUGCCGGGCAAUCUUCUCAACUCCUUAUUGAAGCCAAGUUCACGGCAGGAACCUGCAACUUUAUGCAGAUUAGAAUGAUGCAAGAUGCGAUCCUAUCUAUAUGCAUAUGCAAAUGCUCAUGACAUCCUUAUGAAGUGCUCUUGGAAUGCUCAUGCAUGCAUGCAACUUUGUCGAGGGCCACCCGGUGCUUCUUUUAUUUUCUCUAGCACAGGUUCAUUGCCCUGGCUUUGUACAAGGGGUUACAUGCAGCUGAGGAAGGCCUGUACAAAAUGGUGGCUACCAGGCAGGGCCCGACAGCUGCGCCUUACGGGUAGAACUUGCGGAGAUGCUCAAUAUUCUAUGAGUUUUGCAAUUGAAUUCCAACUCCGAUGUCCAGACGGACUGCGCCAGGUCUUGUGACUCGUACUACCCGGUAAGGGCCUUCGCACUUUGGCGUUAACUUGUUUGUACCCUUGGAGUACUGAACGCGCCUAAGGACAAGGCCGCCUUCCUCUAAACACCGGGCAUGAACUGUGUGGCUAUGAUAGUGAUGUAGGGCUUGCCGAUAGCAUGCAACACGUGUAGUAGCCCAGAGACGGUUCUCCUCGAGUAGCACAACGUCGUCACGCCAGUGCUGAUCUUGUGCUACUUCAUCCUAGGCAAGCACUCAAGGCGACCCGUAAAUGAGUUCCGUGGGAUAACUGCUUCUGCCAUGUAGACCAGGGAGAAGGGAGUCUGCCCGGUAGCUCGAUUUGGUUUCGUUUUGAGGUACCAGAGAACUACCGGCAGCUCAUCGAUCCACCGCCUGCCAUGCUUGUGCAGCGUAUCAAAGGUUCUUGUCUCUAAGUCCUCGCAACACUUCAGCGUUCGCCCUCUCAGCUUGUCCAUUGCUUCUGGGGUGUGCAACAGAGGCAAAUGAGAUCUUGCAUCCGAGGGCAUGAACAUAUUGCAUGAAGGCGCGGCUCGUGAACUGUGUCCCAUUGUCGGUAAUGAUCCUUGCCGGGUCUCCAAAACGGCACACCAAUUCUUUCAAGAACUUGAUAGCUGACUGAGAAGUCACCUUUCUCAUGGCAGUCAUUUCCGGCCACUUUGUAAACUUGUCGAUAGCAACAAACAAGAAUUCAAAGCCCCUGAUUGCUCGGGGGAAGGUGCCAAGGAUCUUGAGCCUUCAACCAAAAAUGGCCAUGAUAAAGGGAUCGUCUAAAGAGCUUUGGCAGGCAGGUGGAUGUUCUUAGAAUGGAACUGGCAGGCUUCACAUUUGGUGACUAGCUCGACCGCACCUUGGAGGGUUGUGGGCCAAUAGAAUCCUUGCCGGAAUGCUUUCCCAACUAAUGCCCUCGAUCCAAUGUGGGAGAUGCACAUGCCUUUGUGUAUCUCAGCCAGCAGUUCAUUUCCUUCUUCUCGGUAGAUGCACUUCAAUUUCACACUGUUGGGCCUCCUUCUAUACAGAGUGUCAUUGGCAAACUGAUACACACUAGCCUUCCGGGCUACACUUUCAGCCUCAUCUUGGUCACCGGGAAGCUCUUUGGUUUUGAGGAAGUGGACUAUGUGCCCAGGUUGGAGCCUGCGGCUGGGCAACGAGGACUAGAGGCACUUCCUCUACUACGGGGGCACAUUCCUUGUCCGCGGGGACCAUGGGCCCGGCUAGAGGGUCCGGUCCGGCAAGUGGCGAGGAGUUGUUUCCGGGAGGGUCUCUUCCAGGAGCGAACGGCUUUACCGGGAGAGGCUUACCAGAAUCCAACUUUCUCCUUUUCUGGGCCAUUGUUACUGGGGAUACGGAGGGCUGAGUAAGAUGGAGAACAAAAGUCCCUGGUUCCACAGGAAGCUUCUGCGCAUCACACUUUCAUAGAUGAUCAGCUAUGAUGUUUCCCGCACGGGGUACGUGCUCUAUUUAUAAUACAUCAAGCGCUCCUCUAAUCUCCUCACUUCCUCAAUGUAUGCCUCCAUCAAUGGGCUUUGGUAAUCCUUAUUAACCUGUCUCAUGACAAGUUGUGAAUCUCCUCGAAUGAUCAGCUUCUUAAUUCCCAAUACUGCAGCAAUCUUGAGCCCUGCAAGGAGCCCUUCAUACUCCGUUGUAUUGUUGGUUGCCUCUUCCCAGGAAAAAUGCAUCUGGAUGAUGUACUUCAAGUGCUACCCAGAUGGGGCAACAAGAAGCACGCUAGCCCCUGCACCUUGUAGAGAAAAGGCACCAUUGAAAUACAUAAUCCAUUCUUGCAGGGAUUUCUUGUCGAGGAUAACUGUCUCUGGUACCUCCUCAUCAGGGGUUGGUGUCCAUUCCGCAAUAAACUCUGCCAAUGCCCUGCUUUGGAUAGUUGAUGCACUCUCAAACUUCAAACCAAAGCUGGAUAACUCCAAAGCCCACUCCACUAUUCUGUUGGUAGCCUCAAGGUUUCGAAGUAUCCUUUGCAACGGGAAACGAGUGACAACCAUGAUCUCAUAGGCUUGGAAGUAGUGGCGCAGUUUCCUUAACACCAUGAUAAGACCAAAGAUCAAGCGCUCAGUCUAGCCCCAUGUAACAAGGAGCUGACGAAGUACACUGGUUGAUGCACCACUUUCUUCCUUGCCGUGUCCUUGGGGUUCCUCUUGCUGUCGUGCUCAUUACUGUCAUGAUCCUUCUCUUGCUCUAUCGGUCGUUGCUCACUCUCUGCCUCAUCCACUUCCCGCUGCACCACCAAGACUGCACUAACCACUUGGUUGGUUGCCGCUAAGUACAGCAGCAACGGCUCUUGUGGUUUAGGAGCAACCAGGGGAGGCACAGAGGACAAGUAGGUCUUCAACUCUUGCAAAGCUGCAUCUGCUUUUGGGGUCCACUUCAUGGGCCCUGCCUUCUUCAAAAUUUUGAAGAACGGCAGGGCGCGCUCGGCAGACUUGGAGAUGAAUAUGCUUAGCACGGAACACAUCCUAUCAGAUGCCUCACAUCCUUAACUAUCCUUGGCGCCUGGAUCUGCUUGAUAGCUUUAAUCUUGUCGGGGUUGGUUUCGACCACACGAUGGGACAGAAAGAACCCAAGCAGCUUGCCGGAGGGAACACCAAACACACACUUCUCUGGGUUGAGCUUCAAGUUGAUCUUGCGUAGAUUAGCAAAUGUCUCCUCCAAAUCCAGAAUAAGGGUGGCUCUAUCCUUGGUAUUGUUGACACUAUCAUACAUAGAAGAUUCACUAUUUCUGUGCAGCCAUGGUUCGAAACCAAUCUGGAUUGCCGUUGCAAAAGUGGACCCAGCACUUUUCAAUCUAAAUGGCAUGCGGACAAAAUCGUACAUACCACAUGGAGUGAUGAACGAUGUCUUCUCUUCGUCUUCCUUGGACCUGAAGAUUUGGUGAUACCCAGAAUAUGCAUCCAGAAACAAGAGAAAAUCACAGCCUAAAGUGGAAUUGACAAUCUGAUCGAUACAUGGCAAGGGGAAUGGGUCCUUCGGGCAGGCUUUGUUGAGAUGUGUGACAUCUAUGCAAAGCCUCCACUUCCUGUUAGCCUUCCGUACUACCAUUGGAUUUGCCAACCACGUGGGGUGUAGCACUCCUCUGACCAAACUAGCUGCUUCAAGUUUCUUGAUCUCUUCCGCAAUGAACUGCAGCCUCGCUAAGGCCUGCUUCCGGACUUUCGGGUUGAAGGUCGGGCGUGUGGGCAGACAUCAAGGUGGUGCUCGAUUACCUCCCUGGGAACACCGCGGAUAUCCGAUGGUUGCCAAGUAAACACAUUGAUAUUCGCCCGUGGCAAGGAAAUGAGCGAGCUUUCCUAUUUGUCAUCAAGGGUGGCACUGAUAGUGAAAAUACCAUCAACACCAGCCAGCCCUGUCGGGACCUUUUUCACUUGGGGUGCAGCGACCUUGGAACUCUUGUUGUUGGAGCUCUCCAACAAGUCAUCAAUAGACGCAGUGCACUUUGAAGAGGUACAGUUCCUGGAUUCCUUGCCAACAUCCUUGCUACCCUUCUUCUUUCUCUAUCCUCCUUGGCAAGAACUACUACUAUUGCUGCCUCUGUCGUGUCUACGUCCUAGUACAUCUUGUCCACACAAAUGAUAGCAUCGUUCUUAUCUGAUGGGUUGGUAAUUACUCCCACAGACCCAGGUAUUUUCAAGGUGUUAAAGGCAUAGUGGGAUGCUACCAUGAAUUUAGCUAGGGUUGGGCGUCCAAGAAUCCCAUUGUAUGGCAGGGGGAGAUCAACCACAUCAAACACAAUCUUCUCAGUCCGGUAAUUCAGCUCUCCUCCAAACAUCACCAGCAACGUGAUCUUUCCCUUAGGAUGACUCCUGCCGGGAUUAACUCCUUCAAACCUACCGGUGGUCUUCAACUCAUCUUCCGCUAUCUGAAGUUUGUUGAUGACUGUCGAGGAAAUUAGAUUCAACCCGGCCCCGCUGUCCACCAACAUUUUUGUGACCGUGAGGUUGCGAAUUGUUGGAGAGACCAACAAUGGCAAACAUCCUACCGCAGUACUACGGUUAGAAUGAUCCUCUUGGUAAAAGAUGAUGGGCGUGCAUGAACACUUGAGCGGCUUCUGGGCCUCUGGCGCUGCUUCCAUGGCAUUGACUUAUCAUGCCAAUCGCUUGAGCUGGUGUUGAGAGGUGUGCAAAGAUGCACCCCCAUCAAUGGACAGGGCGCAGUGGCCUUUUGACACUCCUGCUCACUGGUUUCCUCUUCAUCCUCCCAUCACUCUCAUCAUCACAGUUUUCCUUCUCUCGACCUCUUGAAGGUUUUCCUUGGAUCCUAAAGGGUUUGCUGGGGCGAUUUACUUCACCGCCUCGGCCCUUGACGCCAGCGGCAUUCUGACCCUUUUCCUUGUCGCGCUUCUCGUACUCUGCUCUUUGUCUCUUAAACAGCUGCUCAACCUGAUAACAGUCUUGAAGGUCGUGGCCUUUGGUCCAAUGAAUCUUGCAAUACGGCCCAUCACCUUUCCCAGCCUUCUCGGCAGACACGACCUACCGGCAACCAGCGCACUCGGCAACUUUGCAAUACCCACAAUGCGGCUAUAUCUCCCACGUGUCAGGGUACAACUUAGAGGCAUAGCCACAUGGUAGGCCUGUUGCAAGAGGGGUAAUCUUCACACAUCUCAUGUACUAAAUAAGAAAGGGAUAAAGAGUUGGCUUACAAUCGCCACUUCACACAAAAAACAAGUUAUAUGGACAUCAUCCAGAGUACAAUCAAGGUCCGACUAUGGAACCAAAAUAAAAGAAGACACCCCAAAAGCAAGAUCCCCGAUCGUCCCAACUGGGCUCCACUACUGAUCAACAGGAAACGAAACAACACAACGAACAAGAUCUUCCUCGAGCUCCCACUUGAGCUUGGUUGCGUCAUCUGCACUGGUAUCAUCGGUGCUUGCAACUGUUUGGAAGUAUCUGUGAGUCAUGAGGACUCAACAAUCUCACACCCGCGAGAUCAAGACUAUUUAAGCUUAUGGGUAGGAUAGGGUAAUGAGGUGGAGCUGCAGCAAGCACUAAGCAUAUAUGGUGGCUAAACAUACGCAAAUAAGAACGAGAAGAGAAGCAACGAAAUGGCCGAGAAGCUAGAAGUGAUCAAGAAAUGAUCCUGAAACUACUUAUGCACAAAAAUAACACAAGAACCGUGUUCACUUUCCGGACUCCGCCGGAAAGAGACCAUCACGGCUACACACACAAUUGAUGCAUUUCAAUUAAGUUAAGUGUCAAGUUCUCUACAACCAGACAUUAACAAAUUCCCAUCUGCCACAUAACCGCGAGCAUGGUUUUAAAAAAUUUAUACCCUGCAAGGGUGUCCCAACUUAGCCCAUCACAAGCUCUCACGGUCAACGAAUGAUAUUCCUUCACCCGGGAAGACCCGAUCAGUAUCGGAAUCCCGGUUACAAGUCAUUUCGACAAUGGUAAAACAAGACCAGCAAGACCGCCCGAUGUGCCGACAUCACGAUAGGAGAUCCGCAUAUCUCAUUCUCAGGGCAACACCGGAUGAACACUACGUACAGCUAAAACCAGCCCUCAAAUUUCCCCAAGGUGGCACUGCAAGUGGAUCUGGUCCGGACCAACACUUAGAGAAGUACUGGCCCGGGGGGUUAAGAUAAAGAUGACCUUCGAGAGCGCGACUCCCAAGGGAAAAGUAUAGGUGGUGGUGAGGCAAAUGGUAAAACCAAGGUUGGGCCUUACUGGAGGAGUUUCAUUCAAAGCGAACUGUGAAGGGGUUCCCAUAACACCCAACCGUGUAAGGAAUGCAAAAUCAAGGAACCUAACACCGGUAUGACGGAAACUAGGGCGGCAAGAGUGGAAUAAAACACCAGGCAUCAGGCCAAGCCUUCCACCCUUUACCAAGUAUAUAGGUGCAUUAAAGUAAAUAAUAUAUAAUAAUGAUAUCCCAACAAUAUCCAUGUUCCAACAUGGAACAAGCUUCAUCUUCACCUGCAACUAGCAACACUAUAAGAGGGGCCGAGCAAAAGCGGUAACAUAGCCAAACAACGGUUUGCUAGGAAAGGUGGGUUAGAGGCUUGACAUGGCAAUAUGGGAGGCAUGACAUAACAAGUGGUAGGUAGCACGACGUAGGGAUAGAGCAAACAACUAGCAAGCAAAGAUAGAAGUGAUUUUGAGGGUAUGGUCAUCUUGCAUGAGAUCCCACAAGGAAGAAGAACGAGUUCAUGAAGAAGGAAAACGAGCGUAGUCGAACGAAUCCUCACAACUCCGGAACGGAACCGAAGCUAACGAGAGAAGCAACCCGAAAAGAAGCAAGCAACAUGUAACACCCUCGAUGCGACUAUAGCUCCCACGUGUCGAGGCACGACUUAGAGACAUAAUCACAUUGAAGGCAUAUGUCGCAAGUUAGGCAAUCUUCACAAACAUCCCAUGUAAUAUAAUAAUAAAAGGGGAGAUAAUGUAGUUGGCUUACACUCGCCACGUCAAUAAAGUACAUAAAUAACAUUACAUCAUCCAAACACUCAUGGCCCGACUACGGCGCCAAAAUAAAAGAUAACCCAACAAGCGACACGGUCCCAAUCACCCCCAACUGGGCACCACUACUGAUCAUCGGGAAAGGAAACAUAGUAACGUUGAGAGUCUUCGUCGAACUCCCACUUGAGCUCAUACGCUUCUCUUGGAGUGGAAUCAUCAGGCCCUGCAUCUGCUGUAAUAGUAAUCUGUGAGCCACAGGGACUCAGCAAUCUCGCACCCUCGCGAUCAAGACUAUUUAAUAUUGUAGGUAAGGAAAGGUAAAAUAUAGGUGGAGCUGCAGCAAGUGACUAGCAAGUAUGGUGGCUAACUUAUCCGAAAAAGAGAGCGAGAAGAGGAGGCAAAGCGCGAGCGAGAAACUAGAGAGCAACCUGCGCAAACAUUACUCCAACACCGUGUCCACUUCCCGGACUCCGCCAAGAAGAGGCCAUCACGGUAACACACUCAGUUGAUUCAUUUUAAUUAAGUUAAGGUUCAAGUUAUCUACAACUGGACAUUAACAAAUUCCCAUCUGCCCAUAACCGCGGGCACGGCUUUCGAAAGUUCAAUCCCUGCAAGGGAGUCCCAACUUAGCCCAUGACAAGCUCUCACGGUCAACGAAGGAAUAGACCUCCUCCCAAGAUGUUCCGAUCAGACUCGGUAUCUUGGUAAUUCAAGACACUUCGAGAGGUUAAAACAAGACCAGCAACACCGCCCGAAUAUGCCGACAAAUCCCGAUAGGAGCUGCACAUAUCUCGUUUUCAGGGCACAAUCAGAUGAGCUGUCCAUACAACUAAAACCAAACCUCGAGUUUCCUCGAGGGGGCGCUGCACAAGACUCUAGUUUGGACCAACACUCAGAGGAACACUGGCCCGGGGGGGUUAAAAUAAUGAUGACCCUUGAGUCUGCAGAACCCAAGGGAAAGAAAAGGCUAGGUGGCAAAUGGUAAAACCAAGGUUGGGCAUUGCUAGAAAAGCUUUAAUCAAGGCGAACUAUCAAGGGGUUCCCAUUAUAACCCAACCGCGUAAGGAACGCAAAAUCCGGGAACAUAACACCGAUAUGACGGGAACUAGGGCGGCAAGAAUGGAACAAAACACUAGGCGAGAGGUCGAGCCUUCCACCCUUUACCAAGUAUAUAGAUGCAUUAAGGUAGCAAGAUAACAUAAUGAUAUCCCAACAAGUAAAUAAAGGUUCCAACAAGGAACGGGCUCCAAUCUUCACCUGCAACUAGCAAUGCUAUAAGAGGGGCUGAGCAAAGCGGUAACAUAGCCAAUCAACGGUUUGCUAGGACAAGGUGGGUUAGAGGUUUGACAUGGCAAUUUGGGAGGCUUGCAAGCAAGUGGUAGUCAUCAUAGCAUUGGCAUAGCGAAAGAGCGAGCAAACUAGCAUAGCAAAGAUAGUAGUGAUUUCGAGGGUAUGAUCAUCUUGCCUGCACAGUUGUCAGAGUUGACUGGAUCCUCAAAAGCAAACUCAACGGGCUCCUCGUUAGCGAACUCGUCUCUCGGCUCUACCAAAACAAGACAAACAAGCAACAAGGAUACAAUCAACCACGUGCAAACUCAAACAACACGAUGCAAGGAUGAUAUGCUAUGCGGGAUGCGAUGCGGGAUGCAAAAUGCAAGAUAUGACAGGAAAUGCAUGAACCUGGACUCAACUUGGAAAACCAAGUGUGCCACUGGAAAGAUGAGAUGAAAUCGCUUGAAAACGAUAUAAAGAACGCCGGAAUCGGAGUUACAGUUUGGAAAUGGCAAGCGAUUCAAAAAUGACACCGGUCUGCGAUUUACAGCAAGUAGGCAUCUAAAUGCAAUGAGAUGAACAAGCUACAACACCCAAACAUGACAAAAAAAUACAUGGCAGGGAUGCACACAAGAUUCUUAACAAAAGUCUAGCACUGAGCUACGGCCAAUUCAUCCAUUAACAGGUUCAAACAAGCAUGGCAAAAAUGCAAAUGACAAACAGAUUUCAGACUUUGUGAAAUUAACACUUGUCUGGAAUUUCAGAUUAGGUAGCCCUCUUCGGAGCAACAAAACUAAAUGCUACAGGACCUGAUCAUGGAAAAGUAAAGCAUGGCAUGGAGCUACUCAAAGAGCUUAACAAAAGUCCCUUAGUGACCUUGAGCCAAAAAGGACCAGAAAAUACAAUUGCAAGCAUGUGAACAUAGCAAAAACAUAAUCAGUUUUCAGACUUAGUGAAAAACUAACACAUGCUGAAAUAUAACUCAAGUAGGCAUGUUUACGAGCUCGAUGCACUCACUACGGUGCAAGUCAUGGCAAGACAAGCAUACACCUAUAGAGAAGGCACAAAAUUCAAACUAGACAUGGCAAUAACAAUAGCAUAGCAUGCACGGAUCAACUACAACAUCACUGGCAAAAUUGCAAACAAGUUGACAAUCUCAGAUUCACAAAGUAGCAAAAGUAGAGCUCGAUUGACUCAAGCUAGGCUGCUCCAUAAUUGCAAACAAAGGCAUGGAUGGAUAGAGCACUACAAGAUUAACAAAACAUCCUUACUGAUCAUCCUCAAAAGAGUCACGGAUCACUAGGAAACAACAUGAACAUAUGGCAUCAUGAGAUAAACAGCUCUAGGACUGUGAAAUUACUGUCCCUGAAAACAGAAUUAGCAAGUGCACCACUUUGCAAGCUUGCACAAGUCACCACACACAUCCUAAAAAUACAUGGGUUGCACCUCUGGAAAGAUGACAAAACCCUUAACAAAACAUACGUAGAGCACACGGGCAUAGCAUGCACACAUUAAUCAUGGCAAAAAUGAAAAAAGUGCUAAACGGAGUAGCAGAUCUAACAAUUAACUCAAGUUGCCCUCUUCUAACAGCAUUUCGGGCAUCAAGAUGAACUCAAAAGAAAAUGAUGAAAUGGAAUGAAAUGAUGUGCUCUCUGAGAUGAAGAUUUUUAUAUGCUAUAUGCAUGAAUCAAAGCUACGGAUGCAAAGUUACGGGGUCUCGAACAGGAGCACUUGGAUCUACAAUUUCAGGACUUAGAGAAAAAAAAUCAACCUCCGGAUGGAUCUAGAUCUGGCGGUUACUGUAGCUCCGGAUCGGGCACUAUAGCUCCUCGCCGGAAAUGGCGCCUUGGUGGCCGGAGGAAGAAGGGCGCUCGCCGGACUUGGAGGCGCUCGCCGGCGCGUGGGCGGAGGAGGCCGGACGGCGGGGUAGCUGCGGCGACGAGGCACGGCCUCGNNNNNNNNNNNNNNNNNNNNNNNNNNNNNNNNNNNNNNNNNNNNNNNNNNNNNNNNNNNNNNNNNNNNNNNNNNNNNNNNNNNNNNNNNNNNNNNNNNNNNNNNNNNNNNNNNNNNNNNNNNNNNNNNNNNNNNNNNNNNNNNNNNNNNNNNNNNNNNNNNNNNNNNNNNNNNNNNNNNNNNNNNNNNNNNNNNNNNNNNNNNNNNNNNNNNNNNNNNNNNNNNNNNNNNNNNNNNNNNNNNNNNNNNNNNNNNNNNNNNNNNNNNNNNNNNNNNNNNNNNNNNNNNNNNNNNNNNNNNNNNNNNNNNNNNNNNNNNNNNNNNNNNNNNNNNNNNNNNNNNNNNNNNNNNNNNNNNNNNNNNNNNNNNNNNNGGCAGCCGGGUCGGGUCGGCGACCGGGUGAGGCGGCGAUGGCCGGCAAUGGCGCGGCGGCAGCGGUGCGCGCCGGCGCCGAGGACGACGGCGGCGGGGAACUGAGGAGCGGGGCGCUGUGGCUCGGCCCGGCUCGGGCCUCGGGAGGGCCGGCGAUGGGCUGCGGCGGCGGGGAGGCGCGGCGAUGUGGGCGCCCGGGCGGACGAAUCCUGAGGCCCCACGUGGCAGCGGACGGCGGACCGGACGUGUCCGUCGGCAGGUUUUUGUCCGGCGUGGCGCGGGGACGAUUUCUAGGGUUUCGGGGAGGAAGGAGAUCCAAAAAUCGGGGGGUGUUUAAAUAGGCAUAGAGGGAGCUAGGAGAGUCCAAAUGAGGUGCGGUUUUCGGCCACGCGAUCGUGAUCGAACGCUCUAGAUGAUGGAGCAGAGUUAGGUGGGUUUUGGGCCAAAUUGGAGGGGUGUUGGGCUGCAACACACACAGGCCUUUUCGGUCCCUCGGUUAACCGUUGGAGUAUCAAACGAAGUCCAAAUGAUACGAAACUUGACAGGCGGUCUACCGGUAGUAAACCAAGGCCGCAUGACAAGUCUCGGUCCAAUCCGGAAAUGUUUAAUCCCCACACACAAAAGAAAGCUAGAAAUGACCACUGGAGGAGAACGAAGCGCUGGAAUGCAAAACGGACAACGGGGAAAAUGCUCGAAUGCAUGAGACGAACACGUAUGCAAAUGCAAUGCACAUGAUGACAUGAUAUGGGAUGAAUGACAACGACAACAACACACGGAGACAAAAACCCGAACCCGAGAUAAAAAAUAUAACUUAACGUCGGAAACGGCAAGAGUUGGAGUACAAAUUGGGAAAGUUACAUUCGGGGUGUUACACAACAUAGUAAAAAACCAUAACAAAACAUGGCAUGAUGCACAAUCAAGUAUGAUGCAUGUCCGGUUUAAUGAGGCAUGGCAUAGCAAAGUGCACAAACGAAACCACAAGUUAAGUGGAGCUCAAUAUGCAACGAGUUGCAUAUAGACGAAACACCACAUUCAAUCAUUUAAUUCACUCUCGUUUAUGUACCCAAUAAUAUUAAAUGUUAUUAAACAUGGAAAGAUGUGAAACAUAAUAAAACUAUCUAUCUAGCAAGUUUAAAUGAGGCCAGAACAACAAGCAACAAGUCCGGAAAAAUCCUCAUGUGCAAAAUGUGGAUUUGGUACUGUUCUGCCCUAAACCAUAUUUUAGAGUUGUUAAACAUGCAAUAUGAGUGCACCAAGUUAAACUAGGCAUUUUUCUACCCGAUUUACAUAUAAAGUUUAUUUAAUUUGGAGCUACGGCUAAUUAGUUAUGAAAUAAAUCAUUUUAACAUGGCAUUUAAGCAAAUUUAAACAAACAUCAUUUUUAAACAUUUUAACCAUCCAUGAAAGUUGUAAAUUAUUAUCUACACAAAAUUCGAAGCACUUUACAUAUUUAAAGUUUUUACAUAUGAUGCACGGUUGGUGAGUUAUGAUAUGCAUGAAGCUUAGGGUUUUUUUCUGCAAAUCUGAAAUUCUACGGAUAAUGCUAAAUUAGCAGUCAGUGGAAAAAACAUCAACGGGCCCAAAUCUGCUGGCCCAACUGGAGAAAAAAACAAUAGGUGGGGCGCUGGAGGGGCAGCUCACCCAUGGGCCAAUCCCGGCUACAAAGGAGGCCGAGCAGGCUCGCUCGCUGGAUCAAGUCGAGGCUGACUCGGGCGCGGUCAACACGCGGCUGCACCGAGCGAGUUGCUACUGCUCGUUACUGAAGAACGAACAACAGAAGCAGCGGCAGGUUCACGACGAUGCAGGUGCCGGGGAGGUUCUGGCGACGGGCGACGGAAACCGGCGGGUAGGCGUUGGUGAUGACCCACAAGUAUAGGGGAUCUAUCGUAGUCCUUUCUAUAAGUAAGAGUGUCGAACCCAACAAGGAGCAGAAGGAAAUGAUAAGCGGUUUUUAGUAAGGUAUUCUCUGCAAGCACUGAAAAUAUAUCUAACGGAUAGUUUUGUGAUAAGAUAAUUUGUAACGAUCAACAAGUAACAAAAGUAAAUAUAGUGCAGCAAGGUGGCCCAAUCCUUUUUGUAGCAAAGGAGAAGCCUGGACAAAUUCUUAUAUAGAGAAAAGCGCUCCCGAGGACACAUGGGAAUUAUCGCCAAGCUAGGUUUCAUCAUGAUCAUAUGAUUCGCGUUCGGUACUUUGAUAAUUUGGUAUGUGGGUGGACCGAUGCUUGGGUGUUGUCCUUACUUGGACAAGCAUCCCACUUAUGAUUAACCUAUAUUGCAGGCAUCCGCAACUACAGCAAAAGUAUUAAGGUAAACCUAACCAUAGCAUGAAACAUGUGGAUCCAAAUCAGCCCCUUAUGAAGCAACGCAUAAACUAGGGUUUAAGCUUCUAUCACUUUAGCAACCCAUCAUCUACUUAUUACUUCCCAAUGCCUUCCUCUAGGCCCAAAUAAUGGUGAAGUGUCAUGUAGUCGACGUUCACAUAACACCACUAGAGGAGAGACAACAUACAUCUCAUCAAAAUAUCAUACGAAUACCAAAUUCACAUGACUACUAAUAGCAAGACUUCUCCCAUGUCCUCAGGAACAAACAUAACUACUCACAAAGCAUAUUCAUGUUCAAAAUCAGAGAGUAUUAAUAUGCAUAUAGGAUCUGAACAUAUGAUCUUCCACCAAAUAAACCAACUAGCAUCAACUACAAGGAGUAAUUAACACUACUAGCAACCCAUAGGUACCAAUCCCAGACUUAGAGACAAGAAUUGGAUACAAGAGAUGAACUAGGGUAUGAGAGGAAAUGGUGCUGGUGAAGAUGUUGAUGGAGAUUGACCCCCUCCCGAUGAGAGGAUCGUUGGUGAUGACGAUGGUGAUGAUUUCCCCCUCCCGGAGGGAAGUGUCCCCGGCAAAACUGCUCCGCCAGAGCCCUAGAUUGGUUCCGCCAAGGUUCCGCCUCGUGGUGGCGGAGUCUCGUCCCGAAAGCUUGCUUAUGAUUUUUUUCCUCAAUGAAAGACUCCAUAUAGCAGAAGAUGGGCAUCGGAGGGCCACCAGGGGGCCCACGAGGUAGGGGGGCACGCCCAGGGGGGUAGCGCGCGCCCCCACCCUCGUGGCCAGGGUGUGGCCCCCCUCUGGAACUUCAUGCACUCAGUAUUUUUAUAUAUUUUGAAAAUGACUUCCGUGAAGUUUCAGGACUUUUGGAGCUGUGCGGAAUAGGUCUCUAAUAUUUGCUCCUUUUCCAGCCCAGAAUCCCAGCUGCCGGCAUUUUCCCUCUUUAUGUAAACCUUGUAAAAUAGGAGAGAAUAGGCAUAAGUAUUGUGACAUAAUGUGUAAUAACAUCCCAUAAUGCAAUGAAUAUCAAUAUAAAAGUGUGAUGCAAAAUGGACGUAUCAACUCCCCCAAGCUUAGACCUCGCUUCUCCUCAAGCGAAAGCCGAAAUAGAAAAAUAUGAACACAUGUUUAGAGAUAGAGGUGUCGAUAAAAAUAAAAUACGGACAUGAGGGCAUCAUGAUCAUUCUUAGAACAGCAACUUAUAUAAUUCUUGUCAUAUGAUCUCUUAUGCUAGAGUAACAAUUCAAUCACAAUUUCAAGUAUGAAUCAUAAAGUUCAUUGAAAACUAACAAACUAUAAUCUCAGUCAUUGGAGCAAUUGUAAUUUAUCAUAACAUAGGAAAGAGUCAAUAUAAGAGCUUUUCAGCAAGUCCACAUACUCAACUAUCAUAUAGUCUUUCACAAUUGCUAACACUCACGCAAUACUUAUGGGUAUGGAGUUUUAAUUGGACAUAGAGAAAGAUAGGGGCUUAUAGUUUUGCCUCCCAACAUUUUACCUCAAGGGUAAUGUCAACAAUAAUAGUUCAUGAAAACUCACAUCAAAUUAGCCAUAUAUACCAGGAUCUUUCCAACAUGUUGUUCUUGCCAAAAGAUAAAAUGUAAAAAGGAGGGGUGAAUAUCACCAUGACUUUUAUGUAAGGUAGGAGAUAAAAGUAAAAGAUAGGCCCUUCGCAGAGGGAAGCAUAGGUUGUCAUGCGCUUUUAUGGUUGGAUGCACAAAAUCUUAAUGCAGAAGAAUGUCACUUAUAUUGCCACUUGUGAUAUGGACCUUUAUUAUGCAGUCCGUCGCUUUUAUUUCUUCCGUAUCACAUGAUUGUAUAAAGCUUAUUUUCUCCCACACUAAUAAGUCAUACAUAUUUAGAGGGAAGUUUUUAUUGCUUGCACCGACGACAACUUACUUGAGGGAUCUUACACAAUCCAUAGGUAGGUAUGGUGGACUCUCAUGGCAAAACUGGUUUAAGGGUGUUUGGAAGCACAAGUAGUAUCUCUACUUGGUGCAAGGAAUUUGGCUAGCAUGAGGGGGAAAGGCAAGCUCAAUCAUGUUGGAUGAUCCAUGACAAUAUAAUUUAUCUUAGAUGUAAGAAAACAUAACCCAUUACGUUGUCUUCCUUGUCCAACAUCAACUCUUUAGCAUGUCAUAUUUUACUGAGUGCUCACAAUCAUAAAAGAUGUCCAAGAUAGUGUAUUUAUAUGUGAAGACCUCUAUUUCUUUAUAUUACUUCCUAUUAAUUGCAAAGAUGACCAAAACUAUGUUUGUCAACUCUGAACAACUUUUAUUCAUCAUACUCUUUCUAUGUGAGCUCAUUACUCUCCAUAAGAUCCAGAUGAUCUCUUUGUUUCUUUUUAUUUCUUUCUCUUUUCUUUUAUUCACUCAAGAUUAUGGCAAAAUAAUCAAGCCCUUGACUCAACACUAAUCUUUAUUAUAUAUAGCUCAUGGACUCGAUUACAUAGAAGGAUCGUAAAGCAAAUUCACAACUAGAUCAUACUAAAACUUUAUGCUACUAGAUCAAGAUAUUGUGAUGGGCACGAGAGGUCAAUGUUGUGGAACCAGCGCCAGAGGCCCGGAAAUCGCUCAAAUGGUCCCGCACACCCAUCAUCUUUGACGAAGAGGAUCACCCUAAUCGCACCACUACGGUAGGGUGUUUGAAUAGAGGAAAACACAGUCAGAUAAGGAUCAGGACAAAAGUGAGCACGACAAUGAAAAUAACCCAAGUGACACGGCAAGGAAGAAAGUGGUGCAGCGCUAGUGUACUUCGUUAGAUCCUUGUUACAGGGGGCUAGAUCGAUGUACUCUGGUGUGCAAAAGUUGAUCUUUUGUCUCAUUAUGGCCUCAAGGAAACUACUCCACUACUUCCAAGACCAUGAGAUCACGGUUGUUACUCGUUUUCCGUUACAAAGGUUACAUUUGAAACCUUGAGGCAAUUGGCAGAAUAGUAGAAUGGGCUUUGGAGUUAUCCAUCUUUUCUUUGAAGUUUGAGAGCACUUUAACUAUUCACAGCAGGGCAUUGGCAGAGUGUAUUGCAGAAUGGACGCCAACCCCUGAUGAGGAAAGGACAAAGACAACCAUCUCGGGCAAGGAAUCACCCUAAGAAUGGAUCAUGUAUUCUGAUGGUGCUUUUUCCCUACAAGGUGUAGGGGCUGGCAUGCUUCUUGUUGCCCCCUCCAGGGAGCAAUUGAAGUACGUCGUCUAGAUGCACUUUGCCCGGGAAGAAGCCACCAAAAAUACAGCAGAGUAUGAAGGGCUCCUUGCUGGGCUCAGGAUUGUAGCACAAUUGCGAAUUAAGAAGCUGAUUAUUUGAGGAGAUUCACAGCUUGUGGUGAGACAAGUCAACAAGGAUUACCAAAGCCCAUUGAUGGAAGCAUACGUCGAGGAAGUAAGGAGAUUGGAGGAGCACUUUGAUGGGUUGCAAACAGAGCAUGUACCCCGUGCCAAAAAUAGCAUAGUUGCUCACCUAUGAAAGUGUGUUGCGCAGAAGCUUCCUGUAGAACCAAGAAAUUUUGUUCUCCAUCACUAUCAACCCUCCGUAUCACCCGCCACAAUGGCCCGGAAGAGAAGAAAGCUGGACUACGGUAAGCCUCUCCCUGCAGAGGCCCUGCCAGAAACAACUCCUCACAGCCUGCCGGACCACCCCCUCCAGCCGGGCAUAUGGACCCCGCGAACGAGGCUGGUGCUCCCGCAGUAGAGGAGGUGCCGCUAGUCCUUGUUGCCGAGCCCCAGGCACUAACUUGGGCAAGGCACAUUGUGCACUUCCUCCAAACCAGAGAAUUCCCUGGCAAACAAUAUGUAGCUGAAAGAGUAGCCCGGAGGGCCAGUAUAUAUCAGUUUGUCGAUGACACUUCAUGAUCACCUAUGGGUCCACGGGUCCCUUUUGGUUCGGCAACGGGGAGAUCACGUUGCACAAAGAGCGGAAGCCAUGGGUGCAACGCGACAACAAUGACACUAGAGGGUUUUACCCAUGUUCAGGCUGCCAUGAGGCGUAAAACCCUACUCCUUCCUUUGGUGGACUGGAUGGUGGAACACAACAGCACGCAAUGCUUGAGCCCGUCAAGGUAGCCUCAGGAGGAAGCAACUUCACACGUACAAGUGUGAGGGGGUCCGAAUCCCUUUCUAUUUUGCCUUGGACCUCCUUUUAUAGCUCAAGGGGUAACCACAAUGGCAAAACAGUCAUUAUCUAGUGAUUAGAUAGCUAACAAUGCUAUCAUACCUAACUCUGGCAGUUAGUACAAAGUGUAUUAAAUGCACUGCUAGGUGUCAUUCUGAAGGUGAAGCCCGGCAAGCCUACCGUGCCUCUUAGUCAUCUUCUGUUUCUCUGUUUGACAUGCCCAUUGGACGGGUGUCAUGUGAGGAUAAUCUGUCUUCCAACGGGCCGCCAUGUGCUUACUGGAAGCCACUUAAUCAUCUUGGAGGCUCGACAUUGCAUUGAUAAGUGACCUCCAUCGUCGGGCGGUGGAGCGGUGGUGUGUUGGCUGGAUUUCCUGCUUUUGUCGGUCCCGGCAAGCUUGCCGAGCCAAUCUUGGACUUGUCCUCGAGGUGGCAUCGACCUGACCGGCCUCACCUGCCCAGCAAGGGAGGACUUCCCAAGGUGAUACCUUGCUGUCUUGCAUGUUAACUUGGUGUUCCUGAUCCGCUCCUUGAUCUCACGAGAGCGGUUUCUCUGGCUUGGCCUUGCUUCAUAUGCUUGUGAUGUACAUGCAAUGCUAGCAUGCCUAUGUAUAAGUCUGGUCAACAAGUACACAUAUUUGUUACGUCAACAAAGGUGGUGGUACCGGAGAUAUCAGAUAGGACCCCACUUAUAUUGGCGAUAGAACCAAUGCCACAAAACCUAUGCACUACUAGGGAAAACCCUAGUAGUAGCGCUUGUUUUAUAGCCAGUAGUAGCACUUGUACAAGCGCUACCACUAAGGCGCUAUAGCUAACUGGUAGCAGUAGCGCUGGUUAGCCAGCGCUACUGCUACACCUAGUUAGCAGUAGCGUUUCCCGCAAAAAAGCAGUACUGCUAAUAGUAAGUAGCAGUAGCAUUUCUUUUGAAAAGCGUUGCUGCUAAAUUUUCCUAUAUUUUUGAAAAUAAAGCUUAUUUUCGUUGUCUUUUUAUAUAAAGUACUUUCAUCAUAUGAUUUUAAGACCAUGAUUAGUUAUUAUAUAUAACAGUGGGUGAAAUGAACGUGGAGUAGAUUCAAGUGCACACCGAAAGUACUACUAGAUUAGUAGUACUUUCGAUGUUCACCACAUGUUGCCUCCACUUGAAUCUAAUCCAUGUUUACUUCACCUACUGAUAUAUAUAUAUAUAUAUAUAUAUAUAUAAUAACUCACCAUGCUCAUAUAACAACUUAGCAUCAUGCAUCAUCGAUUAUAAUAAUAAAUAACUCAUCAUUGGUAUCAUAAUAACAAGUCCUAUUCAUCAUCAUCGAUCAUACAACUUCUACUCGUUAUCAUAAUAACAAGUCAUACUGAUCAUCAUCAUAGUCAUCUAACCAAUCCCACUUAAUUGUUCUUAACACAUGAUCAUGAGUAUUAGCUAGGACCUAAAUACCCACUCUAAGGUAAAAUAGCACAAAACAAGACAGGCCCUGGCUCUCCAUUAUGGAGAACGGAGAUUAUCCUGUCUCCAAUUCUUGCCCUUCGCACAAUGUUGCUUCCAAGUAGCUCCCUACGAUUGACCAUACAUUUUUUCCAAUCUUUGAUUGUCAUGUCUUCAUCGGUUUUAGAAAUCUGGAAUAGACAGGAGUGAUUCAUAGGGUGACUUAGCCGUAAGUUCAAAACAUCAAGGUGACCUUUCCAAAACAUCAGAUGAGGCACACAAUCCUUCAGGAUUUUCUGUUGGAAAACAAAGUAAUGACUAUGUAGUUAGCAAUGUAGUUGAGUUUUAGAAGAAUUUAUGCAAUAGAUACACGGAUGUCGUAAUAGUAAAGAAUCUUACCAUGGCAUCUCGAUGGAUGUUACCAUAGUUCAACACGUGCACUAGUGGCACGUAUUAACCAUAAUGUGGAGGAGUUUGAUAAUAGAUUGUACUUCUCAAGAUUAGUAAUAAAUGAGAUCAGAUGAUUUUUCUCCUGAUAAGUUAAUUCUGAGCCAUCGGUGUAGUAGGUUCUGUCUACCAUCUUCCGCACAUUCUUUGAAGAAUGAAAAUAAGCUAUCAAUGGAAAUAAGUUGUCAACUAUUUCGAAAUAAACAAUAUAAAUUACUUAAUAACUAUGUUUGAGAAACUCACAUAGCGGUAGAAUUGGAAGCGUAUCAACAAGGAUCCAAAUGUCCAUAUUAUCUUGGGCGAUGUUAGGAUCACCAAGAUCCAUGGUGACAAGCAUACCCUUAUGAAAAUCGUACAUCUUGCAAAGUGCUUCCCAAUUCGGGCAACCAAAAUGGGAUAUGCUCUUAGAAUUGUAUAUAUUUAAAUCAAAAUCCAUACCAUGACGGGUCCUUAGGCGAAUUUUCUUUGUUUCCAUCCUCUCCAAGACAUAGCGUCUUGCAUGGCAUGGGAUAAGCUAGUUGAAUUGCAAAAGACGAAAAUUACACGUUGAAGUAGUUGAAGUUGUGCUUAAUUACGAAAAAAAUACUUGUCGUUUUUGCAUACCGUUUCAACAUCGAAGGUGUCCUAGAGCUUAAUGCUGAAGCGCCGACCUUCGCCCAGGUGUGGCCUGUCGCACAGACCCCGGUCUUCAUUUCACUAGUCGCACUCCCCCGGGAGACUUCCGUUGUCCGAUGACGACAUUUCCUAGGUUCAUAAUUCAAAUAUUAAACUUGUACAAUUAAAUAUAUGUACUAAAAAACUAAAUUAGAUCAUUAUUAUUCAUCACGGGUUAACUAUCGGUCUGCUGAGUCUUUUCUUGAAAACACUCAGCUCAAGUGGUGUAUAUAUUCGACCGACAGUGAUGGUCGCUCCUCCCUUCGUCCCCGAGUGCAUGACACCAAAAUGUCAAGCACACGGAAUGAAGGAGAAGCGACCCCCACGACAACAGUCGGGAUUCUUCGUCCUCUCAUAUAUGGUGGAGACUCUCCCUCACUGGUUCCUCUCUGACAUUUGCGACCGUCGGUGAUGGUCGUUAGUCCUCCUUCCCCUAGUGCAUAACAAAGGUCUAGCAUAAGGAGAAGAAGGAGAAACGACCCCCACGACAACAAUCGGGAUUCUUCGUCCUCUCUCAUAUAUGGUGGAUACACUCCCCCACUGAUUUUUCGACGGUCGGUGAUGGUCGUAAUUCCUCCUUCCCCUAGUGCAUAACAAAGGUCUACCGCAAGGAGAUGAAGGAAAACCGACCCACACGACAACAGUCGGGAUUCUUCUUCUCUCAUGUAUGGUGCAGACUUUCUCCCUCACUCAUUUGUUGACUGUCAUGUAUGGAGCCUCGACAGACUUAAAGUCAACCCGAAAUGUCGUUUAAUGAUCUUUCUAGAAAAUCCAGGCGACUCAAUAUUUCUUACAUAUUCUAGCACAAGUCAUGCCAAAAUUCACGGAAAAGUCUGGCAUGACCUUUGCUAUAAAAGGACAUAUCGAGCGCCUGAAAUUUGCCGGAAUGGAAAUUAAUCAACACUUUGGCAAAACAUAGACCACUCAUAGGUGUAACCUGCAAACAUGGCUAGCAACUUGGGCAAGAACAUAUCCUAUUUGAGCAACACAAGAUAUACAUGUUUAUAUCUACAUCAUAUGCGCAUUCAAAGUUGAUGGUCAUUGCAUUUCAAUGGUUGAAAAUAUGAACAAAAACAUAGGACUCAUAUUGACAUGGAGAUUUGGCUGGUCUCACCUCGAGGUCGGAGGGGGUCGGUGACGGGGAUGACGGCGGGGAUGAUGGAGGGGCUCCUUGAUUUUUGCAAAAACAAAAACCCUAUAAGCUAUCAAAUCAUCAAAUGCACAUGCCUUGCAUAGUACUCUCUAAUUUGAGCAUUCAAAAUAGAAGUAGUUCUCCAAUUUGAGCAUUCAAUAAGCAAAACCAAAUGAUAAAAUAAGUUAGUAUUCAAAUUAGCAUGCAUUCAAUAAGCAAAACUAAAUCAUCUCUUGCGUUCGUACAUCGUCGAAUAUUAUCACUAAUACAUCUCGAAUAGUAACAUACAUAUAGUAACAUCACUAAUACAGCUAAAACCCUAGCGAACGAUGGGUAUUGGCGCAGGCGAUGGACACCCAAAGAGAAGGAACCAUCAUAGGAUCAUAGCUCCAGUGAGAUCCCUGAAGAACUAGCCAGGUAUUGGAGAACCUGCCCUCCAACGCAACCAUGUAGCGACGGGCGUGCUCAUUCUCCUCGCUGACAUGGUGGUGUACCACCUCCGCGGGUUCCUCAAGCCUCUACACCGUCACUGCCCACGCGACCGCCACCAAAGAAGGUUCGAAUCAACGACGGGCUGUCUCCUCACCAAGCUGCACCCCCCGGAAGGUAGCACCUCCUAGUACCAGCCCGACGGAGCCCAGCCCCGGACAUUGCCCCUCUAAUCAAGCAGGCCUCCUCUGUCGUGUCAACGAAGACGAUGCGGGAUAGGCAUCAUCGACAUUGAUGCAGGAAUAAUUUCUUUAACUAAAAAAUAAACUAGUUCUAUUAAGUUUCUUACUAAAAAUAAACUAGUUAUAUAGUAAAAUUGUAAUUAGAUCAUCAAAUCUCAUAUACCUUAAUUUUCUUACUAAAAAUAAUCUAGUUCUAUUAAUUCAACUAGUUCAACUAAGCACUUACUAUAAAUACAAAUAAAUUAGUACUUACUAAAAAUAAAUUAGUUCAACUAGUUCUAUUAAUUUUCUUACUAUUCUAUUAAACACUUACUAAAAACAGUAAAAAAAACUAUAUUGAAUUUUUUCUCUAAACUAAACACUAUUGCCCUAAAUUAACAUCUACUUCGUUACCUAACCUAAUUAACAUCUACUUAGUUACCUAACCUACUUCCCUAACUAAAAAACAUCUAAUUAACAGUACCACUACUACCCUAACCUAAUUAACAUCUACUUAGUUACCUAACCUAGCUAGUUUACCUAAAUUAACCUAGCUAGUUCACUUAGUGAACUUAGUUGACCUAAUGAACUAAAUUCACCUAAGUUAAUUAACAUACAGGGAUGAGGGAGGAGGAGUACCUCUCGGUGUAGGACGGCCGGCCCGUGGUCGGCCGGCGGGGGAGGAGAGCCGGCGUGGGCAAGGGUGGCCGGCAAGAGAAGACCGGCAUGGUGGACGGCGGCAGCGACAGCGUGCAGCGGAGGCGCGCGAGUGAGAGUGUGUGAGGGGGAGAGUGAGGUCGAGCGCGGGCUGGAGUGUGGAUAAGGAGCCCAUAGUAGUGGCUCUUGUAUGUAGAAAGCGCUACUUCCACGUUCAAUAGCAGUAGCGCUUCCUACACACAAGCGCUACUACUAUGCCUGGCCUAGCAGCAACAGUCUUGUAAUUGUAGUAGUAGUGUGUUUUAUGAACAAAGCGCUCCUGGUAAGUGCAUAGUAGCAGCGCUUACUGUGUGCAAGCGCUACUGAUAAUUAGUAGCAGCAGUUUCUGAUAAAAAGCGCUACUACUAAGCUCCUGUGUAUAGGCAUUUCCCUAGUAGUGAGGAUAUCACAACUAUGAUGGUCGCUGCUUUGAUCUUGUUAGUACAUAUUGUCUUGUAUCAUUGUCCUUACAUUCAUACCUGGUUGAUUAUGUGACAUCAGUGUGCAUGAUAACCUGCAUCCACUGUUUGCUCCUAAUUAUCAUAUCUAUAUUAAUGCUUACAUUAAUGUAGAAUAAACCCAAUGCUUAUGAAGAAGUUUAGCUCUACAUUGUUCUUGUAAGUAACUUUGUCCUUUAUCACUGUGCUUAUAUUGUCAGCUAGUUGUUCAUGUACCAUCACCUUUCAGCUUAUUUUCCCUUGGCCUCCAUUUUCUACACAUCAGAUCUAUGUUUACUCUUAGCAAAAUGUUGAAUAAAACUAAUGCUACUGAAGAUGGUUAGCUCUGCAUUACUCUUGUUAGUGCCUUUUGCAUGUAUCAUGUACCUACAUCUAUAUCUAGUUGAUUAUGUAGAAUCACUCUGCAUAUUAGCUUAAAUAAUCUUCAUUUGUUCCUAUAUUAUCACACCAAUAUUUACUCUUAAAAAUGAAGAAUAAAGCCAAUGCUUAUGAAGACGACUUUGUGGUAAACUUCCGGAAUUGCCGCCCCAUCAACAUGGAAAAGGGCUUUAUAGAGCUAGUCUUCAUUACUAACGUAAGUUUGUCUUUCUCGAGUCUUCAAAUGUUGAUGUGUAUAUUUGGAUAGCAAUGACUCCCACUACUAUUUAUCUUUGCCAUUUGCAUCAAAUUGCAUGUUUAAAGUUUAUUAUGUAGAAGUUCAUAAACAUAAGUUUCUCCUCCUCAAUUUCAGUUUUUAGUUGCACAACCUAGUUCCUUAUUCAUACCAUGUAAAUUAAACUAAACAAAGCAAGUGCUCUUCUUUAGCACUUCAUGUAUGCUUGUGUUGUUGAUCUGUAAUCAAGUGGUGUGGUGAAACUACCAACUCCAGGAAUAUGUCAUACCCUGCUAUGUCUUAACUAUGAAUAAUGGAUAUUAUGUUCAUGUUAUUUAAAUCAUGUCUCUUUAUUUACCAAUCUCAAAUGGGGUAAAUUGACAGUACACUCACCAUCGAUGCUUAUACAUUCUUUAGCACUGCAUGUAUGCUGGUGUUCUUGAUCUGUAAUAUAGUGGUGUGGUGAAGCUGGCCACUCCUGCACAAUGCCAUUUCCUGCCAUGUCUUAACUAUGAACAAUGUUAAUGCUAUUUUCAGCUAGAUCUCUUUAUUUUCCACUAAGGAAUGGGAUGAAUCGACAACAAUGAUGCUUAUACAUGCAAAGCCUGUUACCAGUCUGCUUUCUUCUCUUUUAGGGUGAUAUCACUAACACCAAGAGGAACUACCACAAUGAUAGUGAGACAAACCCAUUGCUUGUCCCUCUAACAUAUAUUGUGGGGAAAACACAUCUUGGGGAUAGCUAUACAAUGCCAAAGUCAUGUCUUGAUGUAGUGUAGAAGGUACUCGCUAAUAGUAGUGAUACAAGCUCGACAAAGUUGCCACCUGAAUCUGUUUGACUUCUUGAGUCUCGAAAUCAAGCAGAACGACAUGAUUAAGCUCAACUCCUACUGGAACUCCCAUCUAUAUGGAAGAACUAAGCAGAAUUAUAGGACGUCUAUUGAUGCUAUGCAGCUAGAAUUGGAUAUAAGCAUCAAACAAGCGUAGUCUCAUCAUCUUGCUCAGCUGCUUGCACUGCAGCUCCCAAGCAGGGCUAACCUUUCUUGAACUGUGUUGAAGUGUUGUCGGUUCUGUAUAUUAAUUUUCAUGGUGUGUUUAUUUUCAUUGGUGUGACCUUUAAUGCUUAGUAAAUGUAAUAUGUUGUCUGGUUGCGCUUUAUUAUCACUAGUGCUAAACUUUUAUGCCCAGUGCAUGUAUUAUGUAGUAAUUUCUUUAUUGUAUAGUAUAGAUUUAUUCUUCGCCAUGAUGCUGUAAUAUAUUUUAUGUAUAUGUUUUCAUCGCUCUCUAAAAAAGCCGUAAACAUUGACAAAUCGUAAUGAGCCUGAACAUUCAGUUUAUAUAAAGAAAUUGUGGUACGAAAACUGGUCGGCCCGCCAAUCGCUCUAAAUGGGCUAAAAUGUGGGCCUACAACCAUCUCCAGCCAUAGCAGGCCUAGACGUAAACUCACCAACUAUUAUUUUCGAGCCUUUAAGAGGCUCAGUAAACCAGUUGCCUAAGUUGGGUCGAAAAUUAAAUGGGCUUUUAAUAGCCUGAAAAGUAGGUUGGGCCUGAAUUGUGACGUUGGCCCAUGAUUGGCCCAACCACAAGACGGGUCGUUAACAUCGGAAAAUAUGUGUCGGGCCAUAGUUGGCCCAAUAAAAUGAUGGGUCAUAAGCAGGCACGAUGCAAAGCGGGCCAUAAUUAGACCCAGUUAUAUAACGGGCCUUUAACCGGCCAAUAGUCAGGUUGGGCUAAAAUGUAUCCACGAAGACUACGGGCCAUUAAGAGGCCGAAAGUCGCUUCGGACCAGAAAUAGGCCCACAUGCAAGAUAGGUCACCAAAUGGCCGAAAGUAAAACUGGGCCGACAAUGGCACAUGUGUACGAAGGGCCACUAAUAGGCCGAAAUUACUAUCGGGCCAAAAUAUUGCAUGGGCCUUUAAGAGGUCGUAUUUCAAAUGGACCCCCAAUGGGGCCAAAAGCAUAGUGCCUGUUAACGGGCCGGAUCUUAUAUGCGCCGUAAUGUGGCCGAAAAUAUGUCAGGUAGUUAACGGGGCGGAUCUGAUAUGGGCCAUCGUUUGGCCCAAAACAGGGCAUACUAUCAAUAGGUCGGAUCUGAUAUGGGUUCUCAUUUGGCCCAAAACAUGGCAAACAUCUAAUGGGUCGGAUAUGAUGUGGGCUGCAGUUUGGUCCAAAUCAUGGCAUGCUGUUAAUGGGCCGACCUAGUACUGUAUGACAAAAUCUUGUGGGCCUUUGGCUGGGCCAGCCCUUUUACCUUAAAUGGGCUACUGUUGGGCCAUGCCACGUGUCAACGUAUCAUAGGCUCGUUUGGUCAAUUGUAAGGAUGACAUCUCUCCCAACGCUGAGCUGAGAUGUGGAUUCGCCAGCAAAUGGCAAAUUUACACAUGGAAAAUUGCCAUUUGUCCGAGCUGUUAGCGGGUUCUCGGAUCCAAAAUUGGACCCGAUAGCUUAAUGGUGACCCGUUAUAGCGGCCGCCACGUGUCGAUUACCCUUGACGAAAACACUUCCAUGACGCGGCAUUUAUCGUCAUGGAAGUGGCACUUCCAUGAUGAUAAUUUCAAUAUUGUCAUGGAACACUUCUACGACAACACAAUUAUGACUAUCUUGAUUCUGUCAGAAAAUCGUCAUGGAUGUACAUGCAUGACAAAAAACUUGACCUACUAUGACAAAAAUGUAUCAUCAUGGAAGUGUUUUUUUGUAGUGCAUGCCCUAAAUAUAUUAAAGAUAUAAUAAGUUCCCUUGGUCAUGCUGGUUUCUAUAGAAGGUUAAUUAAAUAUUUCUCUAAAAUUUCUAGUCGUCUAACUAAUCUGCUUCAAAAAUAUGUUCCUUUUGUUCUUGAUGAGGAUUGUGUAGAAUCCUUUGGAUUACUUAAGAAAGCCUUAAUUUCUGCACCCAUUGUUCAUCCACCUGACUGGAACUUUCCUUUUCAAAUUACAUGUAAUGCUAGUGAUUAUGCUAUUUGUGCUAUCCUAGACAAAGAGUUGAUAAGAAAUUGAAUGUUAUUCAUUAUGCUAGUAAAAUUCUAGAGAAUCCUCAAAGAAAUUAUGCUACUACUAAGAAAGAAUUGUUAUCAGUUUUGUUUGCAUGUGAUAAAUUCAGACCUUAUGUCAUUGAUUCUAAAGUUACUAUUCACACUAAUCAUGCUACUAUUAAAUACCUUAUGCAAAAGAAAGAUGCUAAACCUAGAUUAAUUAGAUGGGUUUUAUUAUUAUAAGAGUUUGACCUACAAAUUAUUGAUAGAAAAGGAGUAGAGAAUCCUGUAGCAGAUAAUUUGUCUAGGAUGGAAAAUGUUCUUGAUGACCCACUGCCUAUUGAUGAUAGUUUUCCUGAUGAGCAAUUAGUUGUUAUAAAUGCUUUCCCGUAAUAAUCCUUGGUAUGCAGACUAUGCUAGUUACAUUGUUGCAAAAUAUAUACCACCUAGUUUCACAUACCAACAAAAGAAAAAGUUCUUCUUUGAUUUAUGAUAUAAAUUUUGGGAUGACCGACAUUUAUAUAAAGAAGGAGUAGAUGGUGUAAUUAGACAUUGUGUGCCUGCGGAUGAACAGAACAAUCCUACGGAAGUGUCAUUUUGAGGCAUACGAAGGGCACCAAGCUGGAGAUAUAACUGCACAUAAGGUAUUACAGUCUGGUUUUUACUGGCCUGCUCUCUUCAAAGAGGUAUGUAAGUUUGUCCUUCCUUGUGAUGAAUGUCAAAGAAUUGGCAAUAUUGGAAGACAUCGGGAAAUGUCUAUGAAGUAUGCACUUGUUAUUGAACCAUUUGAUGUAUGGGUUUUUUAUUGUACGGGGCCUUUUCCUUCCUCUAAUGGGUAUACUCAUCUUUUUAGUUGUUGUUCAUUACAUUACUAAGUGGGUAGAAGCUAUUACAAAUAGUAGUGUUGAUGAUAACACUUAUAUUAAAAUGCUUAAGGAAAUUAUUUUAAUGAGGUUUGGAGUCCCUAUAUAUUUAAUGGCUCAUGGUGGCUGAAACGUCUCCAACGUAUCUAUAAUUUUUUAUUGUUCCAUGCUAUUAUAUUAUCUGUUUUUGAUGUUUAAUGGGCUUUAAUAUGCUAUUUUAUAUUUUUUGGCACUAACCUAUUAACCAGAGGCCCAGUGCCAGUUUCUGUUUUUUUUGCCUAUUUUAGAGUUUCGCAGAAAAGGAAUACCAAACGGAGUCCAAAUGGAAUGGAACCUUUGCGAUGAUCUUUCUUGGACCGAAAGCAAACCAGGAGAUUUGGAGUGGAAGUCUAGAACUCCGCGAGGCGGCCACGAGUAAGGAGGGCAUGCCCAGGGGGUAGGCACACCCCCACCCUCGUGGGCCCCUCGUAGCUCCACCGACGUACUUCUUUCACCUACAUAUACUCUUGUACCCUAGAUCGGUCACAGAGAGCCACAAAACCACUUUUCCACCGCCGCAACCUUCUGUACCCAUGGGAUCCCAUUUUGGGGCCUCUUUCGGCUAUCUGUCGGAGGGGGAAUCGAUCACGGAGGGCUUCUACAUCAACACCAUUGCCUCUCCGAUGAAGCGUGAGUAGUUUACCACAGACCUUCAGUUCCAUAGUUAUUUGUUAGAUGGCUUCUUCUCUCUCUUUUAUUCUCAAUACAAAGUUCUCCUCGAUAUUCUUGGAGAUCUAUUCGAUGUAAUACUCUUUUGCGGUUUGUUUGGCCAGAUCCGAUGAAUUGUGGGUUUAUGAACAAAAUUAUCAAUGAAUAUUAUUUGGUUCUUCUAUGAAUUCUUAUAUGCAUGAUUUGAUAUCUUUGCAAGUCUCUUCGAAUUAUAGGUUUAGUUUGGCCUACUAGAUUGAUCUUUCUUGCAAUGGGAGAAGUGCUUAGCUUUGAGUUCAAUCAUGCGGUGUACUUUCCCUAUGACAGUAGGGGAAACAAGGCACGCAUUGUAUUGUUGCCAUCAAGGAUAAAAAUAGGGUGUUUAUAUCAUAUUUCUUGAGUUUAUCCCUCUAUGUCAUGUCAUCUUGCUUAAUGUGUUACUCUAUUCUUAUGAACUUAAUACUCUAGAUGCAUGCUGGAUAACGAUCGAUGUGUGGAGUAAUAGUAGUAGAUGCAGAAUCGUUUUGAUCUACUUGACACGGACGUGAUGCCUAUAUUCAUGAUCAUUGCCUAGAUAUUCUCAUAACUAUACGCUUUUCUAUCUAUUGCUCGGUGGUAAUUUAUUCACCCACCGUAAUACAUGCUAUCUUGAGAGAAGCCGCUAGUGAGACCUAUGGCCCCCGGGUCUCUUUCUUAUUAUAUUGCAUCUCAUUUAUUUACAUCGCAUAUCAUUUACUAUUUUUCAAUAUUUACUUUCCAAUCUAUACAACAAAAAUACUAAAAAUAUUUAUUUUACUAUAUGUAUCAGAUCUCACUUUUGUGAGUGACCGUGAAGGGACUGACAACCCCUUUAUCACGUUGGUUGCAAGGUUCUUGAUUGUUUGUGCAGGUACUAGGUGACUUGUGCAUUGUCUCCUACUAGAUUGAUACCUUGGUUCUCAAAAACGGAGGGAAAUACUUACGCUACUUUGCUGCAUCAUCCUUUCCUCUUUAAGGGAAAACUAACGCAUGCUCUAGAGGUAGCAAGAAGGAUUUCUGGCGCCGUUGCCGGGGAGAUCUAUGCCAAGUCAAGACAUACCAAGUACACAUCAUAAACUCUUCUCCCUCGCAUUACAUUAUUUGCCAUUUUCCUCUCCCCCAUUUCACAAAGAUUUUCCCUUUUCUUUCGCCCUUCUUCCAUUCGAUCUUGUGUUACCAUGUGCCUUCUUUUUGCUUGCAUCUUCGCUUGCUAAGAGUUUAUGGAUCCCCAUCCUCUUGCUAACCUUUUUAAAGGAACCAAUUAUGAUGAACCUAUUGCUAGUUUGUUGAGUGCACUAGAUUAUCUUUAUGGAGUUUUACUUGAAAUCCGUGAAUCUGAAAAGUGAUUCACGAUAGAUCUUUGAAUAAAGCAUGAUUGCAAUGAUGUUACUAUAAAUUCUAUUAAUGUCAAUUGUGCUAAUAAUACGCAAAACCCUAAGCUUGGGGAUGCUAAUUUGCUAUGUCUACUACUUGUUGCAAUAAUCAUGAUUGAGGUGAUUCUUCUUAUGGUCUUGAAAAUUUAACUGAGCCCCAUGAUGAAUAUGAGAUUGAUAAUAAUGCUUGCAAUAAUACUGAAAGUGGGUUUGGAAGAGUGUUAACUUUAGAUCCCACAUAUUUGUAUAAUGAUCAAUCUUAUGAAGUUUUUGAUAAAAGUGGGUUCAGAGAGGUCAUGACUUUAUUUCAUGAUAAUCCCACAAUUUCGGAAGAGUGUCAACUUUGCAUGCAUGUGGAUCAUGAAGAGAAAAAUUUAUGUGAUAGUUAUAUUGUUGAAGUUGAUUUUGAUCCUACAUGUAAUUAUUGUGAGAGAGGAAAAUAUGGUUGUAGAAAUUUUCAUGUUACAAAAUUACCUCUCGUUAGGUUGAGAUUGCUAUUGUUUCUUUCUUCUUCCUUGCAUAUGGUGGUUUUUGCUUGUCUCGUUAGGUUGAGAUUGCUAUUGUUUCUUUCUUCUUCCUUGCAUAUGGUGGUUUUUUCUUGUCUUGAUAAUUUGUUUGCUUAUGAAAUCCCUAUGCAUAGGAAGCAUGUUAGACUUAAACUUGUUUGCCAUAUGUUUUAUGAUGCUCUCUUUGUGCUUUAAUUCUUGUCUUUCAUGUGAGCGUCAUUGAAAUCUCAAUGCCUAUCUAGGGGCGUUAAACGAUAGCGCUUGUUGGGAGUCAACCCAAUUUUAUUUUUGUUCUUUGCUUUUUGUUCCUGUUUAGUAAUAAAUAAUUCAUCUAGCUUCUAUUAUAAUUGUGUUUUUUAUGUUUUAAUUAGGGUUUGUGCCAAGUAAAGCCUUUAGGAUCUUCUUGGGUGAUUGUUGUUUGAUCUUACUGAUAAAAACAGAAAGUAUGCGCUCACAAAAAUAAUUAUCAUUUUUACCAAAGUGAUAAAAUACUAAUUCAAACUGCAGUAGAUCAAUAUACUUUUUAUCCUGGUCAUCCUAAUUUUUCCGAAUUUUUGGAGUUACAAAAGUAUUCGAAACCUCCAGAUUUCUAUAGACUGUUCUGUUUUUGACAGAUUCUAUUUUUUGUGUGUUGUUUGCUUAUUUUGAUGAAUCUAUGAGUAGUAUCGGGGGGUAUGAACCAUAGAGAAGUUGGAAUAUAGUAGGUUUAACACCAAUAUAAAUAAAUAAUGAGUUCAUAAUAGUACCUUAAAGUGGUAGUUUAUUUUCUUAUAGUAAUGGAGCUCAUGAGAUUUUUUGAAGUUUGUGUUGUGAAGUUUUCAAGUUUUUGAGUAAAGAUUUGAUGGAUUUUGGCAUAAGGAGUGGCAAGAGCCUAAGAUUGGGGAUGCCCAAGGUACCCCAAGGUAAAAUUCAAGGACAACCAAAGUCCUAAGCUUGGGGAUGCCCGGGAAGGCGUCCCCUCUUUCGUCUUCGUCUAUCAGUAACUUUACUUGAGGCUAUAUUUUUAUUCACCACAUGAUAUGUGUUUUGCUUGGAGCGUCUUGUAUGAUUUGAGUCUUUGAUUUUUAGUCUACCACAAUCAUACUUGCUGUACACACCUUUUGGGAGAGACACAUAUGAACCGGAAUUUAAUAGAAUACUCUAUGUGCUUCACUUAUAUCUUUUGAGCUAGAUAAUUUUGCUCCAGUGCUUCACUUAUAUCUUUUAGAGCACAGUAGUGGUUUUAUUUUAUAGAAAUUAUUGAUCUCACGUGCUUCACUUAUAUUAUGUUGAGAGUCUUUUAGAACAGCAUGGUAAUUUCCUUUGGCUAUAAAACUAGUCCUAAUAUGAUGGGCAUCCAAGAUGGGUAUAAUAAAAACUUUUAUAUAAAGUGCAUUGAAUACUAUGAGAAGUUUGAUGCUUGACGAUUGUUUUGAGACAUGAGGAUGGUGAUAUUAGAGUAAUGCUAGUUGAGUAGUUGUGAAUUUGAGAAAUACUUGUGUUGAGGUUUGCAAGUCCCGUAGCAUGCACGUACGGUAACCUUGUGUAACAAAUUUGAAGCAUGAGGUGUUUCUUUAAUUUGUCGUCCUUAUGAGUGGCGGUCGAGGACGAGCGAUGGUCUUUUCCUACCAAUCUAUCCCCCUAGAAGCAUGCCAUAGUGCUUGGUUAUGAUUACUUGUAGAUUUUUGCAAUAAGUAUGUGAGUUCUUUUUGACUAAUGUUGAGUCCAUGGAUUAUACGCAGUCUCACCCUUCCACCCUUGCUAGCCUCUCUAGUACCGCGCAACUUUCGCCGGUACCAUAAACCCACCAUUUACUUUCCUCAAAACAGCCACCAUACCUACCUAUUAUGGCAUUUCCAUAGCCAUUCCGAGAUAUAUUGCCAUGCAACUUUCCACCGUUCCGUUUAUUAUGACAUGCUUCAUCAUUGUCAUAUUGCUUUGCAUGAUCAUGUAGUUGACAUCGUAUUUGUGGAAAAGCCACCUUCAUAAUUCUUUCAUACAUGUCACUCUUGAUUCAUUGCACAUCCCUGUACACCGCCGGAGGCAUUCACAUAGUCAUAUUUUGUUCUAAGUAUCGUGUUGUAAUUCUUGAGUUGUAAGUAAAUAAAAGUGUGAUGAUCAUCACUAUUAGAGCAUUGUCCCAGUGAGGAAAGGAUGAUGGAGACUAUGAUUCCCCCACAAGUCAGGAUGAUACUCCAGAUGAAAAAAGGGGGAAAAGAGGCCAUAAAUAAGAGAAAAGGACCAAAUAAAAAAUUAUAAAAAAAGAGAGAAAAGGAGAGAAGGGACAAAGCUACUAUCCUUUUUCCACACUUGUGCUUCAAAAUAGCACCAUGAUCUUCAUGAUAGAGAGUCUCCUAUGUUGUCACUGUCAAAUACUAGUGGGAAUCUUUCAUUAUGGCACUUGGCUUGUAUAUUCCAAUGAUGGGCUUCCUCAAAAUGCCCUAGGUCUUCGUGAGCAAGCGAGUUAGAUGCACACCCACUUAGUUUCUUUUUAAGCUUUCAUAUACUUAUAGCUCUAGUGCAUCCGUUUCAUGGCAAUCCCUACUCACUCACAUUGAUAUCUAUUGAUGGGCAUCUCCAUAGCCAUCGAUACGCCUAGUUGAUGUGAGACUAUCUUCUCCUUUUUGUCUUCUCCACAACCACCAUUCUAUUCCACCUAUAGUGGUAUGUCCAUGGCUCAUGCUCAUGUAUUGCGUGAAGAUUGAAAAAGUUUGAGAACAUCAAAAGUAUGAAACAAUUGGUUCGCUUGUCAUCGGGGUUGUGCAUGAUUUAAAUAUUUUUUGUGAUGAAGAUAGAGCAUAGCCAGACUAUAUUAUUUUGUCGGGAUAGCUUUCUCUGGCCAUGUUAUUUUGAGAAGACAUGAUUACUUUGUUAGUAUGCUUGAAGUAUUAUUAUUUUUAUGUCAGUAUAAAACUUUUGUUUUGAAUCUUUCGGAUUUGAACAUUCAUGCCACAAUAAAGAAAAUUACAUUGAUAAUUAUGAUAGGUAGCAUUCCACAUCGAAAAUUCUAUUUUUAUCAUUUACCUACUCGAGGACGAAUAGGAAUUAAGCUUGGGGAUGCUUGAUACGUCUCCAACGUAUAUAUAAUUUUUGAUUGUUCCAUGCUAUUAUAUUAUCUGUUUUGGAUGUUUAAUGGGCUUUAAUAUGCUCUUUUAUAUUAUUUUUCGGACUAACCUGUUAACCGGAGGCCUAGUGCCAGUUUCUGUUUUUUUUGCCUAUUUUAGAGUUUCAAGGAAAAGGAAUACCAAAUGGAGUCCAAAUGGAAUGAAACCUUCGCGAUGAUCUUUCUUGGACCGAAAGCAAACCAGGAGACUUGGAGUGGAAGUCUGGAACUCCGCGAGGCAGGCACGAGGCUGGAGGGUGCGCACAGGGGGGUAGGCGCGCCCCCACCCUCAUGGGCCCCUCGUAGCUCUACCGACGUACUUCUUUCGCCUAUAUAUACUCUUAUACCCUAGGUCGAUCGCAGAGAGCCAUGAAACCACUUUUCCACCGCCGCAACCUUUUGUACCCUUGACAUCCCAUCUUGGGGCCUCUUCCGGCGAUCUGCCGGAGGGGGAAUCGAUCAUGGAGGGCUUCUACAUCAACACCAUUGCCUCUCCGAUGAAGCAUGAGUAGUUUACCACAGACCUUUGGGUCCAUAGUUAUUAGUUAGAUGGCUUCUUCUCUCUCUCUUUGAUUCUCAAUACAAAGUUAUCCUCGAUGUUCUUGGAGAUCUGUUCGAUGUAAUACUCUUUUGCAGUGUGUUUGCCGAGAUCCGAUGAAUUGUGGGUUUAUGAACAAGAUUAUCUAUGAAUAUUAUUUGGUUCUUCUAUGAAUUAUUAUAUGCAUGAUUUGAUAUCUUUGCAAGUCUCUUCGAAUUAUCGGUUUAGUUUGGCCAACUAGAUUGAUCUUUCUUGCAAUGGGAGAAGUGCUUAGCUUUGGGUUCAAUCUUGCGGUGUCCUUUCCCAGUGAUAGUAGGGGCAGCAAGGCAUGUAUUGUAUUGUUGCCAUCGAGGAUAAAAAGAGGGGGUUUAUAUCAUAUUGCUUUAGUUUAUCCCUCUACAUCAUGUCAUAUUGCUUAAUGCGUUACUCUGUUCUUAUGAACUUAAUACCCUAGAUGCAUGCUGGAUAACGGUCGAUGUGUGGAGUGAUAGUAGUAGAUGUAGAAUCGUUUCGAUCUACUUGACGCAGACAUGAUGCCUAUAUUCAUGAUCAUUGCCUAGAUAUUCUCAAAACUAUGCGCUUUUCUAUCAAUUGCUCGGCAGUAAUUUGUUCACCCACUGUAAUACAUGCUAUCUUGAGAGAAGCCACUAGUGAAACCUAUGGCCCCCGGGUCUCUUUCUUAUUAUAUUGCAUCUCUUUUAUUUACAUCGCAUCUCGUUUACUAUUUUGCAAUCUUUACUUUCCAAUCUAUACAACAAAAAUACCAAAAAUAUUUAUUUUACUAUCUGUAUCAGAUCUCACUUUUGCGAGUGACCGUGAAGGGACUGACAACCCCUUUAUUGCAUUGGUUGCAAGGUUCUUGAUUGUUUGUGCGGGUACUAGGUGACUUGUGCGCUGUCUCCUACUGGAUUGAUACCUUGGUUCUCAAAAACUGAGGGAAAUACUUACACUACUUUGUUGCAUCACCCUUUCCUCUUCAAGGGAAAACCAACACAUGCUCAAGAGGUAGCAGUGGUUCACAAUUUAUUCAUGGUGCAUUUUGUAAACUUCUUGCUAAAUAUGAUGUCAACCAUAGAAUUGUAUCACCUUAUCAUCCCAGUAUAGUGGUCAAGUUGAAUUAAGAAAUUGAGAAACAAAAUUGAUUUUGCAAAAGACCGUUAAUAGAUCUAAAAAUACUUGGUCUAUGAAACUUGACGAUGCAUUAUGGGCAUAUAGAACUGCUUAUAAAAAUCCUAUGGUAUGUCUCCUUAUAAAAUGGUCUAUGGAAAAGCAUGUCAUUUACCUCUUAAGUUAGAACAUAAAGCUUAUUGGGCAAUUAAAGAACUUAAUUAUGAUUUCAAACUUUCCAGUGAAAAGAGGUUAUUUCAUAUUAGUUCGCUACAUGAAUGGAGGGCACAAUCUUAUGAAAAUCCCAAGUUGUUCAAAGAAAAAGCUAAAAGCUCGCAUGACGAAAUAAUCCAAAAACAGAAAUUUAAAGUACGUGUGCAUGCUCUAUUGUACAAUUCUCGUUUGAGAUUUUUGCAGGAAAACUUCUCUCCAAAUGAGAAGGACCUUACACUAUAGAUAAGUUUAUCACUCUGGAGCUAUCAAAAUCAAGAAUGGCAAAGGCACUAAUCUGAGGGUGGUUAAUGGGCAAAGCAUUAAACAUUAUAUCUCAGAGACGCCCGUUAAUGUUGAAACUAAUAUUAUUCAAACUAUGACACCGGGGGAGCACAUAAGAGGGACCUUCUGGAACACUCCAGAACCCUGAAAAGAAGUAUGUAUGUAAUACGGUAAGUAAACCGACUCCAAAAAUUCCAUCAGAAAUAUUCAUGUCCAUUUUGGAAUAUGAGAAAAAAUUACAAAAGGAAUAACCAGCAGAGGGGACCCACGAGGAGGUCACAAGGCAACAGGGCGCGCCUUACCACCUAGGCACAUCGGGUUGCCUUCCCCUCGUGUGUCUUCCCGACUCCUUUUCUUCCAGAAUACUAGUUUCGCAAGAUAAAAUUUAUUUAUAUAUACUCCCAUAUGUUUUGACCACCGCAUCGCAAGUUUCUCCUCUCUUCUUGUUUCGGGCUAUUUUUCUAGCAGAUCUAACAGCAUGUCGUCCCAAGACUCGGAUGGAGAGAGCUAUGUUUCCCAUUAUGUUGCCAACCCAAGGAUCUAUGGUGAUGUAGAUCCUUAUGGGUGGUCCACAAAUGAGGAACUGGAGGCUGAUUUUGAAUAGGCAGAUUGCUCGAGCAGAGAAGAAGAAGAUGUCCCUCUACCUCAACCAUGGGACACGCAAAUGGGGUUCAAAAAGUCAAGCCUGCCAAACACAACGAAGAUUCUAAGUUUCAAUUUACUCCUUUCCGUCAUGUGCAGGGAGAAGAGGACAAAUUGCGCCACAAAAUGUGGGAAGUGGAGCAGGAAAUCAAUAGGCUGAAGGACGAAAAAUCGCAUUCUUAAGUGGCAGGACAAGCCCACUACCUCAUCUCCAACAUCACCAAAGAAAGACACAUAAGUACAUGGGUAUGGGCACCAGCCAUGCUUGUUCCAAGCUUGGGGGAGGUGCCCUGGUAUUGUAUCAUCAUCACCUUUUUACCAUCUUUAUAUAUAUUAGUUCGAUCCUUAGUUAUUUCAUGAUUUAGAAGAAUAAAGGUUUAGUAAAGUUUUUGCUUCGAGUGCUUGCUUUGUGUCCUAUGUAUGUAACUGAGUGUGAGAGUUAUAUAAUAAAGAGUAGUUUGAGUUUUUUCUUCUUUACAUUCUUGUUCCAAUGUCAAUAAUAAAAAGGAAUAAAAGAUCAUAUGCUAAUCCCAAGGGGAAUAAUAACUUCACAUAGAAAGAGUAUUGUUGAUAAAAGUUAUUGGAAAUUAACAAACAUAGUUGGUCAUGGAUUCAAUUGAUGAAAAAUUAGUAAGGGGAGAGGAGAUUCACAUAUAAAUAUACUAUCUUGGAUGUUUUAUGAUUGUGAGCCCCCAUCAAAUAUUUUCCGCAUGGUCAAAAUAGUUGAUGUUGGACAAGGAAGACAACAUAAUGAGUUAUGUUUGUUUACAUUCACAUAGAAGUUAUAUUUUCAUGGAUCCCCUAACAUGUGGUGCUUGUUUAGAACCUUUUCCUAGACAAAAUCCACACUAAGUAGAGAUACUAUUUGUGCAUCCAAAACCCUUAAACCCAGUCUCUUGUUGAGUCCACCAUAUCUACCUAUGGAUUGAAUAAGAUCCUUCAAGUAAGUUGUCAUCGCUGCAUAAGGCAAUAAAAAUUGCUCCUAAAUAUGUAUGAUCUUUUAUUGGAAGGGAAACUAAGAUUUUACGAACUUUUCAUGGCGAUGAAAUAAAAGUGAUGGGCUUCAUGAUAAAAGUCACUAUCAUAAGGGGCAAUAUAAAGUGACGUUCCUUUCCAUUUAAAGCUUGCACAUUCAAAAAUAAAAAGCACACAACAACAUGUGCUUCCCUCUGCGAAGGGCAUAUAUCUUUUAUUUUUCUGUAUUUUCUUUUAUGCAAGAGUCAAUAAUAUUCAUCCCCAUUCCGCUCUAUUUAUUCUCUAGUUGGCAAGCAUCAUGUGGUGGGGAAAGAUCCAAGCACAUAUGUCCAGUCAGAUGUAGGUGAUCAUGAGUUAUUAUUGUUGACAUUAACCUUGAGGUAAACAAGUUGGGAGGAGAAAACAAUAAGCAUGUAUCUUCCUAUGUGUCUGACAGAAAUGUUUGUUCCCAAAAAUUUACAUUCAGUGUUAGCAAUCAUAGAAGACUAAAUGAUGGUUGAGUAUGUGGACUUGCUAAAAGAAAAGAUCUUACAUAGAAUCUUCCUCGAAAUAUGAUGAAUUGUGAUUGUUUCAAUGAACGAGAACAUAGUUUGUUUGUUUUCAAGAACGUUUAUACUUCAUACUUUAAAGUAUCGAUGAAUUGUUUUUUAUGAGAAGCUAUAUGACAAAUAGUUGUUGCUAUGAUAAAGAUCAGCAUGCUAUUAUAUUCGAAUUUUGUGUUUAUUGACACCUCUCUCUCUAAACAUGUGGUCAUGAUUAUCGAGUUUGGCUUUCACUUGAGGACAAGCGAGGUCUAAGCAUGGGGGAGUUGAUAUGUCCAUUUUGCAUCAUGAUUUCCUACUAUUAUUUAUAUUGUUUUUGGUCAUUAUUUCACCUUAUGAUGCAAUUCUAAUGCCUUUCCUCUCUUAAUUUGCAAGCUUUACAUUGAGAGGGAGAUUACCUCCAGCUAGAAUUCUGAACUUGAAAAAGCUACAACAGAGAUACCUAUAUACAGAACUCCAAAUGACCUAAAAUUUUACUGAGAUUUUUAUUGAAUAUAUAAAAAUACCAGAGUAAAGAAAUACAAGAGGGGGGGCACCAGCUGCUCACCAGGCAACAGGGUGCGGCCACCCCCUAAGCACGCGCUGAUGCCUUAUGGGUCCCACAGCUGGCCUCCGGUGCCCAUAUUUUGCUAUAUGAGGGGUUUUGACCUAGAAACAAUAAGUAGAAGACUUUCGAGGUGAAGCGCCGUCUCGAGGCAGAACCUGGGAAGGGGCACAUUUGCUCUUCGGUGCAGCGACUCCACCGAGGAUACUUCCCUCCGAGAGAGGGAAAUCGAAGCCAUCGACAUGACCAACGAUCCUCUCCUCAUGGGAGGACCAAUCUUCAUCAGCAUCUUCACCAGCACCAUCUCAUCUCAAACCCUAAUUCAUCUAUUGUAUUCAAUCUUUGUCCCAAAACCUCAGAUUGGUACAUGUGGGUUGCUAGUGGUGUUGAUUAAAUCAUGUAGUUGAUGCUAGUUGGUUUAUUGGUGGAAGAUUAAAUGUUCAGAUCCUCAAGAAUAUUCAAUACACCUCUAAUCUUGAACAUGAAUAUGAUUUUUGAGUAGUUACUUUUGUUCUUGAGGACAUGGGAGAAGUCUUGUCAUAAGUAAUCUUCUGAUGUUGGUAUUCAUUCGAUAUUUUUGAUGACAUGUAUGUUGUUGCUUCCUUUAGUGGUGUCAUGUGAACAUCAAAUACAUGACACUUCACCAUACAUGGGCCUAAGGGAAGGAAUUGUGGAGUAAUAAGUAGAUGAUGGGUUUCUAGAGUGACAGAAGCUUAAACCCUCGUUUAUGUGUUAUUCCGUAAGGGGCUGAUUUGGAUCCAUAUGUUACAUGCUAUGGUUAGAUUUAUAUUAAUUCUUCUUUCAUAGUUGUGGAUGCUUGUCAGAGGGGGUAAUCAUAAGUGGGUUGCUUGUUCAAGUAAGAAUAGCACCCAAGCACCGGUCCACCCACAUAUCAAAUUAUCAAAGUAUGGAACAUGAAUCAAUUAGACAUGAUAAAAGUGACUAGAUAAUAAUUCCCAUGUGUCCUGAAGAACACUUUGCUUUUUAUAAGAGAACUUCCAGUCUUAUCCUUUGCUAUAAAAAGGAUUGGGCCACCUUGCUGGACCUUUGUUACUAUUUCUACUUGUUAUGAAUUAUCUUGCUAUAAAACUAUCUAUCACUAUUGCUUUCAGCACUUGUAGAGAAUACCUUGCAAAAAACCACUUGUCAUUUUCUUCUACUUCUCGUUGGGUUCGACUCUUACUUAUCAAAAGGACUACGAUCGAUCUUCCCGUCUUCGAUGACCUAAACGGAUGGUGCAAGGCCCUACUGAACGAGCAUGUUGCGCCACGUCCAUUAGUUGCACUACCGCGAGUCACGAUGGUUGGGUUUGAUGGGAACGAUGAUGACUAGCAGCGACCGGAUCAUGGGACGGACGGCAAGAUGCUAGGGGACGCGUGCAAAAAAACGGGAAGAUGGGGGAAGUGCGUGAGCUCACAAUGAAGCUCGAGGGCCCGAUGAGGCCGGGGUUAAGCCGGAGGUGUGCAGAUCUAUGGUGAUGGUGGUGGCGGUCGAAGGGGAGAAAAUGACCCGAUGGUGUCGAUGCAGCAGCGAUCCGGGGUGAUUCGGCCUUGUAGACAACAUAGAUGUGGACGAUGUGUUGGGGAACGUUGCAUGGAAAACAAAAAGAUUCUACACACACGCAAGAUCUAUCCAUGGAUAUGCAUAACUAUGAGGUGGGAGAGUAUGUCUACGUACCUAGACCGUUUAGCGGAAGUGUUUAUCAACGUGGUUGAUGUAGUCGUACACCUUCAUGAUCCAACCGAUCAAGUACCGAAUGCACGACACCUCCGCGUUCAGCACACGUUCAGUUCAAUGACACCCUUGCCUUCUUGAUCCCGUGAGAUGGGCAAAGUAGUAGAUGAGUUCCAGCAACAAGACGAUAUGGUAACGGUGGUGAUGCAAACUAUCUCCGCAGGGCUUCGCCGAGCACUACGAAAAUAUGACCGAGGAUGAACUACAGGGAGAGGGGCGCUGCACACGGCCUUGGAAUCAUGGUAUGUGUUGCCCCUCUCCCUCCUCUCAUAUAUAUAGGUGGAGUGAGGAGAGGAGGCAUCCCUAGGGCGCCCCCAAGUGGCCGGCGGCUACCCUAGAGGCAUGCAUAGCAGCACCACCCCCCCUCCAUAUUUGGACAUGGGGGACGGGAAAGGGGGUUGGCUGCCUUAUGGCGCGUCCCCCUUCCUUUCCCUCCCUCCUUGGUGCGUGGGUAGGAGCGGAGGGGCCUGCCAGCUCCCUAGUGGGCUGGUGUGCUCCCCACUUGGCCCAUAAGGCCCGCCGCUUACUGGUGGCCUCCCGGAACCCCUUCUAGCACUCUAUUAAAUACAUGAUUCUUCUGAAACCUUUCUAGUGACCAAAUACUAUCAUCCUAUAUAUCAAUCUUUACCUCUGAAGCAUUCCGGAGCUCCUCGUCAUGUCUGUGAUCUCAUCCAGGCCUCCGAACAACAUUCGGUCAUCAACUCACAUAACUCAUAGUACCAUAUCGUCAACGAACAUUAAGCGUGCGGACCCUUUCGAGAAUGAUGUAGUCAUGACCGAGACACCUCUCCAGAAAAUAACUAAUAGUGGGACCUGGAUGCCCAUAUUGGUUCCUACAUAUUCUACUAAGAUCUUUAUCGGUUGAACCUUUAUGACAACAUACAUAAUUCCCUUUUUCUGUCAGUAUGUUACUUGCCCAAGAUUCGAUCAUCGGUAUCUUCAUACCUAGUUCAAUCUCAUUACAGGUAAGUCUCUUUACUCAUUCCGUAAGACAUCAUCUUGCAACUAACUCCUUAGUCACUUUUCUUGCAAGCUUCUUGUGAUGUCGUAUUACCGAGAGGGCCCAGAGAUACCUCUCCGAUACACGCAGUGAUAAAUCCCAAUCUCGAUUCAUGCCAACUCAAUAGACACCUUCAGAGAUACCUGUAGAGCAUCUUUAUGAUCACAUAGUUAUGUUGUGACAUUUGAUAGAACACAAGGUAUUCCUCCGGAAUCCAGGAGUUGCACGAUCUCAUGGUCGAAGAAACAUGUAUUUGACAUCAAGAAAGCAAUAGCAAUAGCAAUAAACUGAACGAUCAUAUUCUAUGCUAACGGUUUGGUCUUGUCCAUCACAUCCAUCUCCUAAUGAUGUGAUCCAGUUAUCAAGUGACAGCACAUGUCUAUGGUUAUGAAACCUUAACCAUCUUUUGAUCAAUGAGCUAGUCUAGUAGAGGUUGACUAGGGACAUGGUAUUUGUUUAUGUAUUCACACAUGUAUUUAAGUUUUCGAUCAAUACGAUUCGAGCAUGAAUAAUAAACCUUUAUCAUUAAUAAGGAAAUAUAAUAAUAACAACUUUAUUAUUGGCUCUAGGGCGUAUUUCCACCAGUCUCCCAUUUGCACUAGAGUCAAUAAUAUAGUUCACAUCGCCAUGUGAUUAGCACCCAUAGUUCACAUGGCCAUGUGACUAACACCCAAAGAUUUUACUAGAGUCAGUAACCUAGUUCACAUCGUCAUGUGAUUAACACCCAAAGAGUACUAAGGUGUGAUCAUGUUUUUCUUGCGAAAGAGGUUUAGUCUGCCACAUUUAGAUCCGUAUGUAUUUUGCAAAUUUCUAUGUCUACAAUGCUCUACAUUUAGCUACUCUAGCUAAUUGCUCCCAUGUUCAAUACGUAUCCAGAUUGAGACUCGGAGUCAUCCAGAUCGGUGUCAAAGCUUGCGUCGACGUAACCCUUUACGACGAACUCUUCAUCACCUUCAUAACCGAGAAUCAUUUCCUUAGUCCUCUUUAAGGAUAAUUUCGACCAUUAUCCAAUGAUCCACUCCUGGAUCACAAUUGUACCCCCUUGCCACACACAUGGCAAGGCACACAACAUGUUUGAUACACAGCAUGGCAUACUUUAUAGAACCUAUGGUUGAGUUAUAGUGAAUGACUUCAUUCUCUCUCUAUCUUCUGCGGUGGUCAGGCUUUGAGUCUUACUCAACUUCACACCUUGCAACAUAGGCAAGAACCCUUUCUUUGACUGACCCAUUUUGAAUUUCUUCAAAACUUUGUCAAGGUAUGUUCUUUGUGAAUGUCCUAUUAAGAAUCUUGAUCUAUCCCUAUAGAUCUAGAUGCCCAAUAUAUAAGCAGCUUCACCAAGGUUUUUCAUUGAAAAAUUCUUAUUCAUGUAUCUGUUUGUGCUAUCCAGAAAUUCUAUAUCAUUUACAAUCAGCAAUAUGCCAUCCACAUAUAAUAUCAAAAAUGCAACAAAGCUCCCACUCACAUCCUUGAAAAUACAGGCUUCUCAAUAAGUCUGUAUAAAACCAUAUGCUUUGAUCACAUUAUCAAAGUGUAUAUUCCAACUCCGAGAUGCUUGCACCAGUCCAUAAAUGGAUCGCCGGAGCAUGCACACUUUGUUAGUACCUUUAGGAUUGACAAAACCUUCUGGUUGCAUCAUAUACAACUCUUCUUUAAAAUUUCCAUUAAUGAAUGUAGUUUUGAUUUCCAUUUGCCGAAUUUCAUAAUCAUAAAAUGCGGCAAUUGCUAACAUGAUAUGGAAAGACUUAAGCAUCGCUACGAGUGAGAAAGUCUCAUCGUAGUCAACCCCUUGAACUUGUUAAAAACCGUUCACAACAAGUUGAGCUUUGUAGACAGUGAUAUUACCAUCAACGUCCGCCUUCCUCUAGAAGAUCCAUUUAUUUUCAAUGGCCUCCUGAUCAUCAGGCAAGUCCACCAAAGUCCACACUUUGUUCUCAUGCAUGGAGCCUAUCUCAUAUUUCAUGGCCUCAAGCCAUUUACCAGAAUUUGGGCUCAUCAUAACUUCUUCAUAGUUCGUAGGUUCACCGUUGUCUAACAACAUGACUUCCAGACAUGAUUACCAUAUCACUUUGGUGCGGAAUGUGUUAUGGUCGACCUACGAGGUUCAGUAGUAACUUGAUCUUAAGUUUCAUGAUCGUCAUCAUUAGCUUCCUCUCUAGUUGGUGUAGGCAUCACGGCAACAGUUCCUCCCACUCACUUCUUUCGAGAGAAACUCCUUCUCUAGAAAUGACCCAUUUUUAGCAACAAAGAUCUUGCCUUCGGAUAUCUCAUAGAAGGUGUACCCAAUAGUUUCCUUAGGGUAUCCUAUGAAGAUGCACUUCUCUGAUUUCGAUUCGAGCUUAUUAGGUUGAAGCCUUUUGAAAUAAGCGUCGCAUCCCCAAACUUUAAGAAACGACAACUUAGGUUUCUUGCCAAACCAGAGUACAUAUGGUGUCGUCUUAACGUGUCGGCAUUAUGGGAUCGGGGGUACCCAGAUCUGCCUGCCUGCGGCCCAUGGUGUGCCUCCUUCGACGGCCUGGUUUGGCCCAGCUGCAAGACCCCCCAAGACAAGACCCUCAUGAGCCCCCCUAGCCUCGCGAGGUGGGUGACACCAAGACCUCUCCAAGCCUGCCUCCCGAGGAGUGGAGAUUUCUAUGCAGGCACCCAGCCUCAUGAGGCUGCGAUGACGUGAGCCAUGACUACCAAGGCCAGGCGGGCACCAGCGGGCGCAGAGGAGACAAUUUCCUUUUUGGUGCUAAGGAGACAAGGACGAACGGGGGUUCCCAAGGAAUCCCCCAAAGGUUUCCAUUCCGGUGCAACAAGACCAACACCACGAUCUUGGCAGGACGGAUGUCAUCGCCGAGCCUACUGCUGCGUCAUGGCCAGAAGAGUUGCGGGGGAAGACCACCUUUCGUUAGAAUAAGAUGUACUACUUGUCCUCUUUCAAAUUGGCCGUUGUGGGGUCCCUUCCCGCCUAAGUUAUGAGGGAAGACGACCAAGGCCACAAUAGAGAGAGACUAGCCGCCACCAUAGGAGGGGAUUGGAUCCAUUGCACCCUCACUUCCUGAGCCCUCACGGGGCUGCUCAUCCACUAUACUAGUUCAUCUUCAGCCUCCUUGUGAGGCCAAUCCACCACAAAGUAGGACUAGGGUUUUACAUCACAAGGUGGCUCGAACCUGGGUAAACUAUUGUGUUCAUCUUAUUUCCCGCUUGCGCGUACUCGACAAGUCUAGGCCAUAAGGUGGUGAGCUUGAGAUUAGCGUUGGAGGGGAUAUUUGCACACGCCCCAGAGUUCCAACCUUCCUGGGUCUGGGAGCCCUGAAUGCGACAUUUGGUGCGUCAGGUAGGAGUGUGUCGAAGCUUCGCCUCUUCACCGACCAGGCUCCACCCUUGCUCCAUCAUCCCCAUGGCGCAUGCCACCCUACAGGCAUGGCCCACCGAGGUGUACGGGAGCGCUGUGGGUUGCCCGGCCUUCACCCCCGGCCUACGCCGGGUGCACUAGCCCAUGCGGUUCAGGCCAGCAUUACCCCCGCGGUAAGAUGGUGUUGUGGACCCCGAGGAGUUCCUCCGAUUGUAUGUGCAGACCAUCCAUGUGGCGGGUGGCAACGACAAGGCCAUGACAAACUGGCUCCCCCUGGCCCUCAUAGAGGCCCCCCGAUCUUGGCUUCGCGGCCUCCCGGACGCCUCGAUCUCUUCCUGGGAGGAGCUCUAUGACUAGUUUAUCGCGCGCUUCGUGGCUCUGGUGCCCCAUGUAGUCACAUGCAUCAUCGGUAGGCCGCAGGUGCCUGCUUCUGGCCAACACAUCAAGCAGCUCUUUCGUCGAGCGAAUGCUACUCGUCCGCGGCAUGACUCUCCUCGAGGCCACGUGGCUCCUGAGGUCGACAUCACCUUCGACUUCAGGGAUCAUCCCAAGACCACGAUCGCUGCAGGAACGCUUCACAUGCUAUGCACGCCCGCCAUCAACAAUGCCACAGUCACCAAGAGCCUCAUCGACGGUGGCGCCAGCCUUAACGUCCCCUCCGUGGAGACUUUCCACCUGCUCCAGGUGCCUUACGACCAACUCGCUCCCACCAAGCCCUUCUCAGGGGUGGUCAAGGGCUUGGCCACCCCCUGGCACAAGCUCAUUGACUUCGAUGUCACGCACAUCGUCCUCUGGUACAACGCCAUCCUGGGGUAUCCGGCCCUCGCCAAGUUCAUGGCAGUGACCCAUCCGAGCUACAACGUCGUCAAGAUGCCAGGCAGCAGCGGCAUGAUAACCAACAAGUAUAGGGGAUCGCAACAGUUUUCGAGGGUAGAGUAUUCAACCCAAAUUUAUAAAUUCGACACAAGGGGAGCCAAAGAAUAUUUUAAGGUAUUAGAAGCUGAGUUGUCAAUUCAACCACACCUAGAGAUUAAUUAUCUGCAACAAAGUGAUCAGUAGCAAAGUAGUAUGAUAGUUUUGAUAAUAGCAGCAGUAACGGUAACGAUAACAAUGAUAUUAGUAAUUUGGUAGCCAGUGUAACAGUGAUGAUAGAAGUAGUAACUUAUCAAGAACAAUAUAGGAUAAAUUCGUAGGUAUUGGAUCGGUGACUUGUUCGAUGAUAUUCAUCAUGAGACAGUUAUAACCUAGGGCGAUACGACACUAGCUCCAGUUCAUAACACGUAGUAGGUGACUAUAACUUGCAAGGUCGGAUCUAGAACAUGGAUAUAAUGGCGAUAAAAUAAACAGUUCAGAUCUGAAAUCAUGGAAUCCGGGCCGAGAGUGACAAGCAUUAAGCAUGUCAAAGUCAUAACAACAUCAAUCUAAGAACAUAAUGGAUACUAGGGAUCAAGCCCUAAGAAAACUAACUCGAUUACAUGAUGAAUCUCAUCCAACUCCUCACCGACCAGCGAGCCUAUGAAGGAAUUAGUCACUCUCGGUGGGGAGCAUCAUGGAAUUAGCGAUGGAGAAGGGUUAGUGAUGAUGAAGAACGAAGACCCCCCUCUCCGUAGCUCCAAAGGGACUCCAGAUCUACCCUCCCGAGGAAGAAUAGGGCUUGGCGGCGGCUCUGUCUUAUGGAUCACGAUAACUCUUUUUCCCUGAUUUUUUCUGGAAAAACAGGAUUUUAUAGCAUUGGUUUCAGGGUCUGUAGGGCCACCAGGUGGGGAAAACACACUUGGCGUGCCUAGUGAGGGGGGCGCACCCUGGUGGGUUAUGCCCACCCAGGUGCCACCCCUUCGAUAGGUCUUGGCUCUAGAAAUUCUUAUAUAUUAUAUAAAAAUUCCCCACAAAGUUUCGUUCCAUUUCGAGAAAUUUUAUUUCUGCACAAAAAACAACACCAUGGUAGUUCUCCUGAAAACAGCGUCAGUCCGGAGUUAGUUUCAUUCAAAUCAUGCAAAUUAGAGUCCAAAACAAGAGGAAAAGCGUGAGGAGAAGUACAUACGUUGGAGACGUAUCAACUCUCCCAAGCUUAAACCUUUGCUUGUCCCCAAGCAAUUCAGUUAAUAAAUUGAAAGUGAAAAAGAAAAACUUUACAAACUCUUUUGAUCUUGAUUGCAUAAAUAAGCUUAAACAGCACCCAGUUUUUCAGCCAACAUUAUAACUAACCAUGCCGACAAUAACUCUUAAAGAUUAUAUUAACUCGUAUCAAUGACAUAAUCAGCUAGCAAGCAAUAAUAAGACAUCUCAAAUGGCAACACGGUGUCAAAACAACCAUGAUAUAAUAUGACAAUAGUGGUAUCUCGCUAGCCCUUUCUAAGACCGCAAAACAUAAAUGGAGAGCACCUCCAAAGUCCAAGCAGCGACUAAACAUUGUAAUUCAUGGUAGAAAAGAUCAAGUCAUGAUGCACCCAACAUUAGCUACACACAAUGCAUAAGUCAUGACAGCUGUGCUCUCAGGUUCUGGCGCUUUUUUUAGAAGGUGAUGACACAACAUAAAAGUAAAUAGAUAGUCCCUUCAUAGAGGGAAGCAUUGAUUUGCAGAGGUGCCAAAGCUCAAGUUUUUAAAACAGUGAUAAAUGAUAUUUUGAGACAUGCACCCUUCUCAUUUACUUCAUGACUAUCAGUUAUCAAUAUCUCCCAUGCUAAACAAGCUAGUGGCAGUUCCCAAGCGAUAAAAAGUAAAUGUUUUGACUCCAUGGGGAGUUUUUGUUUGAUUAUUUAAGCAAUUAACUCUUUUUGUGUUUUGCAUUUUGGGACUGGGCAUCCCUAUUAUCGCCCUUUUCUCGUGCGAUGGCGAGUGAAUAAACACUCGACCUGAGAAUAACCCGCUUAGCAUGGAAGAUAUCGUCUACCUCCUGUCAUUCCAUGAACGAUCCAGUCACACAACACGGAUAUUUUUUUAGAAUUUUUAGAGGUGGCACAUGCAAAUUUACUUAGGACGGUAGGGUAAUACCACGUAUAGGUAUAUAUGGUGGACUUAUCUGGAGUACCGUUGGGUUCUGGGUUUUUGAUGUACAAGCAGAAUCCCCACUCAGUACAGGCGAAGGCUAGCAAUUAUAUUGAGAAGCGACCAGCUAGAGAGCAACAACGAUCAUGAUCACGCAUUAUGCAUAAGCAACAUUGGACACUAGCAUGAGUAGGAUAUAAACACCAUGAACAUAAAUAUCAUAGAGGCUAUUGUAACGCCCUCGAUGCGGCUAUAUCUCCCACGUGUCGAAGCACGACUUAGAGGCAUAACCGCAUUGAAAGCAAUGUCGCAAGUGAGUAAUCUUUGCAACAACCCAUGUAAUACAUAAGGGAAAGAGAUACAUAGUUGGCUUACAAUCGCCACUUCACACUAUACAUGAAUAAAGCAUUACAUCAUCCAGAUACAAACAAGGUCCAACUACGGAACCAAAAUAAAAGAAGACUACCCCAAAUGCUACACAGAUCCCCGAUCGACCCCAACUGGGCUCCACUACUGAUCAACUAGAACGAAACAACGCAAAGGACAAGAUCUUCAUCGAGCUCCUCCUUGAGCUUGGUUGCGUCACCUACACGGUAUCAUCGGCACCUGCAAACUGGUUUUGGAUGUAUCUGUGAGUCACAGGGACUCAGCAAUCUCACACCCUCACGAUCAAGACUAUUUAAGCUUAUAGGAAGGGUAAAAGUAUGAGGUGGAGCUGCAGCAAGCGACUAGCAUAUUUGGUGGCUAACAUACGCAAAUGAGAGCGAGAAUAGAAGGCAAAGCACGGUCGAGAAACUAUGAUCAAGAAGUGAUCCUAGAACAACAUACGUCAAGCAUAACUCCAACACCGUGUUCACUUCCCGGACACCGCCGGAAAGGGACCAUCACGGUUACACAUGCGGUUGAUGCAUUUUAAUUAAGAUCAACUUCAGGUUUUCUACAACCGGACAUUAACAAAUUCCCAUCUUCCCAUAACCGCGGGCACGACUUUCGAAAGUUCAAAUCCCUGCAGGGGUGUCCCAACUUAGCCCAUCACAAGCUCUCACGGUCAACGAAGGAUAUUCCUUCUAGCGGGAAGACCCGAUCAGGCUCGGAAUCCCGGUUACAAGACAUCCUCGACAAUGGUAAAACAAGUCCAGCAAAGCCACCUGAAUGUGCCAAAAAAUCCCGAUAGGAGCUGCACAUAUCUCAUUCUCAGGGCAAACCCAAUUGUCCAAGGUUCUAGUAGGCCAGCCCAGAGUUGCCCCUGGUGGCCACUGACAGCUGACAGGUUGGACCAACACUCGGAGGAGCACUGGCCCGGGGGUUUAAAUAAAGAUGACCCUUGAGUCUGCAGAACCCAAGGGAAAGAAAAGGCUAGGUGGUGAAUGGUAAAACCAAUGUUGGGCCUUGCUGGAGGAGUUUUAUUCAAGGCGAAGUGUCAAGGGGUUCCCAUUAUAACCCAACCGCGUAAGGAACGCAAAAUCCGGGAACAUAACACCGAUAUGACGUAAACUAGGGCGGCAAGAGUGAAACAAAACACUAGGCAUAAGCCCGAGCCUUCCACCCUUUACCAAGUAUAUAGAUGCAUUAAUUAAAUAAGAGAUAUUGUGAUAUCCCAACAAAAUAUCCAUGUUCCAAACAUGGAACAAGCUCCAAUCUUCACCUGCAACUAACAACGCUAUAAGAGGGGCUGAGCAAAGCGGUAACAUAGCCAAACAACGGUUUGCUAGGACAAGGUGGGUUAGAGGCUUGGCUUAACAAAAUAGGAGGCAUGAUAAGGAAGUGGUAGGUAUCGCAGCAUAGGCAUAGCAAAAGAGCGAGCAACUAGCAAGCAAAGAUAGAAGUGAUUUCGAGGGUAUGGUCAUCUUGUCUGAGAUCCCGCAAGGAAGAAGAACGAGACCUUGAAGAAGAAUCAAACAAACGUAGUCGAACAGGUCCUCACAAACGCGACGUUAUCGGAACUAACCCGAAGAAGCAACACCGGAAAGAAGCAAGCAAUAGUAAACAAACAUCACAUAAACUUGGCAUGAUGCACAAUCAAGUAUGAUGCAUGUCCGGUUUAAUGAUGCAUGACAAGGCAAAGCAAGAGCACGAACAAAACUACAAGUUAAGUGGAGCUCAAUAUGCAUCGGGAUGCAUAUUGACAAAACACCACAUCAAUUAUUUAGUUCUCUCCCGUUUAAGUAUUCAACAAUAUUGAAUGUUGUUAAACAUGGCAAGAGGUGAAACAUGAGUAGAAUACAUAGUUAGACAUUUUAAAUGAGUCCGGAAACAACAACAAUUCCGGUAACUCCCCGUAUGCAUUAGCAAUUAGGUGCAACAAAAAUUUUAAAAAUUUAAAUGUUAUUAUCAUGAUGCGAAUGACAUGUGCAAGUUUUAUGCAGUUUUUAUUAAAAGUUGACAUGAGCAUAAAAUGGAGCAUUUGUCAUCGUGGCGGAAAAAAGGGUGCCACGGCGACGAUAACGGAAACAGUGCCACGGCAGCGUUCUGGUUCCAGAAACUCGAUUGAGAUGCCGGUGGAAAAGAACAAGUGUGGCGGGAGUGUGUCAUGCGAUGAAUGGUGGGGUGCUCCCAGUUACCGGGUUCCCACGAGACGACGGUAUGGGAACGGGGAACAUGCAAGAAACAUGUCAGGCAUGGUUCAAACACGAGCAUAUCAUACAACACACAUGCGUUCUUUCACGGGCGUCGUCUCGGUGGUUAUACCUGCGAAGCAUGCAUUUCCAAGGCGGUUCGAGUUCGUCGAGGGAAGUAAAGGAGGUAGGCGUUCCGCAACGGUAGUAGAAGUAGUGGUACUAUCGGUCCCCGAUGGUAGUGGAAGUAGUGGUUCACGAGUCGAAGAGGAAAUGGUCGUUCAUGUUCGAGGAGUGAUAGUGGUACACGGUCGUCAUCGAACUUGGCAUCACAACGCGUAGACGGACAUAUUCCAUAGAUGUUCAUGUCAUCGGUAUCGUGGUACUUGGGGUCUUCAGACUUGCCGGCCCCGUUCGUUCGAAGAAGUACUUGAUGACUCCAACGUCUUCGGGGCGACGGUAGUGGUACCCACGAGGGUAGACGAACUUGACGGAUCCGAGGGCUCCGGACGUCGUGGUACUUGUCGAUUCAGGUCUUGAGACAUACUAGGCAUCGGUGCCUUCGAGGAACUCGGCCUGUCCAAAACGUAGCAGAACAGGGCCCCGGUUGCGGUCGUGUGGACGUUCAGUGAAGACGAACUUGCUGGUCAAAGCCAAAUUGAAACCAGACCAAGGAGGCCUCGGGUGGGCAGCAGCAAGGCAGGCUACAGCACACAACUGUGGACCACGGAGAGGUCGAGCUGGACGUUGAGGAGGGCAGCAGAGGCGACGGGCGGAGCAGAGGGGCCAAGGCCAUGGCGUCCAGAGGAGAAGCAGGACCAAGGGCGCGUCGAGAGGGUGCAGUAGCUGCUGCUGCUACCGGCGGCGAGGUACUUGGUGGCGACUAGGAGAAACGGGAGGAGAAGCGCGCGGGAGAAGAGCUGCUCCGGCGGGACUGCUCCGGUGACCAGUCCGCAAGGUCAUGUCGCUGCGAAGAGCGUAGCUGGCGGGUUCGAGGUCGAGCGAUGGUGAGAGGCGAAGUGGAUGACUUCGGCCUGGCACGACGGAGGCAAAGCAGAGUAGGGGGGCGGAGCAGAGGGGAUGAGAAGCAUGGUGGCUCCAUGGCCGGCUUCAGCCCACGGUGCGGGGUCUGGUUCGAGCGGUGCAAGGAGGCACGGGAUCCGUGAGCAGAGGGGCUGAGCAGUAGCUCAGACGGCGAGGCGAGGAGAAGGAGAGGACGGGGAGGUGCUGACAUGGGGAGCCGAGGCUGGCGGAUCGGGUGCACUUCCUGGCGACGGUGUAUGCGUGUGCGUCUGUGGCAGUGCUAGGAGAUCGAAGAGAGAGGAGGGGAGGAUCGAGCACGGCCUCCUCGCUCGAUGCGUGCAUGUGGCGGCGCGAGGGGACGAGGAAGGGAUCGAGAGGAGGAGGUAGGUCGAGGCUAGGGUUGAGAAGGGAUGCCGGCUGGGCUAGGAAGGGAUAGAUGGGCCUUAGAGCCGGCUAGGUUUAGGUGCAGGUGGGCUUAAAUGGCCUGUUGGGCUCCCUUAUUUCCUUUUUAUAUCUAUCUGCCUAUUAAAUAAACAGCCAACAAAAGGGAAAGGCCAGGGAUAUUGGGUAAGAAAUAGAAAGAAGUAAGGAUACAUAUGGACUCCUGGAAUUAAGCACCAUUUUAUAAAAUUGGUUUGGGCAUUUUUAGAGGUAGAAAAAUAAAACAAGUUUGAAUAAAAUUGAAACUUGAGGCAUUUUUGAACCUAACCAAAACAACUCCAAAAAGGCUGAAUCUUGACAUAGAGGUAUAAGGCAUGGUGCAUGACUCAUUGACAAAGAUUGAACAUUAAUGGAGAAGGGAGAAAUGGCACUUGCACCAAGGAAGGAAAAAGAAGUAAUGGGGGAGGUGAUGAUGCAUGGGUCAAAUGCAAAGCCAAACAACAUUACAAACAUAAUGCAAGAACAACAAGAUGGAUACCACAAUGCACAUGAUGAAUGCAAAAUGACAAGAGGCACAAAUGCAAUGUGACAAUGGUGAGCAUGUCAAUGCAAUAUAACCAAAGAUGACCAUGAUGAAAGAAACAAAAUAUGACAAAGGCACCAUCAAGAUCACGGCAACAAACAAUUGGAACACCCAACCUCGACGAAAUAAAAGGAAGGUAACUAGAGAAUCGGUCUCGGGGCGUCACAGCUAUGUUGGUUUUGAUUCAACUACAUGCAUGAACAUGUGCCAAGUCAAGCCACUAGAACAUUCAGAGGAGGAUACUGAUGUCGCUUGAAGCUAUGUCGGUAUUUCCCCAAAGAGGAAGGGAUGAUGCAGCAUAGCUGCGGUAGGUAUUUCCCUCAGAUAUGAAACCAAGGUUAUCAAACUAGUAGAAGAACCAAGCAACACAACGUAAAUAGCCCCUGUCCACGGAUAACAAAUCCUCACAACCCGGUGUGUUAAAGGGGUUGUCAAUCCCUUUCGGGUAAUGGUGCCCCAAACGGUGCUUGGACGGGAGAAAGUUGUGAAUAGAUUGAAUAAAUAGAUCGCAAAUCAAAUAAAUUGCAGGAAAGUAUUUUUGUAUUUUUGGUUUAAUAGAACUGAAAAUAAAAGCAAAUAAAAGGUAGAUCGCAAAGGCAAAUAUAUGAGAAAGAAGACCAGGGGGUCGUAGGUUUGACUAGUGGCUUCUCUUGAGAAAAAUAGCAAACAGUGGGUAAACAAAUUACUGUUGGGCAAUUGAUAAAACCUCAACUAAUUAUGACGAUACCUAGGCAAUGAUCAUUACAUAGGCAUCACGUCCAAGAUUAGUAGACCGACUCCUGCCCGCAUCUACUACUAUUACUUCACACAUCAAUCGCUAUCCAGCAUUCAUCUAGUGUAUUAAGUUCAUGGAAAACAGAGUAAUACAAUAAGAAUAAUGACAUGAUGUAGACGAAAUCCAUUUAUCUAUGGCGGUAGAUAUAGAUCCCAUCUUUUUAUCCUUAGUAGCAACGAAACAUACGUGUCGGUUCCCUUUCUGUCACUCGGAUCAAGCAUCGUAAGAUCGAACCCACUACCGGGCACCUCUUCCCAUUGCAAGAUAAAUAGAUCAAGUUGGCCAAACAAAACCCAAAUAUCAGAGUGGAAAUACGAGGCCAUAAGAGAUCAUGCAUAAAAGAGAUCAAAGUAACUCAAAUACUUUCAUGGAUAUAAACAGAUAGAUCUGAUCAUAAACUCAAAGUUCAUCGAUCCCAACAAACACACCGCAAAAGAGGUACAUCACAUGGAUCUCCAGGAGACCAUUGUAUUGAGAAUUCAGCGAGAGAGAGAGAGAGAGGAAGCCAUCUAGCUACUAACUAUGGACCCAAAGGUCUACAAAGAACUACUCACGCAUCAUCGGAGAGGCACCAAUGGAAGUGGUGAACCCCUCUGUGAUGGUGUCUAGAUUGGAUAUGGUGGUUCUGGACUCUGCGGCGGCUGGAUGAAUAUUUCAUCGAAUCCCCUAGGGUGUUGGGAAUAUUGGGGUAUUUAUAGAGCAAAGAGGCGGUCCGGGGGGCACCCGAGGUGGGCACAACCCACCAACACACUUGAAUAUUCACUACAGCCAAUAGUUAAGAAUGAUUAUAUUGCCUGCUAGUUGGUGCUUUUAUAAGAGAAUAUGGAGACUCAAAAUAAAAAUUGCAUAAAGUAAAAUAUAGGCCCUAUGCAGAGGGAAGUAGGGAUUUGUAGAGGUGCUAAAGCUCAAAGCGAAAAUUUUGAGAUAAAAACAUUUUAGGAGGUUUAUCCAUCACACCAACGAAAAUGACUUAGAGUUCCCAAUACUUUCCAUGCAUAGAUAUAUCAUAGGCGGUUCCCAAACAGAAAAUAAAUAUUAUUCCUUUUUCCAUCAUAACUUUCACUUUUCAAGGCUACCCAUAUCCACGGUUGCCCUCCAUACCAACACUUCCUAAGGAAUUUAUUAUUUGACAACAUAAUGUAAAUUCAUUUGUUUUGGCAUUUUGGGACUGGGCAUCCCUAAUGCAUUUUCCUUACUCUCGUGCAAUGACAAGUGAAUAAACACUCAUCUUGAGAAUAACACAUCUAGCAUGGAAAAAAUUAGCCACCCUCACUGCUCUGCGAGAGAAACAAACACACAAAAGAGAAAUUUAUUUUAAAAAUUAGAGGUGGCAUAUGCAAAUUUUCUUAGAACGGCACAAGAAAACCGCACAUAGGUAGAUAUAGUGGACUCAUGUGGCAAAACUAGUUUAAUGGAUUUUGGAUGCACAAGUAGAGGUCAUACUUAGUGCAAAAUGAAGGCUAGCAAAAGAUUGGGAAGCGACCAACCAAGAAAAGAAUAAUCUCAUAAGCAAGCAUUAAGCAUAAUUAACAUCUAAUAAUACACCACAAGUAGGAUAUAAUUUUCAUUGGAUGAUUAUUGACUUUCGUGCAUGCAUAGGGAAUCACAAACCUUAACACCAAUAUUCUUACUAAAGCAUAAUUACUCAUCAACAUGACUCACAUAUCACAUCAUCAUAUCUCAAAACUAUUGCUUAGAAUCAAGUUUAUUUUGUCCAAUGAUCUUCAUGACACUUUUUCUCUUUAUCCUUCUUGGAUAUCUAUCACUUAGGGAAUAAUUUUAAUGUGUUGCUUUUCAUAAGCUCAAACAAAUGUAAGUGAAGAUCAUGAGCAUAACAAAUUUUCUUUCUCUCAAAUAAUUUAAGUGAAGCAAGAGAGAAUUUCUUCAAAAUUUUAGUAACUCUCAAAUUAAUCUAAGUGAAGAAAGAGAGCAUUUCUUCAAAAAUAACAAGCACACCGUGCUCAAAAAUAUAUAAGUGAAGCACUAGAGAAAGUCCAUUUCUCAUAAAAAUUGAAGUGAAGCAUAGAGAGCAAUUCUAACAAGUCAAGAUAUAAUUUUGGCUCUCUCAAAUAGGUGUGUCUAGAAAGGAUUGAUGACUUAAAACACAAAAUAAAACAAGCAAAGACACAUAUCAUACAAGACGAUCCAAGAAAAACACAUAUCAUGUGACGAAUAAAAAUAUAGUCUCGAGUAAAAUACCGAUAGUUGUUGGAAGAAAGCGGGGAUGCCAUUCGUGGGCAUACCCAAGCUUAGUUGGUUGCUCAUACUUGGAUAAUAUCUUGGGAUGCCGGGUCAUCCCCAAGCUUAGGCUCUUACAUCCUUCCUUCAUCCAUCAUAAGAUGACCCAAAACUUGAAAACUUCAAUCACACAAAACUCAACAAAGCCUUCGUGAGAUCCGUUAGUAUAAGAAUAAUAUAUAGCUACUAUAAGUGAUGUAUCAAACCAAUUCAUAUUUUGUUUUUGUAUUAUAUCUACUAUAUUCCAACUUUUCUAUGGCAAAAACUCAUCAAAGAAAACCAUAGAGCCAUCAAAGUAAACACACAACACAAAGAAAACAGAAUUUGUCAAAACAGAACAGUCUAUAGAAAUCUGACUAUUUUGAAUACUUCUGUAACUCAAAAAACUCUGAAAAAUAGGACGACCUGAGAAAUUUGUAUAUUGAUCUACUGCAAUUGGAAUGGGUAAUUUAUCGCUCGUUGGUAAAAAAUGAAAAUUAAUUUCAUGAGCAUAAAAGUUUCUGUUUUUUCAGCAAGAUCAAACAACUAUUGCCCAAGAAGAUCCUAAAGGCUUUACUUGGCACAAACACUAACUAAAACACAAAAAAACAAAAAUCAUAACAGUAUCAUAAUUGUGCUAACACUCAAAAAUAGGAAGCAAAAAGGAAAAAUAAAUUUUAUUCAUUGGAUUGCCUCCCAACAAGCGUUAUAGUUUUACGCCCUUAGCUAGGCAUAAAGCAAGGAUCUAAGUUUUGUCAUCUUUGUCCAACUCUUCAAUCAAACACUUAGAAUCCUUCAAAGAUUCACCAUAAAGAUUUUGAAUAGCAAUACUUCUAGGAGUUAAUUUAAAGAUUUCAUUCCUGCAAAAAGGAUCUCUUAUCACUUCAACAAAAUCAGGAUGGAUACUAAUCAUCUUAAGAUCUCCUUUAUUGCUAUCACUAGAAGUUGCACCCUUGUUUCUACAUCUCCUACUCUUUACGGGAGUUUCCUCAAUAAUUUUAGUGGUAGUAAAAGCCGUGCUUAGAUACUAAAGAUUUCUUCCAAUUUAUCGAUCUGAGACGGACUUUCUUCUAUUCUUUCAUGGAUUAAGGUAUCCCUCUCUUUUAUCAACUUAAAAAUAUCGCCUACUUUUGACCCAAUAUUACUAGCAAAAUUAUGCAUCUUUUUAUGUAUAAUUUCCAUAUGAUCUUUAGUGAGUAUUUUCCUUUCGAUAACAUCUAGUCUUUCCAUAACAUGCUCAAAAGUCAAAAUUGUUUCAUUAACCAUAAGAGGUGGUGAGCCCACUAAAUUUCCCAUAGCAUUAAGAGCAUCAAAAGGAGGACUCAUUAAGAAAUUUCCACCGACAAUCGUAUCAAGGACGAAUCUAUACCAAGUAGUGAUGCCAACAUAAAAACAACGCAGAAGCACAAUGGUAGAUUGCUUACAGGUAGAUCUAUUAUAAGCAUUGCAAAUUCUAUACCAAGCAUAUUUUAAACUUUCUCCUACCCUUUGUUUAAAGUUUAGAACCUCGUUCUCGGGAGUGGAAGCAAUAGAGGAGGAAUUAUCCAUAACAGCAAACAAGAUCUCACACACAAAAACAAAUCCGGGAAGAAAACGGCGAACGGAAAAAGGGAGGCGAAUAAAACGGCAUUUUCUUGUGAAGUGGGGGAGAGGAAAAUGAGAGGCAAAUGACGAAUAAUGUAACUUGCGAGGAGAUGAAAUUUGUGAUUAGGAACCUGGUUAUGUUGAAGAUCUUCCCCGGGAACGGUGCCAGAAACUACUUUUGAUGUUGCUCGAAGCUACAUCGGUAUUUCCCCGAAGAGGAUGGGAUGGUGCACCAUAGCGGCGGUAGCUAUUUCCCUCAGAUAUGAAACCAAGGUUAUCGAACCAGUAGGAGAACCAAGCAACACAACAUAAACAACCCCGGCACACAGAUAACAAAUCCUCGCAACCCGACGUGUUAAAGGGGUUGCCAAUCCCUUUCGGGUAACGGCGCCUCAAAUGGUGCAUGGACGAGAGAAAGUUGUGAAUAGAUUGAAUAAAUAGAUCACAAAUAAAAUAAAGUGCAGCAAAGUAUUUUUGUAUUUUUGGUUUAAUAUAUCUGAAAAUAAAAGAAAAUAAAAUGUAGAUCACAAAGGCAAAUAUAUGAGAAAGAAGACCCGGGGGCCGUAGCUUUCACUAGUGGCUUCUCUUGAGAAAAAUAGCAAACGGUUGGUAAACAAAUUACUAUUGGGCAAUUGAUAGAACCUCAAAUAAUUAUGAUGAUAUCCAAGCAAUGAUCAUUACAUAGUCAUCACGUCCAAGAUCACUAGACCGACUCCUGCCUGCAUCUACUACUAUUAGUCCACACAUCGACCGCUAUCCAGCAUGCAUCUGUAUUAAGUUCAUGGAAAACGAAGUAAUGCAAUAAGAACAAUGACAUGAUGUAGACGAGAUCCAUUUAUCUAUGGUGGUAGAUAUAGAUCCCAUUUUUAUAUCCUUAGUAGCAACGAUGCAUACGUGUCGGUUCCCUUUCUGUCACUGGGAUCAAGCACUGUAAGAUCGAACCCACUAGCGGGCACCUCUUCCCAUUGCAAGAUAAAUAGAAAACCCAAUUAUCGGAGAAGAAAUACGAGGCUAUAAGAGAUCAUGCAUAAAAGAUAUCAAAGAAACUCAAUUACUUUCAUCGAUAUAAAAAGAUAGAUCUGAUCAUAAACUCAAAGUUCAUCGAUCCCAACAAAAGCACCACAAAAGAGUUACAUCAUAUGGAUCCCCAAGGGACCAUUGUAUUGAGAAUUCAGCGAGAGAGAGAGAGAGAGGAAGCCAUUUAGCUACUAACUACGGACCCGAAGGUCUACAAAGAACUACUCACGCAUCAUCGGAGAGGCACCAAUGGAAGUGGUGAACCCCUGCAUGAUGGUGUCUAGAUUGGAUCUGGUGGUUAUGGACUCUACGGUGGCUGGAUGAAUAUUUCGUCCAGUCCCCUAGGGUUUUGGGAAUAUUGGGGUAUUUAUAGAGCAAAGAGACGGUCCGGGGGGCGCCCGAGGUGGGCACAACCCACCAAGGCGCCUGGGCUUCCUGGCGCGCCCUGGUGGCUUGUCUCCUCCUCAGGACUCCCCCAGGUGAACCAGGGCCCAACAUCUUCCUUAUGGUCCAUAAAAAAUCUCCGUAAAGUUUUGUGGCAUUUGGACUCCGUUUGAUAGUGAUUUUCUGUGAUGUAAAAAACAUGGAAAAAAUAGCAACCGACACUUGGCACUAUGUCAAUAGAUUAGUACCAAAAAAUGAUAUAAAAUGACUAUAAAAUGAUUAUAAAACAUCCAAGAUUGAUAAUAAAACAACAUGGAACAAUCAAAACUUAUAUAUACAUUGGAGAUGUAUCAGAUACCAUAUCAUCAUAGUACAUCACAAUCAUUUUAAUGCAAUAUUGAUAUCCAAGAUAAAUUAUUAUCCACUCCCAGCUACUUAUACAUGGCAUGAGAAACUAUAAUCUCUUAUUGUCAUUGCAAACAUGUUUAAUCAUAAUGGGCUGAAUCAUGGAUACUAGGUUAAACAUAUUUACACAAACAGAACAAGUCGAGCUCAUACCAAUUUCACUCUGCCAUGACCAGUUCAUCGAAUAUCGUCAUUAUUGCCUUUCACUUGCACGACCGAACGAUAUGAAAACAAUAAUAGUGCAAGAGUACCAUGGACUAAGCUGGAAUACGCAAAACAUUUUAUUUAACAGGAGAAGACAAGGUAAAAUGGGUUCUUUAUUAGUUCAACAAUUAUUCAUAUGAGAGCCACUCAACAUUUUCAUCGUGGUCUUCUCCUUGGUACAACUCGAAUAAAAGAAAAUAAUUUAAGAGAAACACACACUACUACAGGAUGCUGGUAACGCGACACUACGACCAGAGACCCUUCGAUGAGACAGUGUGCAAUGCCAUAAUCGCAAACGGUGGUGUAAAAACUGUCAAAAAGGUGCAAAACCUUUGCGAUGGAGGAUGCAUCAAACACGGUUCAGAAUUUAGUUGCUUGUGCGAUUGAGGGCAUACGGUUCAGUUCAGUUAACCGUUUGCGAUGAGGAAGAACAAAAGAAACAGACAACCAGAUGAAGGUGUGUGCGAUGUACAACAUACGAUUCACUCAAAUGAACUGUUUGUGAUUACGCAACACAAAAGAAACGGUCAGCCAGAUCAAAGGUGUGUGCGAUAUACGGCAUGCGGUUCACUCGGAUAAACUGUUUGCGUUGAGACAUGAGAACAUAAACGGUUCAAAUGAACAAGAUGUGUGUGAUACGACGCAAACAGGUCUGUAAUCGGAAACAUGUGCGAAGACCGAUAACAACACGGACGAUUACUGCUAACAAGUUGUGUGUGUUGCGAGAAAAACGAUUGCUGGUAUACAAUUGUCAGUGAUUGAUGACAACACCACCGACGGGUUCCAUUGUUUAGUUCGUGUGUGAUGUGAUUUUCUUUGUCCGCACAACAUCUACGCUCUAUCUACAGAGUAUCAACAUAUAUACUUAAAAUGACAACAUUGCAUAACCAAAUUAAGCAUACAUUUACACAAGUGACUACACACAUAACAUUUCCACACACCAAACAAAGCAAUUACAUACAUACUACAGUAGGAGAAACGAGGAUCUAAUCAUGUACUUAUUGUUGCGACGACGCUUGCCAUUGCUCUGCUUCUGGCUGGAUCCCUGGCCGUUUUGGGGAAGGCGACACUUCCUCAUGUCAACGAUCCACCUGUACAUGUCGCAGCUCGUGUACGCCUCCUUGGCCGCGUACACGACAUGAGCUUUGUCGAGUUUCUCCAUCCAGGCCGAGUGCCAGGCACACUUGUCCUUGUUGCACGAAUCCUUUAUGUCUCUGUAGUAGGGUUCGAUGAUGGCCUCGGCGAGGUGAACUAGUGAGUCCUUCUCAUGCUCCUUGCUGCCCCAGAUCUUGUAUUGGCCCUAGAUGUCGACAAGAUUCUGUCAGGUGAUGCCCGAAUUCUCAAGCGCCUUUACAUCGUUGGUGAUGUCCACCAUAGUGAAAAUGUAGUGGGGGCUGUUGACAAACCUAGCGAAACGCUCGCAAGGCCUUGUGGCCAGGCAGUAGUGGUAGACGAGGACCUGGUGGAGCACGCACAUCUAGGUGAUGGCGACCUUGGGACGAGACCCGGCACGAGCGCGGGUGUACUCGAGGUCGAACCCGACCACCUUGUACUUCUCCGCGGCAAGUGAUAACUCCAUGAUGUGGAUGGACUGCUCCACCCAGACCGGGUCGUUGGUGUACACCACCGAGAGGUCCAUGAACCUUCUAUGGGUGUCCACCACUGCACGCAUGCUGAACUGCUACUUGUCGUCGACAGCCCCUCGGAGCACCAUUGGAGCCACGCAGGAUACCAUCUAAGAAUUUCUCCUAGUGGGUGUGCUUCUUGCAAUGGUGGGGCGUGAUCAAAAGGUUGAAGAGACACAAGGGUAGGUUAAAUGGACGCUGUAAUAAAUGGGAGCCGACCGACCUGUAAUCAUCACGUCUUGUCACAUCGUUCAUAGCAGAGGAUUCUAGUGCACGCUUGACAACACCGCACCACAUGCGUGGGCUCGAAGAGGUGCCACAUGUAUCGUCGAUGAGCCUAUUCCCGCGCUACAGCGUUGUUUACCGCACAAGCUUCCCGCCCGGCUAGUUUGGCCACGCGUCGGCUAGAAGAGGGGCAAAUCGUGGGCGUUUAUUGGAAAAAAGCUUUGUAAAAACGAAGUUUGUGGAAUGACUUCGGUCAUUAGUUUACCAUUGGGCGAUGAGGUCAAAAUUACACAAAAGGGUGAUGAUGGACACUCGAGUGCGAUAAUUAAUUUUGUACUCUAUAGUGCAUACGGUGGAAGAAACCAACUGCGUGCAAUAAUGUCGAAGAUCGUAGUCGAGUUAGCUAUACAAAUCAUGUGUUGUGAGAUCGACAAGGUAAACUGAUUCGAGAAUGGUUAAUAAAAUCUAAGACCAUUGCAUAUUCAGGUCAAAAUAGUGCUGGCAAUAUACGAGUCUCAUACGAUGCCAUUUCGACGAUUGUACCACAAAAGCUCGAAAAUGUUACAAGGUUCAAAUUCCAGAUUUAUGUGGCUCAAAUUCGAAUAUUACAAGGUUCAAACGGAUAUUAGAAAUGAAAUUUAGCUCAUCAGCUGCAAACGCUCGCGCUGAUCCACUAAACAUGGAUAUCAUAGAGGUUCAAACUAAUAUCACCGCUUCUAAGUCUGGCUUCGAAACCUCACAAUUUUUGCAAAAGGGGUCAGCCACUGAUAAGUCAUGUAUGGGGUUGACACAAUGACUUCCGAUUACUCUCUCAUCUGAAGUUCCAAAAUGAAAUUCAGCAUUUUUGGAGCCUACUCCAUUCUGCCAUAGGCGCCAGCGCUGAUCAACAAACCAUUCAUUUGUGCAAAAUAAAUGUAGGACAAACCUCAUUUCCUUCAGCACCCUUGCUUUGAGAACAAAGAACUUGGCGAAUAUAAUCUCCGGUAAGGUCCCUCGGCAGGAGUUCAAAGUAAUUUCUGAGAGAUGCAGAUCUAGGCAUUCGACGUGCUUGUUAUAUUGUAUCACAUUAUCUACCACUGGGCCUAAUCUUAUCUUCAAAAGAAGAAAACGUGUUAGUGCCUACAUGCAGUUUUGAACAUUACUACAGGCCUAGCUAUUUGGUUUGCAGGAUUUGAAAAUGCACUAACAUGCCAUCUUCGAUCUGACAUGACUAACAUGGGCAUUUGAUUACAUUCUAGAAAAAUGUAGCCUUCUUCACAAGAGGUUGGAGUGGAUGAGAAGUUCCCCAAGAAAACUAGUACAGAUGAUUCCAAAGGAGAAAUGCUUAUUGAUUGUAACCAUAUGGAUCAAGGAACCAAUAUGGGGGGGGCAUGUAUGUACUAAAAUCAUCCAAAAGAACCUUCAGAAAUCAUAGUACAUUGUCAUUGUAAACUUGGAAAAAGGUGUCACAAAUUGAACUCCCUUAUGGUUAAAAUUUAACAAGAAAGGAACAUCAUCUCGAUAUAUAGCUUCUCCGGGCAUGGAAAGCAACUCAGGAAACUGACAACUUGCUCCAGGUCGGGUGCGAUAGAUUCUAGUGCCAAGACCUUCACUAUGUGCAGUUUUGGGGUCAAGCUUGUCAGAAUUAUUUUCUGAAUGACAGAUGAAAAAACAUCUUCAAAAUUAGAAAUAAUGUUAAUUUGUGGAAGGAGAGUUAUAAGGCGGCUAUUGUACCUAAACGGGUGUGGAUCCAAUAACAAGUUCGGAGCAAUUGUCGAGUAGCCCACGACUGUCAAUUUCGACACAGAAAUGACAUUGAUUCUUGUUGGACCUUCUUGAUCAACUACAAGUAAUCUGUCAAGUGCAGGUGUGUCCUGGAUGACCAUACUGUGGUACAGAUCUUGUUAUGUCUUCCUGCUGCACCAGCAACACACGUAAAUAGUCCGGAGAGUCAUGGAGGUGAUGUGGAAGGUACUCAACCCAUUGAUCACCUGAAGACGAAGGUACUCGAGUGUAGUACAGCCAUGGAGCAGGCGCUCCAUGUCACCCUUUGAGAGGCAGACGACGAUGAGCUCGAGGUGCUUCAGUCGUGGUAGAAUUAGAGCGGGCGUGUCAUUAAGGGCGGGAAAUGGCAGUUCCAGAACUUGGCAACAUGCAGCAUGGGCGGCAGGCAAAGUGGGGACGUUGGCAAUGACCGCAUAUGCCCAUCAUCAAAAGUGAGCUCCUCGAGCUAAUCUAUGGCGGGGGAUCGGAACCUUUCGUCAAGCUUGGCUCGGUCCUAGCCGUUGGAACGGAACUUGCCCAUUCUAAGGCCUUUGGUUGGGCCAAGGUGACUACCGAGGAUCUUGGAGAAUGCAUCCAAGCUUUUGCGAUAGCCAUGGCAGAGCUCAUGGGUGUCGAUGAGGUCGAGAGUGCUGGAGUUCCAUAGGGGGCGCCACCACCGGGAAAGGAGGGUUGUACGUGCCCCAUAUUUGAUUGGGAGGUGGGUGAUGAUGACUAUCAACAUAUCAUCGCGGAGGUUGCUAAUUAAGUCUAGGCCUGCUGGAGUCACUUGCGGUUCUAGCUCGCCCUGCCUCCACUUGUUGGCAGCCCCGUUCUCCACCUCUGGAGUCUCCUUGUCAGCGGCACUUUCUGAUAGAAAUGGGAGUACAGGAAAUAUUUAGUUAAAACAUGUCAAUAGAAAAGUGUGUUGGUAACUAGAAGUUAUUAGGUAGGAAUAUAGUAAGAAAAGGGAAUAACAAUUGGUUGCUUAAAUAUGACACAAUUUAUUUGACAUUGCGGGGUAAGUCAACAUAUGCAGAUAGUUGAGAAGAAAACUUAAUUCGAACAAAGUCUGGACAGAUGAUUUUGUCGGGGAAGCUAGCAUAUACCUCAUGACCAGGCCCUUUUAUGUGAAGUGCAAUUUUAGUGCCAGCUUUCAGUACAUAAAACUUUGCAAUUUCAUUCCAAAAGCCAGUGCCAAAAUAGGAGUCACCACGUUCAUCAAGUCUUACUGUAGCAACGAUUAUAAAUCCAUGGUUUGUGUGCAGUAUGACAUCCAUGGAGCCUUGAUGUAUUUAAAGGAAAAAAGUGUGCAAUACAUAUUCUGUUGCAUAGCGAGGGAUGUUCUACAGAAAAUGGUAGGAUUGUUAAAGAAAAUGUGGUAACAUGCAAAUAUGGGCCCAAAUUGAAAGAACUGUACAGCAGUUGAAACCGAAGGACAAAAAUCUAUAAUUAAACAGAUAGGGUAAACAUGAUGUCAUGAAAAAAUGAGAGUAAUCGAAAUAACAAUACAUUAUUAAUUUACCUAAUAUAGAAAGAUGAGGGGAAAGACACCUUUUGACGUAUAUGGUGCAUGUGGCACCUUCUAUCCGAAUGUAGCAAUAUUGAGAAUAUGUUUAGGAAAGUAGGACAUGACAACCGAUAUAGGGUGAGAUUGAACAUACUGCGCGCGUGCUCAAGUUAUCUGGUAUGGAGAGAUGGAAUCUCUGGCAGCGGUCCUGAAGUGUCGGCGCACUAUACAUUCUAUGGAUGAAAGAAAACCCUCAAAUCAGCUUGAAUAAAAAUGAAUUAACGGUGAUUUCCGCCGAGUGAUUAAAGGAGGCAAGUGAACUAGGAUAAGAGAUGAGAUAAUAUCUCGUUAAACUAGUUACCUUGUCGUCCAUGAGAAAGAACUCUUAGUAAGGCAGAUUCCCCAACCGAGCCGAGCUGGGUCGACCGCGAGCAGCGUCGAGAAAGUUGAUGGCGAUAGGCGGCGACAAGCGGAAGUGGUGAAAUGCGAUGGGCUUUGCCGGCAGCCUGGCGGCGGCGGCAGGCGGCAUCCUAAGUGUUUACCGCCGCGAUAGGCGGUGCCAUGGCAUAGAUGCGGAGGAGCUUGUGCAGGUGUGAAUGGGGAAUGUACCGGAGGGGCCAAGGGAUUGGCAGGCGGGGUGAUGGUUUUUGUGAUGUGGGGAUGGUGAGGGUUUUCUUUUUUCUUUUUUAAUUUGGGUGGUGAGGGUUUUCUGUCCCACAAAGAAUUUUGGGGGCGACGGUUUGCUAGAGCGAACCGUGUGUGAUUGACAAAGCAGGAAAAAUGGAAGUCAUUGCACACGGUUCCAAUUUUGGGAACCGUGUGUGAUUGACGUACUACCUCCGUCCUGGUUUAUUGGUCCCCUGUUGUAAUUUUUACCAAAAUUUGGAGAAAUAUUUAACAUACUCAGUCAUAUAUAAUAAGCGUACAUGUAGAUAAUCAUAGUUCAACCAUAUGUAGUACAUAGUUCAACAGUAUUAAGCAUACUCAAGCGUACAUAUAUAGUUCCAUCCAUCCCACAUCUCAUCUCAUAGGACGACACGAUCCUAAAGCUUCUCCAAGUACUCGGUGUACGCGUCAUGCGCCACACUGCUCGAAUACUUUUGCUUGAAGGAGCCAACGGCCCGUCCUCUUGCAUGCGCUAGAACACUUAGAUACACGUCAUGAAGCUUCUGGUUGUAAAAUGGGCAUCCAUAGUCGCCGUUCCAGGUUCUAAUACGCCUGUUAUACAAAUAGUAAAACAAAUUUGGCAUCAAAUCAAUGAUGACAUGCCGUGAAGUAGGAUUAGGAAUUUAUGGCUAUUUAUUUACACAUAUCCAGAUAUUAUGGUUUGAUUUUUAAGCACAGUCGUCUAUGUACAGACCAAUCUUGAAUAUAAUAAUGGCACAAACAUAAGUAGGUCAUUGAAAAUCAAUUGUCAAGCCUUGGUUAGGAAAUAUUAGCGCAAACAUUAACCCUAGUCAGAUUACUAGAAGAAAUCAUUUGCACAAAUGAAACAAUUAAUCACUUAUCAACUAUACCAUUCAAACAAUCAAUACACUAUGCGGAUCUAACGAAACUUACUCAAAUUUCAUGGAUUGGGAGAACAUAACCAUAGUAUUUCUAUUCCAAAAAGGGGGAGGCAGGAGUAACGAGAUACCCUAUAAUUUAUUUGACACAUAAAUGGGUAUAGAUGACUAACCAGCUGUCCGUCAUUGUCGGAGUCGUCGCCGGAGUGGUCAUCGGAGUGGUCGUCAGAGUCGGUGUGGAACUCCGCCUCCGGCUAUGGAAGCUCGACGACAUCAGGGUGCAACAAUAAGUCGCCGGUGAUGACGGCAACCUCUGUCUCCAUCUCCAUGCCGUGCUCCGAUCCAUUAGUAGCCCCGAAGUCACCACUCCGUUCGAUGAGGCGCUUCGGCGGCAUCCUCAUACACCGACGACUUUGAGGGCUGAGAGCGGCGUCAAGCAUGCAAGCGGAGAGAGAUGAUUGUGUGUGCGUAGCGGGGAUGGGGGUGUGGCCGCUCAGGCGCACCAUUAAUAUGGAGUAGUGGGAGUUGUGGGAGAGAGGUGGGUGGCGGUCAAAUUGAUGGCUCGUCUCCCGGUGAGCCUGCGCACAGGACUACUGGCAUGCCUACCAAAGUUUCACACAGCUACUCUCACGCCUCCCGAUGACACUAUGCAGCAAGCACGCCUCUGUCAAUUCACACACCCGCAUCGUGUUCUUUUUAUUGCCAAUAAUGAGUUGUGUUAGAUGACAAUGUCGGAAUCUUUUUCCUUUGAAGUGGUUGCCAAAGCAGUUUACUCAAGAUUACCUCUCAAACUACAUGAUUGGUGGACAUGUAAAGGUUAAAGUAUUUCUACCAGAACACGGUGAUUAUCUAGAUGUUUUCAUGAAGACCGUGAAGGAUGGGUGGUCGGCCAUCACCAUGGGUUGGAUUAGAGUCGUGCGUGCCUCCUGCAUGGAGGAGGGCACAACAUGGGCAUUCUACUUCACGUUGUUCAGCAACCAGAAUAUAUUUCGCAUCUUUCUUUACCGUCUUUAAUAGUACAAGUAUACAACUGUUGUUCAUCAUUCUUUAUUUGGUUCUUAUGUAAUUCUUGAACAUAUGUACCUAUGAAUCGAAUAAUGGAUUGGUUGUUUGAACCUGAUGGAUAUGAGUAAAGCUGUAGCAUACAUUCAAAUUCAAAUCCAAAUACGGUACAAUUUGGAAAAGAAGCAAUUAAAUUGGGGUCAAAUUACGCUGUCCAGGUUGUUACGGCACACACGGUUGGUAAAACACAAAUGUUUGUGAUAUGCACCAUAAUAUGAGACGGUCCACAAAGAGGAAACAUGUGCAAGCAUGCACACAGUUGCCGUUUGCGAACCGUGUGUGAUGUCAGACAAUAUCACAAAUGGUGCGGGCAAACUAAACGUUUGUGUUAGUUGCCUUAUCAUAUAUGAUUCGCAACCAUGAACUGUUUCUGAUGAAGUAUGCACCAUAAACGUUGCACCACAAGAUAGCAUGUUCGAUAGUUGUCGUGUACGAUGACGUUACGACGGUCCGAUGUUUCGUAAUCCCGUUGGACACUCGUACGAUGAUUAGCUAAUCUUCUUAACAGUGAAACGUUUGUGAUGGGCCGCGCAUCAUACAUGUUCUAUAAUAGUGAACCGUUUGUGAUGGGCUGCACAUCGUAAACAUGGCACCACAGAAUACUGACUGCGAUGGGAAUGCGAGAAGAAACGAGUAGGAGUACUAUUGGGGCCCUAUCCCCAAUGGUUUCUGGGUCGUGUGGGAAGGACCCCCCCUAUGGCCCACACUCACUUGGCGACGGUUCCAAAUGCCGUCGCGGAAAGGGGUUAAAAACCGUUUGUUUAGGACUGACGUGCACCAGUGGCACUGAAAUAUUUUUGGAGUUUUUUGUUUUCUUGAACAAGCAAAUAAAAGGGAAAAGAAAAAUGAGAAAAACUAUUUACAUGGGAAAGCUCUCAACAAGCAAAAGAAGAACAAGGAAAUCUUUUUGGAUUUUCGUUUUAAUACUAUAGCUAAGCAUGCAUGGAAAAUAAACUAACUACAACUAAUGAAUUUUCUGUUUUUCUAAAGUUUUUCAAACACACAAGAAGAAUGCAAGAAAAAUAAAAUUUAAACAUGGAUGAUACAAUGAAAAAGUGUGAACACUGACAAGAUGAAUAAGUGAACAUGAAUGUAAUGUCGGUGAGAAACACGUACUCCCCAAAGCUUAGGCUUUUGGCCUAACUUGGUAGUCGAUCACUAGUCUGGAUAGUAGUUGGCGUGGUAGCUCACGGAGGCUCUCGGUGCAGAUGCCUCAGCAUGCCGUGCUGCCUCCACUGCUGCGUUGUGAGCUCGGGCCUCGCUCUCAAGAACAAAACAUCUUCCUUUGCUGUGAUAAUCAAAAACAGUAGGCGCAGGCAAAUAUGUGUGCGCAACAUAUUUUUGGUUAAACAAUAGAUUAUAAGUGAAGUUUUCAACCUUUCCCUUGAGAUUCUUAUGUUCUUUUAAAGUGUCAAAAUCUAAAUACUGCGUGGGUAGGAUAGGAUCAAAUGGCAAAGGUGAAACACCCAGCCCUCGUGCUAGAUGUGUGGCAUAUAUUCCACCAUAGAAAUAGCCACUGUUAGCGUUGUGCUGAAGUCCACGUGCAACAAUCGCUCCAAGGCUAUAAUUCCUUUCACUGGUGAGAGCGGUGUGGAUGAGGCUCAAGUCUGGAGCAUAGAAUGUACUACAAUCUUGCUUCCCUAAUAUACAUUUCACUACUAGGAAAAUGUUUGCUAGUGGCGAACCUGUUUUGGCUACUAAUGGUGCACUACAUUUGCUCCACUAGCAUCACGCCAUUAGAAUUUUUUACUAAUGGCGCACCACAGGUGCACCAUUAGUAUCUGGUAUUCUGAUGGCGCACCAUGCAGUGCGCCAUUAGUAUAUCCCACGGUGCGCCAUUACUAUUUGGCUUAGUAAUGGCGCACCACAUAGAAGUGCGCCAUUACUAACAAAUUUUUUCAAUUUUUUUUCAGAAUUUUUUUUUCAAAUUUUUUCUUUUUUUCUUAAUCUCGAGUCACUAUGGCUUAAUCUUGGGUCAAUAUGCUUAAUCUCAAGUCAAAAUCGCACUUUGUGGUCAAACUUCCUGAAAGGUCACCCAUCCUCACACUACUCCAGCCUGAGCACGCUUAACUUCGCAGUUCUAUCCAACCCCAGCACCAGCUCACUUCACACGCACUUGUUGAUAUAUAUAUCAUAUCAAUCCUAUUAAACCUUGUGGAUGUUUAGGACUUUGUUCAUGUUCAUGAGUGUGAUGAAAUUUUGAAAAAAUAUUUCAAACUUCCCGGUCAUAUUACGUAUCAUAUUUUGAAAAAAAUUCCAACUCUUUUUGAAAUCAUUUUUUUUCUGUUACUAGUGGCACACUUAGCAAAUGGUGCGUCACUAGUAAGUUUGAAUUUUUUUCAUCCCCCCCUCUAGAUCUUAAAAGCCUUGUAUCUUUUGUUCUGUUAGGUUUUUAGGGAUUUUGAAGAUGUUGAACAAGGAUCCCCCGAUUCAAUUCGUAUGUAACUUUUCGAGUAGAUGAUUUUUCAUAUAAAAAACUUUUUAAUCCGAGUUCAUAUGCAAAAGUUGUGCCCAUUUUACUAAAUUCAAGAGAGAUUUUGCAAAUAAAGUCGAAAUUCAUAUUUGUAAAUUUUCCCAACAACUAGACCACAUAUCACAUGGGAAACUUAUUUUCUUUUAUUUUUUNNNNNNNNNNNNNNNNNNNNNNNNNNNNNNNNNNNNNNNNNNNNNNNNNNNNNNNNNNNNNNNNNNNNNNNNNNNNNNNNNNNNNNNNNNNNNNNNNNNNNNNNNNNNNNNNNNNNNNNNNNNNNNNNNNNNNNNNNNNNNNNNNNNNNNNNNNNNNNNNNNNNNNNNNNNNNNNNNNNNNNNNNNNNNNNNNNNNNNNNNNNNNNNNNNNNNNNNNNNCACCAGGGUUACUAAUGGCGCACCUGAUUUGUGGUGCGCCAUUAGUAGUUUUGAAAAAAUAUUGUAAGUAAUGGCGUACCAGUGGACAGUGCGCCAUUACUAGUUUUUUUUUCAAAACUACUAAUGGCGCACAGUGGGUGUGGUGCGCCAUUACUAUGUCAACUAGUAAUGGCGCACUAUCCCAUGGUGCGCCAUUACUAACAUUUUUUUUCAAAACUACUAAUGGCGCACCACACACCAGGUGCGCCAUUAGUAAUAUGUCAAUAAUGGUGCACCUGUAUCUAGUGCACCACUGCUAUAUAGCAAUGGCACACCACAUACAUGGUGCGCCGUUAAUGUCCAUAUCAUCUAUACCCCUUUUCCUAGUAGUGUUUACCGUUAAAUAAUGCAAAGUACUGAAUUGUGGGAAAAUGAAUUCUCUUUAUUCUACCUUGUGUCACUUCCCUCGUCUCACUGUAACAAAGACUAGACAAGAAUGUUUGAUACUCAGUCCUUGGUGGUUCAUCAAGCGAACCCCAAUACGGGAGUUCACAGUGGUAAGCAAAAUUCUCUACUGAUAUGGUAAAUGGGUUAUCAUAAAGCAUAAAUGACACCCUAGACUCAUGGGGAAAGAAUUUAAAUCCUUUGACCGAUGAUUCGGUGAGAAGGUGGCUUUGUUCACAAUUUUCUGAAAGGUAGGGACCGAGACCGGCAUUGUGAACAUAUUACUCAAAUUCUUCUUUAAUGCCCACACGCAUCAUAUACUCAUCACAAGGCCAUAAGCAUCUUUUGGUGGCGGCAUCUCGAGUAGAACUUUCACUUGGUUCAACAUAUGACCGGCGAGUGGAGCUGUCACUAGAAGAUGCCCCCGAGGAUCGCCUUCUCGAAGAACUCCUUCCAAAGAGGCUCAUCAUGUCCGCGUACAAUUUUCUGAAAAAUUUUGGGUGACAAAAAUUUGUCAACAAAACUUUAUAAGAUUGAUAGCAACUACUCAUAGGGAUACAUAGAGGCCAUAGCAAUCAUUCGAACUACUUAGAACACUAAGAAUUCAACAUGCAAGCUCAUCUAUAAUAGCACCAAGAGUAGCUAUUAUUCAAAAUAUAAACCAUUAAAAUAAAAACUAAUUGGACAAAAGGUGGAGUCACAUACCAAGCAACAAUCCCCCAAAACAGUUUCGGAAACGAAGCUUCGAGCAAAGAGAUGGAAAUCCACGGGUUUGAGAUCAAGAACACGGGAGAGAGAGUAAUGGAGAUUUUUUUCUGGAGGUAGGUGAUGAUGUGGUGUAAAGUGAUAAGUGAGGGGUCCACGUGGGGAUCACAACCCACCACGGCGCGCCUGGGGGUCCUGGUGCGCCCAGGUGGGUUGUGCCCACCUGGUGCACCUCCCUCUGAUGUUUAUUGCACCAAAGAUUUAGAAAUAUUCAGAAAAAAUCGUAUUAAAUUUACAGAGUAUUCUAAGAACUUUUAUUUUUGGGUCAUUUUUUAUUGCACGGGAAAAAUCAGAAAACAGGAAAAACAUGGCAUUUUAUUUUAUUAACUAAUUAAAACAAAGAAUAAAAAGUAGGGACAGAAGAUAGUGCUUACUAAAUUCAUCAACUUCAUACCGUUCAAAAAUGAUCCAUUAAUAAGGUUGAUCAAGUCUUACUAACAACCACUUUCGAUUAGCAUGAAACCGAAGAACUUCCGUAAGUCACUAAGUUACCUCAAUGGGGAUAUGAAUGUCCCCAACAAUAAGAAUUUCAUAUUUAUUUUUGAUAGUAGGUAGAGGUAUUUGAAAGCUUCCAACAGUGAUUGUCGAAGAUUUUCCAAUAACAUUAAUACCAUUCACUUGGAAUUAUUUCUUCAGAAAGUGCACUGUAUGCUCAUUACCAUUGCUAUGAAAAGUGAUCCUACUUUUAUUGCAAUCAAUAAUAGCCCCUACAGUAUUCAAGAAGGGUCUACCAAGGAUAAUCGACAUGUUGUCGUCCUCGGGCAUCUAAAGUAUAAUAAAAUAAGUCAAAAUAGUAACAUUAGCAGCAAAAACAACGGGUACAUCCUCACAGACACCGAUAGGUAUGGUAGUUGAUUUGUCAGCCAUUUGCAAAGAUAUUUCAGUAGGUGUGAGUUUAUUCAAAUCAAGUGUUUUAUAUAAAAAGAAAGGCAUAACACUAACACAAGCUCCUAAAUCACACAAAGUAGUUUUCACAUAAUUCUUUUUGAUGGAGCAAGAUAAAGUUGGAAUUCCCGGAUCUCCAAGUUUUUUAGGUAUUCCUUCUUUAAAAGUAUAAUUAGCAAGCAUAGUGGAGAUUUCAGCUUCUGGUAUUUUUUCUCUUAUUUGUGAUGAUGUCUUUCAUAUACUUUGCAUAAGGAGGCAUUUUCAAGAUACCAGUGAAGCGAGUACGCAAAAAGACUGGCCUCAGCAUUUCAGCAAAGCGUUCAAAUUCUUCAUCAUCAUUCUUUUUAGUUGACUUAGGUGGAAAAGGCAUAGGUUUUUGAACCCACAGUUCUCUUUCUUUACCGUGUUUUCUAUCAAUGAAGUCUCUUUUAUUAUACCUUUUAUUCUUAGGUUGUGGGUUAUAAAGAUCAACAGGUGGUUCUAUCUCAACAUAAUUGUUUUGUUCUUUAUUAUUUGGUUGAGAGUCUUCAUGAACAUCAACAUUAUCUUUUUCAUUAUCACUAGGUGAGUGUUCAUUACCAGAUUGAGUUUCAGCAUCUGAGAAGAAGUUUCAUUAUCAUUAUCAAGAGGUUUCUCUAUUUCAGGUUCAGUAGGAGCAUGCAAAGUCCUAUCACUUUUCUUCUUCCUUUUCUAUUUAGAAGAACUAGGUGCACUAGUGUUGGCUCUUUGUGAAUCUUGUUCAAUUCUUUUUGGGUGUCCCUAAGGACAAAGUGGUUCCCGAGUCAUUUUACCUCCUCUAGUUGCAACUCUAACAGCAAAGUCAUGAAUAUUAUUAUUCAUUUCAUCAAGCAAUUCACUUUGAGAUUUAGCAACUUGUUCUAACUGAGUUUGAACCAUAGAAGCAUGCUUUCCAACACCUCUAACAUCAUUUGAUAUUCUAAAUAACAAGUCACUCAAACGAGCAAUCAUAUUAGAGUUGUAUUUCAAUUGUUUCAUAACAUUUGCAUUGAAGUGAUCUUGUUUUCUAAUAUAAUUUUAAAACUCAUAAGGGCAUUGACUAUGAUGCAUAUUAUGAGUAUUGUCGUUAUCAUUGAAUUUCAUAAGAGAAUUUACCUCUACCACCUUAGGUACUGGUAGUGUAUCAAGCCCAUGUAUUUCGUCAAAAGGAGGUAAAUUUUUAACAUCUUCAGCUUUAAUACUUGUUUCCUUCAUAGAUUUCUUUGCCUCUUGCAUAUCUUCCAGACUGAAAUAUAAUAUAUCCCUCUUCUUUGGAGUGUGUUUAGGCGGUGGUUCAGGAAUAGUCCAAUCAUCGUAAUUUUUCAAUAUGUUAUUCAAUAAUUAUUCAGCUUGACCAAUAGUUCGUUCCCUAAAAACACAACCAGCACAACUAUCUAGGAAGUCCCUAGAAGCAUCGGUUAGUCCAUUAUAGAAGAUAUCAAGUAUUUCAUUUUUCUUAAGUGGAUGAUCAGGCAAAGCAUUAAGUAAUUGGCAAAGCCUCCCCCAUGCUUGUGGGAGACUCUCUUCUUUGAUUUGCACAAAGUUAAAUAUUUCCUGUAAGGCAGCUUGUUUCUUAUGAGCAGGAAAAUAUUUUUCAGAGAAGUAAUAAAUCAUAUCCUGGGGACUACGCACACAACCAGGAGCAAGAGUAUUGUACCAAGCUUUAGCAUCACCCUUUAAUGAGAACGAAAAUAAUUUGAGAAUAAAGUAAUAGUGAGUUUUCUCAUCAUGAGUAAAAUGGGUGGCUAUAUCAUUCAACUUAGUAAGAUGUGCCACAACAGUUUCAGUUUCAUAACCAUGGAAAGGAUCGGAUUCAACCAAAGUAAUUAACUCUAGGUUGACAGAGAAUUCAUAAUCCUUAUCAUCAAUAAAGAUAGGUGAAGUAGCAAACUUAGGAUCACAUUUCAUUCUAGCAUUCAGGGAUUUCUCUUUAUACUUGCAUAAUAAUUUCUCUAGGUCAUCUCUGUCUCUGCAAGCAAGAAUAUCUAUAGUUGUUUCUUCACUCAUAACUUAACCUUCUGGUACCUUAGGCAGUUCAUAUCUAGGAAGGCUAGUUCUAGUAGGUGUUUCAAGAGAAUCAAUUUCAAGCUCAUCAACAGAAUCAACAACAUCAUGUUGUAUAACUCUAGCAAUUUGUUUAUCAAGAAAUUCACCAAGUGGCACAUCAUCAUUAAGCAAGGUACUAUUAUCAUCACAAGCAUUAUCCAUAGCAGAAGUAGCAUCGUCAAUAACUUGCGACAUAUCAGAACUAAUAGAAUGUGGUGGUGUUGCAAGUUUACUUAUAACAAAAGGUGGAUCUAAAGCAGAACUGGAUGGCAGUUCCUUACCUCCCCUCGUCUUUGAGGGAAAUAUCAGCAUCCUUCAGAUUCUUCAUAGUGAUAAUAUGAUAAUAAUCCCAAGUGUCUCGACAAAUAUUGCUAUGCUCCCCGGCAAUGCCGCCAGAAAAGGUCUUGAUAACCCACAAGUAUAGGGAUCGCAACAAUUUUCGAGGGUAGAGUAUUCAACCCAAAUUUAUAGAUUCGAUACAAGGGGAGCCAAUGAAUAUUUGAAGGUAUUAGGAGCUGAGUUAUCAAUUCAACCACACCUAGAGAUUAACUAUCUGCAACAAAGUGAUCAGUAGCAAAGUAGUAUGAUAGUUUUGAUAAUAGUAGCAGUAGUAACGAUAACGGUAACAGUGAUAGCAAUAAUUUGGUAGCAAGUGUAACAGUGAUGAUAGCAGUAGUAACUUAGCAAGAACAAUAUAGGAAUAAUUCGUAGGCAUUGGAUCAGUGACUUGUUGGAUGAUAUUCAUCAUGAGACAGUUAUAACCUAGGACGAUACGGCACUAGCUCCAUUUCAUCGAUAUAAUGUAGGCAUGUAUUCCGUAAAUAGUCAUAUGUGCUUAUGGAAAGAACUUGCAUGGCAUCUUUUGUCCUACCCUCCCAUGGAAGCGGGCACCAUACUGGAAACUAAGGGAUAUUGAGGCUUUGUUUUAAUAGAGAACCGGAACAAAGCAUUAACACAUAGUGAAUACAUGAACUCUUCAAACCACGGUCAUCACCGGAUGUGGGCCCAGCUAUUGUCACUCCGGGGUUGCCGAAUCAUAACACGUAGUAGGUGACUAUAGCUUGCAAGAUCGGAUCUAGAACAUGGAUAUAAUGGUGAUAACAUAAAUGGUUCACAUCUGAAAUCAUGGCACCCGGGCCAAAAGUGACAAGCAUUAAGCAUGGCAAAGUCAUAACAACAUCAAUCUAAGAACAUAAUGGAUACUAGGGAUCAGCCCGAACAAAACUAGCUCGAUUACAUGAUGAAUCUCAUCCAACUCCUCACCGACCAGCGAUCCUACGAAGGAAUUACUCACUCACAGUGGGGAGCAUCAUGGAAUUGGCGAUGGAGAAGGGUUGGUGAUGACGAAGAAUGAAGACCCCCCUCUCCGGAGCCCCAGACGGACUCCAGAUCUGCCCUCUAGAGGAAGAACAAGGCUUGGCGGUGGCUCCGUCUCGUGGAUCAUGAUAAUUCUUUCUCCCUGAUUUUUUCUAGAAAAAUAGUAUUUUAUAGCGUUGGUUUCAGGGUCUGCGAGGCCACGAGGUGGGGACAACUCACCUGGGCGCGCCUGGUGAGGGGGGCGCGCCCUGGUGGGUUGUGCCCACCCAGGUGCCCCCCCCAUCGGUAGGUCUUGGCUCCAGAAAUUCUUAUAUAUUAUUUAAAAAUUCCCUGCAAAAUUCGUUCCAUUUCGAGAACUUCUAUUUCUGCACAAAAAAUUACAUCAUGGUAGUUCUGCUAAAAUAGCGUCAGUCCGGGGUUAGCUUCAUUCAAAUCAUGCAAAUUAGAGUACAAAACAAGAGGAAAAGCGUUUGGAAAAGUAGAUACGUUGGAGACAUACCACGGCAUCAUCACGGUGGUCAGAGACAUGAAGGACGCGGUCUGGGCCCUCAAGCUCGCCUACAGGGCUAUGGCCCCCUGAUGCCAUGGAGACUCAGGAGGCCGCGCUCGCAAAGAAAAAGCAGUUGUUCUCUCAGGACGGAGCCAAGACAAAGCAGGUGCCUGUCGAUAGCGAGGACUCAGGCCCCACCUUCACCAUAGGUGCCAACCUCCCCCCAGCCUAGGAGGAGGCAUUGGUUGGCUUCCAGAGGGCCAACAAAGACGUACUUGCAUGGGAAGCGUCCGACUUGGUUGGUAUCCCGAGGGAGGUGAUCGAGCACCACUUGAUGGUAUGCCCCGGUGCGUGACCGAUGAAGCAAAAGGCGCGGUGUCGGGCACAAGAGAAGCAAGCAUUCAUCAUCCAAGAGAUCCACAAGCUGCAAGAGGCUAGUGUCAUUUGGGAAGUGCGGCACCCGGAUUUGUUAGCGAACCCAGUGAUCGUCCCCAAGAAAGGAGGAAGGAGCGCAUGUGCGUCGACUUCACGAGCCUCAACAAAGCUUCCCCUAAGGACCCUUUCCUGCUCCCGUGCAUUGACCAGAUCAUGGAUUCCACUACCGAGUGCGAUCUGCUAUGCUUUUUGGAUGCUUUCUCCGGAUAUCAUCAAAUCAAGAUGGUGGUGGAGGACGUCGAGAGAACAACCUUCAUCUCCCCAUGCAGCAUGUAUUGCUUCACCUGCAUGCCCUUCGGGUUGCGAAAUGUUGGUGCAACCUUCCAGCGGCUGAUGCACAUCGCGCUUGGGCCACAGCAGGAGAGAAAUAUGGAGGCAUACAUCAACGACAUCGUGGUCAAGACACGGGAGGCAAGUGAUAUGUCACCAACGUAUCUAUAUUUUGUGAUUGUUCCAUGCUAUUAUAUUAUUCAUCUUGGAUGUUUUAUAAGCAUUGAGAUCCUAUUUUAUAUUAUUUUUUGGACUAACCUAUUAACCUAGAGACUAGUGCCAGUUUCUAUUUUUUUUCCUUGUUUUUCAGUUUUGCAGAAAAGGAAUAUCAAUCAGAGUCUAAAUGAGCUGAAAAUUUAUGGUGAUUUUUUAUGGACCAGAAGAAGCCCCCGAAGCACAAGAGUCGGUCCAGAAGUGUCCCGAGUCAACCACAAGGGUGGAAGGCGCGCCCCUACCUUGUGACUGCCUUGUGGACCCCCCUGACGUGAAACCGACGGCAAAAAUUCCUAUAAAUCCAUAAACCUCCAGAAAUAAACUUAGAUCAGGAGUUCCGCCGCCGCAAGCCUCUAUUGCCACGAAAAACCAAUCGGGAGCCGUUUCCGGCACCCUGCCGGAGGGGGAAACCAUCACCGGAGGACAUCUUCAUCAUCCCGGCGCUCUCCAUGACGACGAGGGAGUAGUUCACCCUCGGCGCUAAGGGUAUAUAAGUACCAGUAGCUAUGUUUUGAUCUCUCUCUCGUGUUCUUGAUUUGGCACGAUCUUGAUGUACCACGAGCUUUGUUACUAUAGUUGAAUCAUAUGGUGUUUCUCCCCCUCUACCUUCUUGUGAUUAAUUGAGUUUUACCUUUGAGGUUUCAAUAUUAUCGGAAUGAAUACUAUUUUGGAUUUCAGAACACUUGAUGUAUGUCUUGCGUGGGAUACUCAUGGUGACAAUGGGGUGUUCUAUUGAUUCACUUGAUGUAUCUUUUGGCACUGAAUUCGCGGAUUCCCGAGGUGACAUUGGGGUAAUCUAUGCAUAGGGGUUGAUGCACAUUUUCGUCCUUGUUUCUCCAGUAGGAAUCUUGGCGCACUCUGCGAGGUUCUUUGUGUUGGAUUGAAUAUUAUUAAACUGAAGUUGUUUGAUGCAUAUUGUAUAGUUGACCCACGAAUACUUGUGGUGACACUGGAGUAUCUAGGUGACAUUAGGGUUUAUUGAUGUGUGUCAUAUGGUGUUAUUUUACUACAAACUCUAGGGCUGUUUGUGACACUUAUAGGAAUGGCCCAAUGGAUUGAUCAGAAAUAAUAACUUUGAGGUGGUUUCGUACCCUACAAGAAAUUUCAUCUUAUGUUCUCCACGAUAGGAACUUUGGAGUGACUUUUGUCACACGUUGAGAGUUUACCUUAUGAUUUAAUUACGUUAUCAUUGUUGAGAGAACAUGCACUAGUGAACGUAUGAACCCUAGGCCUUGUUUCCAAGCAUUGCAAUACAGUUUUGCUCACUUUUGUUACUAGUUACCUUGCUGUUUUAUAUUGUCAGAUUACAUAACCUAUAUCUACCAUCCAUAUUACACUUGUAUCACCGUCUCUUUGCCGAACUGGUGCACCUAUACAAUUUACCAUUGUAUUGGGUGUGUUGGGACACAAGAGACUCUUUGUUACUUGGUUGCAGGGUUGUUUGAGAGAGACCAUCUUCAUCCUAUGCCUCCCAUAGAUUGAUAAACCCUAGGUCAUCCACUUUAGGGAAAAUUGCUACUGUCCUACAAAACUCUACUCUUGGAGUCCCAACAGGAGUCUACAACAAGAAGGUUGCGUAGUAGACAUCAACCUCUUUUUCUAGCGCCGUUGCCGGGGUGGUUAGUGCUUGAAGGUAUAUCUUUAGAUCUUGCAAUUGAAUCUGUUAGUUUCUUGUUUUAUCACUAGUUUAGUCCAUAAAAGAAAACUACAAAAAAAUGGAAUUGAGGUUGCCUCAUAUGCUUCAUCUUUUUAAUGAAUAUCGUGAAAAUGAUGGAAAGGAAAAUUGUGCUCAAGUGUUAGAAGAAGUCUAUAGAAUGUUUGGCACUAAAUUUUUGAAUGAUGAGCAUGAUUGCUAUGUUGUUAGUAUGAAUUCUUUGAAUAUCCAUGAUGCUAAUGAUAUGCAAAGCCAAAAUCUUGCGGAUGCUAUGUUUGAUGAAGAUGAUAUUUUUUGUCCCCCAAGUUUUGAUGAGAAAAUUUAUUGUUAUGAUAGCAUGCCUUCUAUUUAUGAUGAUUAUAUUGAUGAAAGUGGGUUUGGAAGAGUGUCAACUCUAGGUAAUAAUGAUCCCACUAUUUUGGAGGGUGUUGAAUCUUUUCACAAUAUUGAUGAAAGUGGAUUUGGAGAGGUCAUGACUUUAUUUUGUGAUGAAUACAUUAUUUAGGAAGAGGUUCCAAUUGAUUAUGAGAACAAAGUUGCUAUAUAUGAUGAUUAUUGUGAUGGCAUAUAUGCUAUAAAGAAACUUGUCAUCAAGUUUUAAGUUUUGAUUGGAUUAUGCCUCACAUGAUAGUUAUGUUGUUGAGUUUGCUCCCACUAUCCCGAAUGAGAAGAAUUUUCCCUAUGUGGAGAGUAGUGAAAUUUCUAUGCUUGUGCAUCAUGAAAAUAAUGUUUUAUGUGAUGGUUAUAUUUUUGAAUUAAUUCAUGAUGCUACUAUAAAUUAUUAUGAGGGAGGAAUAUAUGCUUGUAUGAGUUGCAAUAAUAUCAAGUUUCCUCUUAAUGUGUUUAAAGUUUUGAAGUCAUGCUUGUUCUGCCUUCCUAUGCUAGUUGAUUCUUGUUCCCAUAAAUUGUUGGAUAACAAAUUCCCUAUGCACAGUAAGUGGGUUAGACUUAAAUGAGCUAGUCAUAUGCUUCAUGAUGCUCCCAUUAUGUUUCAACUCUUAUUCUUUAAGUGAGCAUCAUUGACAUCAUCAUGCCUAGCUAAAAAGGCAUUUAAGUAAAGAGCUUGUUGGGAGACAACCCAUUGUUUACCAUUACUAUUUUUGUGUGUUCACAUGAUUAUGCUACUGUACCAAUUAUGUUUUAUAGCUUUUGUUUCAAUAAAGUGCCAAGUAAGACCUUUGGGAUGGUCUAUGGUGAUAGUUUAUUUGAUCUUGCUAAAAAACAGAAACUUUUGCGUCAAGUAAAACAAUUUUGAAAAAUCACAGAAGCAUGCUUUUGAUCUGAAUUUUGUACACAAGAUUGAUAUACAAAUUUCCCUGGUUUUCCUAAUUUUUCAGAAGUUUUGUAGUUACAGAAGUAUGGAAAGUUUCCAGAUUACUAUAGACUGUUUUGUUUUUGACAAAUUCUGUUUUCUAUGUGUUGUUCGCUUAUUUUGAUGAAACUAUGAGUAGUAUCGGAGGGUAUCAACCAUGGAGAAGUUGGAAUACAAUAGAUAUUACACCAAUUUAAAUAAAGAAUGUGUCACAACAGUACCAUAAGUGGUGAUUUAUUUUCUUACUAACGGAUCUCAUGAGAUUUUCUGUUGAGUUUUGUUUGUGAAGUUUUCAAGUAUUAGGUAAGGAUUUGAUGGACUAUGGAAUAAGGAGUGGCAAGAGCCUAACCUUGGGGAUGCCCAAGGUUCCCCAAGGUAAUAUUCAAGGACAACCAAGAGCCUAAGCUUGGGGAUGGCCCAGAAGGCAUCCCCUCUUUCGUCUUCGUCUAUCGGUAAAUUUGCUUGAGGCUAUAUUUUUAUUCACCACAUGAUAUGUGUUUUGCUUGGAGAAUCUUGUAUGAUAUGAGUCUUUGCUUUUUAGUUUGCCACAAUCAUCCCUGCUAUACACACCUUUUGAGAGGGACACACAUGAAUCGUAAUUUAUUAGAAUACUCUAUGUGCUUCACUUAUAUCUUUUAAGAUAGGCAAUUUUGCUCUACUGCUUCACAUAUAUAUUUUUAGAGCACGACAGUGGUUUUAUUUCAUAUAAAUUGUUUAACUAUCAUGCUUCACUUAUAUUAUUUUGUGAGUCUUUUUCAAUAGCAUGGUAUUUGAUUUGGUUAUGAAUUUAGUCCUAAAAUGAUAGACAUCCAAGAGGGAUAUAACAAAAACUUACAUAUAAAGUGCAUCGAAUACUGUGAAAAAAUUGAUUCCUUAUGAUUGUUUUGAGAUAUGAGGAUGGUGAUAUUAGAUUCAUGCCAGUGAGUAAUUGUGGAUUGUAGAAAUACUUGCGUUAAAGUUUAUGUUUCUCAUACCAUGCACAUAUGGUGAACCGUUAUGUGAUGAAGUCGGAGCAUGAAUUAUUUAUUGAUUGUCUUCCUUAUGAGUGGCAGUCGGGGGCGAGCGAUCGUCUUUUCCUACCAAUAUAUCCCCCUAGGAGCACGCACGUACUACUUUGUUUCGAUGACUAAUAUAUUUUUGGAAUAAGUAUGUGAGUUCUUUAUGACUAAUGUUGAGUCCAAGGAUUAUACGCACUCUCACCCUUACACCAUUGCUAGCCUCUCUAGUACCGCGCAACUUUCGCCGGUGCCAUACACCCACCUAUUACCUUCCUCAAAACAGCCACCAUACCUAUGUAUUAUGGCAUUUCCAUAGCCAUUCCGAGAUAUAUUUCCAUGCAACUUCCACCAUUCCGUUUAUUAUGACAUGUUUCAUCAUUGUCAUAUUGCUUUGCAUGAUCAUGUAGUGGACAUCGUAUUUGUGGCAAAGCCACCUUUCAUCAUUUAUACGUGUCACUCUUGAUUCACUGCACAUCACGGUAUACCGCCGGAGGCAUUCAUAUAGAGUCAUAUUUUGUUCUAAGUAUUGAGUUGUAAUUUUUUGAGUUGUAAGUAAAUAAAAGUGUGAUGAUCAUUAUUAUUAGGGCAUUUUCCCAUGUGAGGAAAGGAUGAUGGAGACUAUGAUUCCCCCACAAGUCGGGAUGAGCCUCCGGACGAAAAAAGAGAGAAAAAAGAGGACAAAGAAGCCCACAUAAAAAAUGAGAGAAAAGAGAGAAGGGGCAAUGUUACUACACUUUUUCCACACUUGUGCUUCAAAGUAGCACCAUGAUCUUCAUGAUAGGGAGUCUCCUAUGUCGUCACUUUCAUAUACUAGUGGGAAUUUUUCAUUAUAAAAUUUUGCUUGUAUAUUCCAAUGAUGGGCUUCCUCAAAUUGCUCUAGGUCUUUGUGAGCAAGCAAGUUGGAUGCACACCCACUUAGUUUCUUUUUGAGCUUUCAUAGACUCAUAGCUCUAGUGCAUCUGUUGCAUGGCAAUUCCUACUCACUCACAUUGAUAUCUAUUGAUGUGCAUUUCCAUGGCCCAUUGAUACACAUAGUUGAUGUGAGACUAUCUCCUUCUUUUUGUCUUCUCCACAACCACAAUGUUAUAUUCCACCUAUUCUGCAAUGUCCAUGGCUCAAGCUCAUGUAUUGCAUGAAAGUUGAAAAGGUUUGAGAACAUUAAAAGUAUGAAAAUGGAGCAUAGCCAGACUAUAUGAUUUUUUAGGGAUAACUUUCUUUGGCCAUGUUAUUUUGAGAAGACAUGAUUGCCUUAUUAGUAUGCUUGAAGUAUUAUUGUUUUGUUCAAUAUUAAAAUUCUUUUUGAAUCUUAUGGAUCUAAAUAUUCAUGCCACAAUAAAGAAAAUUACAUGGAUAAAUAUGUAGGUAGCAUUUAGCAUCAAAACUUCUGUUUUUUUAUCAUUUACCUACUCGAGGACGAGCAGGAAUUAAGCUUGGGGAUGCUUCAUAUGUCUCCAAUGUAUAUAUAAUUUUUGUUUGUUUCAUGCUAUUAUAUUAUUCAUCUUGGAUGUUUUAUAUGCUAUUUUAUAUUAUUUUUUAGACUAACCUAUUAACCUAGAGCCCAGUGCCAAUUUUAGUUUUUUUCCUUGUUCUUGAGUUUUGCAGAAAAGGAAUAUCAAACGGAGUCCAAAUGAGAUGAAAUUUUACUGUGAUUUUUAAUUGACCUGAAGAAGCCCCCGAAGCACAAGAGUUGGGCUAGAAGAGUCCCAAGUCAACGACAAGGGUGCACUACAAGAAAAAGACACAUCCAUGACAUUUUGGGCCGAACGAUUUUUUUUUCUGUCAUACAUAUGACACUUCUAUGACGAUAAUUGUGACAAAACCAGGUAUCAUCAUAGAAGUGGUGGGCUCCUACUUCUAUGACAAAAAAUCAUGACAGAAAAUGGGCUUUUUGUCUUGGGUGGGCCGGAGAUGCAGCUGCAUGACAUUCUUUGGGCCGUCCAUCACGGAAAAAACCGUGGUAGAAGCGAGGGGGAGGAAAAUUUCGGGGAGUUCCCGGUUACGGUGGGAGGUUGGGGGCUGAGCGAUGCGCAUUUCUCUCAUACACAUAUGCGCGUGUGUGCGAGGCGUUGACUCUAACUGAACCCGAGCAAGGCGUUGGGCUCUAACUGAACCCAAGCGAUUGCACUGCAGGCUACGCGUUACUGAAGCCGAGCGAUCGAUCGAUGGCUGUUAACUGAACCCGAUCGAGAGAUUCCUUCGCUACUGCUGCUAACUGAAGCCGAUCGAUGCUGCCUCUGGAUGANNNNNNNNNNNNNNNNNNNNNNNNNNNNNNNNNNNNNNNNNNNNNNNNNNNNNNNNNNNNNNNNNNNNNNNNNNNNNNNNNNNNNNNNNNNNNNNNNNNNNNNNNNNNNNNNNNNNNNNNNNNNNNNNNNNNNNNNNNNNNNNNNNNNNNNNNNNNNNNNNNNNNNNNNNNNNNNNNNNNNNNNNNNNNNNNNNNNNNNNNNNNNNNNNNNNNNNNNNNNNNNNNNNNNNNNNNNNNNNNNNNNNNNNNNNNNNNNNNNNNNNNNNNNNNNNNNNNNNNNNNNNNNNNNNNNNNNNNNNNNNNNNNNNNNNNNNNNNNNNNNNNNNNNNNNNNNNNNNNNNNNNNNNNNNNNNNNNNNNNNNNNNNNNNNNNNNNNNNNNNGUGGGGGUGGAUGAACAGGACCCCGUGGUGUUGCCUCUGGAUGAACAGGACCCCGAUCGAUCGAGCCUGUUGGGGCUGGAUGAAUAGGACCCCAUGGAGGGCUGGAUGAACAGGACGACCCCGUGGAGGGCAGGAUGAACAGUAGCCCGUGGAGGGGUGGUUGAACGGGAGCCCGUGGAGAGGGCUGGUUGAAUAGUAGCCGGUGGAGUAGCGCGCGGUGGAGGCUAGAUGAAUAGGAGCCCGUGGAUGAACAGUCGCAGGUGGAAGCUGGAGGAGGUCGACGGUGGAUGAACAGUAGCUCGUGGAGGCUGGAGGGGGUCGAUGGUGGAGAUGAACAGUAUCCCGUGGAGUCCCGUUUUGUGGUACGCCACACCCCUCCCGAUGAACAGGACCCCCGUUUCGACCGUAGCGCUCCAACACAAGUCCGUUUCAUCCGUUUUGCGGUACGCCACACCCCUCCCGAUCAACAGGACCCCCGUUUCGACCGUAGGAGGUCCGUUUCCUCCGUUUUGCGGUACGCCAGACCCCUCCCGAUGAACAGGAUCCCGUUUCGAACGUGUUCGGUCGAACACAAGGCCGUUUCCUCCGUUCUACGGUACGCCAGGCCUCGUUUCCAUCGCCUGUUCCGUCCAAGCCCUCCCGAUGAACACGACGCAUUCUGUUGCCUCCCCAUGAACACGAUGACGACGCUAUUUCUCCAUUCCGACCCAGCCAUGUACACGAGCCCUGGCCGUACGUAUGCGCGAGUAGGCGUUCAAGACCUCGCCCGUAUGUACACAUACGUGGCCGUAUUUUCUUUCUUGCACCCUGGCCGCCUCUACUAUGACACGUGCGCGCCUCUACAUCGACUAGUAUAUAUGUACGUACAUGUUCGCGACCAGAAUGACAACGCUACGUACGCUUUGACCAGGUGGGUCCCGACUGUCAGGCACUUCGUUGUGUGCGAAGAUGUAGUUGGUGGGUCCCAGCAGUCAGGGGGGCGAAAUACGAUGGGCCGUCCGGUGGGUCCCACUGUCAGGUGGAGGAAUAAUUAUUUUGCACGUAAUAAGGGGGCAAUUCCUUGCUGCGGCCGUGGACCCAGCUGUCAGCCUCUCCACGUACAGUCCACGUCCGAUGGAAGUCGUUCCUUGACCACGUUGACCACGCCGCGCCGAGAGCACCAGGGCGGUGGACGAUGGCGAGGCCUAGGAAGGGGACGACGCGGAGCCGGGGACGAUGCGGCAGUGGAUGCCCACGCGUAGAGUAUGAGGGUUCACUGGUUCGCUGCGGUGUGAGGCUGCCGUCGCCGCAGAAUAACAGGGGGUGUGGGUGAGUAGAGGGAUGGCCUGGCUAGCGGUGGGAGUAGUAGGGGGUGGUGAGGCCUCCGCCGCAUUGCAGCCGACCACGGGAGGCAGGAGCACGAGGCACGACCGGCGCUGGUUUGGGCGGCUAGAGCAAGAAGACCAGAGGUUGAAGAAGCACUACGGUCGUUGGAUGGACAUCGUACGGUCACUGGAGCUAGAAUCGUGCAUAUUGACUAAGUUGACAAAGCCCUCCGUCCCCGUCAACUUAGUAGGCCCACAAGUCAGCCUCCCACCAAGGUGGGUCCCAGCUAGCAGGGGGUAUUCAUUUUUUUGAGCGUAAUAAGGAGGCACUUCCUUGCGUGCAAAGAUAUAGCUGGUGGGUCCGAGCUGACAGCGGCGGUAACGUUUUUUCGCGAAAUACAGAGGCCCUUUCGGUGGGUCCCCGAUGUCAGGUGGAGGAAUCAUUAUUUUGCGCGUAAUAAGGAGGAAUGUCCUUACGUGCGACCGUGGACCUAGUUGUCGGCCUCUCCACGUAAAGUCCACUUCAGAUGCAUGUCGGUCGUCGACCACGUUGACCAGGCCGCGCCGAGAGCACCAGGACGAUGGACGACGGCGAGGCCUAGGAAGGGAACAACACGGAGGCAGGGAAGACUCGGCAGUUGUUUCCCACACAGAGGGGAGUACGACUGUACGAGGGUUUACUGGUAAGUCUGCCGUCGCUGGAUAAUAACAGCAGGUGUGGGUGAGUAGAGGGAUGGCUAGGCCAGCGAUGGGAGUACGGUGGGGCGGUGAGGCCUGCGCGGCAGCAGAGCCGGCCGCGGGGAGGAGAGAGCAGGCAGUCCCGCCGGCGUCUGUUUGAGCGGCUGGAGCAGGAAGAGCAGAGAUUGAAGAAGCACGACGACCGUUGGAUGGCCAUCCAACAGUCACUACUUGUGCAUCAACCUUUUUUUUAGGAAAGCCUCAAAUAUGUGGAAAACAACAUACAACCCAUCUGCCAUUAUUUCUAAUAUUUUACAACCCAUUUGCUAAUUAUUAAGGUUUUUUUGGAGCCCAUAUUCUUUUUGUUAGCAUUACAACCCAUAUUGUGGCCACGGUUAAAAAAUUAUACGAAAUUUUGCAUAUUUCGGUGCGGUCCGAACUGUUUUUAAUCCCGAAAUUUCGACUCACAUUCAAACUGAUUUUAAAAAUAAAUGUAUAUCAAUAUAAAAUCCAACAAAUUCUCCACGCAUAAAAUUAAUGUAAUUUCAAAUCUCGAAAUGAAGAAAAGAUAUUUGAAUCUAAUUGCCGGUUUGAUGUGUUUUAAAAAUGUACAACCCAUUUCUCAUUACUGAUGGGCCAUUUUCUCCGCCAACCAAAUGAAAGCUCUCCUCGUCUUGAAAGAUUUGCAUCCCAACAGGCCUGACAAAGCGACUUACUUGGCAAAUCACAAAAAAACUGGGCUGUGGCCGUGGACCAAGCUGUCAGCCUCUCCACGUACAGUACUCUUCCAAUGGAAUGUCGUUGACCACGUUGACCAUGACGCGCCGAGAGCACCAAGGCGGUGGACGACGGCGAGGCCUAGGAAGGGGACGACGCGGAUCCGGGGAAGACGCGGCAGUGGAUGCCCAUGCGGAGAGGAGUACGAGGGUUCACUGGUUCGGCUGCGGUGUGAGGCUGCCGUCGCCGCAGGUCCUGGCUAGUGGUGGGAGUAGUAGGGGGCGAUGAGGCCUCAUCGGCAGCACAGCCGGCCACUGGAGGCAGGAGCCGGCGGUCUCCUCGGUGCUGGUUUGGGCGGCUGGUGCAAGAAGAGCAGCGAUUGAAGAAGCAGCAAGACCGUUCGAUUCAAAUCCAAUGGUUACUGCUGCUAGAAUCGUUUGUUGACUAAGUUGACAAGCCCUGCGUACGCGUCAACUUAGUAAGCCCACAGGUCAGCCUUCGAACCGGUGCACCCCAGAUGUCAGUGGGAGGAAUCAUUUUUUUCACGUAAUAAGGAGGCAGUUGAUUACGUGCGGCCAGGCCAGCGGAGGGAGUAGGGUGGGCCAGGGAAGCCUGCGCGUCAUCACAGCAGGCCACAAGAGGAGGGAGCAGGCAGUCCCGCCGGCGCUAGUUUAGGCGGCUGGAGCAGGAAGAUCAGAGAUUGAAGAAGCACGUCGGCCGUUGGUUGGACAUCCAACACUAACUACUGCUAGAAUCGUGUGUUCACUGACAAAGCCUUGCGUAAACAAGUCAGCCUCGAAAUCUGUGGCGUGUACAGCCCAUUGCUAUUAUUUUUAUAACUUUUACUCAUUUUCUAAUUCAUAUGGAAUUUAUUGCAGCCCGUUUUCCAUUUUUAGAAUUGCUGGCCAUUUUCUGGUCAGUACCAAGGUCAAAAAAUUAAUUAAAUAUGUGGGAAAUUUUGAAAAUUCGCAAAUUUUUGCUGGGGAACGAAAUAUUCUUAAUCCAAAAAUUAAUAGCCAUACUAAAACAAAUUUAAAAAUAAAUUACUACUAUGUCAUGUUAAAUCCAAUGAAAUAGGUAUAAGAUAUGAGUGAAGAACAAAAACAAAAGAAAGAAACUUAUAUCCCAUUUGCUAUAAUUUUUUUUGGAAUUUUCAACCCCUUUUGAUAUUACUUUUAACAGACAUUGACCAUACUCUUAGGCCAGGCCAGAAUGCAUCCCUCCUCGUCUUGAAAGAUUUGCAGCCUGGUAAUUUGGAGAAAACAAAUAGGCCUAGCUUGGGUAUUCUUCAAAAAGAAAUACUGGGCUACCUAUUUUCCCAAAGAACUGGUGCAUGAGCAUUUAGCUUUCUUUAUUUAUUUAUUUACUUAUUUAUGUUUAGGGGACCAUGAGCAUGUACCUGGGCCGGAUUCAUGUGAGAGCCUCCCUUCCAGUUAAUUAUGGGCUUCUCUAUUGGGCCUUCAUCAGUGGGCUGCAUGUUAUCAACAAGUGGAAAAUGUGUUCCGAGUUUCAAAAAAAAUGUGUUCCGUGCGAUAAAUAGUAUGCGCUACAUAUGGUACGGGGCACUAAAGCAUCGAACCGUGCAACGAUUUCCAAAACAUUGUGUUUGUCGUUCUAACAACACAUUUAUUCAACCAACAGACGAAAUAUACUAUUGAUUGUACAUUGAAAAUAGCAGCAGCAGCAACCAGGGCUGGGGGUGCAACAGAAGCAGUAAGCAGGCCAGAAGAGUGAAGACACAGCUCUCUCUUCCAAACCAAACAUCAGCCAUCAUUACAAAAGGGCUACCAAAAAAUAACAAGUGUAUGGAUCAAACUAAAUAAAGAUCCUACUACACCAAGUGUACACAUCUAACUAACUGGCUCAGUUAGAUGUUACUAAUUUUUUUUUGAAACGGAGGCAAAAGAAUUGCCUCGUCGAUUAAUUAAGAGGAAGAGAAUUUCCUGGUUAAUCUACGGAGAAACGGGCUAAAACCGAAGAUGUUACUAUUUAUUAAGCUGCAGUGGAGUCGCAGAUGGAGAGGAGUGGGAAACUUCACUGGUUCGGGUGCGCGGCAGCACAGCCGCGGUGGUUAGAAGGGAAAACAUAAAUUGGACACGGCAUUACUUUUAUAAGAGACCUACGUUUUAUACCCCUCAGUAGGCAUACUAACAAGUUCACACACAAAUACAACAGAAAAGGUAAACAUUCAUAUCAAACUCUGGUUCACAGGACACGUUCAUAUCCAUAGCCAACAUUCACAAUCAACAACUCAAAAGAUUCAUAUAUACACAAGCUCAACAUAUCUAUGCAUCCAAAUGAUUGAUAGAUCACACGACAUUAUUCAUACAUAAUUUACAAAAAGAUUCAGAUAUACGAAUGUUCAGUAUGUGUAUGCAUCCAAAUGAUUGAGAUCACAGCCAAUAUGAUCCAUGGAUGAACUUUAAUUACCUAGGGUACAAACUGGUAAAUGGUGUUCAAUCGGAGGUACUUCUUGCUAAAAUUAGUUCUUGUACGAGUAAACUUUCGAGUAAAUAAGAGGCAGCACAAACAAUCUGAACUUUGCUUGUAGGUUUAUCCUCAAAUAGUGGCCUCGUGCCCAGGGAGGUUUGAGCAACUUGGCCACUACUUUCAGCCAACCAGUUUACUGGGUCAUCUUGGUCCUGUAUCUUGCCAAAAUUCUACAUUGAAGACGAGAAAGGAGGCGGUUGAGAAAAUGAACCACCCAAAUUUUUUGUGCAGUUCAACUGAAAUGGAACAUCCUUGGCGUGCAGACUAAUUAAGUGCCAGAUGAAUAUACGCGUCAACCAACUUGUCUAGAAUCUUUAGAAUCCAUGCCAUAUAGUUCGCUACCAUAUGUGCCGAUAACCAAAAGGCACAAGUUGGGACCAAAGACUGGACUACGUUUUUCUGGGCUAUGCACCAAGCAAUAUUUUUGACGUUCACUCUCCUAACACUUGGAGUUUGACAAUUGGUUGACGCCGGUUGAUACUCGAAUGAAUAUAGGAACUUCUUGUCAACAUCGAUGCUUGUCUGAGUGAACUUUGGAGUACAUAGCAGCAACAUAAGUACCUGUCCAUCUGAUCAUUUUGUGCAGUUCUACUGAAAUCACCCGAUGUAAUGAUUUGGUUGUGAGUUCAGGCUCCAAAUAACUCCUUUAUGAAAUCGGCAAACAGUAGAACAAUACCAAAUUACCAAUACAUAUGAUAGGCACAAUAAUCAGGAUAAAGACCAGUACCAACAUGUGUGAGGUAGCAUAUCAAUUACUAUUUCCUUUGACUAGAAGCCGAGAUAAGCCAAGCGACUGACAGCAAAGGAAGAAAGCAUGCGGAGUUUAGCAACUGACAGGAAAGGACGAAAGCUGUCGAGGCAAUGAAACACCCAAAGUUUUUGUGCAGUUCCACCAAAAUCGAGCAUCCCUAUUGGCACAUAUAUUGAGAGAGUGAGAUUACUAUAAUAGUGGUACUAGUUUAUGAAACAUACACUGACAAAUAGAAACACCCUCAUUAUCUUAAUGGGUAAAGUUAGCAACAUAGUAGUCUUUCUUAAAGAGAGGUAUUAGUUUAUUUAAUCAGUGCGAAUUAGCUCAACUCAGCACUCAAAGCAUUGCCAUUUAUCAUAGGUUGCAAAACUUUAACGUGCAAAGAUAAAGGAGUUUCUCAUGACAGUAGCAUGAUACAAAUAUAGAUGACAGCAAACUAAUAUGGAUGAAGGCCUUAGGCCUGUACCAACCUGAGAAAAAAGCUUAUUCAUGUAGUCCCAUAAGAGAUGAUAAAGCACUCACUGGAAUCACACAAUAGUAUAUAUUUUGUGCACUUCAAAUGUAUGGUUGAAAUCACUCUUGUUUACCAGCGCUGAGAUUAUAUCGAAAUAUUAUCAAGAACUUCCAACAGAGUUAAAGCACUGGCUGGGAUACAGUUCAUUGUAUUGUCUUGUGUAGUUCCAUUUAAUGUAUGAUUGGCACAACAUGAUCCCUGUUUGCACAAGUAGGAACAAGGUGAAACCUUCAUUAUCUUAGUGAGAAUGGAUAGGAAUACAUUAGCAUAUUACUCAACUAGUAGCAUCAAAUUCAUGAUGGACAAUACGCAAAUCAUUGCCUCAUUGAACCAAUGGCAAUAAAUUGACAUGCAAAACAAUAGAACUAUUAUGUCAUGACACUAAUAAUAUUCCCUCCCUGCUCCACCACCUGAUUCACCUCCAUAGACAAACAUACACACGCACAUGAUUCAGCAUAGGGUCCUACUAAAGAUUUAUUUAACUCCAACAGGAAAAUUAGGCAGUAAUAAAUUAGUGGUACUUAAGUACUCCUAAUUAAUUAAGUGAGACAGUAGAAGUGGAAGGGCUCCCUAGAGGGUCGUCUCACAUGUAAGGUAGUCGUUGCCGGAGCCCUUGAAUGGCCUCGACUGAGGCCUCUGGCUUCAGCAAGAUCGCGUUGGCACUGUUUAUUCUUCUUCUUCUUUCUCUUCAUGCUCUGUUUCUCUUUCUCCUCACUAGUUGGUGAAACCAAGUACAUGGUUGGCCUUCUAAUUCAGAAUUGGUUUUGUCAGUGAGGGAGUACAAGUGUACUAGUAAAAACAGCAUUAUUUUCUCAUGGCAGUCGGAAAAUAGAGAUGAACACAUGCAUUAAAUAUCAUUCUUACCUAAAGGAAGAUUAUGGCACCAAUAUGGAUGAUGAGUAUUGGAACACAGAUCUCCCUUUGUGCAGUUCCACCAAAAUGAACCAACUGUUCCAUUCUGACAUUCCAGUUAAACAACACAAAAGUCACUUCUUUUAAGAAGAGUUUUGUGCAGUGCACCAAAAGGUCACAACAGCAACCAGGAGAAUUGGAUAUCCCUGUUUGCACAAAAAGGCACAGAGGAAACAGUCAGAGUCUCAAACAAUUACAGGCAAAAACAUUUGGCUAAACUUGUCAUGGCUUAUAAUAGUGGGUGCACCAGCAGUCCAGCACCAUGUACGUAAACAGGGGCAUAAAGUGGUGAUUCAUAGUUUGUUGCCCCGAGAAACAAACAUCCAAGAAACAUAUCUGGGUUGGUCCCAUUUUUGUUCACUCUAGCCACCUACUCCUAUGUGUGGAUAGCAAAUCUAGUCCUGGUCAUACCACUAUGUACAACGUUACCCCUAUAUUUCCCUUUUUGACCAAGAGACCGGUUGGAUGACCAGUCUGUACUACUUUCACCCCCUUUCCUUCCUGUUUGUACCAACUCCGAUGUACAUACUAAAUUCCCCCACCCCCACUUUAUUUCUUGUUUGAACCAAGUAACCCCUCCGUCCGGAAUUACUUGUCAUCAAAAUGGAUGUGUCUAGAACUCAAAUAUAUCUAGAUACAUCCAUUUCAAUGACAAGUAUUUUCAAACGGAGGGAGUACAAGAUUCGACUCCAUGAAGUAGCUUUACCUCUAACAAUAGAAGGAAAAAAUAUGUGACGUUGGACCAUCCGAUCGAGAGGGGCUGAGAGGUAGAAAAUGAUGCACAUGCAGCGACGUAGAGAGCUAGGGAAGUAGAGCUAAGGCGGUUUGAACGAAGAUAUACCAGAUGGUCGUCGGGAUGUGGAUAGGUGGGCGGCGGGAGGCCGGAUCCGCCCACGGGCAACGACGAAGGGAUCGGAGGACCUCCCCCGCCGGCGCUCAGCCAUAGAUAAGGGUGCGGCCGACAGUGGGUCUCCUCCCUCGCUGUCGAUGAUGGCCUAAACGCUGCCCCUCCUCCCCUUCACCGGCGGAGGGGGAUACGUCCGGAUCUGUAACCAGCGGUGAGGAUAGAAAGCCAGUGUUUUUUGAAGGGAGAAAGACAGUGGUACUACCCCUAUCUUGUUUAAAUCUGGAGAGGAUGAGAGUGUGUGAAUAGAGCAACCCUAGCAAGCAAGCGCGUAGGCUCCGGCCUAUAUAUACGUAGUGAGCAACCCUAGCAAGCAAGCAACCCCUAUCUUCGUCAACUCAUACAAGACUGAGAAAUUUCAUUACUACAAUGCCCUCUCCCUCACGGACUGAGCUCCGGUGCCUUAACUACACCUGCCUUUGGCUGCAUGACAGGAGGGCCAACCACCUGUUGAGCCCACCUGUCAUGGACGCAAGGGCAGGAGGAGUAAGUUGAAGCUUUCUCUAUCCUUCCCGCACGAGGUGGACGGACAUGCAGCAGUGCAUCCGAUACUGUAGAAGUAGGAGUAAUCAUUAUUGUUCAUCUUCUCGAGGAGGCAAAGACCCAAGCGCAACCCGAAUGUUGCAGUUGCGAACGCUCGUGUGGUGCGGUUCCCUGGAGUACUAGCCAGGCUCUUGCAUGAGACAAAAUUGCUAUUGUUUAACAACUAAACUCCAUUAUCCAUUGGUUGAUACUCAUUCUGCAUAGGUCCAUGUUCUUAGCACCGUUUCCUCCUGGGGUCACCAAUGUUUAGUUGCUAAUUAAUAGCAUUGCAUGCAAUGAACUAGCCAUUGCAAGUCGUUAAAAGCAUGCACACCUCUCAUCUCUUAUUGGUUGAUAUGUCAAGAAACAAGAAACAAGGUAGAAGUUAAUGCACCGCGCCUAAGUGUUUUGGGACUAUUUGGUUUUGUAAGGCUGGUCAUAGUGGGGAGUAACUUAGACUAGUGUCAUGCAUAUGACACUAGACUAAAUUACUACCUUCAUAAUGCAAAGUACUCCCUCCUUUCCGGUUUAUAGGGCUUAUCUCAAAAUUUUAGUUUUUCCAUUUUAUAAGGCUCAAUUUGGUUGUUUCCCAUCACAUGUUCAGAUUCCAAGGUGCAUUAAAUCAUUGCAUGCAAGUAUUAAGAGAAAAUUGACCAAUGCAUGUAAUUUAUGCAUGCAUGCAUUGCAAUUAAUGCAUUGUUAAACAUACUUUUUUGAGGAAAACAAAAGCAUUAAUUGGGUGUUUUUGCAAACUACAAAAAGUAUUCCACCACUCACCAUCUACCUUGCUUGGUGAGAUUUUUGAAUUGAGCCUUAUAAACCGGAAAGGAGGGAGUAACAUAAUAGUAGUAUUUUAGAUGGCUACAUUUAUUAGCUUGUAGACUCAUCUUAUCUUGAAAAGCGUUAUGUUACCACCUCUCAUUAAUUACUUGCCACAUAAGCAAAAAAUUCUUGGAGUGCACUAUGUUACUAGCUAAGUUACUCCCACUAUGGCUAGCCUAAGAUGACUUACACACCUAGACGGAGGGAGUAGUAUAGCCCUGUAAACCGGAAAGGAGUAUUUGCCUUUCUAGAGAUUUCAACAAGUGAGUAGACUACACCGUGUGUAGUACUCCCUCCCUUCUGGUUCAUAGGGCUCAAAUCUCAUUAACCAAGGCAUUUUGCGAUUGGAGGAAUGUAUGUCGUACUUUACAAAACUACCCUAAUUAAACUCAUGCAUUAAUUACGUAGUUCUCUCGUUUUCCUCUCUGCCUUGGUCGCGGUGCACAAUAUUGAGCACUCCUAUAUGACUAGCCGCUCUAUCUACAUGCGGGACAUUUCAAAGCAUCCGGGCCCGCGUUCCAUCCACCAAAUCACAGCGAGGUGCUACAGUCGAGACUCACUUGUAACCCCGGUGUGGCCGUCAUGACCUGUCAUAUCACAAAACCCACACCUUUACCAGUAGUGGUAAGGUGGCCUCCAAGUUGGACUGGACGAAGCAACCAUCAUUUCACUGGAACGCUCGUUUAAGCCCUUUCUUCCCUUUCUUGAAGAAAACCUCACUCCAGGCUACUCACUUCUGCCAUUUUUAUUCUAUACCGACGAAGGAAAUGUGGGCGAAUCAGUUAUGCUGCUAUAUUUUCAUUCCAAGAAUCUUCUUUUUGCGAAGCACCGACCGAUUCUCACAUCCUAUUAUUUUCCCGUUUUCAUUGCGAUUGUGGUUUCCUUUUGAUUGCUUUUUGUUUGUCAGUUCAUUGAUGGAUCCUGGAGCACUAGGCAAAGAGUUGCCGGUGGACAACCCACUGGAGAUAACGAUCUCCAGGAAGCGAGCACCGACCAACGAGUUGACCAUGUUGGCGAGCCAACCCAUGGAGACGAAGAACUCCAAGAAACAAGCAUUUGCCAAAGAGUUGAGGACGUUGGCGGACGAACUGCUCAAAGGAAGUUGGAAGAACGGCAAAGGCCCCACCGUGCCUACCCCAGGAACUCUGAUUGCCACCUAUGUGAGGCUCAAGACCGAGUUUGAGGUGAUAGUCGCCGUUGAGAAGUAGUAUUCCCCUGGCAAGGUGAUGGCCCCCAUCAAGGACAAGGAGAUGGCCCCGGAGGGAUGAGAUCCCCCGCUGAGUUGCACAAGGUAAAAAAUAAUGGCUUAUUACCAUAGUUGUGGUUUUUGAUUAUUUGUAAUGUGCUUGCUAAUAUGUUAGGGUUGUGCAGGUGCCGGUGGACGUCCUUGGUGAUUCCGAUGUCGUGGCCCGUCCUAUUGGCAUUGCCCCGGAGAUCGAUUCCGAUGCCGCUGUCCAUCCCGUGGACAUCGCCCCAGAGAUCGAUUCCGAUGUCGCGGUCAGUCCUACAGACAUCGCCCUAGAAAUCGAUUCCCAUGCCGCUGUCCGUGCUGUGGUCAUUGCCCGAGAGAUCGAUGACAAGAAAUAGUUGGUCGGCUAAUCCUUCAGGGUAGUUUGCAUUGCCCUGUGUUUAAUUACUAGAACGAUGCGUGUUAUCAAACCAUCUUAGGGCUAGUGCACUGUCUUGUGUGAGCGGAUCUUGCUACUUUUGUUUGAUAGUGAAUCAUGCGAUGAAUCAUGCGAACCCUUUCCGAGUUAUGGAAACAGAUGUAUCCUCACCAGCUUUUGAUGUAAUAUAUGGCAUGAUUAGAUGUAAGUUUGAACUGUUAAUCAUAUCAGCAGGGCUUGUUUUGAUGAUUCUUGGUGUUAGUAGGCUAGCUACUGUGCGAGCUAUAGUACUUGCAAAACACUCACCGAAGAGAAACGUUGGGGCUGAUGAGCUCGUGGUACGCUUAUACUUAUCCCUCAUCGAUCGACCAAUAGCCCUAGCUCCUGAAAUUGUAGGCUUAGCGAUCGAUGACCUAGGCGGGCUAGUUUGUCCUAGUGGGUUUCAGUGAUAUGACUUGCAACACAAAAUCAUAGCAGUGCAAAGACGUACUCCCUCCGUUCCAAAAUAGAUGACCUAGGCGGGCUAGUUUUCCCUAGUGGUUUCAGUGAUAUGACAUGGUACAGUGCCGUCCAGUCUUCGCGUGUGGUAGUAGUAUUGCGGGUACAGUAAGUUUUCUUGAAGAAGCGGAAUUCAACGAAGUCAUGAUGGUUCCUUUGUCCGAACAACUUACAGUGGGAAAGGUUGGGCCUGCGAUACGACCGGGGUAGACCAGGAUAAUUUUGUGCAUGGUAGGUGGACCAGGAUGGUCGACAUCCCACAUGUCGGCGAAUGAAAGUAUUCUUUCCGAUAUAGAGGACGAGCAAUGAGUAUUCAUUGUUUAUUUUUGAUGAAAGCUAUUAUCUUCACUGUUACGACGGAGGAGUGUGAAACACGGCAGCCUAGUGAACUUGGCAUGUGCACCACUCCCUCCUUCCUCAUGUAAUGCCCAGGUUACAACUUUUUCUCACUUUCUCUCUAUCUAUUUCCUCUGAAAUGUUUUUUACCUUUCUUUUUUUAAGACACAAUUGUUUUUAUGCCUUUUUUUAGAAUUAUUUUUUAUACCUAGGAGCACGUGUAGAGACGGGAUCUUGCAGAGCCCACUCCUUGACUUUGUCAAUGCCUCUCUCUCCUCCACAUAAGGAGUACUACUUGCUAUGCAUGCAUGCGGCGGGCAGCUAGCAUCUUGAGGGGCCAGGGCGAGGAGAGCGGGCUCCGGAAGUGGUCCGGACUCUAGCAUAAUUUUGGUUUUUACAGUAUCUCUUUCUCCAUUGACAGGUAGGCUUGCGUAGAUAGAUAAAGAACACGAGCUGAUGAGGCGCAUGCGGACUGUUUGACUGGUCAACCAGACAAAUACGGAGCUAUACGAUGGGCCAGUGACCGUAUAAUCACCAUAUCUCGUAUACAACGAUCAAAGUGAGCUAUCAAGACAAGUUCGAUGACCGCCAAUGCAUUUUACUCGGUAAUAAAUGACCAGGAUUGAAGGGGAAUCCAAAUUUUCUUCGUCUUCUGUCCUUGAGCUCUUGACAAACCGAUGCACUAUAUGGUUGUCCGGCCACUCCACCCCAGAGCUCUCACCAUGCGCCGUUCAUGCCACCGUGCCGCACACUAACCGGUAAGGCAGCGAUGGCAUCCCGCCGCGCCGAGUUCCUCGCCGCCCACACCCGCACAGAAAAUGGUAGGGAAGCGAUGGCAUCCCGCUGUGCCGAGUUCAUCGCCGCUCGCGACCUCACAACUAUGUGGGAGGAAUUUGAAGAAGCCAAGGCCAAAUGGGCGGUAGAGCAAGAGGUGGCCAAAGCCGCACAGAGGGAGCGGAAAACUCAGAAAUCACUCAAGAAAAGAGAGGCGCGCUGCCGCAAGAAAGAAAAGGACGCACGCGCUGCUGCGGAGAGGUUGGCGGAGAUCCAAGCACGGUGGGGUGUCGCCGACAAUGCCGGGAAGGAGAACGACGACGUCUGGCCAGCAUGUGAGAAGUAGUAGUACUAGUAGUUAGUGUGUAUGUUUGUGUCUGAGUACGAGCAUGUACCAGUACUACUAGUUACUAUUGUAGUUUUUAGAGCAAAUUACCAGUACAUUAGCCUAAACUAAAUGGAAAAAUUCCUAUCCUAAGCAUCAAAUGGCAUCUCUUUCUCUAUAGGAAUUGCGAUGCAUGUCAUCUCACUUCGUAUGAUUUUCAUAUUCCUAUCCUAUGAACGAAAGGAGGCCUUUGUUGGAGUAACUACUGUAGCUAGCAAUACUGCUAGUAUAGUAGUUUUCUUCAAGACGCAAAAUUCAAUGAAGUCAUGAUGGUUCCUUCAUCCAAGCAACUUCAAAGUGGGAAGUGGGCCUGUGAUUUGACGGCUCAUUAGUCAUUGUUACUGCAGCGCGACAACCUGGGUGACUCCCUUGGAGUUCUGCGUGCAUGGCAAGUGACCAGGAUGGUCGACGUCCCACAUGUUGGCGAACAGAAGUAUUCUUUCCGAUAUCGAGGAGCAAGGAAACCGCGUGGUAUAGUAUCACUGCUGAUUGGUUCGCAAAAAAUAGUAUCACUGCAGAUUUAUAAUUAUUUUUUAUUUCUGAUGAAUGCUAGCGUUUCAACUCUUACGACGAAUGGUGCCAAACACGACACGUGCUGGAUGUCCCACACGUCAGCGAAAGGAGUGGGACAUGAACAGUGUGGUAGAGCCCAGCGUAAAAAAACAGUGUGGUAGAGCGUCUCCACUUCUUCCACUUCUGGGUCGGAGACCACACGUAGUAGUACUUAGUGGUAUGAACGAUACGAAGUGUGACCUGGAGACAAAGACACGUCUUGUUGGAAGGUCUCGGGGCAUACACGUAAACAAAUAUAAAAGUUAAUAUGUGCCUCCAACUAAUAUAGUAGUAGUAGAGUACUUAGGCACGUACUCCAUAACAUCACCGUGCAUUGCACGUACAACAUUUAGUGGUAGUGCGUAGUAAGAGACAAAUGCCACCCAAGAGUUCCCUUCUCGACCUACUUUUGGGUGUUUGGUAGAGUGUAUGGAGGGUGCAUGAGUCCACACUAGUUUAGCACAAAUACACUAGAAACAUGCACGAAGAGGGGUGUUGAGUUGAGCAUGCAUGAAGAGGGAACAACUAUGCUGAGACGAGAAUGCAACCAAGCACACCCUAUAUGCCACACAUGUUCAUACCAUUUGUGCCUUUCUACUUCACUUACUGCGCUACAUUACUCAGGUUCGUACGUCCACUCCUGGGUACAUGUUCGUCUCGUAGUUCCAGUCCCACGUGUUCUUCAUAUAGAUGGAACAAUCCUUGCAUAACACGUGCACCUUGAUGCUAGAUGUCUCGCGUGUUGGCAAAAGGAUGAACAAAGCUCAUGUAAACAAAAUAGAGUGGAAGAACAUAGAUUCCGGACGACCGAGAAGGAGCAAGGAACCUCGUUGUGGAGCGUCUGCACUCAUAAUAUUUAAUAUUAUUCAGCGAUAUAAAAUUAACCAAUCAUCUCCACAAUGGACUGGAAGAGUACGAAACACGGCAGCCUUGUGUAGUAUCAUACUAGUACAUGGCUGUAAUGGGUAGUAUCAUAAGUUAAUAUCAUGCAUAUGGUAUUAGUGUGUGAUACUACCUCCCUAAUGCAUAGUAUCAUGUACUAGUAUCAUAGAUGACUUUAUUUAUUUCUAUGCAGGACACAUAGUAGCAUUGCAUUUAUUAUGAUACGGUAUCAUUGUAUGAUACUCAACCAUCUCUUUCUUCAUUUAAUUCUAUGCCACAUCAUAAAAAUUGCUUGCUUGGCAUGCAUGAUACUAGCUAUGAUACUCCCAUUACGACCAGCCUAACUCACGCUAUCACCAUAUUUCUUGGCUUCUGUGCGACACCUAUCUCUAGUAAUCCAGCAGCCUGUAUUGCUUCUCCCUCCUCGUCUCUAUCAAAGUGCGGCGGGCUGGCGUUUCUGCUGUCUAUUGAGGUCGGUUAACUAUCACAUGUUAGCGACAUGCCAAGAGCAUUCUAAAAAAAAUUCCUAUCACGUUUCGUUUUCAAAAAGAAAAAAAAUCCUUUCACGUACGAAUUUGCCUGUAUGCUUUGAGCAACUUGCAUGUCCUAUACUGCUCCUGUUUGAUACUCUAACUUAGCUAGAGGUUAGACUAACUCAUGACUAACCCUGAACUAACUGUAGCCAAAGAGGUGUUUGGGUGACAGGGUUAGAUUGACAAUAAAUGCACUUCAUGGAGAGAGAAAAGUGAUUUUUCAGUGGUCCCAAUGAGAACUAUCUCCAGUUAGCACCUCUUGGGUGGGAUAGUUUUUUUUUUGGUUGGUUCGGUGCAACUUGCUCCAAUUUAAACCCUCAUGCUUGGAUAGUUUAGGGAUAUUUGAGUCCCAACUGGCUCAAACUAACUCUAACCCAUGGAUCCAAACAGGGCCUAUGGCUAGUCUCGAUGCGAAGCAGUCGCGUGUAGCGGGAAGCGGCGCUCUCUCGGCCGUCGCGCCACUUCAAAGCCGGCGCCAGUGAGAGGUCGCCUCCGCUCUGGCCGGGCAUUAAUGCGGCACUGACGCUCCAGGGGGACGCUAACAGUUUCACGCAGGAAGCGCGCGCUGGCAAGGGAGUAUAGGUUUUGAACCAUUUCAGGUGUAGUACUGGUAGUUUGCAAAACUACUCAAUUAUUGCACUCAGUUUCCUAAGAAAUUGUGUUAAAAAACGUUACUCCAUAGCCCGCUUCCCUUCUCCUUCCUCUUCCACCGCCCGCGCACGUCCGCAGGAAGCGACCAGUCAACCCUUAUAUAGGAGUGCUAGCACAAAAAGAUGCAUGGAUGACCACUAAAAUUUCCAUAUUAAAGCGCUGCUCUGGCGGGAGUAUGGCGUAUGUUGUUACCUUCGGCCGGCGCAUGGCUAUCGGGCAACGGCGAACAGAGAAGAGGCGGUGGGAGGGGAAUGAAUGCAUCUACUAUUUGGGUUCGCCUUCCGGCUUAAAUAAAUCCACAGCAUCACGUGUACCCGCGGGUGCACAAAUUGUAACAUACGUGUCUGCUUAAGUGGGCGUCACGUAACUGGUGUGUGUGUGAGAGAGAUUCUGAGAGACAGAGUGCGUGUGUGCGACUCUACUCUUCGGACAUGUAGUCAACCUUUUGCAUCGGGAUAUAAGUAUAAUGGUAUUUACUUUAGCUAGUGAUUUACGUGGCCAUGUUAAUGUGGUUGUGUCAAAAAAAUGUCACUUCCUGCUCGUGAUUUGCGUUAUAUAAUUACAAGCAAGAUUCUCGUGCAUUGCACGGAACAUCAAUAUGCAUUUUUUUACAGAACACCCGUUGUGAUUGACCCAUGCAGGAGUAAUCCCAUGUGUAAAAACUAGUGAUAUCUCAAGAAUUUUAUCGGAAAACUGGUAUCUCGAGAAUGUCAUCGAAAAAAUGAAAGAUGAGAGAUAAGGCGAGGAGGAGUGGAGCAUGGUGGUGACUGGUGGUCAGAAUGGCUGGAGGCAUGGGGAUGGACGGUGCCAGCAGGCGGCAGCGGCCACCAUGCAUGCUAGAUUGUUCCAGAGACUUAUUCCUUUUUUAAUUGCUGAGCAAUGAGGAUGCGAGAGAUAAUGGUGUGGAGAGACGUGCCGAUAUCUUUUGUAAAAUUAUCAUAGUUUGCUUUCUAUCCUCAGAUAUGGAUCAUACGGUGUGUAUUACAAGAUGGCAGGCACACCAUCACCACCAACUCGUUUUGUUAUAAGGGUACAAAUGAUAAGUUUGCUGACUACUGAAGUAAAGUGGAAUUUGUCCAUGUUAUGCAAGUAAAUAAAGGUGAUUGUUUAUCAUACGGGUAAGGUUGGAUGAAGGGUGGUAGGAACAAAUGCUCCGCCUAGAGCAUGUGUGUGUGAGAUGGAGUCUUAGUGUGUGUGUGUGUGAGAGAGAGAGAGAGAGAGGAGAGAGAGAGAUGGAGUCUUAGUUUGUGUGUGUGUGUGAGAGAGAGGGNNNNNNNNNNNNNNNNNNNNNNNNNNNNNNNNNNNNNNNNNNNNNNNNNNNNNNNNNNNNNNNNNNNNNNNNNNNNNNNNNNNNNNNNNNNNNNNNNNNNNNNNNNNNNNNNNNNNNNNNNNNNNNNNNNNNNNNNNNNNNNNNNNNNNNNNNNNNNNNNNNNNNNNNNNNNNNNNNNNNNNNNNNNNNNNNNNNNNNNNNNNNNNNNNNNNNNNNNNNNNNNNNNNNNNNNNNNNNNNNNNNNNNNNNNNNNNNNNNNNNNNNNNNNNNNNNNNNNNNNNNNNNNNNNNNNNNNNNNNNNNNNNNNNNNNNNNNNNNNNNNNNNNNNNNNNNNNNNNNNNNNNNNNNNNNNNNNNNNNNNNNNNNNNNNNNNNNNNNNNNNNNNNNNNNNNNNNNNNNNNNNNNNNNNNNNNNNNNNNNNNNNNNNNNNNNNNNNNNNNNNNNNNNNNNNNNNNNNNNNNNNNNNNNNNNNNNNNNNNNNNNNNNNNNNNNNNNNNNNNNNNNNNNNNNNNNNNNNNNNNNNNNNNNNNNNNNNNNNNNNNNNNNNNNNNNNNNNNNNNNNNNNNNNNNNNNNNNNNNNNNNNNNNNNNNNNNNNNAAGUGUGAGUGUGUGUUUUACCCAUCCAGGCGGAAGUUAUGUGCACAAAAGAGGAGAAUGAUUCGAUGUGGCAUUAGGAUUGAGGAUAAUUAACUACGUAUGGAGACAUAGAGACCUUGAACGUGCAUGUGUGAGAGGUAUACAUGUAUACGUGGGAUGUGUGUGUGCGCGCGCGCAUGAUCGAGAUAAAAGAAAGAAGACAUAAGUCAUAAGAUCAACGACAUGGGAGAGACGGAUCGGUAUGACAAUAUGCAUGCAUGUGAGAAUGCAUGGAAGAAGUCCCGACAAUUGAGCAUGUGUUUUUGUCUUUAAGAGAUAGUGGCAUGGGCUGGAGCAUGCAUCUAUGGCGAGCAGAGGGAGUGAGGCGCAAUGAUUGUGCAAAAGAGACCAACCUAUAAAUGCAUGUGUGUGGAGAGACAUAUACAGUGUGGGUGAUAGGAAGCAAGACUCUGUGCAAGAAAGAAAUGUUGACGGAGAAACUACAGAUAGAUACAGAGAUGGAGAUGCUAUCUAGAGGGACAUCCACUAGUUUGGGUGUUGGAGAUGACCGUCGGGUGGUUCAAAGGGUGAAGUUAUAUAUGUAUGUGAGAGGGCACUUGACUGCAUGUAGAGAGAAACAUAUGUAGUGUGCGUGAUAGGAAUCAAGAGGGAGGGCGAGAAAGAAGGUUGAUGGAGAAACAGAUAAAUAGAAAGAUAAAGAUGCUAGCUAGUGUGCAUUAGAGAUAGGAGUCGAGUGGAUCAGAAGGCUGGUGUAACACCCCGGAUAUGAUUUACCCAAUAUAUAAUCCAACUCUUGCCGUUUCCGGCCUUAAGUUAUUUUAUUUUCUCGGGUUCAGAUUUUUGUCUCCGUGUGUUGCUGUCGUUGUCAUGCAUCUCAUAUUAUGUCAUCAUGUGCAUUGCAUUUGCAUACGUGUUCGCCUCAUGCACCCGAGCAUUUUCCCCAUUGUUCGUUUUGCAUUCCGGCGCUCCGUUCUCCUCCGGUGGUCAUUUCUACCUUUCUUUCGUGUGUGGGGAUUAAACAUUUUCGGAUUGGACCGAGACUUGCCAAGCGGUCUUGGUUUACUACCGGUAGACCGCGUGUCAAGUUUCGUACCAUUUGGACUUCGUUUGAUGCUCCAACGGUUAACCGAGGGACCGAGAAGGCCUCGUGUGUGUUGCAGCCCAACACCCCUCCAAUUUGGCCCAAAACCCACCCAUCUAGAGCGUUCGAUCACGAUCGCGUGGCCGAAAACCGCACCUCAUUUGGACUCUCCUAGCUCCCUCUAUGCCUAUAUAAAGAACCCCCCCUCCGAAAUUCACGGGUGAAACCCUAACCCUCUCCCUCUCCUCGCGACCGGACAAAAACACCACCGACGGACAUGUCCAUUUCCACCACGCCGCCGCCACUUGUCGCCGCCUGAUUCGCCCGCCCAGGCGCCCACUUCGCCGCUGCCAGGGCCCGCGGGGCCCAUCGCCGGNNNNNNNNNNNNNNNNNNNNNNNNNNNNNNNNNNNNNNNNNNNNNNNNNNNNNNNNNNNNNNNNNNNNNNNNNNNNNNNNNNNNNNNNNNNNNNNNNNNNNNNNNNNNNNNNNNNNNNNNNNNNNNNNNNNNNNNNNNNNNNNNNNNNNNNNNNNNNNNNNNNNNNNNNNNNNNNNNNNNNNNNNNNNNNNNNNNNNNNNNNNNNNNNNNNNNNNNNNNNNNNNNNNNNNNNNNNNNNNNNNNNNNNNNNNNNNNNNNNNNNNNNNNNNNNNNNNNNNNNNNNNNNNNNNNNNNNNNNNNNNNNNNNNNNNNNNNNNNNNNNNNNNNNNNNNNNNNNNNNNNNNNNNNNNNNNNNNNNNNNNNNNNNNNNNNNNNNNNNNNNNNNNNNNNNNNNNNNNNNNNNNNNNNNNNNNNNNNNNNNNNNNNNNNNNNNNNNNNNNNNNNNNNNNNNNNNNNNNNNNNNNNNNNNNNNNNNNNNNNNNNNNNNNNNNNNNNNNNNNNNNNNNNNNNNNNNNNCGGCCGCCGCCCACCGCGUCCGCAGCUCCGGCCACCGGCGCCCGCGGCCACCCCACCGGCGUCCGCCGCCGCCUCCACUCCGUCUUCGGCGAGCACAGCUCCGGCCGCCGCCUUGGUUCACGCGCCCGAUCUAGUUCCAGAUCUGAGAUUCGGUUGAACUUUGACCUAAUUUUCAGUAAUAUUUUGCCAUGUUCAUUGCAUCGUAACUUUACAUCCGUAGCUCCGUUUUGGGCAUAUAGCAUAUCAAAAUGUUCACCUCAGAGAGUACAUCAUUUCAUCUCAUUGCAUCAUUUUCAUUUGAGUUCAUCUUGAUGCCCGAAAUGCUGUUGGAACAGUGCUAUUUGAGAUAAUUGCCAGAUCUGCUGAACCAAUUAGCUAUUUGUCAUUUUUCUCAUGAUUAUUGUGUGCAUGAUAUGCCCAUGAGCUCUACAUAUGUUUUGUUAUAUGCUUUGUCAUCUUUCCAGAGGUGCAAUCCAUGUAUUUUUGUGAUGUGUGUGGUGACUAGCACAAGCUUGCAAAGUGGUGCAUUUGUUAAUGCUGGUUUCAGGGACUUAGCAUUUCUACUAAGUCCUUGAUCUGUUUAUAUCGAUAUGCCAUAUGUUCAUGUUGUUUCCUAGUGAUCCGUGCCCCUUUUGAGGAUGAUCAGUAAGGAUGUUUUGUUAAUCUUGUAGUGCUCUAUCCAUCCAUGUCUUUGUUUGCAAUUAUGGAGCACCCUAGCUUGAGUCAAUCGAGCUCUACUUUUGCUAUUUCGUGAAUCUCGGCAGAUUGUCUACUUGUUAGCGAUUUUGCCGAGGAUGUUAUAGUUGAUCCGUGCAUGCUAUAUUAUUGUUCUUACCAUGUCUAGCUUGUAUAAUGUGUAUUCUUGAUGGGUGUAUGCUUAGAUUGUCAUGACUUGCUCUGUAGUGAGUGCAUCGAGCUCGUAAACAUGCCUACUUGAUAUCUGAUUUUGCAUGCUCCAGUGUUCACUAAGUCUGUGAUCUGAUUAUGUUUUUGCCAUGUUCACAUGCUUGCAAUUGUAUUUUCUGAUCCCUUUUGGCUCAAGGUCACUAAGGGACUUUUGUUAAGAUCUUUGAGUAGCUCCAUGACAUGAUUUACUUUGCCAUGUUCAGGCCCUGUAGCAUAUAGUUUUCUUGCUCCAAAAUGUGCUACCUGAUCUGAAAUUCCAGACAAGUGUUAAUUUCACUAAGUCUGAGAUCUGUUUACCAAUUGCAUUUUUGCCAUGCUUGUUUGUACCUGUUAAUGGAUGAAUUGGCCAUAGCUCAGUGUUCCUCUUUUGUUAAGCAUCAUGAAUGGAUCCCUUCCAUGUAUUUUGUUCCCAUGUUUGAGUGAUGUAACAUGUUCAUCUUGUUGCAUUUAGAUGGUCACUUGCUGUAUAUCGUAGAACGGUGCCAUAUUUGUUUUGCUUGCCAUUUCCAAACCGUGUCUCCGAUUCUGGCGUUCUUAUAUCGUUUUCAAGCGAAAUCAUCUCACCUUUCCAAUGGCGCACUUGGAUUUCCAAGUUGAGGCUAGGUUCAUUCUUUCCUUGUCAAAUCUUGCAUAUGCAUCCCAUAUCGCAUCCCGCAUAGUAUACCAUGUUUGCAUCAUGUUGUUUGAGCUUUGCACGUGGUUGAUUGUGUCUUUUGUGCUUGUUUGUCUUGUUUGAGUAGAGUCGGGAGACGAGUUUGCUAACGAGGAGCCCGUUGAGUUUGCUUUCGAGGAUCCAGUCAACUCUGACAACUUUGCAGGCAAGAUGAUCAUACCCUCGAAAUCACUUCUAUCUUUGCUUUGCUAGAUGCUCGCUCUUUUGCUAUGCCUAUGCUACGAUGCCUACCACUUGCUUAUCAUGCCUCCCAAAUUGCCAUGUCAAACCUCUAACCCACCAUGUCCUAGCAAACCGCUGAUUGGCUAUGUUACCGCUUUGCUCCGCCCCUCUUAUAGCAUUGCUAGUUGCAGGUGAAGAUUGGAGACCGUUCCUUGUUGGAACAUUAUUUACUUGUUGGGAUACCAUUAUAUUAUCUUGUUAUCUUAAUGCAUCUAUAUACUUGGUAAAGGGUGGAAGGCUCGGCCUCUCGCCUAGUGUUAUGUUCCACUCUUGCCGCCCUAGUUUCCGUCAUAUCGGUGUUAUGUUCCCGGAUUUUUGCGUUCCUUACGCGGUUGGGUGAUAAUGGGAACCCCUUGAUAGUUCGCCUUGAAUAAAGCUUUUCCAGCAAUGCCCAACCUUGGUUUUACCAUUUUCCACCUAGCCUUUUUUCCCCUUGGGUUUCCGGAGCCCGAAGGUCAUCUUAUUUAAACCCCCCUGGGCCAGUGCUCCUCUGAGUGUUGGUCUGACUGAGCUGCCUGCGGGGCCACCUCGGGGCAACUUGAGGUUUGGUUUUACUCGUAGCUAGUCUCAUCUGAGUGUGCCCUGAGAACGAGAUAUGUGCAGCUCCUAUCGGGAUUUGUUGGCACAUUCGGGUGGUGUUGCUGGAUUUGUUUUAACUUGUCGAAGUUUCAUGUAGAACCGGGAUACCGAGUCUGAUCGGAAUGUCUCGGGAGAAGGUCUAUUCCUUUGUUGACCAUGAGAGCUUGUCAUGGGCUAAGUUGGGACCCCCUGCAGGGAUUUGAACUUUCGAAAGCCAUGCCCACGGUUAUGGGUAGAUGGGAAUUUUUUAAUGUCCGGUUGUAGAUAACUUGAACCUUAACUUAAUUAAAAUGAAUCAACUGUGUGAGUUACCGUGAUGGUCUCUUCUCGGCGGAGUCCGGGAAGCGAACACGGUGUUGGAGUAAUGCUUGCCGCAGGUUGUUCUCUAGUUACUCGUUCGCGCUUUGCUAUCUCUUCUCGCUCUCUUUUGAAAAUAGGUUAGCCACCAUACAUGCUAGUCGCUUGCCGCAGCUCCACAUAUUUUACCUUGCCUUUCCUAUAAGCUUAAAUAGUCUUGAUCGCGAGGGUGCGAGAUUGCUGAGUCCCUGUGGCUCACAGUUUACUUCCAAACCAGAUGCAGGGCCAGACGACUCCAUUCCAGAUGACGCGUUAGAGCUCAAGUCGGAGUUCGACGAGGACUCACGUCGUUACUAUGUAUCUUUCCCCGAGGAUCAGUAGUGGUGCCCAGUUGGGGUGAUCGGGACCGUGUCGCAUGUUGGGUUGGUCUUUUAUUUUGGCACCGUAGUCAGGCCAUGAGUGAUUGGAUGAUGUAAUGCUAUUUAUGUACUUCGAUUGACGUGGCGAGUGUAAAACAACUGUGUUCCUUCCCCUUUUAUUAUCUAUAUUACAUGGGAUGUUGUGAAGAUUGCCUAACUUGCGACAUUGCUUUCAAUGCGGUUAUGCCUCUAAGUCGUGCCUCGACACGUAGGAGAUAUAGCGGCAUCGAGGGCGUUACAGCUGGGUUAUGUGUGUGGGUGUGAGAGAGAUAGAGAGAGGGUGCGUGUGAGUCACAUACAAACAGAUAUCAGAGAGAAAUGAGAUCCAGAGAGACGGAGUAUUGUGUCUGCGAGAGAGAAAGAUAUUUCACAAUGAGAGUGAUAGCUAGAGAGACAUACGAGGGAACGCAAGAUAUCUCUGGGGAGAGAGGGUGUGUGUGAGCGACAUACAAGAGAACAAUGGAGAAAUAUGAGACCCUGGGAGACAGAGUUUGUGUUUGUGUGUGAGAAAGAGAUAUUGAUGAGGAAGAGUCGUAGGUUCUCAUAUCUAAGGAGCGAAAUACAUCUCUGUAUGAGGGGUGUUCGAGUGGCACACAUGGGAAUAGUAGAGAUAAAUGAGACCCCGGGAGACAAAGUUUUGUGUUUGUGUGAGAGAAAGAGAUUCCACAUGGAGAAUCAUAGUUAGAGACACAUAGCAGGGAGCGAGAUAUACUUAGAGAGAGAUAGAGUGAUGAAGGUCGAGGGAGAGAGUACCGUCAGUGUGUUACGAAGAUAAAAGAUCAUUGUCGACAUACAUGUAGCACGAGAUAUACUUGAGAGACGAUGGACGCGCAUAGGUCCAGAGAGAUAGUCAUAUAUAAGCAUGAGUGAUAGCUAUAUGAGACGAAUAUCUGGAUUAAAGGGGAUUCAAAUAUUUAAACUGGAGAUCACGACAUCGAUAAUAUCAUAACGCAAAUUGGUGUAUCAAACAUGGAUAUUCAUUUGAAUUUGGGAACACGUGUAAUGUUAUAUAGUUUAUCAAUAUUGGUGAUCCAUAGAUUCUUCAAUUACAAACAAUGCAUGGUUUAUAUGCAAUUAAUGUCUAAACGGGAUUACACUAUAUGUUGCGUGUGCGAAACACAUUAUACAUGUUUGAGAAGUAAAAAAACCCGCAUGAAACACACAUUAAUUGGAGACAGUUAGCAAGGAAUGCAUACAUUGGAUUUCAACAUAAAGUGGUUUCAAAUAUUUGAAAAUCCAAAUUGAUGGAUACAACCUUAUGAAUCCGAGAUCAUGCCAUUUGUAAAUCAUAUUUAUGUAUAAAUGGUGUUGUGCUUUUGAAAGUAUAUAUAAAAAAUGAUGUAUAUAGAAUGUAAUUCCAAUUGAAAAUGGAUCCCGCCCGAAAAAAAUAGAAUACAAACGGGAUUCGAAUUGAGUUGGAAUGGUAAACGCACACUCUGCAAAAUUUGAACGACGCGGGGAAAGUCACAGUAACCGCCCGGAACCAAAAUCUGUGAGAUGGAAAUCACUGCUGCCUAUCCCUGCCACGCGAAGCCUAUAUGCUGGAUUUCUAUAGGCUUCGAUAUGGGUAGGUUUGUAAUUUCACCCAAACAUGAUGUAACCGCCUCUCACCCGGAUUCAUACACGGCGGGCGCCAAAACACAUUGUGUCCUCGGCCGAAAUCGACUCCCUCCCCGAUUCAUAUUCAUACACGGUGGGUGUCGUGGUUUUGUCACGGCAGAUGUCCUAGAGAAAGGACUUAGUCGUGGAGCCAUCGCAAUGGAUUAGCUAGAAGGGGUUAAAGCGGACACAGGGACGCAAGAGAGUUUAUACUAGUUCGGCCCCUUCGAUGAAGGUAAUAGCCUAUGUCCAGUUGUGAUGGAAUUGAUGGGGUUUCGAUGACUAGGGAGCACACAUGCUUCGCCUAAGUCUCGAGUUGUUGUCUGUUGUCCUUGAACCGACGCCAGGUCGUCCCCUUAUAUACAUGGGUGACGCCCGUCGGUUUAUAGAGUCCCAACACCGGCUCAUAUAUGUGUUCGGUUUGGUCUCUACUUAUUCCUAACUUACAAUACAAGUUUACCUACCGACGCCGGUUUACGGCUACAGGCCUUAAACUGGUCAUGGGCUUUAAGCCCUCAUCUACCUUCAUGGGCUUUUACAUACUUAACUACUGAUGAAGUUAACCCGGCCCAAGUAGGCCGGUUUAUGCCCAGUAGUAAUAUCCGCAACAUUAGGCCCUAGAUUGAUUUGAACAGGUUCAUGUCAAUCCUUUAGCAAAAAUUUCAUCUUCAACAUCUUCUUGUAGUUUGGUGAACCGUCGUGAUGUCAUCUUCUCUGCUUGCUGUAAACCGGAGUGACAUCAUCUGUUAUAAAGAAACUAUCCAUGAUACCUUCUUGUUUAAUAGAUCCGCGACAAUCGAGGCGACAACUCUGUUUCCAAAUUCGUGGCUCCUUGAUUCUCGUGCCUGACACAUGUCCCUUUCUUUAUAAAUAGGACCGAAGGGUCAUUUCUUUUUCCCCUUCAUGCCCUUCUGCUUCGUCUUCCCCGCGUCAUCCAGCUUCGGAGUUCCGCCGCCAUCGACGACCUCUGCUCCAACCUUGGCCGCUGCAUCACCUUGAUUGUACCAGAGCAUCGCGGCGACCUUCUGUUUCUUCUUCGGCUCCGGUGAGUUCUUCACCUUUUCCUCCGUAGAUCCGUUCUAGGGUUUCCAAGUUCUUCAGUGUUCAUCGUCUGCUUCGUACUCAUAUGAUAGAUCUUAGAUGAACCUGUGAACCUUUGCUCUGUGUAGUGGUAGUUUUUAGCAUCCGCCUUCACUUUCAUGCCUCAAGACCAUAGAUCCACCUGUUUUUCUGACCAUUGAUUUGGUAUUGUUCUUUUUUGAACCUUGAAUAUUUUCCUUCUUUUCUGAACUUGCUUCAGAUCCGUCACCGUAGAGAUAUCUUGUGAAAUCUGUUUUUGUACACUUACCCAUCCGCAAUCUCAACUGUUUCAAUGCUUAGAUCCGGCGGUUUAACUUUGUAGAAAAAUUGCCAAACCGGUAUAUACCAUUAGUCCCCUUGUUGAACCGCAAGAUGCCAUUGCUUCAUAAGACUUCGGUUUAGAUAGAGUUGUCUCCGGUUUAACACUGUACAUACCAGUGUACUUUUAUCAAUGCAUUCUUGAACCGGAAUCACCUAUCUUGUAGAUUUCAUCAUGGCCAAGCAAGUAUAUGAGUGCAACUGGGUUCCUUCUUGCGUCACAGAAACUCAACUGAACAAUUCAGUCCUGGUCGGCGCUUUAGGCAGCAAAAAUACCAUCCAUUGGAGGGUCCCUGGCAAAGAAUGCCCUCCCACACCUCAAGAAGGAGAGGUCGUCGUUUUCUUGGAUCACUUAGCCCGAGGCUUUAAGCCACGCGGUUCUAAAUUUUAUCGGGACAUUUUAGCCAAUUUUCAACUCCGCCCACAAGACAUUGGCACCAACUCUGUUACAAACAUGUGUCACUUCCAAGUGCUCUGUGAGGUGUUCUUUCAAGAGGAGCCCACAGUUGAGUUGUUGAGAGACUGCUUCCAUCUAAACCGCCGCACUAAGUUUACUGACGGUUCAAAUACGGAAUUGGGUGGUGUGGCGAUUCAGAAAAGAAAAGAGGUCACAUAUCCUCAUGCCAAACCGCACAGCCACCCCAAAGAGUGGAAUCAAACAUGGUUCUAUUGCAAAGACACCUCCCCUGCUGGUGAAAAUCCUUUGCCUGGCUUUCGUCCGGAGCGGCUUAGCAAUACACACCCCUUCCCGCAAAGGUUGACUGCCAAGGAGAGAAGCAAAUACCCUCCUCAACUGUCCAAGCUCAGAGCCUUCAUGGCCAAUGGUUUAAUAGGAGUUGAUCUCACUCGCUGUUGGAUAUCGUGGAGCAUACUGCCCCUUAGUCAGCGCUCCGGUUUGAUGUGCGAGUAUACUGGCAGUGUUGAUGACCCGCUGCGACAUGCUAACAUCCAGCUCACCGACGAAGAAAUCACAGAGGCUGUGAAUAAAAUGCUGAAUGAACCGGAACACGUCUGUGCUCGAACCGGCCUGCUUCCCUUCUGUGCCACCAAGAAACCGCCAACUGUAAGAAUUUGAUUUUUCUUUUUAUUGAACCUGUUAUUGAUAUAUCUGGUCAUUGUUUAAUAUCAGUGUCUGUUUAAACAGGGUAAUGAUCCGUUUUGGAGCAAGAAACUUCCACAGGAGAAGCCAGAAAAAACAGACAAACUGGAAUGACCAACCCGGACAAAGACUAAAGACGUGAAACGGUCUGCUCAUAAGAAGAAAACCACUGCAUCUUCUAAUCCGGCACCUGAUGAUGAUGUGGGUAAUCCAAACCUUGAGGUAGAGCUUGAUUCACAUGGCUUAUUUUUCAUGCGCCUUAUUGAUGAUGAUAUUUGUCAGGAUGAUGCCAAAGCCAGCCAUGCUGAUGCUGCAGAGGUAAUUACACUCUCUUCCGACUCAGACCCUUUGCCUUCAUUAAAAAUCCGUCAGGCAAACCGGAAGGUUAAAUUUUCUCAUCCUCUUGCUUACUUGGAUCCCAAAUUUCUUAUGAAGACCCAACAGCACGAAGCUCGCCGCACAACCCGGCACAGCGGCCAGGUAGUUACCUCCGCCAGUUUACCGAACAGUCCGGUUCGGAAACGCCGUUCAGAGGUCUCUUAUUUGCUUGUUAGCGCUUGUCCUAAAGCGGGCUGUUUUCGUCACCUCUUAAUCCAUCUGACUCCGAUUAUCAGGUUACUUCCCACUCAUCCUCUGGCGAGUCAUCAGCUACUCAGCUACCACCGCUCAAAAUGGUGCUUGGGUAAGCUAUACUUAUCAUAAUAUUUCCGGUACAUCACCUUGGAACAUAUGUUGUAUUUGACUUUGUUAUUCCUUUCAGGGCCAAGCCUAGGCCGAGCAAGAAGGCUCGCCUGGAUAAAGCGGCCGAGGAGGACGCCGUCCCUGAACCAGGUAAAACACCAGAUCUUGAAGCGGCUAUUCCUGAAGAUAUACCCAAUGAUCCACCACAGCAGGAUGACGAUUUUAUUGCUGAAGAAAGGCCUAUUGACACCUCAGGCCCUGUCAACCAGCCCACAAGCCCCAUCCGGAUUGAGAAAUCCACUAGUCCAUCCAAGCCUACUGAUAAGCCAACGGCCCCAGUGCAAACCGGCAAUGCCAAGGAUGACGAGGUUGUCAUUACCGGCAUUGGUCGCACAGAGCCAGGCAAUCCCGUUGCUUUAUCCAGACACACUGCCAAGGAAGAAAUUGCUGCCAUUGGCAAGGGAAAGUGGAAUGCCGAUCUGACAACUUAUGCCGCUCUGAACGUCCAAGAUCUCCAUUCCGGCUAUCUGAACCGGCUAUACACCAUCCGUGACUAUGAAGCUGGUCUGGUUAAUAUGAUGAAAGAGAAAUAUGAGGUAACUUCCAUGUGCUUAUCUGCGUAUGUUCUUCAAUCUAUCAAGUCUCCUAGCCCCCAAGGGUCGGUUUAGAAUCUCCGUUCAAACCGGGACUUGUCAAUGCAGACUUCAGUAUUUUCUGAAUUUGCUGAUAUAGCCCCCAAGGGCCGAUUCAACUUAGUGUAGUUAAACCGGGACUUUAGGUAAUCAAGAGUAUAGCAAUAGUAUUAACUGAACAAAUAGCCAUUAGCCCCCGAGUGCCAAGUUGAAUACUUGUAUUGAGCUUGGGACUUUUCUGAAUAAUUGAAGAGCAAAUAUGCAUUAGCCCCCAAGGGCCAAGUGCAUAACUUGUUAUGUGGUUGGUACUUCAAUUCUUGUACUGCUUGCUGAAUCAUAUAACUGUCUUUAUACAGGCUGAGCUAAAGACAAAAGAAAACCAAGUCGCCGAUCUCCAAGAAAAUCUGAAGUCCCAACAAACUGAAGCCUCAAAAGCAAAAGAGGAAUUGACCAGUGCCUUAAGCGUAAUGGAAUAGCUUGAGAAGGAUUUCAAGAAGGAGCGGGCGGAUUGGGCUAUCCUGUUGAAGCGGAUCUGCGAGCAAUAAACCGGGAGGUGCGUCCGCUAGCGUGUCAAUUAGUUGAAGAAGUAGACUUGUCUCAUUAUCAAGCCCAAUAUGACAGCCAAAACAAGCGAGUUGCUGCACCAAUUCCUGAAGCGGAAAAUAUUAUCCCUCCAACCCGUAAGCAUACUUACGCUCCCGACAUUGAACCGUCGUUGCUGAUCCAUGAUGAAGCCGUCUUUCAAGCAUUAAUGGGAAUCGACUGGACAACUGUUGAUUUCCAGCCGCUGGGUAGAGAAGCUGAAGCUGAAGCGGUGAGGGAUGACCCACAACCAUCAGGCCCGGCUGGUGAACAAGCUUGAACCGGAAGCCGGUUUAAACUGCUUCUCCUUUGCGAAAAAACAAUGAUCUUAUUUUGGGCACCGUGUUGCCUUGUAAUAGGCUAGCCGAUACUCUUGAUUUUGAUAUGCCUUCGUGCAUAAUUACUGCAACUUGUUCUUCCUUUGGGUGAUGAACUUUCCAAAGUAUUUUCUGCCAUCGUUGGGCAUGAAGUUGGCUUGGCCAAUCUUGAAGCGGAGGUUUAUAAACCCACACUAUUGGAGGAGAUAGCAGCUCCUGUAUAUAUCUAAUGCCGGUUUACCAUGUAAACCGUGCCGGGUUAUAAUAAAACACCGUGUUACUCCGUAAUAGGAUGUUUAAGAAAAAAUCAAACCGGGCAAAUAGUCUCCGGAUUAAAAAUGGACUGUGUUUCGUCAAUUGACAGUUUGAACCGGCUUUAAACUUUGUCGGUUUAAAAAACGCAACAAAAAGAAAGAAAUAUCUAUCAAAGAAAAUUGUGAAGCAAAGGCAAUGAUAAAACCGUUUGCAAAAAGAGGCUUUAUUUGAGCCGAUCAGAUGGUGUUACCAUGGUCGGACACGACCAAGCUCCCAAUAGGUGUAGCGAUGGUUCAAGUCAGCCAGGUCCCCAAAUGAAACCGUGGCAUUUAUGCCGAUCAAGAGGCGCGGCAAUGGUUCGGGUUCGACCAAGACCCCAAGUGAUUCUGUAGCCUUAGGCCGAUCAAGAGGCGUGACUGGUUCAGACGUGACCAAGUCCCCAAGUGAUCUGGUGGCUCUCGCCUAUCAAGAGGUGUUGCAUUGGUUCGGACAUGGCCGAGCCCCCAAGUGAUAUAACAUGAUGCUUUGAAAAGCUAACUCAAGGGGUAAACCGUAGACCGCUUUAGAACAACUCCGUGUAACCACACAUGAUGUAAAAGAACAGAUACCCCGCUUUAGCUGAGGUUCCGGUUUAUUAUAUUUAAUCAUAAUAUAUACAUCAUCGUAAUAUGUACAUAAGUAGAUCCAAUGGCUCAGGUAUAGUAAGGCCGAAGAUGAGCUAUGUUCCACGGCCUGUUGGUCUCCCCCUCUGAUGUACGUGAGUCUUUAUGCUCUCGAAUAUCGAUCAGAUAGUAUGACCCGUUGUGCAGAUUCUUGCUGACCAUGAAAGGUCCCUCCCAAGGUGGGGAUAGCUUAUGCAUAUCAGUCUGAUCUUGGAUGAGCCGAAGCACCAAAUCUCCUUCCUGAAAGGUUCUGGUUCUGACUCGGCGACUGUGAUAACGACGAAGAUCCUGUUGGUAAACCACCGAGCGGGCGACUGCUAUGUCAUGUUCUUCAUCCAAUAGGUCCAAAGCGUCUUGCCAUGCUAUCUCGUUUUCCGCUUCAACAUAAGCCGCCACACGAGGUGAAUCAUGAUGGAUAUCACUGGGUAGAACCGCCUCCGCUCCAUAGACCAUGAAGAACGGUGUGUAUCCUGUUCAUCUGUUGGGUGUAGUAUUGAUGCUCCAUAACACAGAUGGUAACUCUUCUACCCAACAACCCGGUGUUCUCUGCAAAGGAACCAUAAGCCGGGGCUUGAUGCCUCUCAAGAUCUCUUGAUUAGCCCUUUCUGCUUGACCAUUGGACUGUGGGUGUGCCACUAAUGAAACGUCAAGCCGGAUGUGCUCCCGUUCGCAGAACUCCUUCAUGGCACCCUUAGACAAAUUGGUACCAUUAUCUGUGAUGAUACUGUGUGGAAAGCCAAACCGGAAAAUCACUUUUUUGAUAAACUGAACCGCCGUGGCCGCAUCACACUUGCUAACAGGUUCUGCUUCCACCCACUUUGUAAACUUGUCAACCGCCACCAGGAGGUGGGUCUUCUUAUCCUUGGACCUUUUGAAAGGCCCAACCAUAUCCAGCCCCCAAGUCGCAAACGGCCAAGUAAUUGGAAUCAUUCUCAAUUCUUGAGCCGGCACAUGAGCAUGUCUCGAAAACUUUUGGCAACCGUCACAUCGUCUGACUAGAUCCUCUGCAUCAGCAUGAGCAGUUAACCAAUAGAAGCCAUGGCGAAAUGCUUUAGCCACCAAAGAUUUUGAACCGGCAUGGUGACCACAAUCUCCUUCGUGGAUCUCACGCAAAAUUUCACAACCUUCUUCAGGAGACACACAGCGUUGAAACGCCCCUGACAAACUGCAAUGAUGCAACUCGCCAUUGACAAUAGUCAUGGACUUGGAUCACCAGAUUAUCUGUCAGGCCAGAAUCUCAUCCUCUGGUAACUCACCUCGGUUCUUGUACGCAAGGUAAGGAAGCGUCCAAUCCGGAAUAACAUGAAGAGCUGCCACCAAUUGAGCCUCCGGAUCAGGAAUAGCCAAAUCCACUUCACCAGGGAGCUUGACCGACAGGUUGUGCAGCACAUCGAGGAAAACAUUAGGCGGGACCAGUUUGCGCUGAGAACCCAGCCGUCUUAAAGCGUCCGCUGCUUCGUUCUUCCGUCGGUCCACGUGGUCCACCUGAUAGCCUUUAAAUUGACCUGCAACAGUAUCCACCUCACGACGAUAUGCUGCCAUGAGUGGGUACUUGGAAUCCCAAGUGCCGGACACCUGCUGAGCCAUAAGGUCCGAGUCACCGAAGCACUUAACUCGACUUAGAUUCAUCUCUCUAGCCAUCUAGAGACCAUGGAGCAAGGCUUCAUACUCAGUUGCAUUGUUAGUACAAGGGAACAUUAGGCGGAGAAAGUAACAGAACUUAUCACCUCGUGGGGAAGUUAAUACGACCCCAGCCCCCGAGUCCUCCAAUUGCCUGGAUCCGUCAAAAUGGAUUGUCCAAUAUGCAUGGUCCGGUUCGUCUUCAGGUGCUUUCAGUUCCGUCCAAUCAUUGAUGAAAUCAACAAGUGCUUGAGACUUAACCGCCGUCCGCGGCAUGUACUUUAACCCGUGCGGCCCAAGUUCUAUAGCCUACUUGGCAAUCCGGCCAGUCGCUUCCCGGUUCUGGAUGAUAUCGCCCAAGGGAGCAGAACUGACUACCGUAAUGGGUUGCCCUUGGAAGUAUUGUUUAAGCUUCCGGCUUGCCAUAAAAACACCAUAUACUAGCUUCUGCCAAUGCGGAUACCUUUGCUUGGACUCAAUAAGUACCUCGCUGAUAUAAUAGACCGAACGUUGAACCGGAUUCUCCUUGCCUGCCUCUUUUCGCUCCACCACAAUAGCCACACUGACCGCAUGAGCAUUAGCAACAACAUAUAGCAGUAACGGCUCCUUGUCAAUGGGAGCGGCGAGCACAGGCGGAUUGGCCAAUUGCCGCUUUAAGUCCUCAAAUGACUUAUCAGCAGCAGAACUCCAGACAAAUUGAUCCGUCUUCUUCAACAUCUGAUACAAAGGGAUUGCCUUCUGACCAAGGCGGCUGAUAAACCGGCUUAACACGGCAAUCCAGCCUGCCAGGCGUUGAACAUCGUUGAUACACUUCAGUUUAGCCAGGGAAGUGAUAGCUGUGAUCUUCUCCGGAUUAGCCUCGAUUCCCCUGUUCGACACCAGAAAACCCAAUAACUUGCCUGCCGGUACACCAAAGACACACUUGGCCGGAUUAAGCAUCAUCUUGUACGUCCUCAGGUUAUCAAAGGUUUCCUUCAAGUCGUCAACCAGAGUCUCCUUCUCCCUUGACUUAACCACAAUAUCAUCCACGUAAGCAUGUACAUUACGGCCAAUCUGCUUGUGAAGACAAUUUUGUACACACCGUUGAUAAGUUGCCUGGGCACUCUUGAGCCCGAAGGGCAUCGACACAUAGAAGAAGGCUCCAAAGGGAGUUAUGAAUGUCGUCUUCUCCUGGUCCUUAACUGCCAUUUUGAUCUGAUGAUAGCUAGAAUAUGCAUCCAAAAAACUCAAAUGCUCACAACCCGCCGUAACAUCAAUAAUUUGAUUAAUACGGGGGAGGGCAAAAGGAUCUGCUGGACAAGCCAUAUUAAGAUCUGUGUAAUCCACACACAUGCGCCAGGUGUCGUUUUUCUUAAGGACCAGCACUGGAUUGGCAAGCCACUCAGGGUGAAAAACUUCGAUAAUAAAGCCAGCUGCUAAGAGCCUGGCUACCUCUUCUUCGAUCGCCUUGCACCUUUCUUCGUUAAACCGGCGGAGGAACUAUUUCACUGGUUUGUAUUUAGGAUCCACAUUAAGGGUGUGCUCAGCGAGUUGCCUCGGUACACCUGGCAUGUCAGAGGGCUUCCAUGCAAAGAUGUCCCGAUUCUCACGGAUGAACUCGAUGAGCGCGCUUUCCUAUUUCGGAUCCAAGUUGGCACUGAUGCUGAAUUGCUUGGACGAAUCGCCAGGCACGAAGUCAACAAGUUUAGUCUCAGCUGCCGAUUUGAAUUUCAGGGCCGGAUCAUGCUCCAUAGUUGGCUUUUUCAACGGAGUCAUGUCUGCCGGAUCAACAUUGUCCUUAUAAAAUUUCAGUUCCUCGGUGGCACAAACCGACUCUGCGUAGGCCGCAUCUCCUUCCUCGCAUUCCAAAGUGACUUUACGGAUUCCGUGAACUGUUAUUGUCCCCUUGUGACCCGGCAUUUUGAGCUGCAAAUACACAUAACAGGGUCGUGCCAUAAACUUGGCGUAGGCCGGUCGCCCAAACAGGGCGUGAUAUGGACUUUGGAUUUUCACCACUUCAAACGUCAAUGUUUCUGACCUGGAAUCAUAAUCAUCUCCGAAAGCCACUUCUAGAGCUAUAUUACCAACAUGAUAUGCUGACUUGCCAGGUACCACACCAUGGAACACCGUAUUGGACGGUUUGAGAUUUUUAUCUGUUAGUCCCAUACGACGGAAGGUCUCAUAGUACAAGAUAUUAAUGCUGCUCCCUCCAUCCAUGAGCACCUUGGUGAACUUGUAACCUCCCACCUGAGGAGCCACCACCAGAGCCAACUGACCUGGAUUAUCAACCUGGGGAGGGUGAUCCUCUCUGCUCCAUAUGAUUGGCUGUUUAGACCAGUGUAGAUAACGGGGCACGGCCGGUUCAACAGAGUUGACUCCCCGCCUCUGGACCUUCCGGUCUCGCUUGUCCAAGCUAGUGGUGAAGACAUGGUACUGCCCACUAUUCAACUGCUUUGGGUUGCUCUGGUAACCCGACUGUUGUUGCUGCUGGUUGUAACCACCCUAGUUGUUCUGAUUAUUUUGAUUGUUAUGUCCGCCCGGAUUACCAUUAAAUCCUGAACCGGAAUUUCCUCCACCAUAACUCGGCCCAGAUCCUGAGCCACCGCUAGAGCCGUGAUCAUACCGGAAAGCAUUAGAAUUUUUGAACUCCUGCAUAAUGAAGCAAUCCUUCCAAAGGUGGUUUGCUGGCACCUCCUUCGUCCCAUGCUUUGGAUAGGGCUGGUUCAAUAGAUAAUUUAGACAGUCCGGGUUAGGGUUAGGCGCUCCACCACGAUUCGGCGGUUUACCCUUGCGUUGCUGACCCUUGUCCUGCGCGUUGGUAUUAGCCACGAAGUCCAUGUUGCCAUCCGCUUUACGCUUGCCUCCACUACCGUUACCUGCCGAGUGAUGCUGCUGACCUUUGGAGUUGUUGUUCCUCUUUCCCUUACCUGCCUUGUCAUCAUCAGACUCGGGAUCCUUGGUACUAUCAGAAUCAACAUAUUUUACCAAAGCAGCCAUGAGGGUCCCCAUGUCAGUGCAAUGGCGCUUCAUCCUUCCCAACUUCAGCUUUAGGGGCCCAAACCGGCAGUUGCCUUCUAGGGUUAUGACUGCAGUGUCAGCAUUCAUGCGGUUUGAUGAAUGCAACACUUGUGAGACCCGGCGCACCCAAUGAGUCGUCGAUUCUCCUUCCUCCUGGACGCAGGCCGCUAAGUCCACUAUCGACAUAGGCUGCUUACAUGUAUCCUUGAAAUUACUGAUAAACCGGGCUCGUAAUUGGGCCCAUGAACUGAUAGAAUUGGCUAUUAAGCUUUUUAACCAAGUACGGGUCAUUCCUUCGAGCAUCAUGGUGAAGUACUUCGCACAUGCCACAUCAUCCACAUCAAGCAUCUCCAUGGCCAUCUCAUAGCUCUCCACCCAUGUCUCUGGAGGUUGAUCCACCGUGUAGUUUGGCACCUUGCGCGGGCCUUUGAAAUCCUUGGGCAGGCGCACAUUACGUAAAGCGGGGACAAGGCAAGGCACCCCCAAAGAACUAGAAGUAACACCAGGUUCGACCGUGAUAGUUGGACGAACCGGUGUAAGCUGCCAAGCCUGAUACUGUGCGGCUAACUCGGCGUCCCUGCGCACUCGGGCCCGAUCCACCACUUCCUGAGCGUUAUCAGCACCACCCGCCGGGUUGUUUCCGCGGGGUGCUCCACGUCGUUCAUUACUUGACACUGCCGCUUCAUCCAUAUGUCUGCCAUAGCUCCGGCUUGGACGAGGGGUCGAGUGGAUCCGGUCGCGGCUGUACGAGUAUGCUUCCUGUUGGACCAAAGCUGUCCUAAGAAGUUCCUUGACCCGUCGCGUCUUUACCGCCUGCGGCGAGUCACCUUCAAUUGGAAUGGCCUCCAGCCAUGCAGCUGCGGCAACGAGACUGUCCAUUGGGUUGGAGUAGUGACCCGGAGGUGUUCAAACAACCUGAGGUAUAAUAGUGUUUUGACGAAGCGGAUUCAUCAGACGAGGCUGAACCGGCGUGCCGGUCCCAGGAGCUUCCGCCCGGUUUACCUCCAGCGGAUUACUGGUUCCUGCUCCUGGGGUGUUGAAAAGGUCUCUGGCCUCGAAACCCGAAGGCAAACGGGAUCGGUACUUCCUCUUCAUGACUUCAUGCGACGCGUUCUGAUCCAACAUGAGCCUGUAGGCUUGUGCGUCUAAAGCGGCCCGCUCUGUGGUCAUCCUGGCAUUCUCAGCUACCAGGUCCGCCUUGGCCUGGGUGAUCUGUUCCCUCACCUUUGCAAUCUCCGCGUUGUGGACGUCCUGAUCUGCCGGGUUAGCCUCUGCCAUAAGCACAGCCAAUGCAUCAAAUAGAUCUGAUAGAACUUGAGCCGGCGGGCGUACAGAGCCUCCUGCCUCGGCAGCUGUCGCCGCUACUGAACCGGAGGUCAUUGGCGCAGCGGCCGAAGAAUGAAUCGCUUCUUGUGUGCCGGCCAUGAAUAUUCCAACUCGGUUGGGUAGAUCAGAGGGGUACGGAAUACUGUCGCCGUCGGAACAGCCCCCAAUCCGGCCAUCUUGUAGCUGAUAUAGAGAUUCGGUUUCUCCGAUUGAUGACUCGUCGCCAUAAUAAACGAUGGUCUCACCGCGAGAUUCCGAUCCAUCCUCAUGACUUCCUCCAUGGAUGACUCCCACGAAGGCAUGCUUCACGGCCGGUUUAACCCGGGCGGAUCAUGCACGCUGAGCCUUUCAACAAGGUCGAUGCAGAUGUCCGGCUCAGGGCCCGGUUCACCGAUCUUGCCGAUGAAAAUGUGUAUGCCACCAAAGGGGACCCGGUACCCGUACUCAACUGAGCCAGCGUCGGGGCCCCAGCCUGCAUCGUCGAUGUAGAGCUUGCCGCGACGACUCUUAGUCAUCCGGCCCACAGCGUAGCCCUCGAGUCCUUCAAAGCAGCCCUCCAAGAACUUGAAACCAUCGUGCGAUAGCCCCACGGUGGGUGCCAACUGUCAUGGUUUUGCCACGGCAGAUGUCCUAGAGAAAGGACUUAGUCGUGGAGCCAUCGCAGCGGGUUAGCUUGAAGGGGUUAAACCGGACACAGGGACGCAAGAGAGUUUAUACUAGUUCGGCCCCUUCGAUGAAGGUAAAAGCUACGUCUAGUUGUGAUGGAAUUGAUGGGGUUUCGAUGACUAGGGAGCAAACAAGCUUCGCCUAAGUCUCGAGUUGUUGUCUGUUGUCCUUGAACCGCCGCCGGGUCGUCCCCUUAUAUACAUGGGUGACGCCCGUCGGUUUACAGAGUCCCAACACCGGCUCAUAUACGUGUUCGGUUUGGUCUCUAAUUAUUCCUACCUUACAAUACAAGUUUACCUACCGACGCCGGUUUACGGCUACAAGCCUUAAACUAGUCAUGGGCUUUAAGCCCUUAUCUACCUUCAUGGGCUUUAACAUACUUAACUACUGAUGAAGUUAACCCGGCCCAAGUAGGCCGGUUUACGCCCAGUAGUAAUAUCCCCAAUAGUGGGCGCCAAAAACAAACUCUUGUCGGCAAAUAUUCGGUGUAUGCGAGAUUACCGACCUAUCCCCAACCGACUAGUGUUGCUGUGAUGUAGUAGAAAUUUGAAACAGGGGCUAAGUUUGUAAAUUUCCUCGCAUUUGAGACAAGCGCGCCCUGAAUACAUGGUUCCCCCCUUCCUCUCUACCUCCCUUUUCCCCAUUCGUACUCCAUGGGCGCCAAAACACCCUCUCCACCCCACCCUCCUCCGUCCGCCGCCGUCCGCCACCCCAUCCACCGCCGUCCUCCUCCACCAUGUCGGAGCUGAUACCCCGACGCCGCUGUCCAUUACAAGAGAUCGACCUCUCUCAUCCACGGCUUCGGACCGGGAUCCUUGCAUCCCGUCCUCUCGCUUCAUCCCCGCCGUCGUCCACCUUGUUGGUGCCACUCCUACGACCGUCUCGUCCACCGCACCCCGCCGCCACCGUCUACCAUCCUAGAUCUGCUUCCAUGCCGCCGACAGCCAUCGCUACUGCAACAUCGUCAAAUUCUCAGCAGAUGCCUACACGGCGCCGCACCAGAGACGGUACUCUUUCGUAUCUGCUCAACUUAUUUACCGCAGCAAGAAAAUAGAUCGCCACUGCUUUACUCCGAUUUCUUGUCUUGGUUGCGAAGUUGCCUUUGUCCGGUUUGCACCUUCAGAUCCAACAUGGCACGCUCAACACCAUACUCGCAAUGCUUAUGGUUUUCCCCUUUUAUGUUCCACACUAGUUAAAUCACAGUAGACUAAAUUUCAAAAUUGGGUAAGUUGAUUUUUCAGAGCUCGCCGGAGUUCGCUGGUGCGAUCGAAGGGGCUCGGGUGGUUGUGGGUCCUCGCCGAACGAAGAAAACUCGACGCGGGUGGGGGUUGGGGUGGGGGUGGUGGAGGAACACAGGCGGUGGGGGCCGGUGGUCCGGCCGGCGGCCAGUGCGGUGUUCUGUAUGGGAAGAAUCAGAGACGAGGAAGAAGAAGGGUUAGGAGACGUAGGAUCUUCAUCCAACCGCCUGAAAUGGUCGAGAGACAGCUAGGAGUUGCAUUCUUAAUGCGCUCUGGUUCGUCAUGUGUGGGCACUAUGCAACCAACAUUUUAUUAUCCAAAAUCUGCUUGCUCUUCUUUACCAUGUUCCUCUUCCGUUCUUCUUUAAUAUGUACUCUCUCCGUUCCUAAAUACAAGUCUUUGUAUAGAUUCCACCAUGGACUACAUAUGGAGCAAAAUGAGUGAAUCUACACUCUAAAAUGUACAUGGAUACAUCUGUAUGUGAUCCAUAGUGGAAAUCUCUACCAAGACUUAUAUUUUGGAACGGAGGGAGUAUGAUAGUAGUACAGUAUGUUCCUUGUACUGAAGAUGAGCAGGGACAUUUGCAGUGUAGAGGUCUAUAUGGUCGGUUGUUAUGGACACUUUGAGCCUCUUUCAUUCGUAGGAUCUUGUAAACAUAGGAAUAGGAUUUGUAGUGGCCUACCCACUUGAAUCCUAUAAGAAUAGCAAGGAAAUGCGGGGAGCUGUGUCGCCUUUGAGAGUUAAAUUGAUAUUAAUAGUACCACACCUUCACUUGAAGAGAGCUGGUAUCUGAAGCCUUUCUAGCCGUACCGGCAAUACUAGCACAGAUAUUCCAGCAAGUUCUACUUUGCUGAUUUUACUCUGAUGCUUAAGGUUUUCCCGUUAUAUCUACACUAUGAUCUGUGUAGCUGCUUUGUGUCGCACUAGCAGUAGUCCACUCUUGAAGCUAAACACUACAAUGACUUACAAAAUUGGCACCAAGGCAUUGAGUGCCAUUCUGGAUGCAAUGAAACUCAUACGCUCCCCACCUGUUGAUUCUUGUUCAGAAUAUCAUCCUAAUAACUAUUCUAACCUCGAGGAGUCAAAGGCAGAUGGCAUGUCCUGUUCACCCAUCAAGGUGCCUGUUCUAAUUUGGCAAUGUUUUAUUGAUUGCGGGUAUCUUGCAUAUGUUGUCUUGCAUUUCUUCUACUUUGUUGCACCGCCAUCUGCUUAGUUUACUCAUCAUAUAUGUCGAGAUGCCAUGCCCAUCCAUUAUCAAUACAUAUUCCAUCUCUCAUCAUACCAUGUUUUUCCACUCAAAUGCUGUUCUUGUGCAUCAGACAUCAAAAAGGAAGAGGGUGAUUGUCGAACCUGAAGGAGCACCAGCAAAGUCCUUGAAAAAUGUUGUGGUGCCGGAGAAAUCAGAUAGCACCCCACUUAUAUUGGCUGUACAACCAGUGACACAAAACGUAGGACCGACUCCAGUAGACUGUACCCAUACUUCACUGGCCACACCACUAGCCCCACCACACAGGACCUGCACUCCAGCAAAAGGUAUACCGAUUUUAUUUGCCAUAACACCAGCUGUACCACAGAAAAAUCCCACUCCAGCAAAAAGUACAGCAAGUCCACUGGCCAAAGACCUAUCCCAGCUGCAAAGACGGCCAAUUCCUGCAGAUUGGAACCCCAUUCCAUUUAUUCCCAGUUUAAAAGACAAUGCUUUCAAUAUUGUUAGGGACUACGUGCAUAUAUUCCCAUCAUGGGAAGAUUAUUGUGAAGACAAACACCAUUUUCACAUCUUCCUGUCCAACUUACGUGUAAGUGCUAUUAUUCAUGGCUAUUAUUUUCCUAUUUUCUUCUGAUUGAACACAUCAAUGAUUUACAUUACAUUGUUGUAACUAGGCGAGGGUCAAUCUGGAUAGUCAUGACGAGCAAAGCUUGCUUGUGCUUUUCAAGGAAGCAUUACAGCAGUAUUGGUGUUACUUGAGGAAAUCACACUUUGAUGGCAAGUGUAUAAACGAAUUUCCGUUGAAGUCUCCUGUGCUAAAUUUAGAAGACAUUGAAUGGAAAAGCCUUGUUAUGCACUAGUCUCGUUCCCAGGAUGAGGUGUUGUCUAUGAAAUCACAUGACAAUUUGAACUUCUAAUUUUCCGCAUGUGCCUUACGUAUCUUUUUUGCAGGAAAUCUGCUCGAAGAAGAAUAUCGGUUUGACAAGAACGACAGGAUAUCGCAAAUAUGUUGCCCGCUGCUUUGCUCUUGUUAGUACCUAUUGUCCUGUAUCACUGUACUUGCUUACAUACCUGGUUCAUUAUGUGACAACAGUAUGCAUGAUAGCUUGCUUAUCAACUGUUCACUCCAAAUUAUCUGAUAUGUAUGAAUGGUUACAUUAGUGUAGAAUAUAUCCAAUGCCAAUGUUUUUUAGCUCUGCAUUGUUCUUGUAAGUACAUGCUGUCCUUUAUCAGUGUACUUAUAAUGACAUGUAAUUGUUCAUGUACCAUCACUCUGCAGCUUAUUUUCCUUUGCCCUCCAUUUUCUACACAUCAAAUCUAUAUUUACUCUUACCAUAAGGUUGGUACUAAAGAAGCUUAGCUGUGCAUUGCUCUUGGCUGUACCUUUUGCCUGUAUCGCUGCACUUACAUUUAUAGCUACUUGGUUAUGUAGCAUCACUCUUCAUCUUAUCUUAAAUAUUCUCCAUUUUUUCUUAUAUUAUCACAUCUAUAUUUACUCUUAACAAAAUGUAGAAUAAAGGCAAUGCUUUUGAAUAAGAUUCUGUGGUAAACUUCUUGAAUGCCCCCCCAUAAGCAUGGACAAGGCCUUUAUAGAGCCUGUCUUCACCAAUAAUGUAAGUUUGUCCAUCUCAAGCCUUCAAACUUUGUUGUAUAUAUUUGGUUAGGCAUGACUGCAACAGCUGUUUAUUUUUGGUGUUUGCAUCAAAUUGCUUGUUUGAAGUUUAUUAUAUGUAGUUCAUAAACAAAAGUUCGUCCUUUCUCAAUUUAAGUUUUCAGAUGUACAACCAAGUUCCUUCUUCAUACCAUGUAAAUUAAACUAUACAGAGCAAGUGAUCUUCUUUUGCACUGCAUGUAUGCUUCUGUUCUUCAUCUGUAAUCCAGUGGUGUGGUGAACCUACCCACUACAGCACGAUGUCAUAUUCUGCAAUGUCUUAACUAUGAAAAAUGUCAUAUCAUUCUACUAUUAUUUAAACCGUCUCUUUAUUUGCCAAUGUGAAAUGGUAUAAAUUGACAGCACACUAACCAUUGAUACUUAUGAGUUCUUGAUCUGUAAUCAAGUGGUGUCAUGAAGCUGCCAACUCCUUCACAAUGUCAUUUCCUGCCAUGUCUUGACCUGAACAAUACCAUAUUGUGUUAAUGCAAAUUUAAACUGUGUCACUUUAUUUGUCAGUAAGAAAUGUGAUGAAUUGUCAGCACUGAUACUUUUAUGUGCAAAACCUGUCAUCUGUCUGCUUGUUUAUCUUUCAGAGUGAGGAAGAUAUAAGUGUUGAACAAGUGCAGUCUCAUCAUCUUGCCCAGCUGCUUGCGCUGCAGCUCCCCAGCAGGGUAACCUUUCUUGAACUCUAUUGAAGUGCUUUCGGUUUUGUAUAUCAUUUUGUCGGCGUGUUUAUUUGCACUGGUGGCGAUCUUUGAUGCCCAGUGUAUGUAAUCUGCUGUCUGCUUGUGCUUUAUUAUCAUAGUGGUGAACUUUGAUGCCCAGUGUAUGUAAUAUGCCAUGAUUUAUUUAUUGUAUAGUAUAGGUUUUUUCCUAUUCACGAUGCUGCAGUUAUUUUACUGUAUAUAUAUCCUGUCUUCGCAGUAAACCGGCCAAACCGUAAAAUUACGGUACAUAAUCGGGCCGUCAUGCAAUCACGAUGUAGGUUGGGCCUGAAACGUGCCGACCAGCUCAUGGGCCGGCAGCAGCCCGAAAUGAACCCCGGCCCGUGAUUGUGCAAAUCAAAUUAUGAGAUUUUAACAGGCCAAAAAAUUGUCUCGGUCCUUGUUUGGCCCAAUCAGAUAUUGGCUGCGAGCAGGCCGGAUGCAAACCGGGCCGUAGUUAGGCCCAACUAUAUGACGGGAUUUUAACAGUCUGAAAUUAAUAUAGGGCCGAAAUGUUAAACGGGCCCUUAACAGGCCAAAACUAAUAUCAGGCCGAAUUACUAAGUGGGCCUUUAGCAAGUGGGCCCAAAAGCAUAGUGUCCAGUUGACGGGCUGAAUCUGAUAUGGGCCAUAAUUAGGCCCAAAACCUCUUAAAGGGCCGGACCUGAUCUGGGCCGUAAUUUGGCCUAGAACGUGGUAGGCUUUUAACGGGCUGGAUCUCAUAUGGGCCACUAUUAGGCCCGAAGCGUGGCGGGCCAUUAAUAGACCGUAUCAAAUAUGAGCCGACAUUUGGCCCAAAACAUGGCAGCCAGUUAACGGGCCGGCCUACUAAGGUCCUCAAAAUCUUGUGGGCCUACAGCUGGGCCGGCCCAUUAAUGUCGGUGAAAUCUCGUGGGCCUGUAGCUGGGCCGGCCCAUUAUGAUCCGCAAGAAUUUUGUGGGCCUUUACCUGGGCCGGCCUAUUAUGGCACACAAAAAUCUUGUGGGCCUUUACCUGGGCCGACCCAUUAUGGCCCGCGAAAUCUUGUGGGCCUUUAGCUAGGCCAGCCCAUUAUGGUCCGCAAAAUCUCGUGGGCCUUUAGCUGGGCCGGCCCAUUAUGGUCCACAAAAUCUUGUGGGCCUUUAGUUGGGCCGGCCCAUUUAAACUUGUUGGGCGGUGCCACGUGUCGACGUAUCAUAGGCGCCUUCUGUCCAGUGAUUGGAUGACAUCUGUCCCGACAAUGAGCCGACACGUGUUUCUUCUAGCCAAUGAUGAUUUUACACGUGGAAAAUCCCCAUUUGUCGGGGCUGUUAACGGGUUAUCGGAUCCAAAACCCGACCCGAUAGCUUAACGGCGUUCCUUUACGGUGGAUGCCACAUGUCGGUCACCCUUGACGAAAGCACUUCUGUGACGCGCGAUUUAUCGUCAUGGAAGUGGACACUUCCGUGAUGAUAAUUUUGGUAAUGUCAUGGAACACUUCUACGACAGCACAAGUAUGACUAUCUUGAUUCUGUCAUAAAUUUGUCAUGGAUGUACAUGCAUGACAAAAAUAGUGACCUACUGUGACAAACACGUAUCAUCACGGAAGUGUAUUUUUUUGUAGUGGUGGAGGGCGCGCCCCCCUACCUCGUCGUUGCCUCGUGGACCCCCCUGACGUGAAACCGACGCCAAAAAUUCCUAUAAAUCCCGAAACCUCUAGAAAUAAACCUAGAUCGGGACUUCCGCCACCGCAAUCCUCUGUAGCCAGGAAAAUCCAGUCGGGAGGCUGUUCCGGCACCCUGCCGGAGGGGGCAACCAUCACCGAAGGCCAUAUUCAUCAUCUCAUCACUCUCCAUGACGAGGAGGGAGUAGUUCACCCUCGGGGCUGAGGGUAUAUACAAGUAGCUAUGUGUUUGAUCUCUCUCUCUCUCUCAUGUUCUUGAUUUGGGAGGAUCCUGAUGUACCACGAGCUUUGCUACUAUAGUUGAAUCAUAUGGUCUUUCUCCGCCUCUACCUUCUUGUGAUGAAUUUAGUUUUACCUUUGAUGUUUUACUAUUAUCGGAUUGAAUACUAUUAUGGAUUUGAGAAAACUUGAUGUAUGUCUUGCGUGGGAUACCUGUGGUGACAAUGGGGUGUUUUAUUGAUUCACUUGAUGUAUGUUUUGCACUCAACUCGUGGAUUCCCGAGGUAACGUGGGGGUAAUCUAUGCAUAGGGGUUGAUGCACAUUUUCAUCGAUGUUUCUCUUGUAGGAAUCUUGGGGCACUCUUUCAGGUUCUUUGUGUUGGAUUGAAUAUUAUGAUUCUGAAGUUGUUUGAUGCAUAUCAUAUAAUUGAACCAUGGAUACUGGUGGUGACAUUGGAGUAUCUUGGGGUGACAUUAGGGUUCAUUGAUGUGUGUCAUAUGGUGUUAUUUUACUACGAACUCUAGGGCUAUUUGUGUCACUUAUAGGAAUAGCCCAAUGGAUUGAUCAGAAAGAAUAACUUUGAGGGUGUUUCGUACCGUACAAGCAAUUUUAGCUUAUGUUCUCUGCGAUAGGAACUUUGGAGUGACUUUUGUCGCACGUUGAGGGAUGAGACAAGUCGACAUUUCAACCCUCAACUAACCACAUGGUUUGUUUUUCAACCUCGAUCUUUGAAACCAGUCGAAUUUAACCCUCAAGUUGUCCCAUAGUUCAAAUAACAACCCUUGACUCAGUUUUGGGCUGGUCAAGCGGUUUUGACCAAGUCAAAGUUGACUGGGAAGCCUAUUCAUCAUGCCAUGUAGACAUCUAUCCCAACCUUAUCCCCCUUCUCUCUCUGUCUCGUUCAAACCCCCGACCUAGUCCACCCUGUCGCUGCCUGAUUCGCAAGGAACGCCACCGCCCGCGACCACCACCUCUAUCGCUGGUGACUGGAGACAGGUGAUGCCGCCACAACGUUGGGAUGAGGCGCGUGGCAUUGCUGGGGACACGAUGCGACGGAGAAGCUGCUGGGGACACAUACAACGGAUGUUACAGACACCGUUGCUGGUGGUGCCUCCUGGAGCAAGUCCGGCCCUUGAACGGGAUUUCAUGAUGAUGCCUUCGUGCUUUUGCUCACUAGAUAGAGAAGAGAGAGAAAGAGAGGGUGGGAUGGUUUUUUAUUGUUGUUUUUCCUGGUGAGUCCCACAUGUAAGUAUUGCUUAGUCGGUGGUCAACUCGGUUAAAACCACUUAACCAGGGCAAAACCAUGAGGAGGGUUGAUUUUUAGACCGUGUAGUUAGUUCGGGGUAUAUUUCUACCGGUUUUGAAGUUCGGGGUUGAAUUCUAAACUAACUGGUUAGUCAGGGUUGUAAUGUGGACUUUUCUCUUGAGGGAUUGCCAUAUGAUUUAAUUAUGUUAUCAUUGUUGAGAGAACUUGCACUAGUGAAAGUAUGAAUCCUAGGCCUUGUUUCCAAGCAUUGCAAUACUGUUUUUGCUAACAUUUGUUACUAGUUACCUUGCUGUUUUCACAUUUUUAGAUUACAAAACCUAUAUCUACCAUCCAUAUUACACUUGUAUCACCAUCUCUUCACCGAACUAGUGCACCUAUACAAUUUACCAUUGUAUUGUGUGUGUUGGGGACACAAGAGACUCUUUGUUAUUUGCUUGCAUGGUUUUUUAGAGAGACCAUCCUCAUCCUACGCCUCCCACGGAUUGAUAAACCUUAGGGCAUCCACUUGAGGGAAAAUUGCUACUGUCCUACAAAACUCUGCGCUUGGAGGCCCAACACGAGUCAACAAGAAGAAGGUUGCGUAGUAGACAUCAGUGCGGAUCCUGAUCAAAGACCUGGAAGAGCCAUUCGUCAACUUGCGCAAACUAAACCUGAGUCUCAACUCGGAGAAGUGCAUGUUUGGGGUUUAGUCCGAGAAGCUGCUGGGUUUCCUAGUAUCACACAGAGGGAUCGAGGCUAACCCCGAGAAGAUCAAGGCAAUAGAGAGGAUGAGCCUCCCUCAGACCCUCAAAGAUAUGCAGAAGUUUGCGGGUUGCGUGACCUCCUUGGGUGCUUCAUCUCCAAGCUCGGCGAGCACGCCCUCCAUUUCUUCAAGUUGAUGAAGAGGAAGGGCCCUUUUGAGUGGACCCCAGAAGCUAAGGCAGCCUUCGAAGACCUCAAGAGAUACCGCAUGAGUCCACAUGUCAUGGUGGCAGCUCGUCCUCGUGAGCCCCUAGUGCUCUACUUGGCAGCCACUCCCCACUCAGCUAGCGCAGCACUCAUGGCGGUCCGGGAGGAGCAUGCUGAUACAUCUCCAACGUAUCUAUUAUUUUUGAUUGUUCCAUGCUAUUAUAUUAUCUGUUUUGGAUGUUAAUGGGCUUAUUUAUACACUUCUAUAUUAUUUUUGGGACUAACCUACUAACCCAAGGCCCAUUGCAAAUUGCUAUUUUUUUUCCUAUUUCAGUGUUUCGCAGAAAAGGAAUAUCAAACGAAAUCCAAACGGAAUAAACCUUUGGGAGAGUUAUUUUUGGAACAAACAUGAUGCAGGGGACUUGGAGUGGAUGUCAAGAAACAAACGAGGGAGCCAACCGGCAGGGAGGCGCGCCCCUACCCUCGUGGGCCCCUCACAGCUGCACCGACCUACUUCUUCCUCCUAUAUAUAUCCAUAUAACCCGAAAACAUCCAGGAGCACCACGAAACCCUAUUUCCACCGCCGCAACCUUCUGUACCCAAGAGAUCCCAUCUUGGGGCCUUUGCCGGAGCUCCGCUGGAGGGGGAAUCAAUCACGGAGGGCUUCCACAUCAACACCAUAGCCUCUCCGAUGAUGUGUGAGUAGUUCACGUCAGACUUUCGGGUCCAUAGUUAUUAGCUAGAUGGCUUCUUCUCUCUCUUUGGAGAUCUAUUAGAUGUAACUCUUUUUGCGGUGUGUUUGUCGAGAUCCGAUGAAUUGUGGGUUUAUGAUCAAGAUUAUCUAUGAACAAUAUUUCAUUCUUCUCUGAAAUCUUUUAUGUAUGAUUGGUUAUCUUUGCAAGUCUCUUUGAAUUAUCAGUUUGGUUUGGCCUACUAGAUUGAUCUUUCUUGCAAUGGGAGAAGUGCUUAGCUUUGGGUUCAAUCUUGCGGUGUCCUUUCCAAGUGACAGCAGGGGCAGCAAGGCACAUAUUGUACUGUUGCCAUCGAGGAUAAAAAGAUGGGGUUUAUAUCAUAUUGCUUGAGUUUAUCCUUCUACAUUAUGCCAUCUUGCUUAAUGCGUUACUCUGUUCUUAUGAACUUAAUACUCUAGAUGCAUGCUGGAUAGUGGUCGAUGUGUGGAGUAAUAGUAGUAGAUGCAGAAUCGUUUCGGUCUACUUUGUCGCGGACGUGAUGCCUAUAUACAUGAUCAUGCCUUGAUAUUCUCAUAAUUAUGCACUUUUCUAUCAAUUGCUUGAUAGUAAUUUGUUCACCCCCGUAAUCUUAUGCUAUCUUGAGAGAAGCCACUAGUGAAACCUAUGGCCCUCGGGUCUAUCUUUUAUCAUAUAAGUUUCCAAUAUAUUUUAUUUUGCAAUCUUUAUUUUCAAUCUAUAUAAUAAGAAUACCAAAAAUAUUUAUCUUAUUAUUAUUAUCUCUAUCAGAUCUCACUAAGUGACCGCGAAGGGAUUGACAAACCCUUUAUCGCGUUGGUUGCGAGGUUCUUAUUUGUUUGUGUAGGUACGAGGGACUUGCGUGUAGUCUCCUACUGGAUUGAUACCUUAGUUCCCAAAAACUAAGGGAAAUACUUACGCUACUUUACUGCAUCACCCUUUCGUCAUCAAGGGAAAACCAACACAGUCUUCAAGAGGUAGCACACGCCGGCACAUGCGCAAAGAAAGGUGACCCGCAAGGAGUCGAGAAACCUUUGCCGCCUCAGGACGACAAUCUUGAGGAUCUCAUUGCUUCAUCAACCUGCGAGGCUGCGGAGUCCCACGCGCCCCAGGCAGAGCAAGGCGUCGUCGAUGCCUCACCCCUCGUCGAGCAUCCAGUGUAAUUCAUCAUCCCACUGUUGCGGGAUGCACGCGCGCCACCCUAUGCAGCAAAAGCUCUUGCUCGUGCUCCUUGUCGCGUCAAGUAAACUGCGCCAUUAUUUCCAAGGCCACCCCAUGAGAGUUGUCUCAGCAUACCCCCUGGAGAUGGUGUUGUGCAUCCCCAACGCUGCUGGGAAGGUUGCAGAGUGGAACAUUGAGUUGCAGGCCUUCCAGCUAGAGUUUAGCACAACCAGUGUCAUUAGGGGAGCAGCUCUAGCUGAUUUUGUGGCGGAGUGGACCGACACUCCAGGCCCGGGGUUGGAUGAGGGCCAAUCCCUCACGCCUAGCGACGAAGCGCACGAUGGCAGGGUAAUGCACUUUGAUGGAGCCUUCGCGCGACAGGGCGCGGGGGCUGGAGUCAUACUCGUCUCACCAACCAAGGACAAGCUCUACUAUGCCGUGCAGCUUUGCUUCGAGCAAGGCAAGAAGGUCUCCAACAAUAUCAUAGAAUAUGAGGGCUUGAUUGCUGGUCUCAGGGCUGCGGCCGCCCUAGGGGUCUAGCGCCUUACCAUCAAGGGCCACUCCCAGCUCCUCGUCAACUUCUCCAACAAGGAGUACAAACAUAAGGACGAGCACCUGGAAUCUUACGUGGAAGAGGUACGUAAAAUAGAAAAGCAUUUCCUAGGCUUGGAAUUGCAGCAUGUCCCGUAUGGCGCGAACAAGGAAAUCGACGACAUUGUCAAGAGGCACUACAAAAAAAUACACUUCUGUGAUGAUACGUGUUUGCCAUAGUAGGUCACGUUUUCUAUCAAGCAUGUACAUCCAUGACGAUUUUAUGACACAAUCAAGAUAGUCAUACAUGUGCUAUCGUAGAAGUGUCCCAUGACAUUACCAAAAUUAUCAUCACAGAAGUGUCCACUUCCAUGACGAUAAAUCGUGCGUCAUAGAAGUGCUUUCGUCAAGGGUGACUGACACAUGGCUUCCAUCGUAAUGUGUCGCCGUUAAGCUAUUGGGUUCCGGUUUGGAUCCGAUAACCCGUUAACAGCCCGGACCAAUGGCGAUUUUCCACGUGUAAAAUUCUCAUUCGCCGACGAACCACAUGUCGGCUUAGUGUUGGGACAGAUGUCAACCGUCCAUUUGACAAGAAUCACCAAUGAAACGUUGACACGUGGGAUGGCCCAAUAGACGCCCAUAUAGGUCUAAAAGACGACCCAAGAACAGGCCCACAAGAUUUCACCAGAUCUAAUGGGCCAGUCCAUUAACAGCCUAACAUUUUCUGGACCAAAUUAUAGCCCACAUCAGAUACGGGCCGUUAAAUGACUGCAAUAUUCUGGGCCCAGUUUACGUCCCAUGUUAGAUCCGGCCCCUUAAUAGCCUGCAAUAGUUUGGGCCAAAUUACGGUUCAGACCUGAUCCGGCCUGUUAACUGACUUGUAUUACUUGGGCCAAAUUACGACCCAUAACAGAUAUGAGCCUUUUAACAGCUACUAUACCAUUGGGCCCAUUGGCGGCCUGAUUUUCUCUUUGACGUCUUAAUGUCCCAUUUAAUAGUUUGGACCGAUACUAGUUUCGGCCUGUCAGCGACCCUGUCUAUAUAAGGGCCUCUUUCGGCUCGGCUUCACUUUCGACCAUUUAAAGUCCCGAGUUGCACCUUGGCCUAAUUAUGGUCUGUAGGUACUUUUGGCCUCUUAACGGCCCGUAGUAUUCGUCGAUACAUUCUAGCCCAAACUGCCUAUAGGCCCGUUAAACUCCCUUAAGAGUGUUGGGCAAUUACUAUUGGGCAAUUGAUAGAACCUCAAAUAAUUCUAACGAUAUCCAGGUGUUGGUGUCAAAACUGGUGGAUCUCGGGUAGGGGGUCCCGAACUGUGCGUCUAAGGCGGAUGGUAACAGGAAGCAGGGUACACGAUGUUUACCCAGGUUCGGGCCCUCUUGAUGGAGGUAAUACCCUAUGUCCUGCUUGAUUGUUCUUGAUGAUAUGAGUAUUACAAGAGUUGAUCUACCACGAGAUCGUAGAGGCUAAACCCUAGAAGCUAGCCUAUGGUAUGAUUGUAUCUUUUUUCCUAUGGACUAAACCCUCCGGUUUAUAUAAACACCAGAGGGGGCCAGGGUUACACGGAGUCGGUUACAAGGGAGGAGAUCCACAUAUCCGUAUUGCCAAGCUUGCCUUCCACGCCAAGGAAAGUCCCAUCCGGACAUGGGACGAAGUCUUCAAUCUUGUAUCUUCAUAGUCCAACAGUCCGGCCAAAAAAUAUAGUCUGGCUGUCUGGAGACCCCCUAAUCCAGGACUCCCUCAAUAGCCCCUGAACUAGGCUUCAAUGACGAUGAGUCCGAUGCACAGUUUUGUCUUCGGCAUUGCAAGGCGGGUUCCUCCUCCGAAUACUCCAUAGAAGAUUCUGAAAACAACGAUAGUGUCCUGCUCUGCAAAAUAAUUUCCACAUACCACCAUAGAGAGAGAAUAAUAUUUCCACAAAUCUAAUCUGCUGACGCUUUCUGACAGCACCACGGCAUGUCGUGGCUCGGGCUUUGUUCAAACCGUUUUUCUCAACCAGCACCGCAUAUAUUGCGGGGCGGUUUUCUCGACACGUCUUGUCAAAGCAGAGAUCGUGUCCCCCUUAUUAUGGGAUUCUCAUCAAUAUGGACGCGGGUAACCCAAUCGCGCCAUUACUUACGGCGCUUGGGAAAUAAGAGGUUUUAUCAGGCGAGGGGGGAGGGGCAUCGCCUCUUCCGCCCUUAUAAAGGGACAAGAAUUCACCCUCUUCACCCAUACUUUCUUCCCAACUCAUUCCAUUCUUCUUAGGCUCCAACGCGCGAGCGUUCACCUCCUCUACCCACAAAAGGUCUUCCAAAGAUGUCUGGAUCCGGAGCAGGAGGCAAAUGGAUGGCCUCUACCGUCCGAGAGAAGAAUAUCAAAAAGCUUCGGGAGGCCGGGUAUCUAGCCAAGAAAAUCGACCACCGUCUCCCGACGGCGGGACAGAUCGUCCCCACUCUGGAACCCCACGAGAGGGUUGUAUUCCUCCCUCACUUUGUCCGCGGGCUAGGAUUUCCCCUCCACCCAUUCGUUCGCGGUAUCACGUACUAUUAUGGGAUCGAUCUUCAUGAUCUGUCCCCUAAUUCCUUCGUCAACAUCUCGACAUUCAUUGUCGUGUGCGAGGCUUUUCUCCGUGUUUCGCCACACUUUGGUUUAUGGCUGGAGGUCUUUAAUGAAGCCCAAGGUGGUGGGCGGCGAGCACGCCGAGUGCGGGGGCGCUAUGGUGAGCAAGAUGCCCAACGUCAUAUGGCCAACGGGAACCUUAAUUGAUUAUAUCAAGGAGUGGCAACAAUAGUGGUUUUACAUCACUGAGCCGAGCGGUAAGGGAUGGGCCGCUUCUCCCGAGUUUCGAUCCGGCGCCCCUCUGCGGCUUACGUCCUGGGUCAAGAAAGGACUGGAUUGGUCCUGUCGGACGAACUGUCGGUGCUCCAGACGCUUGUUAAAGAUAUGGGAGAUAAGAACAUUGAACUCGUUGACGUAGUCCAGGUGAUGUUAGUCCGCCGGAUACCGCCUUGUCAACACCGGACCUGCAAUCUAUGGGAGUUUGAUCCGGCCAGGCACCAAACCUUGCGAAGGCUCUUCGUCUCUUCACACGAGGACAUUUGGAAGGUGCUUUUUAAGUCUAGCAAAUCAUGGCCGGACUCCGCCAAAGACCGCGGGUACCAACUGUCCCGCCCUGCAAGUUCGGUGAGUUUAUGAAACUUUUCCAUCCGCAUGACCCAAAAGAAGCGCCUAACGCGUGUUCAUUCAACUUUCCUAGAGCUGGACGAAGAAGGCGGAGCGGAUCUAUUGUCCGGCCCCGUUGCCCGAAGACCCGGCCAUCCCACUUCUGACGAAGAUGCUGGUCCUGGUGUCUUACAAGGUGCCAAAGAAGACGGACGAGAAGGAGGCUAAAAAAACCCGGGGCGGCCAUCGUCGUCACGCACUUCGGGCACAAUACCCAAAGGCUCUGAUGCCCAUUCCACCUUCGAAGAGGACCAAAAGGAGGAAGAAGAUGAAUCCCCUGUAGAGGGAAGAAGGAAGAGGACGACCUCCACAUCCUUGGAGGCCGAACUACCCAAAAGAGAAAAGAUUCCUUGUCAAGAGGAGUCUCCUGCCGCCGCCGAUAGUGGCCUGGCAUGGGAUCCUAGGGCCCAGCCCCCGGUGAACUCGUGAGUAUAUAAAAUCCGAGUACGUUUAGGCGUCCGGACUCAUCAUGGCUUAGUAUUUUAACCUAAGCCAUAUAUUUCUUGUAGUCUGGCGAGGUCUCGUACCGAACAAUCCUCAUCGGAGGACCUGCUAAGCUCAAACGAUGUGGAGAGCGGGAUGACCCCGAAGGACCCUUCCUCGAAGUAGGUGCCAAACACCGAGGCCUCGUCCCAAAAGGACCCUGGCCAAGGAGGAAAGGAAAAAAUCGUGAAGGCGGCGCCUGGAGGCCGAACCGCAGCCAAUUCCGCCGGAGAGGGCAUGCCUGUUCCGCUGGCGACCUUUGUCCAUCCAGAAGUGUCAGAUGCUUUGUUGGUGGCGCUACGAGAUUCCUCCAUCGUUGAUGAGCACCGUUCCCUGAUGAGCGCGGUGAUUGAGAAAAUUCAGUCGACCGAGAGUGUACUGAACGAAACCUGUAUCAGUCUUAUAAAAGGUUUUGAGGUAUGUUUUAUGAGUUAUUGAAGAGUGUCAUAGUAUAGAUAGUAGCCCCUGAUACACUGUUUGGUGAAAGAAAGAACCAGACACGGGAUCGAAUUCAUGAUCUCAGGAAGACUCACUAAAUGACAUUGAUUUCUCUCCAGUUUCAAGCAGAUACCUAUAGCGGCUGCUGCUUCUCAUACUACAGAGAUCGCUGGACUGAAUCAAAGUAUGGAGCGGGCUAGAGAAGAAAUUGUCCGAUUGGAAAUGCAGUUGAGGAAUAAACAAGGUAUGCACCAGUAUUAUGUGCAUUUAUUGUGAAAUAAAUGUUCAGUAUGAAAUAAGCCGCAUAAUAUGUGCUAGGAGUUAUGACCGAAGUCGAGUCCCUCAAAAGGGCCGUUGCCGAGGCCGAGAAAAAGGCGGCCACAGAGCGGGCUCUUCAUGAGAAACAUGAAGCCAGAGUUAUUAAAGCUGAGCAAGAGCUGCAAGAGGCCGUAAGUAAAUGUGAGGCCUUGGAGCAGAGUUUAACGGAGAAAGAGUCCGAACUCACCAAGGCGCGCCAAGCCACAAGCGACGCACAGGGGGAAACCCAAAGCGCGCUGCAGGGGAUCCAAGAGGCGAGGAAGAUCGCGGUGGGUAAGCUUUUCCCAUGUAAACAAAAUAUUUGAAGGGAAAACUAUGUUUCUGAUUGUGAAUCCGGACUUCUCAGGUGUAUUUGCCAAGCUACCGCACAGUAUUUUAGAUGCCGUGCACUUCUACCGAGCCGAAGGAAGGAAUACAGCCGAUAAUCUUUUUUGGCCUCAGUAUUUGGCACUGAAAUAUCCGGUGCCUUUUGCCGAUCAACUAAAACAGCUGAUCGAACUGCAUAAGGCGGCGGAACUAGCCAUGAAAGAUGUGGUUAUCCGGCUAUGGCCUGCCGAACCAAUUUCAAGCAGCUACUUCGGGCUCAUAAGGUGGCUUAUAAGCGCUUGCCCUCGACUUGACGCCAUCAAGCAGUCUGUCUGUAUAGAAGGAGCGCGAAUGGCCUUCACCCUUGCAAAGGUGCACUGGGGGAAGAUGGAUGCCGAAAAUCUAGUGACCGAAGGACCGCCAGAGGGUAAGGAGCAUCGCAAGCCCGAAUCAUAUUAUAAGAGUGUCCUGAAAGGAUCCUACCUUGCGGCGGAGCUAUGUACCAAGGCCAUUAUAUUUCCCUGAAUGCAGAUCAUGUUGUCCAUUGUAAUGUUUAAACAAGGUCGUUGAUAUGUCUCAUGUUAUAUAAAAGUUUACCCUCCUGUGCGGCCGUUUGUAUAUUAAGGCUGAGAGUUGGCCAGUCGUCGGCUUCUGCCCCCACGUAAGUAGUACGAGGGUGUUCGGGAUAAACAUGAGCACUCUUUAUCCCAGUUUUGGGUCCUCCAAGGGAGGUGCUCAGCACAAUGAACCAGGCAAUCGGACUAUAGGGAUUUAUCGCUCUCACUUAGCCAUAGGAGCCUUAGUAUGGUCGGCGCAGCCCCUUGUGUUUGGAAGACCGUACUAGGGGCUCUAUAAGCGCCUGAUCGGAGAAAAAGCCGAUCCAUCACACGCUGCAUUGGUUAUGGCAUUAUGCGGGAGAAAUCCUUAAAGAUUUUGUGACCGCUCGAACAUUUGACCAGCUCUCGCCGUAUCAUGACAGUCAGUUUUCGGCUUUCUCUACUGAGGUGCUCAUCCGGAAGAACCGGGACACAAUCGCAGUAGUUCUCCCAGUGCUACCUUAGCCGAUAUAGCGGAACAUAAGGUACCAAAACAUGGGAGCCGGGCAAACCCAACUAUUGACCCAAGACAUGAUUCGGAGCUGAUGCAUAUAAUGUUAUAAGUUCGGGGUGCCGAACUUCCACGAAGGUGUUCGGGCUUUUAUUGCCGUGUUACGGGGAAAACGAAGCCCCUGGCAUAUUUAAGGCAUAUCGCUAUGUACGGAUGUUGUUUGAAGAAGUGAUUUCGAUAAGAAAUAAUCAGCGGCAAAACAUCAUAUAAAUCCACAUGUUGUAUUUGAAUAUACGUCUAUGUGUAUGGGUACAAGUAAUGUGAUAAACAAAAAGGAGUUGUGAUAGCAGAACCUGCUGUGACCUAGGAGUUGUGAUAGCAGAACAUGUUUCCUUCCAAGCCAAGGAAAGUCCCAUCCGGACAAGGGACGAAGUCUUCAAUCUUGUAUCUUCAUAGUCCAACAGUCCGACUAAAGGAUAUAGCCCGGCUGUCCGAAGACCCCCUAAUCCAGGAUUCCCUCACCAGGCAAUGAUCAUUACAUAGGCAUGACGUCCAAGAUUAGUAGACCUACUCCUUCCUGCAUCUACUACUAUUACUGCACACAUCGAUCGCUACCUAGCAUGCAUCUAGUGUAUUAAGUUCAUGGAGAAACCGAGUAAUGCAUUAAGAACGGUGACAUGAUGUAGACGAGAUCCGUUUAUCUAUGGCGGUAUAUAUAGGUCCCAUAUUUUUAUCCUUAGUAGCAACGAUACAUGCGUGUCGGUUCCCUUUCUGUCACUUGGAUCAAGCACCGUAAGAUCGAACCCACUACCGGGCACCUCUUCCUAUUGCAAGAUAAAUAGAUCAAGUUAGCCAAACAAAACCUGUCGUGGAUUUGUCACGGCAGAUGUCCUAGUGUGAGGACUUAGUCGUGAGGCCAACACAUCUUUGUAAUAGAUUGAGAGAGGUUGAGCGGAAUCGAGAGACGCAACACAAGACAAAGAAUUAGACAGCUUCAGGCCCCAGGAAACAUCAUCUGGUAAUAGCCCUACAUGUUGUUUGUGGCUAGAUCUCAUUAUGCUCAUGAGAGAGUCACCGUAUAAGCCAACUCCCCCUUUGUGUCUAGCCCUAGAGACUGUUUCUUGUCCCUCUUGGGGUGCCCUACCCCUCCUUAUAUAUGUUGAAGGGGCGGGUUACAUGAUUAGUCCUAGUAGGAUUAGGAUUACUAUAUUACAAGUGGAGUCCUAGUCUUGUUUCCUUUUUAGGAGAAUAUUCUUUAUGCCUUUCCUAUUAAGCCGGCCCACCAUCACAUGAAUCGGCCUUCUGGGCCUUGGGCCUUGUCAUCCAUCUGACAUGUCGUUGGGGUCAUCAGUAAGUCACCAAAUACUCGUCGGGUCUCUGUGAGCCAUCACACCAGUGAACUGCCAUACACGUGUGUCGUCAAUCCUCUGGCGGUUACCAAUGAAAUAUCAACUCCGACCGGGUCAUAUAUCCGACCGGGUCAUACCGCGGGGUAUUUCCCCGACAUUAGCCCCCAGUUUAAUUUGGAUUUAUCCGUGUUAAACUGAUCUGCAAUAUAAACACAAGAGAAAAUUUGACAGGUUGUGAUCCGGGUUAAAUAUUCUUGUAAGCCGGCACCUGAUCAUCCUUAAGUCCUUGUCAUUUCCUCCUUCUAGAAAAUACGGGUCAAUAGGCCGGCUUCAUAAUCAACUUGCUUGUAGAAGAAAUAUUGUAAAUAAAGAAUCCAUUAGAGUCGGUCUUCAAUGCUCUGACUUGACAAAAAUAUUGGUCUUCAAAUAUUCAACUGAUAUUCAGCCGGCUUGAAGAUAUAAAACUUGCCGAUUUAUGAUUGCCAAAAUUGUUGGGUUAUAAACAAAUGAUGCCGGGUCAUGUAAUUGUUGCUGAUGCCGGAUUAAUCUUAUGAUGACACCGGGUCAUAAACUUCGCAGAUUUCUUCGAUAAUAAUAUAGUACAUGAUUUUCUCAAAACUGAGAAUUUGAAGUUAUUCCUCCCUUAUAUGCAUAUCACCUGUAGCCCCAAAUGCCGGGUUCUCAUGCUUCCAGCAACCGGGGACUUAUAAUUGCCUUAUGCUCAUAAACAUUUCAACCAGUGUAUCCCCCUAGGGCCGGGUCAUUAUGUAAUAAUGAGCAGGGACUUUAUAAAUAUGAUCAUGUAAACUUCAACAGCUACGUGUAGCCCCCAAGGGCCGGCUUAGUAAGAUAUUACUGAGUUGGGACUUUGUAUAUUCUUCAUUGAUAAUAACAUCAUAUGAUGUAAUCUCCACCAUGGGCUUAAACCCACGUCCACAAGGUUAAGAGCUUUGUACUCUACCAACUUAGUAGUGGAUCUUUCAAUAUAAUGGACUGAGGCUUGUGUACCUUGAAUUUUUGACAGGAGCAAUUGGUAGCCCCCAAGGGCCGGCUCAUUACAAUGGGAUGAGUCGGGUCUUCAAUAAGUUGAUCAAAAAAUGACUUUACAAAACCCAAAUAUCAAAGAACAAAUAUGAGGCUAUAAGAGAUCAUGCAUAAAAGUGAUCAAAGAAACUCAAAUACUUUCAUGGAUAUAAAAAGAUAGAUCUGAUCAUAAACUCAAAGUUCAUCGAUCCCAACAAACACACCGCAAAAGAGUUACAUCAUAUGGAUCUCCAAGAGACCAUUGUAUUGAGAAUUCAGCGAGAGAGAGAGAGAGAGAGGAAGCUAUCUAGCUACUAACUACGGACCCGAAGGUCCACAAAGUACUACUCACGCAUCAUCAGAGAGGCACCAAUGGAAGUGGUGACCCCCUCCGUGAUGGUGUCUAGAUUGGAUUCGGUGGUUCUGGACUCUGCAGCGGCUGGAUGAAUAUUUCGCCGACUCUCCUAGCAUUUUGGGAAUAUUGGGGUAUUUAUAGAUCAAAGAGGCAGUCCUGGGGCACCCAAGGUGGGCACAACCCACCAGGGCGCGUCUGGGCCUCCUGGCGCGCCCUGGUGGGCUAUCCACUCCUCGGGACUCCCCCCAGGUGCAACCAGGGCCCAACAUCUUCCUUCUGGUCCACAAAUAAUCUCUGUAAAGUUUUGUGGCAUUUGGACUGCGUUUGGUAUUGAUUUUCUGUGAUGUAAAAAACAUGGAAAAAAACAGCAACUGCCACUUGGCACUAUGUCAAUAAGUUAGUAGCAAAAAAUGAUAUAAAAUGACUAUAAAAUAUUAUGAAACAUCCAAGAUUGACAAUAAAACAGCAUGGAACAAUAAAAAAUUCUAGAUACGUUGGAGACGUAUCAGCAUCCCCAAGCUUAACUCCUACUCGUCCUUGAGUAGGUAAGUGAUAAAAACAGAAUUUUUGAUGUGGAGUGUUGUUCAUCAUGUCAUAUCAUAUUAUUUUGUUUAUAGCAUGGACAUUUGUACUUUUAUAUGAUUCAAAGCAAUAGCCUAGUUUUGACAUAAUAAUUUAGAUACUCAAGCAUAUCAACAAGCAACCAUGUCUUUCAAAAUAUUAACGCUAAAAUAAGUUAACCCUAGUCCAUCAUGCUCAAGCAUUGAUCCAUUCAUGAAACACACUCGAAUAUUAACUACACCCAAUACUUAAGCAUGAUCAUAUUGCCUCCUAGUUGUUGCUUUUAUAUAUAAGAGAAGAUGGGGACUCAAAAUAAAAAUUGCAUAAAGUAAAAGAUAGGCCCUUCACAGAGGGAAGUGGGGAUUUGUAGAGGUGCUAGAGCUGAAAGCAAAAAAAUUGAGAUAGAGUUCCCAAUACUUUCCAUGCAUAGAUAUAUCAUAGGCGGUUCCCAAACAGAAAAUAAAGUUUAUUCCUUUUUCCACCAUAAUUUUCACUUUCCAUGGCUAGCCGUAUCCACGGUUGCCCUCCAUACAACACUUUCCAAGGAAUUUAUUAUUUGACAACAUAAAGUAAAUUCAUUUGUUUUUGCAUUUCGGGACUGGGCAUCCCUAAUACAUUUUCCUUACUCUCGUGCAAUGACAAAUGAAUAAACACUCAUCUUGAGAAUAACACAUCUAGCUUGGAAAAUAGUAGCCACCCCUCACCGCUCCGUGAGCGAAACAAACACACAAAAAGAAGUUUAUUUUAGAAAUUAGAGAUGGCACAUGAAAAUUUGCUUAGAACCGCAAAAUAAUACCGCAUAUAGGUAGACAUAGUGGACUCAUGUGGCAAAACUUGUUUAAAGGAUUUUGGAUUCACAAGUAGAGGUCAUACUUAGUGCAAAAUGAAGGCUAGCAAAAGAUUGGGAAGCAACCAACCAAGAAACGAAUAAUCUCAUAAGCAAGCAUUAAGCAUAAUUAACACCGAAUAAUGCACCACAAGUAGGAUAUAAUUUUCAUUGCAUGAUUAUUGACUUUCAAGCAUGCAUAGGGAAUCUCAAACCUUAACACCAAUAUUCUUACUAAAGCAUAAUUACUCAUCAAGAUGACUCACAUAUCACAUCAUCAUAUCUCAAAACUACUACUUAGAAUCAAGUUUAUUUUGUCAAAUGAUCUUCAUGACAAUUUUUUUCUUUAUACUUCUUGCAUAUCUAUCACUUUGGGACUAAUUUUCAUGUGUUGCUUUUCAUAAGCUCAAACAAAUAUAGGUCAAGAUCAUGAGCAUAACAAAUUUUCUUUCUCUCAAAAUAAUUUAAGUGAAGCAAGAGAAAAUUUCUUCAAAAUUUUACUAACCCUCAAAUAAAUCUAAGUGAAGCAAGAGAGAAUUUCAUCAAAAAUAACAAGCACACCAUGCUCAAAAAGAUAUAAGUGAAGCAGUAGAGGAAGUCCAUUGCUCAAAAAAAUUUAAGUGAAGCAUAGACAACAAUUCUAACAAGUCAAGAUAUAAUUUUGGCUCUCUCAAAUAGGUGUGUCCAGAAAGGAUUGAUGACUUAAAAAAAACAAGCAAAGACACAUAUCAUACAAGACGAUCCAAGAAUAACAUAUAUCAUGUGACGAAUAAAAAUAUAGUCUCGAGUAAAAUACCGAUAGUUGUUGGAAGAAAGCGGGGAUGCCACUCGGGGGCAUCCCCAAGCUUAGUUGGUUGCUCAUUCUUGGAUAAUAGCUUGGGAUGCCUAGGCAUCCCCAAGCUUAGGCUCUUCCAUCCUUCCUUCAUCCAUCGUAAUAUAACCCAAAACUGGAAAACUUCAAUCACACAACACUCAACGAAGCCUUCGUGAGAUCCGUUAGUAUAAGAAUAAUAAAUCACUACUAUAGGUGUUGUAUUGAACCAAUUCAUAUUUUGUUUUUGUAUUAUAUCUUCUCUAUUCCAACUUUUCUAUGGCAAAAACUCAUCAAAGAAAACCAUAGAGCCAUCAAGCACACAACACAAAGAAAAUAGAAUCUGUCAAAACAGAACGGUCUGUAUAAAUCUUACUAUUUCGAAUACUUCUGUAACUUAAAAAACUCUGAAAAAUUAGGAAGACCUGAGAAAUUUGUAUAUUGAUCUACUGCAAUUGUAAUAGGUAUUUUAUCACUCUUUGGUAAAAAUGAAAAUUAAUUUGGUGAGCGUAAAAGUUUCUGUUUUUUCAGCAAAAUCAAACAACUAUUGCCUAAGAAGAUCCUAAAGGCUUUACUUGUCACAAACACUAAUUAAAACACAAAAAACACAAUCAUAAUAGUAUCAUAAUUAUGCUAACACUCAAAAAUAGGAAGCAAAAAUAAAAAAUAAAAUUUAUUCAUUGGGUUGCCUCCAACAAGCGCUAUAGUUUUACGCCUUUAGCUAGGCAUAAGGCAAGGUUCUAUGUUUUGUCAUCUUUGUCCAACUCUUCAAUCAAACACUUAGAAUCCUUCAAAGAUUUAACAUAAAGACUUUCAAUAGCAAUACUUCUAGGAGUUAAUUUAAAGAUUUCAUUCUUGCAAAAAGGAUCUCUUAUCACUUCAACAAAAUCAGGGUGGAUACUAAUCAUCUUAAGAUCUCCUUUAUUGCUAUCACUAGAAGUUACACCCUUGUUUCUGGAUCUCCUACACUUUACGGGAGUUUCCUCAAUAAUUUUAGUGGUAGUAAAAGCCGUGCUUAGAUUACUAAAGAUUUCUUCCAAUUUAUCGAUCUGAGAUGGACUUUCUUCUAUUCUUUCAUGGAUUAAGGUACCCCUCGCUUUUAACAACUUAAAAAUAUCGCCUGCUUUUGACCCAAGAUUAGUAGCAAAAUUAUGCAUCUUUUUAUGUAUAAUUUCCAUAUGAUCUUCAGUGAGUAUUUUCCUGUCGAUAGCAUCUAGUAUUUCCAUAACAUGCACAAAAGUCAAAAUUGUUUCAUUAACCAUAAGAGGUGGUGAGCCCACUAAAUUUCCCAUAGCAUUAAGAGCAUCAAAAGGGGGACUCAUUAGGAAAUUUCCACCGGUAAUUGUAUCAAGGAUGAAUCUAUACCAAGUGGUGAUGCCAACAUAAAAACAAUGCAGAAGCACAAUGGUAGAUUGCUUACAGAUAGAUCUAUUAUGAGCAUUGCAAAUUCUAUACCGAGCAUCUUCUAAACUUUCUCCUCCGCUUUGUUUAAAGUUGAGAACCUCGUUUUCGGGAGUGCAAGCAAUAGAGGAGGAAUUAUCCAUAAUGGCAAACAAGAUCUCACACACAAAAACAGUUCCGGCAAGGGCGAACGGAAAAAGAGAGGCUAAUAGAAUGGCAAUUUUUUGUGCAGUGGGGGCGAGGAAAACGAGAGGUAAAUGGUGAACAAUGUAAAUUGAAUGGAGGUGAGAUUUGCGAUUAGGAUCCUGGUUAUGUUGAAGAUCUUCCCAGGCAACGGCGCUAGAAACUCCUUUUGAUGUCGCUGGAAGCUAUGUCAGUAUUUCCCCAAAGAGGAAGGGAUGAUGCAGCAUAGCGGCGGUAGGUAUUUUCCUCAGAUAUGAAACCAAGGUUAUCGAACCAGUAGGAAAGCCAAGCAACACAACGUAAACAGCCCCUGCACACAGAUAACAAAUCCUCGCAACCCGACGUGUUAAAGGGGUUGUCAAUCCCUUUCGGGUAAUGGCGCCUCAAACCAUGCGUGGACGGGAGAAAGUUGUGAAUAGAUUGAAUAAAUAGAUCACAAAUAAAAUAAAGUGCAGAAAAGUAUUUUGUAUUUUUGGUUUAAUAGAUCUGAAAAUAAAGGCAAAUAAAAGAUAGAUCACAAAGGCCAAUAUAUGAGAAAGAAGACCCGGGGCCCUAGGUUUCACUACUGGCUUCUCUCGAGAAAAAUAGCAAACAGUGGGUAAAAAAUUACUGUUGGGAAAUUGAUAGAACCUCAAAUAAUUAUGACGAUAUCCAUGCAAUGAUCAUUACAUAGGCAUCAUGUCCAAGAGUACUAGACCGACUCCUGCCUGCAUCUACUACUAUUACUCCACACAUCGACCCCUAUCCAGCAUGCAUCUAGUGUAUUAAGUUCAUGGAAAAACAAAGUAAUGCAAUAAGAACGAUGACAUGUUUAGACAAGAUCCGUUUAUCUAUGGCGGUAGAUAUAUAUCCCAUCUUUUCAUCCUUAGUAGCAACGAUAUAUACGUGUCGAUUCCCUUUUUGUCACUAGGAUCAAGCACUGUAAGAUCGAACUCACUACCGGGCACCUCUUCCCAUUGCAAGAUAAAUAGAUCAAAUUGUCCAAACAAAACCCAAAUAUCGGAGAAGAAACACGAGGCUAUAAGAGAUCAUGCAUAAAAGAUAUCAGAGAAACUCAAAUACUUUCAUGGAUAUAAAAAGAUAGAUCUUAUCAUAAACUCAAAGUUCAUCGAUCCCAACAAACACACCGCAAAAGAGUUACAUCAUAUGGAUCUCCAAGAGACCGUUGUAUUGAGAAUUUAGUGAGAGAGAGAGAGAGAGAGGAAGACAGCUAGCUACUAACUAUGGACCCGAAAGUCUACAAAGAACUACUCACGCAUCAUCGGAGAGGCACCAAUGGAAGUGUUGAACCCCUCCGUGAUGGUGUCUAGAUUGGAUCUGGUGGUUCUGGACUCUGCGGCGGCUGGAUGAAUAUCUCGUCGACUCCCCUAGGGAUUUGGAAUAUUGGGGUAUUUAUUGAGCAAAGAGGCGGUCCGGGGGGCACCCGAGGUGGGCACAAAUUCUUUCAUCAAGAAAUUCUAUUUGAGAUUUAGCAACUUGUUCUAACUGAGUUAGAACCAUAGAAGCAAGAUUUCCAACACCUCUAACAUCAUUUGAUAUUCUAAAUAACAAGACACUCAAAUGAGCAAUCAUAUCAGAAUUGUAUCUCAAUUCUACCAUAACAUUUGCAUUGAAGUGAUCUUGUUUUCUAAUAUAAUUUUCAAACUCAUAAAGGCAUUGACUAGGAUGCAUAUUGUGAGGAUUGUCAUUAUCAUUGAAUUUCAUAAGAGAAUUUACCUCUACCACCUUAGGUAGUGGUCCUAUAUCAAGCCCAUGUAUUUCCUCAAUAGGAGGUAAAUUUUUAACAUCCUCAGCUUUACUACCCGUUUCCUUCAUAGAUUUCUUUGCCUCUUGCAUAUCUUUCGAACUGAAAUAUAAUAUACCCCUCUUCUUUGGAGUUGGUUUAGGCGGUGGUUCAGGAAUAGUCCAACCAUCAUAAUUUUUCAAUAUGUUAUUCAAUAAAUCUUCAGCUUGACCAACAGUUUGUUCCCUGAAAACACAACCAACACAACUAUCUAGGAAGUCCCUAGAAGCAUCGCUUAGUCCAUUAUGGAAGAUAUCAAGUAUUUUAGUUUUCUUAAGUGGAAGAUCAGGCAAAGAUUUAAGUAAUUGGAAAAGCCUCCCCCAAGCUUGUGGGAGACUCUCUUCUUUGAUUUGCACAAAGUUAAAUAUUUCCUGUAAGGCGGGUUCUUUCUUAUGAGCAAGAAAAUAUUUUUCAGAGAAGUAAUAAAUCAUAUCCUGGGGACUACGCACACAACCAGGAGCAAGAGUAUUGUACCAAGCUUUAGCAUCAACCUUUAAUGAGAACGGAAAUAAUUUGAGAAUAAAGUAAUAGCGAGUUUUCUCAUCAUGAGUAAAAAGGGUGGCUAUAUCAUUCAACUUAGUGAGAUGUGCCACAACAGUUUCGGUUUCAUAACCAUGGAAAGGAUCAGAUUCAACCAAAGUAAUUAACUCUGGGUCAACAGAUAAUUCAUAACCCUUAUCAUCAAUAAAGAUAGGUGAAGUAGCAAACUUAGGAUCACAUUUCAUUCUAGCAUUCAGAGAUUUUUCUUUAUACUUGCAUAAUAAUUUCUCUAGGUCAUCUCUAUCUCUGCAAGCAAGAAUAUCUAUAGUUGUUUCUUCACUCAUAACAUAACCUUCCGGUACCUUAGGUAGUUCAUAUCUAGGAAGACUAGUUGUAGUAGGUGUUUCUAGAGAUUCAGUUUCAAGCUCAUCAUCAGAUUCAACAACAUCAUGUCGUAUAACUCUACCAAUUUGUUUAUCAAGAAAUUCACCAAGUGGCACAUCAUCAUUAAGCAAGGUACUAUCAUUAUCAUAAGCAUUAUCCAUAGAAGAAGUAGCAUCGUCAAUAACUUGUGACAUAUCAGAAUUAAUAGCAUGUGGUGGUGGUGCAAGUUCACUUAUAACAGAAGGUGAAUCUAAAGUAGAACUGGAUGGCAGUUCCUUACCUGCCCUUGUCUUUGUGGGAAAAAUCUUAGUCUUAGCAUCCUUCAGAUUCUUCAUAGUGACAAUAUGAUAAUAAUCCCAAGUGAAUCGACAAAUACAGCUAUGCUCCCCAGCAACAGUGCCAGAAAAAGGUAUUGAUAACCCACAAUUAUAGGGGAUUGCAAUAGUUUUUGAGGGAAGAGUAUUCAACCCGAAUUUAUAGAUUUGACACGAUGGGAUCCAAAGAAUAUUUGAAGGUAUUAGCAGCUGAGUUGUCAAUUGAACCACACAUGAAUAUUAAUUAUCUGCAACAAAGUGAUUAGUAGCAAAGCAGUAUGAUAGUUUUGAUAAUAGUAGCAGCAGGAACGGUAAUGGUAACAGUGAGAGCAGUAAUUUGGUAGCAAGUGUAACAGUGAUGAUAGCAGCAGUAACUUAGCAAGAACAAUAUAGGAUAAAUUCGUAGGCAUCGGAUCGGUGACUUGUUGGAUGAUAUUCAUCAUGAGACAGUUAUAACCUAGGGCGAUACGGCACUACCUCCAUUUCAUCGGUAUAAUGUACGCAUGUAUUCCGUAAAUAGUCAUAUGUGCUUAUGGAAAGAACUUGCAUGACAUCUUUUGUCCUACCCUCCCGUGGUAGCGGGGUCCAUAUUGGAAACUAAGGGAUAUUAAGGCCUCCUUUUAAUAGAGAACCGGAACAAAGCAUUAACACAUAGUGAAUACAUGAACUCUUCAAACUACGGUCAUCACCGGGUGUGGGCCCGGCUAUUGUCACUCCGGGGUUGCCGGAUCAUAACACGUAGUAGGUGACUAUAAAUUGCAAGAUCAGAUCUAGAACAUGGAUAUAAUGGUGAUAACAUAAACGGUUCAGAUCCGAAAUCAUGGCACCCUGGCCCAAAGUGACAAGCAUUAAGCAUGGCAAAGUCAUAAAAAAUCAAUCUAAGAACAUAAUGGAUACUAGGGAUCAAGCCCUAACAAAACUAACUCGAUUACAUGAUGAAUCUCAUCCAACUCCUCACUGACCAGCGAGCCUACGAAGGAAGAACUCACUCUCGGUGGGGAGCAUCAUGGAAUUGGCGAUGGGAAAGGGUUGGUGAUGUCGAAGAACCAACACCCCACUCUCCGGAGCUCCAAACGGACUCCAGAUCUGCCCUCCCAAGGAAGAACAGGGCUUGGCGGCGGUUCCCUCUCGUGGAUCGUGAUAAUUCUUUAUCCCUGAUGUUGUUUCUAGAAAAUAGGAUUUUAUAGCGUUGGUUUCAGGAUCUGUGAGGCCACCAGGUGGGGACAACCCACCUGGGCGCGCCUGGUGAGGGGGGGGGGCGCCCUGGUGGGUUGUGCCCACCGAGGUGCCCCCCUUCAGUAGGUCUUGGCUCUAGAAAUUCUUAUAUAUUAUAUAAAAAUUCCCCGCAAAGUUUCGUUCCAUUCCGAGGACUUCUAUUUCUCCACAAAAAACAACAACAUGGUAGUUCUGCUAAAAACAAUGUCUGUCCGGGGUUAGUUUCAUUCAAAUCAUGCAAAUUAGAGUCCAAAACAAGAGGGAAAGCGUUUGGAAAAGUAUAUACGUCAGAGAAAUAUCACGGCAUCGUCACGGUGGUUGGAGACACGAAGGACGCGGUCUAGGCCCUCAAGCUCUCCUACAGGGCAACGGCGGCUUGACGCCAUGGAGGCUCAGGAGGCCGUGGUUGCAACGAAAAAGCAGUUGUUCUCUCAGGACUGAGCCGAGACAAAGCAAGUGCCUAUCGAUAGCGGGGUCUUGGGCCCCAUCUUCACCAUAGGUGCCGACCUCCCCUCAGCCCAACAAAGACGUAUUCGCAUGGGAAGCAUCUGAAUUGGUUGGUAUCACGAGGGAGGUGAUCGAGCACCACUUGAUGGUACGCCCCGGUGCGAAGCAAAAGGCACGGCGUCAGGCAUAAGAAAAGAAAGCGUUCGUCGUCCAAGGGAUUCGCGAGCUGCAAGAGGCCGGUGUGACACCCGGAUUAGUUAGCAAACCCAGUGAUCGUCCCCAAGAAAGGGGGAAGGAGCGCAUGUGCAUCGACUUCACGAGCCUCAACAAAACUUGCCGUCAGGACCCUUUCCUGCUCGCGUGCAUCGACCAAAUCAUGGAUUUCACUACCGAGUGUGAUCUGCUGUGCUUUUUUGAUGCUUUCUAAGGAUAUCAUCAAAUUAAUAUGGCAGUAGAGGACGUCGAGUAAACAACCUUCAUCUCCCUCUGCGGCGUGCAUUGCUUCACCUGCAUGCCCUUCGGACUACAGAAUGUUGGUGCGACCUUCCAGCGGCUAGUGCACAUCGCACUUGGGCCACAACUGGGGAGAAAUACACAGGCAUACGUCAAUGACAACAUGGUUAAGACACGGGAGGCAAGUGAUACGUCUCCAACAUAUCUAUAUUUGUUGAUUGUUGCAUGCUAUUAUAUUAUUCAUCUUGGAUGUUUUAUAAACAUCUAUAUGCUAUUUUAUAUUAUUUUUGGGACUAACCUAUUAACCUGGAGCCCAGUGCCAGUUUCUAUUUUUUUCCUUAUUUUUGAGUUUUGCAGAAAAGGAAUAUCAAACAGAGUCCAAAUGAGAUGAAAAUUUAUGAUGAUUUUUGAUGGACUAGAAGAAGCCCCCGAAGCACAAGAGUUGGUCCAAAAGUGUCCUGAAUCAAUGACAAGGUAGUAUCCACCCUGAUUUUGUUGAAGUGAUAAGAGAUCCUUUUUGCAAGAAUGAAAUCUUUAAAUUAACUCCUAGAAGUAUUGCUAUUGAAAGUCUUUAUGUUAAAUCUUUGAAGGAUUCUAAGUGUUUGAUUGAAGAGUUGGACAAAGAUGACAAAACAUAGAACCUUGCCUUGUGCCUAGCUAAAGGCGUGAAACUAUAGCGCUUGUUGGAGGCAACCCAAUGAAUAAAAUUUAUUUUUUAUUUUUGCUUCCUAGUUUUGAGUGUUAGCAUAAUUAUGAUACUAUUAUGAUUGUGUUUUUUGUGUUUUAAUUAGUGUUUGUGCCAAGUAAAGCCUUUAGGAUCUUCUUAGGCAAUAGUUGUUUGAUUUUGCUGAAAAAACAGAAACUUUUACGCUCACCAAAUUAAUUUUCAUUUUUACCAGAGAGUGAUAAAAUACCUAUUCCAAUUGCAGUAGAUCAAUAUACAAAUUUCUCAGGUCUUCCUAAUUUUUCAGAGUUUUUUGAGUUACAGAAGUAUUCGAAAUAGUAAGAUUUAUACAGACCGUUCUGUUUUGAUAGAUUCUAUUUUCUUUGUGUUGUGUGCUUAUUUUGAUGGCUCUAUGGUUUUCUUUGAUGAGUUUUUGCCAUAGAAAAGUUGGAAUAGAGUAGAUAUAAUACAAAAACAAAAUAUGAAUUGGUUCGAUACAACACCUAUAGUAGUGAUUUAUUAUUCUUAUACUAACAGAUCUCACGAAGGCUUCGUUGAGUGUUGUGUAAUUGCAGCUUUCCAGUUUUGGGUUAUAUUACGAUGGAUGAAGGAAGGAUGGAAGAGCCUAAGCUUGGGGAUGCCCAGGCAUCCCAAGCUAUUAUCCAAGAAUGAGUAACCAACUAAGCUUGGGGAUGCCCCCGAGUGGCUUCCCCGCUUUCUUCCAACAACUAUCGGUAUUUUACUCGAGACUAUAUUUUUAUUCGUCACAUGAUAUGUGUUUUUCUUGGAUCGUCUUGUAUGAUAUGUGUCUUUGCUUGUUUUAUUUUUUGUUUUAAGUCAUCAAUCCUUUCUGGACACACCUAUUUGAGAGAGCCGAAAUUAUAUCUUGACUUGUUAGAAUUGUUGUCUAUGCUUCACUUAAAUUUUUAUGAGCAACGGACUUGCUCUACUGCUUCACUUAUAUCUUUUUGAGCACGGUGUGCUUGUUAUUUUUGAUGAAAUUCUCUCUUGCUUCACUUAGAUUUAUUUGAGAGUUAGUAAAAUUUUGAAGAAAUUUUCUCUUGCUUCACUUAAAUUAUUUUUGAGAUAAAUAAAAUUUGUUAUGCUCAUGAUCUUGACUUAUAUUUGUUUGAGCUUAUGAAAAGCAACACAUGAAAAUUAGUCCCAAAGUGAUAGAUAUGCAAGAAGUAUAAAGAAAAAAAUUGUCAUGAAGAUCAUUUGACAAAAUAAACUUGAUUCUAAGUAGUAGUUUUGAGAUAUGAUGAUGUGAUAUGUGAGUCAUCUUGAUGAGUAAUUAUGCUUUAGUAAGAAUAUUGGUGUUAAGGUUUGAGAUUCCCUAUGCAUGCAUGAAUGUCAAUAAUCAUGCAAUGAAAAUUAUAUCCUACUUGUGGUGCAUUAUUCGGUGUUAAUUAUGCUUAAUGCUUACUUAUGAGAUUAUUCGUUUCUUGGUUGGUCGCUUCACAAUCUUUUGCUAGCCUUCAUUUUGCACUAAGUAUGACCUCUACUUGUGAAUCCAAAAUCCUUUAAACCAGUUUUGCCACAUGAGUCCACUAUGUCUACCUAUAUGCGGUAUUAUUUUGCCGCUCUAAGCAAAUUUUCAUGUGCCAUAUCUAAUUUUCAAAAUAAACUUCUUUUUUGUGUGUUUGUUUCGCUCAUGGAGCGGUGAGGGGUGGCUACUAUUUUCCAAGCUAGAUGUGUUAUUCUCAAGAUGAGUGUUUAUUCAUUUUUCAUUGCACGAGAGUAAGGAAAAUGUAUUAGGGAUGCCCAGUCCCGAAAUGCAAAAACAAAUGAAUUUACUUUAUGUUGUCAAAUAAUAAAUUCCUUGGAAAAUGUUGGUAUGGAGGGCAACCGUGGAUACGGCUAGCAAUGGAAAGUGAAAAUUAUGGUGGAAAAAGGAAUAAACUUUAUUUUCUGUUUGGGAACCGCCUAUGAUAUAUCUAUGCAUGGAAAGUAUUGGGAACUCUAAGUCAUUUUCAUUGGUGGGAUGAAUACACCGCUCAAAAUGUGUUUUAUCUCAAUUUUUUUGCUUUCAGCUCUAGCACCUCUACAAAUCCCCACUUCCCUCUGUGAAGGGCCUAUCUUUUACUUUAUGCAAUUUUUCUUUUGAGUCCCCAUCUUCUCUUAUAUAUAAAAGCACCAACUAGGAGGCAAUAUGAUCAUGCUUAAGUAUUGGGUGUAGUUAAUAUUCGAGCGUGUUUCAUGAAUGGAUCAAUGUUUGAGCAUGAUGGGCUAGGGAUAACUUAUUUUAGCGUUAAUAUUUUGAAAGACAUGGUUGCUUGUUGAUAUGCUUGAGUAUCUAAAUUAUUAUGUCAAAACUAGACUAUUGCUUUGAAUCAUAUAAAAGUACAAAUGUCCAUGCUAUAAACAAAAGAAUAUGAUAUGACAUGAUGAACAGCACUCCACAUCAAAAAUUCUGUUUUUAUCACUUACCUACUCAAGGACGAGUAGGAGUUAAGCUUGGGGAUGCUGAUACGUCUCCAACAUAUCUAUAAUUUUUUAUUGUUCCAUGCUGUUUUGUUGUCAAUCUUGGAUGUUUUACAAUCAUUUUAUAGUCAUUUUAUAUCAUUUUUUGCUACUAACUUAUUGACAUAGUGCCAAGUGGCAGUUGCUGUUUUUUUUCCAUGUUUUUUACAUCACAGAAAAUCAAUAUCAAACAGAGUCCAAAUGCCACGAAACUUUACAGAGAUUAUUUGUGGACCACAAGGAAGAUGUUGGGCCCUGUUUGCACCUGGGGGGAGUUCCGAGGAGAGGACAGCCCACCAGGGCGUGCCAGGAGGCCCAGGCGCCCCCUGGUGGGUUGUGUCCACCUCGGGUGCCCCAGGACCGCCUCUUUGAUCUAUAAAUACAAAAGUCGACGAAAUAUUCAUCCAGCCACCGCAGAGUCCAGAACCACCAGAUCCAAUCUAGACACCAUCACGGAGGGGGUCACCACUUCCAUUGGUGCCUCUCUGAUGAUGCGUGAGUAGUACUUUGUGGACCUUCGGGUCCGUAGUUAGUAGCUAGAUAGCUUCCUCUCUCGCUCUCUCUCUCUCUCUCGUUGAAUUCUCAAUACAAUGGUCUCUCGGAGAUCCAUAUGAUGUAACUCUUUUGCGAUGUGUUUGUUGGGAUCGAUGAACUUUGAGUUUAUGAUCAGAUCUAUCUUUUUAUAUCCAUGAAAGUAUUUGAGUUUCUUUGAUCUCUUUUAUGCAUGAUCUCUUAUAGCCUCAUAUUUGUUCUUUGAUAUUUGGGUUUUGUAAAGUCAUUUUUUGAUCAACUUAUUGAAGACCCGACUCAUCCCAUUGUAAUGAGCCGGCCCUUGGGGGCUACCAAUUGCUCCUGUCAAAAAUUCAAGGUACACAAGCCUCAGUCCAUUAUAUUGAAAGAUCCACUACUCAAUUGGUAGAGUACCAAUCUAUUAACCUUGUGGACGUGGGUUCAAGCCCCAUGGUGGAGAUUACAUCAUAUGAUGUUAUUAUCAAUGAAGAAUAUACAAAGUCCCGGCUCUUAACCUUGUCGCUGCCUUGUGGACCCCCCUGACGUGAAUCUGACGCAAAAAUUCCUGUAAAUCCUGAAACCUCCAGAAAUAAACUUAGAUCGGGUGUUCCGCCGCGGCAAGCCUCUAUUGCCAUGAAAAACCAAUCGGGAGCUCUUUCUGGCACCCUGCCGGAGGGGGAAACCAUCGCCGGAGGCCAUCUUCAUCAUCCCGGCGCUCACCAUGACGAUGAGGGAGUAAUUAACCCUCAGGGCUGAGGGUAUAUAAGUAUGAGUAGCUAUGUUUUGAUCUCUCUCUCGUGUUCUUGAUUUGGCACGAUCCUGAUGUACCGUGAGCUUUGUUACUAUAGUUGAAUCAUAUGGUGUUUCUCCCCCUCUACCUUCUUGUGAUGAAUAGAGUUUUACCUAUGAGGUUUCACUAUUAUCGAAAUGAAUACUAUUAUGGAUUUCAGACCACUUGAUGUAUGUCUUGCGUGGGAUACUUGUGGUGACAAUGGAGCGUUCUACUGAUUCACUUGAUGUACGUUUUGUCACUCAAUGCAUGAAUUCCCGAGGUGACAUUGGGGUAAUCUAUGCAUAGGGGUUGAUGCACCUUUGCAUCCUUGUUUCUCUGGUAUGAAUCUUGGGGCACUCUUUGAGGUUCUUUGUGUUGGAUUGAAUAUUAUGAAUCUGAAGUUUUUUGAUGCAUAUCGUAUAAUUGACCCACGGAUACUUGUGGUGACAUUGGAGUAUCUAGGUGACAUUAGGGUUGAUUGAUGUGUGUCCUAUGGUGUUAUUUUACUAUGAACUCUAGGGCUAUUUGUGACACUUAUAGGAAUAGCCCAAUGGAUUGAUCGGAAAGAAUAACUUUGAUGUGGUUUCGUACCCUACAAGAAAUUUCAUCUUAUGUUCUCCACGAUAGGAACUUUGGAGUGACUUUUUUCACACAUUGAGGGUUUACCUUAUGAUUUAAUUAUGUUAUCAUUGUUGAGAGAACUUGCACUAGUGAAAGUAUGAACCCUAGGCCUUGUUUCCAAGCAUUGCAAUGCCGUUUUUGCUCACUUUUGUUACUAGUUACCUUGCUGUUUUAUAUUUUCAUAUUACAAAACCUAUAUCUACCAUCCAUAUUACACUUGUAUCACCAUCUCUUCGCUGAACUAGUUCACCUAUACAAUUUACCAUUGUAUUGGGUGUGUUGGGACACAAGAGACUCUUUGUUACUUGCUUGCAGGGUUGUUUGAGAGAGACCAUCUUCAUCCUACGCCUCCCACGGAUUGAUACUGUCCUACAAAACUCUGCUCUUGGAGGCCCAACACAAGUCUAGAAGAAGAAGGUUACGUAGUAGACAUCAAGCUCUUUUCUGGUGUCAUUGUUGGCGAGGUUAGUGCUGGAAGGUAUAUCUUUAGAUCAUGCAAUUGCAUAUCUUGUUUUAUCACUAGUUCAGUCUAUAAAAUGAAACUAAAAAAUGGAAUUGAGGUUGCCUCACAUGCUUCAUCUUUUUAAUGAAUUUCGUGAAAAUGAUGGAAAGGGAACUUGUGCUCAAGUGUUAGAAGAAGACGUCUAUAGAAUGUUUGGCACUAAAUUUUUGAAUGAUGAGCAUGAUUGCUAUGUUAUUAGUAUGAAUUCUUUGAAUAUCCAUGAUGCUAAUGAUAUUCAAAGCCACAAUCUUGGGGAUUCUAUGUUUGAUGAAGAUGAUAUUUUUUGUCCCCCAAGUUUUGAUGAGAAAAUUUAUUAUGAUGAUAUCAUGCCUUCUAUUUAUGAUGAUUAUAUUGAUAAAUGUAGAUUUGGAAGAGUGUCAACUCUAGGUAAUAAUGAUCCCACUAUUUUGGAGGGUGUUGAAUCUUUUCACAAUAUUGAUGAAAGUGGAUUUGGAGAGGUCAUGACUUUAUUUUGUGAUGAAUACAUUAUUUCAGAAGAGGUUCCAAUUGAUGAUGAGAACAAAGUUGCUAUAUAUGAUUAUUAUAGUGAUGACAUAUAUGCUAUAAAUAAUAAUGAUAACCAUGAAACUUAUCAUCAUGAUUUUAAUUUUCAAUUGGAUUAUGCCUCACAUGAUAGUUAUGUUGUUGAGUUUGCUCCCACUAUUGCGAAUGAGAAGAAUUUUCCCUGUGUGGAGAGUAGUGAAAUUUCUAUGCUUGUGCAUCAUGAAAAUAAUGCUUUAUGUGAUGGUUAUAAUGUUGAAUUAAUUCAUGAUGCUACUGAAAGUUAUUAUGAGGGAGUAAUAUAUGCUUGUAGGAGUUGCAAUAAUAUCAAGUUUCCUCUCAAUGUGUUUAAAGUUUUGAAGUCAUGCUUGUUCUGCCUUCCUAUGCUAGUUGAUUCUUGUUCCCAUAAAUUGUUUGCUCACAGAAUCCCUAUGCAUAGGAAGUGGGUUAGACUUAAAUGUGUUAGUCAUAUGCUUCAUGAUGCUCCCGUUAUGUUUCAACUCUUAUCCUUUAUGUGAGCAUCAUUGACAUCAUCAUGCCUAGCUAAAAAAGGCAUUCAUGAAAAGCGCUUGUUGGGAGACAUCAUCAUGCCUAGCUAAAAAGGCAUUCAUGAAAAGCGCUUGUUGGGAGACAACCCAUGAUUAUGCUACUAUACCAAUCAUGUUUGCUUUUUCUUCAAUAAAGUGCCAAGUAAGACCUUUGGGAUGGUCUAUGGUGAUAGUUAAUUUGAUCUUGCUAAAAAACAAAAAACUUUUGCAUCAAGUAAAAUAAUUUUGAAAAAUCACAGAAGCGUGCUUUUGAUCUGAAUUUUGUACAAAAGAUUGAUAUACAAAUUUCCCAGGUUUUUCGAAUUUUUCAGAAUUUUUGGAGUUACAGAAGUGUGGAAAGUUUCCAGAUUACUACAGACUCUGUUUUUGACAGAUUCUAUUUUCGACGUGUUGUUCUCUUAUUUUGAUGAAUCUAUGAGUAGUAUCGGAGGGUAUGAACCAUGGAGAAGUUGGAAUACAAUAGAUAUUACCCCAAUUUAAAUAAAGAAUGUGCUCAUAAUAGUACCAUUAGUGGUGAUUUAAUUUCUUAUACUAACGGAUCUCAUGAGAUUUUCUGCUGAGUUUGUGUUGUGAAGUUUUCAUGUUUUGGGUAAGGAUUUGAUGGACUAUGGAAUAAGGAGUGGCAACAGCCUAAGCUCGGGGAUGCCCAUGGUUCCCCAAGGUAAUAUUCAAGGACAAUCAAGAGACUAAGCUUGGGGAUGGCCCAAAAGGCAUCUCCUCUUUCGUCUUUGUCUAUCGGUAAAUUUGCUCGAGGCUAUAUUUUUAUUCACCACAUGAUAUGUGUUUUGCUUGGAGAGUCUUGUAUGAUAUGAGUCUUUGCUUUUUAGUUUGCCACAAUCAACCCUGCUUUACACACCUUUUGAGAGGGACACGCAUGAAUUGUAAUUUAUUAGAAUACUCUAUGUGCUUCAUAUAUAUCUUUUGAGCUAGGCAAUUUUGCUCUAGUGCUUCACCUAUAUCUUUUUAGAGCACGGUGGUGGUUUUAUUUCAUAGAAAUUGUUGAACUAUCAUGCUUCACUUAUAUUAUUUUGAGAGUCUUUUCAAAUAGCAUGGUAAUUUGCUUUGGUUAUGAAUUUAGUCCUAAUAUGAUAGUCAUCCAAGAGGGAUAUAAUAAAAACCUUCAUAUAAAGUGCAUUGAAUACUAUGAAAAAUUUGAUUCCUUAUGAUUGUUUUGAGAUGUGAGGAUGGUGAUAUUAGAGUCAUGCCAGUGAGUAAUUGUUGAUUGUAGAAAUACUUAUGUUAAAGUUUCUGAUUCCCGUGGCAUGCACGUAUGUUGAACCGUUAUGUGAUGAACCCGGAGCAUGAUUUAUUUAUUGAUUGUCUUCCUUAUGAGUGGCGGUCGGGGGCGAGCGAUCAUCUUUUCCUACCAAUAUAUCCCCCUAGGAGCAUGCGUGUACUACUUUAUUUCGGCGACUAAUAUAUUUUUUGCAAUAAGUAUGUGAGUUCGUUAUGACUAAUGUUGAGUCCAAGGAUUAUAUGCACUCUCACCCUUCCACCAUUGCUAGCCUCUCUAGUACCGCACAACUUUUGCCAGUGCCAUGCACCCACCUAUUACCUUGCUCAAAACAGCCACCAUACCUACCUAUUAUGGCAUUUCCAUAGCCAUUCCGAGAUAUUUUUUCAUGCCAAUUCCACCUUUCCGUUUAUUAUGACAUGUUUCAUCUUUGUCAUAUUGCUUUGCAUGAUCAUGUAGUUGACAUCGUAUUUGUGGCAAAACCACCUUUCAUCAUUUUUUAUACAUGUCACUCUUGAUUCAUUGCACAUCCUGGUACACCGCCGGAGGCAUUCAUAUAGAGUCAUAUUUUGUUCUAAGUAUCGAGUUGUAAUUCAUGAGUUGUAAGUAAAUAAAAGUGUGAUGAUCAUUAUUAUUAGAGCAUUGUCCCAUGUGAGGAAAGGUUGAUGGAGACUAUGAUUCCCCCACAAGUCGGGAUGAGCCUCCGGACGAAAAAAGGCAAAAAAAGAGGCCAAUGAAGCCCACAUAAAAAAUGAGAAAAAAGAGAGAAGGGGCAAUGUUACUAACCUUUUUCCACACCUAUGCUUCAAAGUAGCACCAAGAUCUUCAUGAUAGAGAGUCCCCUAUGCCGUCACAUUCAUAUACUAGUGGGAAUUUUUCAUUAUAGAAUUUUUCUUGUAUAUUCCAACGAUGGGCUUCCUCAAAUUGCUCUAGGUCUUUGUGAGAAAGUAAGUUGGAUGCACACCCACUUAGUUUCUUUUUGAGCUUUCAUACACUUAUAGCUCUAGUGCAUCUGUUGCAUGGCAAUCCGUACUCACUCACAUUGAUAUCUAUUGAUGGGCAUUUCCAUGGCCCGUUGAUAUGCAUAGUUGAUGUGAGACUAUUUCCUUCUUUUUGUCUUCUCCACAACCACCAUGUUCUAUUCCACCUAUAGUGCAAUGUCCAUGGCUCAAGCUCAUGUAUUGCGUGAAAGUUGAAAAGGUUUGAGAACAUCAAAAGUAUGAAACAAUUGCUUGGCUUAUCAUCAGGGUUGUGCAUGAUUUGAAUACCUUAUGUGAUGAAGAUGGAGCAUAGCCAGACUAUAUGAUUUUGUAGGGAUAACUUUCUUUGGCCAUGUUAUUUUGAGAAGACAUGAUUGCAUUAUUAGUACGCUUGAAGUAUUAUUGUUUUAAUGUCAAUAUUAAUAUUUUAUUUGAAUCUUAUGGAUCUGAAUAUUCAUGCCACAAUAAAGAAAAUUACAUGGAUAAAUAUGUAGGUAGCAUUCCACAUCAAAAAUUCAGCUUUUUUAUCAUUUACCUACUCGAGGAUGAGCAUGAAUUAAGCUUGGUGAUGCUUGAUACGUCUCCAAUGUAUAUAUAAUUUUUGAUUGUUCCAUGCUAUUAUAUUAUUCAUCUUGCAUGUUUUAUAUGCAUUUAUAUGCUAUUUUAUAUUAUUUUUCAGACUAACUAUUAACUUAGAGCCUAGUGCGACUUUUUGUUUUUUCCUUGUUUUUGAGUUUUGCAGAAAAGGAAUAUCAAACAGAGUCCAACUGAGAUGAAAAUUUAUGGUGAUUUUCAAUUAACCAGAAGAAGCACAAGAGUUGGGCCAGAAGAGUCCCGAGUCAACGACAAUGGUGGAGGGCGUGCCCCUACCUUGUUGUUGCCUCGUGGACCCCCCUGACAUGAAACCGACGCCAAAAUUUCCUAUAAAUCCUGAAACCUCCAGAAAUAAACCUAGAUAGGGACUUCCGCCACCGCAAGCCUCUGUAGCCAUGAAAAAACAAUCGGGAGCCUGUUCUGGAACCCUGCCGGAGGGGGAAACCAUCACCGGAGGCCAUCUUCAUCAUCCCGACGCUCUCCAUGAUGAGCAUGGAGUAGUUCACCCUCAGGGCUGAGGGUAUGUACUAGUAGCUAUGUGUUUGAUCUCUCUCUCUCUCUCUCUUGUGUUAUUGAUUUUGCAGGAUCUUGAUGUACCGCGAGCUUUGUUACUAUAGUUGAAUGAUAUGGUCUUUAUCUGCCUCUACCUCGUUGUGAUGAAUUGAGUUUUUACCUUUGAUGUUUCACUAUUAUCGGAUUGAAUACUAUUAUGGAUUUGAGAACAGUAGAUGUAUGUCUUGCAUAGGAUACCCGUGGUGACAAUGGGGUGUUCUAUUAAUUCACUUGAUGUAUGUUUUGGCACUCAACUCGUGGAUUCCCGAGGUAACAUUGGGGUAAUCUAUGCAUAGGGGUUGAUGCACAUUUUCGUCGAUGUUUCUCCGGUAGGAAUCUUGGGGCACUCUUUGAGGUACUUUGUGUUGGAUUGAAUAUUAUGAUUCUGAAGUUGUUUGAUGCAUAUCAUAUAAUUGACCCACGGAUACUGGUGGUGACAUUAGGGUUGAUUGAUGUGUGUCAUAUGGUGUUAUUUUACUACGAACUCUAGGGCUAUUUGUGACACUUAUAGGAAUAGCCCAAUGGAUUGAUCGGAAAGAAUAACUUUGAGGUGGUUUCGUACCCUACAAGCAAUUUCAUCUUAUGUUCUCCGUGAUAGGAACUUUGGAGUGACUUUUGUCGCACAUUGAGGGAUGAGAGAAGUCCACAUUUCAACCCUCAACUAUCCACAUGGUUUGUUUUUCAACCUCGAUCUUUGAAACUAGUCGAAUUUAACCCUCAACUUGUCACAUAGUUCAAAUAACAACCCUUGACUCAGUUUUGGGCUGGUCAAGAGGUUUUGACCAAGUCAAAGCUGACUAGGAAGCCUAGUCAGCAUGCCAUGUAGACAUCCAUCCCAAUCUUAUCCCCCUUCUCUCUCUAUUUUGUUCAAACCCCCGACCUAGUCCACCCCAUCGCCGCCUGAUUCACAAGGAACGCCACUGCCCGCGGCCACCACCUCUAUCGCCGAUGACUGGAGAUUGGCGAUGUUGCCACAACAUUGCCAAGUUCCUUCUUCCCUCCCUCUCUUCCCCUUACGUUGCAGCAGCAGUCAGGACUUCCACUUGCCGUACUUGCUUUGCUUAGCACCCCUGUCGUCAUCAAGCUUCUACCGUUCUUCCCCGCUAGCACCUAGAGCCACCUAUCGCCGACCUGGGGAGCGAUGCCGGACAGGGGCUGGGUCGAUGCAUGGGACGUCGGGCCUCGUGAUGCGGUGACAUACAGACUAGAGCAGCAGCAACUUAGGUCCUCAUGGCCGACGUGCACUGGGCCUAGGUGCUAGUGGCCGAGAAGAGAAAUUACGGCGGCAGCGACAAUCCUUGGGAUGACGUGCGUGGCGCUGCUGGGGACCGCGUUGUUAGUUCGGGGUAUAUUUCAACCGGUUUUGAAGUUUGGGGUUGAAUUCUAAACUGACUGGUUAGUUCAGGGUUGUAAUGUGCACUUUCCUCUUAAGGGAUUGCCAUAUGAUUUAAUUAUGUUAUCAUUCUUGAGAGAAUUUACACUAGUGAAAGUAUGAAGCCUAGGCCUUGUUUCCAAGCAUUGCAAUACCGUUUUUGCUGACUUUUGUUACUAGUUACCUUGUUGUUUAUACAUUUUCAGAUUGCGAAACCUAUAUCUAGCAUCCAUAUUACACUUGUAUCACCAUCUCUUCGUUGAACUAGUGCACCUAUACAAUUUACCAUUGUAUUGGGUGUGUUGGGGACACAAGAGACUCUUUGUUAUUUGGUUGCAUGGUUUUUUUGACAGACCAUUUUCAUCCUACGCCUCCCACGGAUUGAUGAACCUUAGGGCAUCCACUUGAUGGAAACUUGCUACUGUCCUACAAAACUCUGCGCUUGGAGGCCCAACACGAGUCUACAAGAAGAAGGUUGCAUAGUAGAACCUUGCCAAAUUAGAAUAGGCACCUUACUGGCUGAACAGGAUAGGGCAUCUGCCUUUGACUCGUGGAGCUCAAAAUAGUCAUUAGGAUCGUAUUCUGAAUAUGAAUCUAUAGGUCGGGAGCAUGUGGGUUUCAUUGCAUCCACAAUGGACCUCCAUCCCUUGAUGCCAUGUUUGUUACCCAUUGAACUGUUCCGCAAUAUUCGUCCGAUGUGUGCAUUCUUAUAUUCAUUGUAAUUACGUACAAUAUAUGUAAUGCAUGAAAACACAAAUAGUAGUGAGAUUAUCUUUGUAAUGCAGACGAUAUUGUAAUAUAAUAGAGGCUCCCUGUAAACACUUGCAUGCUAUCACUGGAUUCUGAUGAGAGAGCCCAUGUGUGUUGUAAUAUGGUGAGUAGAUUAAUAUAAUCUGGCACAACUACACAAAAAAUAGGCUCCCUGUCAUCGAUCUUUUGGGCAAUGACGACAACACGGACAACGGCAUGGGAAUCGAUCUCUAGGGCAAUGUCCAUAGGAUGGACCGUGACACUAGAAUCGAUCUCUGGGGUGAUGUCCAUAGGAUGGACAGCGGCAUCGGAAUCGAUCUCCGGGGCGAUGUUGAUAGGACGGACCGCGACAUCGAAAACGAUCUCUGGGGCGUUGUCCAAAGUACAUGCCGCGACAUCGGAAUCAUUAAGGACAUCCACCGGCACCUGCACAAACCUAACAUAUUAGAAAGCACGUUGCAAAUAAUAAAAAACCACAACUAUGGUAAGCCAUUAUUUUUUACCUUGUGCAGCUCACCGGGGGAUCCCAUCCCUCCCGGGGCCAUCUCCUCGACCUCGAUGGGGGCCAUCACCUUGCCAGGGGAAUACUGCUUCUCAAUGGCGACUAUCUCCUAAAACUCGACCUUGAGCCUCGCAUAGAUGGCCAUUAGAGUUUCUGGGGUACCCACGGUGGGGCCUUUGCUGUUCUUCCAGCUUUCUUUGAGGAGUUCAUCCUCCAACAUCGUCAACUCUUUGGACAGUGCUUGUUUCUUGGAGUUUUUCAUCUCCAUGGUUUGGCCCACCAACAUGUCCAACUCAUUGGUCGGUGUUCUCUUCCUGGAGAUCGCUGUCUCUAGUGGGUUGUUUGCCAGCAACUCUUUGCCUAGUGCUCCAGCAUCCAUCAAUGAACUGACAAACAAAAAGCAAUUGAAAGGAAACCACAAUCGCAAUGAAAACGGGAAAAGAAUGGGUUGUGAGAAUCGGUCGGUGCUUCGCAAAAAAGAAGAUUCUUGGAAUGAAAAUAUAGUAGCAUCACUGAUUCGCCCACCUUUAAUUCAUCGGUACAGAAGAAAAAUGGUAGAAGUGAGUAGCCUGGAGUGAGGUUUUCUCUACUAUCUACUCUUAUAAAAAGCAGAGUUGGUGAUGAUAUUGUGCCUACCAUCCCGCACUAUGGGUCGUCCGAUCUAUAUCUAACGGAUUGGAAGGAAACUAUGACAAUUUACCCACACUCCUCUGCACAUUUGCAGAUAAGGACAUCCCUCGUUCAUCCUUUUCUCCAACUAGAUAUUGAUGUUUCGUGCAACGCACGGGCAUCUUGCUAGUUCUUCAAGAAAGGGGAGAAAGGGCUUCAACGAGCGUUCAAGUGAAAUGAUGGUUGCUUCGUCCAGUCCAACUUCGAGGCCACUUUACCACUUCUGGUAAAAGGUGUGAGUUUUGUGAUAUGACGGGUCAUGAUGGCCACACCGAGGUGACUGGUGAGUCUCGACUAUAGCACCACAUUGUGAUUUGGUGGAUGGCACGCGGGCCUGGAUGCUUUUGAUGUCCCGCAUGUAGAUAGAGCGGCUAGUCAUAUACGUACUCAAUAUUGUGUACCACGACCAAGGCAGAGAGGAAAACGAGAGGACUACGUAUUUAUUUACGGUGUAGAUUCACUCAUUUUACUCCAUAUGUACUCAUUUUGGGUGUAGUCUAGUCACUUGUUGAAAUCUCUAGAAAGGCAAAUAAUGUACUCAUUUCUGGUUUACAGGGCUAUACUAGCAAUUAGUACUACAAUAGUGGGCUCACGUAGCAAUUUUGUCUCAUGCAAGAGCCUGGCUAUAUGCAUGAUCCAAGGCUCCGCACCACGCCCCACCCCUACACAAAGACUGCCACACGAGCAUUCGCUACUACCACAUUCGGGUUGCGCUUGGCUCUUCGCCUAUUCAAUAAGAUGAACAAUGAUGUUACUACUACUACUACUUCUACAAUAUUGAAUCCUCUUCUGCACUGUCCACCGCGUGCGGGAGGGAUAGCUUGUUGUCGUAUAAGCAAAAGCAUGUCCUCGUCUGGGAGCCACCACGCGCAUGGGCGAGGGAGAAGGCAUGUAGUAGUAAAAUCAAGCUUCUCCUCGUUGUACGAGUUGACGUGACACAUCAUAGCACUGGCCCCACAUGAUUUCCUCUAAACUUGGCUAAAAGACCCGCAGUGUACAAUAUAUUUGCUGCAACCUCUAACAUUUACCCCACUACAAAUUAAAAUAUAUAUAUUCCUGUCUUGACCAGAUAAGCGUGCAAACUACAAUCACCAGGAUGACAGGUAGGGCUAGAAGAUUAUUUUAAUAAAGAAUGCUUCGCGACGGCCUCAUAGCAUGGAGGCGACCCCGACAAUUUUAAGCUUAGAGGCACGGUACAUGCUAUCCCACACUACUCAUGAAACUCCCACACACGCCUCUGACUUCCCGAAGAGGCUCUUCACCUCUUCGGGAAGUCGAACAAUGAUGUCGUACUAGUACAGUAUGCUUCUGGCCAUCUGACACUGAAUGAACUGCUGCAUGGCUACCACGUGCGGGAGGGAGAGCAUGUAGCGAAAGCUUCUCCUAGUCCUGCCAUCCACCACGCUCAUGGGCGAGGGAGGGAUGCAACUUCAUUGACUUACUGCUCCUGCCUUUGGGUCUAUGACAGAUGGGCCCAACCGGUGGGUGGCCCACCUGUCAUACUAACCAUAUGUUCAUGCAUGUCACAAAAAAUUACAUCUUUGAAAACUAUGUUCAAAUACGAAUCAAACAAUAUAAUUUUUGUUAACAUGAUCUAACAUUUUAUCAGUUAAAUAUUUGGUCAAAAUUUAGCACCAAUUACAAAGGGGCCCAAUAACUAUUGUACUCUCACAUUUUAUUUUGAGGAUACUCCCACAUAGAAAAUAUAAAUAAUAGUGCAUGUUGGGGCAGCCCAUGUUUCUGAUAAUUUUAGCCAUGGGCUUGUUCACAAAUUUCAUGAGGCGGAGGUUGUUCAUUUAAUGGAGGGUCUUGUACCAGACUUGAAGGAUACAAAGUGCGACCUGGCACACCGUAACACCACUUGGAAUAAGCGGGUAGCUAUCUCAAAAAACAAUCAACAACUCAAAAAAUACGGUGACCUUGCAUGUAUAGAAUUUUAAAUGAUUGUUUUAAUGGAGUGAAAAAGGAAAACUAUCCCACUAUGUAUAUAUAUAUAGGACGGAGCCUCCGCGCUUCCUUGCUAGGGUUGCUCUAUUCACACACUCUCAUUCUCUCCAGAUCUAAAAAGAUAGCGGUGGUAACACUGUCUUUCUAUCAUCAUCGCUGGUUAUAGAUCCGGACGUAUUCCCCUCCGUCGGUGAACGGGAAGAGGGGUAGCGUUUAGUCCAUGGUCAGCUACUAGGGAGGAAACCCACUACCGACUGCCCUUAUCUCUAGCCGAGCGCCGGCGCGGGAGGUCCUCCGAUCCCUUUGUCGUUGCCCUAGUGUGGGCGGAUCCGGCCUCCCACUGCCCUCCUAUCCACAUCCCGACGACCUUCAAGUAUAUCUUCCUUCAAAACCGCCCUAGCUCUACUUCCCCAGCUCGCUACGUUGCUGCAUGCGCAUCAUUUUCUACCUCUCAGCCCCUCUCGAUCGGAUGGUCCAAUGUCACCUAUUUUUUUCUAUUGUUAGAGGUAAAGGUACUUCAUGGAGUUGAAUCUUGUACUUGGUUCAAACAAGAAAUAAAGGGGGGAUUUAUUAUGUACAUCGAACUUGGUACAAACAAGAAGGAAAGGGGGUGAAAGUAGUACAGAAUGGUCAUCCAACCGGUCUCUUGGUCGAAAAUGGAAAUAUAGGGGAAACGUUGUACAUAGUGGUAUGACCAGGACUAGGUUUGCUAUCCACACAGAGGAGUAGGUGGCUAGAGUGAACAAAAGUGGGACCAACCCAGAUAUGUUUCUUGGAUGUUUGUUUCUCGGGGCAACAAACUCUGAAUCACCACUUUAUGCCCCGGUUUAGGUACAUGGUGCUGGACUACUGGUGCACCCACUGUCUCAUGCCCUUAUACUAAAUAUUUAGCUAUUCUUAAUCUAAUGCCCCUGGUAAAAUAAAGCCAUGCCACUGUUAUAAGCCAUGACAAGUUUAGCCAAAUGUUUUUGCCAGUAAUGGUUUGAGACUCUGAUUGUUUCCUCUGUAGCUUUUUUUGCAAAUUGGGAUAUCCAUUUCACCUAGUUGCUGUUGUGACCUUUUGGUGCACUACAUAAAACACUUCUUAAAAUAAGUGACAUUUGUGCUGUUUAAAUAGAAUGUCAGAAUGGAAUAGUUGGUUCAUUUCAGUGGAACUGCACAAAGGGAGAUAUGUGUUCCAAUCCUCAUCAUCCAUAUUGGCACCAUAACCUUCCUUUAGGUAAGAAUGAUAUUUAAUGCAUGUGUUCAUCUCUAUUUUGCGACUGCCAUGAGAAAAUAAUGCUAUUGUUUACUAGUACACUUGUACUCCCUCACUGACAAAACCAAUUCUGAAGUAGAAGGCCAAUCAUGUACUUGGUUUCACCAACUAGUGAGGAGAAAGAGAAGUAGAGCAUGACGAGGAAGAAGAAGAAGAAGAAGAAAGAGGAAAUGGAUAUCACAUGAUGGUACCGUCCUAUGUUAUCCUGACAUCUUGCUAGUGGUAUUCAAGGUAGUCAGAGUCGGGAUUCGGGGUCGGAUCGGUUUUCCUCACACAGAAUCGAUUCGUAAGAUCAAGUUGUGGAAUCGAGGAUUCUACUAGAUUUACUCAAAUAAGAUAUUUUGUAUGCACAGAAGAAAUUUAUAUGGGUUCUAUAGAGUUUUGACACUAAAUAUGGAGCAAAGAACAUACACAUCAAUGCUAGUUGUAUUCCACUUCUUUUUAUGGCUGACCUACCAUGUAGCUCGCAUGUAUGGAACAUAUAUGAGAUGGAAAUAUAUAGAACAUUUAAACCUUCAAUGCAUGAAAUUUACUAAUGUUCUUUUUAGAGUGUGUGAAUAGUCGAUCACUUGUUUAUUUGACCUAUAAUGCUAAACCUUGAAGGGUCUUGCUCUCCUUCUCCGAUCAAUCCUGAAGCAUCCUCCUUUUCACGCCAAUUCGAUAUGUUGACAAGCCUGAUCCUCAAUUUCGAUCUAGGGUUUCUAAGAGCUGGAUCAAAGGUGUCCGUGGCUGAGCAUUUGGACUUGGGAGGGGAAGAAAGGUCCAUGAGGUAUAUGAAAAGGUGUUUAGAUGAUGGCAUACUAUUUUGCUACAACUAAGCAAACGGCUUAGAUAAGUAAGUAGAAUCAGAUGUAGUCCAUAGCAUAGUCAGGAUUGUAUAGUUUUGUACAAGAUUCUAUGAUUUGGAUCGUGAGUCAACAUGGAUUCUACCUGAUCUGGAUUCAUAGUGGGAUUUGGAUCGACAUGCUUCCGUAGGGUCAUGAAGUCGUAGGAUUCUAGCAGUCAAAUCGGGAUUCUGACUACCUUGCCCCAUGCACUUGCUGACGGCGCGGGAAAGCAACCAGAAGGGGAAGACUGGACUCCGGGCCGGCUCCGACGUGCCUGAGCCUGAGGGAAGCACCUUCUACCCCUUCUUCAUGAGCAGCAUCGCCGCCGGGCUAGUUGCCCCCUUCUCUGACUUCUUAUACGAGGUCCUUGAUCACGUCGGACUACAAGCGCUACAUCUCCAUCCCAACUCCAUCCUUCUCUUGUCCAUCUUCUCCUACUAUUGUGAGGCGUAUCUGGGCGUGAUGUCGUCCGUGGCUCUGUUGCGCCACUUCUUCUUCCUCCGUGCCAGCGAGGGCCAUAUCUCCGGGUGCGCCAAUUUCAUCGCGGCCGGCAAGGCCAACUCGAUCUCAAACACCGGGAAGAAGGCCGACAACCUCAGGGCCAAAUGGGUCAUGAUGGGCGCCAAGUGCGUCCACCCGUGCUUGGCGCUGCCGACGGAUAGGCCCCAGUCCGACAAGGGGUGGUCCUACACGAAGCUCACCGACGAGCGGGCGAUGUUGGUGCUGGAGCAGACAAAGUCCGACCUGAAGCCUGGCAACGCAAAGGCAGCAAAGAUUAUAGGGGCCAUGCUCCUGAGGGAAUUACUAGUGCUACGCGUGGACCCGCUUCAAGCCCGCACGCGCCCAUUGUGGGAACUUGGGGAUGAGGAGGACAAUGUUCACUUGAGCUCGGAGGCCUUGUCCGAGGAGGAGCUGACCGCAGCUCUCCGCCUCCUGGUUGGGGACGAUCAGGAGUAUCCGCCGAAUGUCUUUACCCCUUGUUCCACCACAAAUACGGGGCGCUGAUCGUGGCCUCCAGGACGACCUUUGACGGGCGUGAACUGGUGCCGCCGGUGCUCACCAGGGCCCCUGCAGCACCGACGCUGGUGGAGCUGUCUUCUGGUGAGUCCCGUGGGGAGGAAGAAGAGGGGGAGCAAGACUCGGAGGUGACCCCCGAAGGGACGGGGGAGACCUCCCCUCUGAGUAAGGCUGUCAUCCUUCGUGCCUUUCCCAACGAUGAUGAGGCCGACGCUCACCAGGAGAAGGAGGAACAGGCCGUGAUCCCGACGAGGAGCAGGUCGGUGCUGAUCUCCUGAGAUUCUGCUGCUGCACCAGUGCUGGCUGGAGCUGCCUCCGACUCAACCGCUGCUCCUGCUUCAGCUUCUGGGGCUGGUGCGCCCGCGCCUCGACUCAUGACGCUCUCAGGCUUCAAUCUCACCAAGCGGAGGUGGACUACGUUGUGUGGACCAGUAAGUGCCCCGCCUCGCCUUGUUCCUGUUAUUGAUGCUCGUUUCCGACUCUUUUUCCUUGUUGUGUAACCAGGCUGUCGUCUGCAGCGAAGAGGGUAAGGAAGAGCGAGGUGGUGCCGCUUGAGUCGGUGUCGCCUCCUGCGACCGCGCCCCUCUCCAUGAGCAAAGGUGGGGAUGGUGCUCGUGCUUCUCUAGCCCGGUCAUCCUCGCGAGGCCCGGUGGAGCAUCCUUGGGAGGAGUCAACCCCCGAAGCGCCGCUGGCUUGGGAGGUGACGGUGUUCGGCACGGCUGAUAAGGUCCUAAAGGCUCAGGAGGCCUUGAUCUCCCAGGAUCUGGUGACAACGUCGCCCCCUUCUCAUUCUGCGUCCCUGGCCCCAGGUUCUUCUGCUUCCUCUGCCGUCUUGGACUGCGCCCUUUCGGAGAUGGCCCAGGUGCGUGAAGAUCUUCAGGGGGCGAACCCGCGCCUGGUGGCCGGGAGCCUAGAGCUGGCCUCUGGCUGGCUUCACUCUGACUCGGCGGUUCGAGCGUUGCUGAGCCAGGCCGCGGCGGCCUCUAAGAAGGAGAAGCAGGCCGCCUCCAAAGUCGCGGCCGACUGCGAGGCGGCACUGAAGAACGCCGAGGCCGCUCGCGGCUGCUGCCGAAAGCUGGAGGACGAGCUGAAAGGCCUGCGCGACCAGCAUGCGAAAGAAGCACAUGGCCGCGAGGCGAAGGAGGAGGAGAUGAGGGCUCGGGAGGAUGCCGUCAAGGGCCGCGACACCGAGCUAGGAGAGCUGGUGAAGGCGCAUGCCGUGGAGCGCAGCUAGCUGGAGGAGCUGGAGCAGAAGGCGAUGGUGAAGGAGGCCGAUCUUGACGCCAAGGCGAAGGUCCUGGGUGAAGACCGCGCGCCCUGCUCGCUCCUCGAGGAGAGGUCUCGCGUGGCAUUGAAGUCACUGUACGGGAAGGGCUUGGAGAGGACGCUGACUACCGACGAGGAUGGCCAUGCUCACGUGCUUCCCUUCUUGGUGAAGGCCCUCGAGGAAGUUGUGGAGGGCAUAGGUCCAUGGCGGAGACAUAGGCUCGCGUCCUUUCCUCAGCCGCACUAACGCGGGUCUUCAGCCACCUGCACCUUUGUGACCCUAGCGCUCGUCUUGACGAGCUACUGGAGCCUGUAGCUGAUGAACACUGCGCGGUUGCCGCCGCAACCAUGAAGGUUCAAGUGGAGGCCCUGCUGAAGAAGUUUGACGCCUUCACCCCCGUGCACUCGACCGGUGAUGCAGGUGAAGGCGACGCUACCUAGGAGGGGGCACCUCUUGUAGGUGCCGACGGUGUCCAGGGGUGACCGGUGGCUGCUUUUCUGCUUUAUUCCUGCAACAUGCAUCAUGCCUUGGAGGCAUUAAACUCACAUUUGAUAUUGUGAGAACAAUAUGUCUUGUAAUAUUUGCUUUGAGAUUUUGCGAUUUUCUCCCUAUCUGCUUUGUGUUCUGUGUCGGCAGAGCACGUCCCCGCGCAUACCUCAACCGCAGUUGGGCCAACCGGAAACCAGGAUGAACCAAGGAGAGGGGAUGCGUGACCAGUUAGGCUCCUGAGUCGUGAUGCUCAGGAGUUCCCCUUUAUGCGCAAAUAGCUUAUAGGAAGGAUACACGAGGAUAGGUUAAUGUUCUACGUCGGCAGAGCCCGACCCCGCGCAUAUCUCAACCGCCGUUGGGCCCACCGGAGUACAUGACGGACCAAGGAGUGAGAGGCUACUUGUAACACCCUCGAUGCGACUAUAGCUCCCACGUGUCGAGGCACGACUUAGAGACAUAAUCGCAUUGAAGGCAUAUGCCGCAAGUUAGGCAAUCUUCACAACAUCCCAUGUAAUAUAUAGAUAAUAAAAGGGGAGAUAACAUAGUUGGCUUACACUCGCCACGUCAAUCAAGUACAUAAAUAGCAUUACAACAUUCAACACUCAUGGCCCGACUUCGGUGCCAAAAUAAAAGAUAACCCAACAUGCGACACGGUCCCGAUCACCCCAACUGGGCACCACUACUGAUCAUCAGGAAAGGAAACAUAGUAACGUUGAGAGUCCUCGUCGAACUCCCACUUGAGCUCGAGCGCGUCACCGGGAGCAGAAUCAUCAGGCCCUGCAUCUGGUGUAAUAGUAAUCUGUGAGCCACAGGGACUCAGCAAUCUCGCACCCUCGCGAUCAAGACUAUUUAAGCUUAAAAGGUAGGGUAAGGUGAAAAUAUGUGGAGCUGCGGCAAGCGACUAGCAUAUAUGGUGGCUAACCUGUUUGCAAAAGAGAGUGAGAAGAGGAGGCAAAGCGCGAGCGAGAAUCUAGAGCACAACCUGCACAAGCAUUACUCCAACACCGUGUUCACUUCCCGGACUCCGCCGAGAAGAGACCAUCACGGUAACUCACACUGUUGAUUCAUUUUAAUUAAGUUAAGGUUCAAUUUAUCUACAAUCGGACAUUAACAAAUUCCCAUCUGCCCAUAACCGCGGGCACGGCUUUCGAGAGUUCAAAUCCCUGUAGGGGAGUCCCAACUUAGCCCAUGACAAGCUCUCACGGUCAACGAAGGAAUAGACCUCCUCCCGAGACGUUCCGAUCAGACUCGGUACCUCGGUUCUUCAAGACACUUCGACAGGUUAAAACAAGACCAGCAACACCGCCCGAAUGUGCCGACAAAUCCCGAUAGGAGCUGCACAUAUCUCGUUCUCAGGGCACACUCAGAUAAGCAAUNNNNNNNNNNNNNNNNNNNNNNNNNNNNNNNNNNNNNNNNNNNNNNNNNNNNNNNNNNNNNNNNNNNNNNNNNNNNNNNNNNNNNNNNNNNNNNNNNNNNNNNNNNNNNNNNNNNNNNNNNNNNNNNNNNNNNNNNNNNNNNNNNNNNNNNNNNNNNNNNNNNNNNNNNNNNNNNNNNNNNNNNNNNNNNNNNNNNNNNNNNNNNNNNNNNNNNNNNNNNNNNNNNNNNNNNNNNNNNNNNNNNNNNNNNNNNNNNNNNNNNNNNNNNNNNNNNNNNNNNNNNNNNNNNNNNNNNNNNNNNNNNNNNNNNNNNNNNNNNNNNNNNNNNNNNNNNNNNNNNNNNNNNNNNNCUCCGGAAACCCAAGGGAAAAGAGGCUAGGUGGCAAAUGGUAAAACCAAGGUUGGGCAUUGCUGGAAAAGCUUUAAUCAAGGCGAACUAUCAAGGGGUUCCCAUUAUAACCCAACCACGUAAGGUACGCAAAAUCCGGGAACAUAACACCGAUAUGACGGAAACUAGGGCGGCAAGAGUGGAACAAAACACUAGGCGAGAGGCCGAGCCUUCCACCCUUUACCAAGUAUAUAGAUGCCUUAAGAUAACAUGGCAACAUAAUGAUAUCCCAACAAGUAAAUAAUGUUCCAACAAGGAACGGUCUCCAAUCUUCACGUGCAACUAGCAACGCUAUAAGAGGGGCUGAGCAAAGCGUUAACAUAGCCAAUCAACGGUUUGCUAGGACAUGGUGGGUUAGAGGUUUGACAUGGCAAUAUGGGAGGCUUGAAAGCAAGUGGUAGGCAUCAUAGCAUUGUCAUAGCAAAAGAGCGAGCAUCUAGCAAAGCAAAGAUAGUAGUGAUUUCGAUGGUAUGAUCAUCUUGCCUGCAAAGUUGUCAGAGUUGCCUGGAUCCUCGAAAGCAAACUCAACGGAAUCCUCGUUAGCGAACUCGUCUCCCGGCUCUACCCAAACAAGACAAACAAGCAAAUGGAACACAAUCAACCACAUGCAAAACUCAAACAAUAUGAUGCAACGAUGGUAUGCUAUGCGGGAUGCAUAUGCAAGAUUUGACAAGGGAUGCAUGAACCUGGCCUCAACUUGGAAAACAAAGUGCGCUACUGGACAGAUGAGAUAAAAUAGCUUGAAAACGAUAUAAAGAAUGUCGGAAUCAGAGUUACGGUUUGGAAAUGGCAAGCGAUUCAAAUAUGACCACGAUCUGCAAUUUACAGCAAGUAGCCAUCUAAAAGCAAUGAGAUGAACAUGCUACAGCACUCAAACAUGGCAUCAAAAUACAUGGCAUGGAUACACACAAGAUGCUUAACAAAAGUCUAGCACUGAGCUACGACCAAUUCAUCCAUUAACAGGUUCAAACAAGCAUGGCAAAAAUGCAUAUGGUAAACAGAUUUCAGACUUAGUGAAAUUAACACUUGUCUGGAAUCUCAGAUCAGGUAGCACUCUUUGGAGCAACAAAACUACAUGCUACAGGACCGGAACAUGACAGAGUAAAACAUGGCAUGCAGCUACUCAAAAAUCUUAACAAAAGUCCCUUAGUGACCGUGAGCCAAAAGGGAUCAGAAAACAUAUUAGAAAGCAUUUGAAUAUAGCAAAAGCAUAAUCAGUUUUCAGACUUAGUGAAAACUGGCACAUGCUGAAACAGAUAUCAAGUAGGCAUGUUUACGAGCUCGAUGCACUCACUGCGGAGCAUGUCAUGAAAAGCUAAGUAUACAUCCAUCAAGAAUACACAAAAUGCAAGCUAGAUAUGGCAAGAAUAAUAACAUAGCAUGCACGGAUCAACUACAACAUCCCCGGCAAAAUUGCUAACAAGUAGACAAUCUGCCCGGAUUCACGAAGUAGCAAAAGUAGAGGUCGAUUGACUUAAGCUAGGGUGCUCCAUAAUUGCAAACAAAGACAUGGAUGGAUAGAGCACUACAAAAUUAAUAAAACAUCCUUACUGAUCAUCCUCAAAAGAGGCACGGAUCACUAGGAAACGACAUGAACAUAUGGCAAUAUGAGAUAAACAGGCCAAGGACUUAGUGGAAAUGCUAAGUCCCUGAAAACAGCAUUACGAAGUGCCUCACUUUGCAAGCUUGUACUAGUCACCACACACAUCAAAAAAAAAUACAUGGGUUGUACCUCUGGAAAGAUGGCAAAACCCUUAACAAAACAUAUGUAGAGCUCAUGGGCAUAUCAUGCACACAACAAUCAUGGCAAAAAUGACAAAUAUCUAAAUGGAGUAGCAGAUCUGACAAUUAUCUCAAGGAGCACUUUUCUAAAAGUAUUUCAGGCACCAAGAUGAACUCAAAUGAAAAUGAUGCAAUGAGAUGAAAUGAUGUACUCCCUGAGAUGAACAUUUGGAUAUGCUAUAUGCCAAAAACGGAGCUACGGAUGCAAAGUUACGGCGCGAUGAACAUGGGCAUAUGAACUAGGGUUUCGGGAGAGUCAACCCACGUUUUUGGAUCUAGAUCUGAGAUCUGGUGCACGAUUUACGAGGAUGGCCGGCACUGUUCACCGGCGACGGGGCUCGGCCGGAGGAAGCGGGCGAGGUGGAGGUCGGCGCGGGCCGGCGCCGGAGUAGAAGGCGGCGGCCCGAGGCGGGUGGAGCGGCGGUGGGGCGUGGCGNNNNNNNNNNNNNNNNNNNNNNNNNNNNNNNNNNNNNNNNNNNNNNNNNNNNNNNNNNNNNNNNNNNNNNNNNNNNNNNNNNNNNNNNNNNNNNNNNNNNNNNNNNNNNNNNNNNNNNNNNNNNNNNNNNNNNNNNNNNNNNNNNNNNNNNNNNNNNNNNNNNNNNNNNNNNNNNNNNNNNNNNNNNNNNNNNNNNNNNNNNNNNNNNNNNNNNNNNNNNNNNNNNNNNNNNNNNNNNNNNNNNNNNNNNNNNNNNNNNNNNNNNNNNNNNNNNGAGGCGCGGGGAAGUGGGGACCGGCCCGGGACACGUGGCGCGCCCUUAUUGGACGAGGGCGGAGGCGGCGAAAUGUCCGGCCGGAACGGACAUGUCCGGCGCGGCGCGAUGCGAAUUUUAGGGUUUCGGGGGAAGAAGAAGGAGAUUUUCGGGGGGGGGUCUUUAAAUAGGCAUAGAGGGAGCUAGGAGUGUCCAAAUGAGGUGCGGUUUUCGGCCACGCGAUCGUGAUCGAACGCUUUAGAUGAUUGAGAGGGUUUAGGUGGGUUUUGGGCCAAAAUGAAAAUUUGUUGGGCUGCAACACACACGAGGCCUUUUCGGUCCCUCGGUUAACUGUUGGAGCAUCAAACGAAGUCCAAAUGGUACGAAACUUGACAGGCGGUCUACCGGUAGUAAACCAAGGCCGCUUGGCAAGUCUCGGUUCAAUCUGGAAAUGUUUAAUCCCCACACACGAAAGAAACGUAGAAAUGACCACCGGAGGAGAACGAAGCGCCGGAAUGCAAAACGGACAACGGGGAAAAUGCUCGAAUGCAUGAGAUGAACACGUAUGCAAAUGCAAUGCACAUGAUGACAUGCUAUGAGAUGCAUGACAACGAUAACAACACAUGGAGACAAAAACCCGAACCCGAGAAAAUAAAAUAACUUAAAGCCGGAAACGGCAAGAGUUGGAGUACAUAUUGGGUAAGUUACAUCCGGGGUGUUACAACACUCCACUACUACGAAAGGAUCCCGUCCCAAGAUCUAGGACUGAAAGAACGCCGGGUACUCAGACCGGAGGUGAUCCUCACGUUCCCAGGUAGCUUCACGGUCGGAAUGGUGUGAUCACUUGACUUUGAGGAAUUUGAUUGACUUGUUGCGAGUCUUGCGUAUAGUCUCUUCAAGAAUAGCCACUGGGUGCUCACGAUAGGAUAGAUCAUCUUGGAGCUCAAUGUCCUCGAAUUUUACGGUGCGGUCAGGAGUCUUGAAGCACUUUCGAAGCUGAGAGACAUGGAACACAUCAUGAACAUUUGCAAAGUUUGAAGGAAGCUCGAGUUGAUAGGCGAGAUCGCCUCUCUUGCUGACAAUCUUGAAAGGUCCCACAUAUCUAGGGGCAAGCUUCCCUUUGAUACCGAAGCGACGAGUACCUUUCAUAGGAGAAACGCGGAGGUAAACAUGAUCUCCGAUCUCGAAAGCCAAAUCACGAUGCUUACUAUCAUAGUAGCUCUUCUGGCGGGAUUGGGCUGCUUUGAGGUUAUCUCGAAUGACUUUGCACAUUUCCUCUGCCUCUGUGAUUAACUUAUUACCCAAAAGCUGACAUUCACCGGUUUCAGACCAGUUGAGAGGGGUACGACACUUCCUGCCAUACAGAAUUUCAAAUGUGGCCUUGCCCGAACUUGCUUGAAAACUGUUGUUGUAGGAAAAUUCAGCAUAAGGAAGACAAUCCUCCCACUUCAUGCCGAAGGAGAUCACGCAAGCCCUGAGCAUAUCUUCAAGAAUCUGAUUGACACGCUCAACUUGGCCGCUAGUCUGAGGAUGUAAAGCUGUGCUGAAGCGGAUGUUGGUGCCCAUGGCCUUCUGAAAAGAUUCCCAAAACUUGGAGGUGAAGAUGCUGCCACGGUCUGAAGAGAUCACUUGUGGCAUACCGUUCAGAGAGACAAUUCGAGAGGUAUAGAGUUCCGCCAAUUGAGCUGCAGUGAUUGACUCUUUGAUAGGCAGAAAAUGAGCCACUUUGGUGAGUUUGUCGAUGACAACGAAUAUAGCAUCAUUGCCACGUUUGGACUUUGGAAACCCAGUCACGAAGUCCAUUUCAAUGUGGUCAAACUUCCAUUCUGGAAUGGCAAGAGGUUGGAGGAGACCCGCUGGCCUUUGGUGUUCUGCCUUCACUCUUCUGCAGACAUCACAUUCGUUCACGAAUUGAGCAAUCUCGCGCUUCAUUCGUGUCCACCAAUAAGCCUGCUUGAGGUCCUGAUACAUCUUCGUGCUCCCAGGGUGGAUGGAGAGGAGAGAAUUGUGAGCCUCGUUCAUGAUCACUUUACGAAGUUCACCUUUGGGCACGACAAUACGAUCCUCGAAGAAGAGAGUAUCCUUGUCAUCAAGGCGGUAGCACUUGUACUUGGGUUGACUCUUGGCAAUCCCAAUCUUCACCUUUUUCACCAUAGUAUCAAGAAGCUGGGCUUGGCGAAUAUGGUCUUCCAAGGUAGGAGAGACUUGAAGGUUGGCGAGGAAACCUUGAGGAACAACUUGCAGAUUAAGUUUGCGAAAAGCUUCACAAAGCUCGGGUUGAUAAGGCUUGAGAAUCAGACUUUUGCAAUAAGACUUCCUGCUCAAUGCGUCAGCAAUCACAUUGGCCUUGCCUGGAGUAUACUCGAUACUCGGAUUAUACUCUUGAAUCAUUUCGACCCAUCGAGUUUGCCUGAGGUUGAGAUUAGGCUGAGUGAAGAUGUACUUGAGACUCUUGUGAUCAGUGAAAAUGUCCAUUUUUCUUCCCAAUAGGAGAUGUCUCCAAGUCAAAAGAGCAUGCACAACUGCCGCCAACUCGAGAUCAUGAGUGGGGUAGUUUUCUCAUUAGGCUUCAACUGGCGAGAGGUAUAAGCAACAACUUUCUUCUCUUGCAUCAACACUGCACCGAGACCUUGGAGAGAGGCAUCAUAAAAGACCUCGUACGGUUUGGAUUCAUCAGGCAGGGUCAGAACUGGAGCAGUGAUCAAUUUCUCUUUCAAAGUGUUGAAAGCAAUGUCACACUCCGGAGACCAAACGUACUUGACGUGCUUCUGGAGAAGAUUUGAGAGAGGCUUCACGAUCUUAGAAAAGUUUUCAACGAAUCUUCGACAGUAGCUUGCGAGACCGAGGGAGCUACGGAGUUGCUUCACAUUCUAAGGAGGUUCCCAAUUCACAAUUGCAGACACCUUCUCAGGAUUCACCGCAAUGCCCUUGGCAGAGAUGAUAUGACCAAGAGAAAGAACCUCAUCGAGCCAAAAUUCGCACUUGGAGAACUUGGCGUAGAACUUGUGUUCCCUCAGCUUAUCGAGUAACAAACGCAAGUGCUUGGCAUGAUCUUCCUUGUUCUUCGAGAAAACUAGAAUGUCGUCGAGAUAGACCAAAACGAAGUCAUUGGUGUAGGCGUUGAAGAUGAAGUUCAUCAUGCGAGAGAAAGUCGGAGGAGCGUUGAUGAGGCCAAAAGACAUGACAGUGUAUUCAUAUGAACCAUAGCUUGUCCUGAAAGCCGUCUUGGGAAUAUCUUGCCCACGGAUUCGAAUCUGAUGAUAACCCAUACAGAGAUCAAGCUUGGAGAAUACUUGGGCACCUUUGAGUUGUUCGAAUAGCUCAUUGAUUUUGGGAAGUGGGUAUUUGUUCUUGAUGGUCUUCUUGUUCAAUGGAUGGUAAUCAACACAAAGUCGGUCCGUUCCAUCCUUCUUCUUCACAAAAAGAACACCACAACCCCACGGAGAAGAACUAGGCCGGAUGAGACCCAUUCUCUCUUGAAUAUCGAGUUGCUUCUUCAGCUCUUUCAACUCUUCAGGUCCGAGCUGGUAAGGACGCUUGCACACAGGUUCCGUGCCAGGCUCAAGAUCAAUGACGAAUUCAACUGGCCGGUGCGGAGGCAUUCCUGGAAGCUCUUCUGGAAAGACGUCUUGAUAUUCGCAAACGACUGGAAUUUGUGAGAUAGCAUCUAGUUCACCCUUCUCAUUGAGAGAAAACAGACGGAUAGUAUUAUCCCGAGCGGCAAAGACAAUUACAUCCUUAGACGAAUGAGUCAAUUGAAUCUGCCUGGCUACACAAUCAAGCUGAGCCUUGUGCUUAGAAAGCCAAUCCAUCCAGAGAAUAAGAUCAAUAUCCGAGUUACCAAGGAUCAUUGGAGAAGCCAGAAACUUGUAGUCACCCAACGUGAUAGUAACAUCUAGCACCUGCAGACUUGCACUCAAACGUUUGCCAGGAGAAACGAUAUCCAUUUGUUUGCCCAAAUGAGAAGAAACGAACUCAUGCUUGGUAAAAAAUGGCUUUGACAUGAAACAAUGCGAUGCACCAGUGUAAAAAAGAACUCUGGCGGGAAUAUCGUUAGCAGGAAGGUUACCCAUGAUGACAUCUGACGAGUCCUCUGCCUGAGCUGCAUUCAUCAAGUUGACCUUGCCGUGCUUGGGGUUAUGCUUGACCACAGCUGUACUUGCUGAUCUGACAGGAGGAGGAGGAGGAAGACGCCUCUAGUUGAAACAAUUGUUGGCAUAGUGACCCUUCUGUUGGCACUUGUUGCACGUGACCUCUGAAAGCGGACGGUGGUACGGAGCACUCGAUCUUGGAGCUUGAGAUGAAGUCUUGUUCUGAAAGCCAGGGUUGGGUGGGUGGGAAGAACCACUGCCACCUUUGCUCUUCUGCUAAAACGGCUGACGGAACAGAGGAGGAGGAAGCCAAUAUUUCUGCUGCUUGGCCACUUGAGUAGAGGAAGAAGGAGUAGCAUAUCUGACUCGCUUCUUGGAAGCAUCACACCUCACUUGAGCGGCCUCUUGCUUCAGUGCCAUGUUGUAGAACUCAUCGUACCUCAAGGGCUCAAAGAGAAUAAGAGCUAGCUGAAUUUCUUCUCUGAGACCACCCCUGAACUGGUAUAUCAUGCACUUCUCAUCAGGUACGUCCUGCUUGGCAAAGCGGGCGAGCUUCUGAAACAACUUGUUGUAGUCAUAGACAGACAAAGAGCCUUGCUUCAGGUUGCGGAAUUCCUCACGCUUGCUUUCAACCACGCUCUGAGGGAUAUGGUGAGCUCUGAAAUCUUGACGGAAUUCAUCCCAGGUAAUCACACGUCCUCCUCUGGAAUCCUUGUACUGCUGGAACCAUUUUGCAGCUUGAUCUUUGAGUUGGAAAGAAGCGAACUUGACGAAGUCCUCAGACCUGACGUUACUGCAAUCAAAAUUCUUGCACAGAUCCACGAGCCAAUCGUCAGCAUUGGUUGCCUCAGCACAAUUGCUGAAAGUCUUUGGCCCAUUAGCAAGGAACUGGUUGAGUGUGGCAAAGUGAUUCUGAUUGUUGCCUUGGUUCCCUUGGUUGCCUUGAUUCGCUUGAUUGCGCUCUUGAAGAAUUUGCAUGAUCAACUGCGUGUUUGUAUUGGUUGCAGCCAUCACAGCUUGCCAUGCCUCCGGAGGAGGUGGAGGUGGUGGCGGAUCUUGAUUCUGAUUGGUGCUCUUAGCGGGAGCCAUCCUGAAGAGGUUGACCACCGUUAGCACAUAGACAGAUAAAAUGAAGCUGAAUCCAACGGAAUGAAAAUUGCAACAUAAAGUCUUCACACCCGAACAAAAUGAACGAAUGCAUUCCUCUUGAAAUGGUCACAUAUCCAUAAAUUGAGAAGCCACGUAGAAUAUAGGUAGAGAAAUAAAUCAAUAAGGUACGGAUCAAGAACGAAUACUCGGUAAGAAAUCCCAAUCUCAAACCAAUAUCCGUGGAAGAAGAACUAGAGCUACAAGAAUUCCCACCUAUGAAACUCCCGAACCUUUCCGGUUAUGCAAUCAGGUGUUGGGGAAGCAUAAUAUCUCACCCAAAUCUAGCAAAUCCUACAUCCAGAUGUAUCCAUCCUUCAAAACAUAACCGAGAAAAACUUCGGAAACCAUCUACCUCAACCUUCGAAAAGCAUCCAUUAUACAAGUUAUGGCGAUACUCCCGAACUCCCGCCCCAGUAGUGGGUGGCGUCGAGGUUAUCUCACCAAUGAACUGCAUAAAAGAGAUUUUCAAUGUCGGCGUACUAAACUCAGGUAUUCCAGAACUGCAACGAUAAAAUUAUGACGACAACACCUCAGAGCUCAACUCCCCGGGACACUUCCACAAAACCCCUGACAGGAGGCACCAAGACAAUGUUCUCAUCAUAAAACCAUCGAAAUGAUUCCAAGAUACCCGCGUGAUCCUAAAAUUUUUUUAGUGAAAUUUGAGAAGAGAAGAGUCAAAACUCUACGUCAGGAUGCCUUACCAGAGCGAUGAGGAGACUGGGAAGUAAAAAGAAUUCCUAAACUCUUCGAUAUAUAAUUCCUAAAUGACUCAAAACAUUUUUCUAGACACAACUCGGCUGCUAAAAACGAUCAAGCAAUGGGGUUCCUAACGUCGGGGAAGGCUCUGAUUACCAACUUGUAACACCCUCGAUGCGGCUAUAGCUCCCAUGUGUCGAGGCACGACUUAGAGACAUAAUCGCAUUGAAGGCAUAUGUCGCAAGUUAGGCAAUCUUCACAACAUCCCAUAUAAUAUAUAGAUAAUAAAAGGGGAGAUAUCAUAGUUGGCUUACACUCGCCACGUCAAUCAAGUACAUAAAUAGAAUUACAACAUUCAACACUCAUGGCCCGACUACGGUGCCAAAAUAAAAGAUAACCCAACAUGCGACACGGCCCCGAUCACCCCAACUGGGCACCACUACUGAUCAUCAGGAAAGGAAACAUAGUAAUGUUGAGAGUCCUCGUCGAACUCCCACUUGAGCUCGAGAGCGUCACCGGGAGCGGAAUCAUCAGGCCCUGCAUCUGGUGUAAUAGUAAUCUGUGAGCCACAGGGACUCAGCAAUCUCGCACCCUCGUGAUCAAGACUAUUUAAGCUUAAAAGGUAGGGUAAGGUGAAAAUAUGUGGAGCUGCAGCAAGUGACUAGCAUAUAUGGUGGCUAACCUGUUCGCAAAAGAGAGCGAGAAGAGGAGGCAAAGCGCGAGCGAGAAUCUAGAGCACAACCUGCGCAAGCAUUAGUCCAACACCGUGUUCACUUCCCGGACUCCGCCGAGAAGAGACCAUCACGGUAACUCACACUGUUGAUUCAUUUUAAUUAAGUUAAGGUUCAAGUUAUCUACAAUCGGACAUUAACAAAUUCCCAUCUGCCCAUAACCGCGGGCACGGCUUUCGAAAGUUCAAAUCCCUGUAGGGGAGUCCCAACUUAGCCCAUGACAAGCUCUCACGGUCAACGAAGGAAUAGACCUCCUCCCGAGACGUUCUGAUCAGACUCGGUACCUCGGUUCUUCAAGACACUUCGACAGCUUAAAACAAGACCAGCAACACCGCCCGAAUGUGCCGACAAAUCCUGAUAGGAGCUGCACAUAUCUCGUUCUCAGGGCACACUUAGAUAGGUCAAGCUACGAGUAAAACCAACCCUCGAGUUUCCCCGAGGUGGCCCCGCAGGCUGCCUGGUUCGGACCAACAAUCAGAGGAGCACUGGCCCGAGGGGGGGUUAAAAUAACAUGACCCUCGGGCUCCGGAAACCCAAGGGAAAAGAGGCUAGGUUGCAAAUGGUAAAACCAAGGUUGGGGAUUGCUGGAAAAGCUUUAAUCAAGGCGAACUAUCAAGGGGUUCCCAUUAUAACCCAACCGCGUAAGGAACGCAAAACCCGGGAACAUAACACGAUAUGACAGAAACUAGGGCGGAAAGAGUGGAACAAAACACUAGGCGAGAGGCCGAGCCUUCCACCCUUUACCAAGUAUAUAGAUGCAUUAAGAUAACAUGGCAACAUAAUUAUAUCCCAACAAGUAAAUAAUGUUCCAACAAGGAACGGUCUCCAAUCUUCACCUACAACUAGCAACACUAUAAGAGGGGCUGCGCAAAGCGGUAACAUAGCCAAUCAAUGGUUUGUUAGGACAUGGUGGUUAGAGGUUUGACAUGGAAAUAUGGGAGGCUUGAAAGCAACUGGUAGGCAUCAUAGCAUUGGCAUAGCAAAAAAGCGAGCAUCUAGCAAAGCAAAGAUAGUAGUGAUUUCGAGGGUAUGAUCAUCUUGCCUGCAAAGUUGUCAGAGUUGCCUAGAUCCUAGAAAGCAAACUCAACGGGCUCCUCGUUAGCGAACUCGUCUCCCGGCUCUACCCAAACAAGACAAACAAUCAAACGGAACACAAUCAACCACGUGCAAAACUCAAACAAUAUGAUGCAACGAUGGUAUGCUAUGCGGGAUGCGAUGCGGGAUGCAUAUGCAAGAUUUGAUAAGGGAUGCAUGAACCUUGCCUCAACAUGGAAAACCAAGUGUGCCACUGGAUAGAUGACAUGAAAUUGCUUGAAAACGAUAUAAAGAAUGCCGGAAUCGGAGUUACGGUUUGGAAAUGGCAAGCGAUUCAAAUAUGACCACGAUUUGCGAUUUACAACAAGUAGCCAUCUAAAAGCAAUGAGAUGAACAUGCUACAACACUCAAACAUGGCAUCAAAAUACAUGGCAGGGAUGCACUCAAGAUGCUUAACAAAAGUCUAGCACUGAGCUACGGCCAAUUCAUCCAUUAACAGGUUCAAACAAGCAUGGCAAAAAUGCAUAUGGUAAACAGAUUUCAGACUUAGUGAAAUUAACACUUGUCUGGAAUCUCAGAUCAGGUAGCACUCUUUGGAGCAACAAAACUACAUGCUACAGGACCUGAACAUGACAAAGUAAAACAUGACAUGGAUCUACUCAAAAAUCUUAACAAAAGUCCCUUAGUGACCUUGAGCCAAAAGGGAUUAGAAAACAUAUUAGCAAGCAUGUGAACAUAGCAAAAGCAUAAUCAGUUUUCGGACUUAGUGAAAACUGGCACAUGCUGAAACAGAUAUCAAGUAGGCAUGUUUACGAGCUCGAUGCACUCACUGCGGAGCAUGUCAUGAAAAUCUAAGUAUACAUCCAUCAAGAAUACACAAAAUGCAAGCUAGAUAUGGCAAGAACAAUAACAUAGCAUGCACGGAUCAACUACAACAUCCCCGGCAAAAUUGCUAACAAGUAGACAAUCUGCCCGGAUUCACGAAGUAGCAAAAGUAGAGCUCGAUUGACUUAAGCUAGGAUGCUCCAUAAUUGCAAACAAAGACAUGGAUGGAUUGAGCACUCCAAUAUUAAUAAAACAUCCUUACUGAUCAUCCUCAAAAGAGGCACGGAUCACUAGGAAACGACAUGAACAUAUGGCAAUAUGAGAUAAACAGGUCAAGGAGCCUGAAAACAACAUUACCAAGUGCCUCACUUUGCAAGCUUGUACUAGUCACCACACACAUCACAAAAAAUACAUGGGUUGUACCUCUGGAAAGAUGGAAAAACCCUUAACAAAACAUAUGUAGAGCUCAUGGGCAUAUCAUGCACACAACAAUCAUGGCAAAAAUGACAAAUAUCUAAAUGGAGCAGCAGAUCUGACAAUUAUCUCAAGUAGCACUCUUCUAACAGCAUUUCGGGCACCAAGAUGUACUCAAAUGAAAAUGAUGCAAUGAGAUGAAAUGAUGUACUCCCUGAGGCGAACAUUUUGAUAUGCUAUAUGCCAAAAACGGAGCUACAGAUGCAAAGUUACGGUGCGAUGAACAUGGGCAUAUGAACUAGGGUUUCGGGAGAGUCAACCGACGUUUUUGGAUCUAGAUCUGAGAUCUGGUGCAUGAUUUACGAGGAUGGCUAGCACUGUUCACCGGCGACGGGACGCGGCCGGAGGAAGCGGGCGAGGUGGAGGUCGGCGCGGGCCGGCGCCGGAGUAGAAGGCGGCGGCCCUAGGCGGGUGGAGCGGCGGCGGGGCGUGGCGGCGGUGGCCGGCGAUGGAGACCACGGUGGCGGGGCGCGGCGGGGCCUGCCGGCGACGGAGUGAGAUCCGGCCGAUGAUGGCGGAUGCGNNNNNNNNNNNNNNNNNNNNNNNNNNNNNNNNNNNNNNNNNNNNNNNNNNNNNNNNNNNNNNNNNNNNNNNNNNNNNNNNNNNNNNNNNNNNNNNNNNNNNNNNNNNNNNNNNNNNNNNNNNNNNNNNNNNNNNNNNNNNNNNNNNNNNNNNNNNNNNNNNNNNNNNNNNNNNNNNNNNNNNNNNNNNNNNNNNNNNNNNNNNNNNNNNNNNNNNNNNNNNNNNNNNNNNNNNNNNNNNNNNNNNNNNNNNNNNNNNNNNNNNNNNNNNNNNNNNNNNNNNNNNNNNNNNNNNNNNNNNNNNNNNNNNNNNNNNNNNNNNNNNNNNNNNNNNNNNNNNNNNNNNNNNNNNNNNNGGUAGGAGUGUCCAAAUGAGGUGCGGUUUUCGGCCACGCGAUCGUGAUCGAACGCUCUAGAUGAUGGAGAGGGUUUAGGUGGGUUUUGGGCCAAAAUGAAAAGGUGUUGGGCUGCAACACACAUGAGGCCUUUUCGGUCCCUCGGUUAACCGUUGGAGCAUCAAACGAAGUCCAACUGGUACGAAACUUGACAGGCAGUCUACCGGUAGUAAACCAAGGCCGCUUGGCAAGUCUCGGUCCAAUCUGGAAAUGUUUAAUCCCCACACACGAAAAAAGGUAGAAAUGACCACCAGAGGAGAACGAAGCACCGGAAUGCAAAAUGGACAACGGGGAAAAUGCUCGAAUGCAUGAGAUGAACAUGUAUGCAAAUGCAAUGCACAUGAUGACAUGAUAUGAGAUGCAUGACAACGAUAACAACACACGGAGACAAAAACCCGAACCCAAGAAAAUAAAAUAACUUAAAGCCGGAAACGGCAAGAGUUGGAGUACAUAUGGGGUAAGUUACAUCCGGGAUGUUACACUACGUGACCAGUUAGGCUCCUGAGUCGUGAUGCUCAGGAGUCCCCCUUGACAUGCAAACAUUCUCCAUACCUUUGCCCUCGCCGAGGCUCGGCUGAGGAGGGGCGUGCGACGACCAGGUCCGAGGGACCUGGUUGGGCGGCGUACGCUUGGGCGUGACCCGGGCGCCGCCCCCGUGCCCAGCCCCCUCGCGCGGCUCUCCCGAGGGGAGGCGUUGCGGUGAGGCCGGACACUAAGCUCUGAGGCUCCCUGAGGUUGGUAUGGCCAUGAGGCCGCCCCCAGUUGUUUAUCACCAGCGCGGGAGCGUAGUGCUUCCGCUUGUGCACGGGCAUAGCCGCUCCUCGGCAGUGUCGACGGCCAGCGCGGAGCAUGGUGCUUCCACUGGGGCAUGGGAGGGGGACUCCCUACUGCAGAGAGCCCCGGGGCAUGUACAACCCCGCCCUGACACGCAGCUUGCACGACAGGGCUAGACAAGGUGUAUCUGGGCACUCGUGAGCCACCGCAGGACUCACGAGGCCCUACCUCAAGGCGGAUUACGCCUAGUCUUGGUUCUUGUUUGCUGUUUUGGUCUUGCGAGGAUGUUAGACAACCUGUGCCAAACGAAUCUCAUGAUGUCAUCGUGUGAGAAAGAUAAGAACCAACAGCCCCAGGAAGUGACGUGAACGGGGAUGGCCCGCCAGACAGAGCUCAGCCGCUGGGUUUAUCAACACUGCAGGGACGGGCCCGAGCACAGACGCCGUGCUUAACUUAGUCAGCGAAGGGUCUUGAAGAAAGAUGGCCGAUGCGCGGCUCCUAUGGUGGGCGACAAUCAAGCAGGUGAUAGUCAUAGAUAGAUUAAGCAUGGAAAGCAACCUAGCACAGGUAAAUGCAGGGAAGAUGCAUGCCACUGGGCCAGGCCCGAGCGGCUUGGGGAUGAUGCAGCCCGAGGGGCGCCCCCAACAAGAUAAGCUGAAGACAUAAAAAUGGAUACAUGCCACAGGGAUGGACCCACGCGGCCUGGGAAUGAUGAAGCCCUGGGGGCGCUCCUAGAUGAAUGAACUUGGAAAAUAUCACCUGGUUCUAUUGGUGAAGGAGAGUUGGGGCAGUUGAAGGUGUGCGGCGAAGGGGCUGCUCCUCGUGAGCCACCGGGGCCCUGAGCCUCGGGAGGCUCUGGGGGUCCGGGUGGUUCCUUGACGACCAUCUUCAUCUGCGUCAGCACAGCGUGGUGCCUGGCCUCCUGAGCCGCCAGGAUGCUCCGCAGGUUGCGUUGAUAGGCAGUCGCCACGCUCAGCAGGCCAAAAGGCAUGUAGACACAGCUGUGAGGUGGGCCCUCGCAGCGUCCAACGCACGAAAGCCAGAAAAGCUCCUCAGAGGCGUCCCGAUUGAGCCCUAGGACGUUGAUGCAAAUGUGCAGCCCGGCAUCCUCGCCUGGAUGGGGAGCUGCGCCUGGUAAGUGGCAGCCGCCGCGCAUGGCCCUUGCGUCUUGAAGUUCCUGUGUGGUCUUGGUGAUGAACUCCUAAACGGUGGGCACUCCUUGCCCGGUGUUCUCCUGAGGGAAACGUGCCGUGAAGCACACAUCCAAGUGGUGCCCAAGCGCCUCCCUUGUGUUGUUGGCAAAGUCUGAGUCCCUCCAGAAGAGAGCCCCCGAGCCCUGCCCGAGAGGGGCGCUGGGCGCACUUUCCUAUGCGAUGGAGGGAGGCACCCCAGGCGCGGGCGCCAAUCCUGACGAGGCGCCGCUUGCGUGAGGCCCUGUGUGGCGCUGCUGCUUCUUCUUAUUGGGGUGGCCUCAGGAAGGCGCUCGCCCUGGCUAUCGAGGUCGUCAAUUGCUGCAGCUUGGAAGGCACGCUCGAGGGAGCACACCACGUAUCUUUCCUCGCACGGGACUGUGAUGAUUCCGCCGCUUCCCGGCAUUUUGAGGACAUUGUAGACUUGAUGGGUCACCGCCAUGAACUUGGCCAGAGCUGGAUACCCGAGGAUGGAAUUGUACGCCUGGCGGAUGUAGGCGACGUCGAAGUCAAUGAGUUCGGUGCGGUAGUUGUUGCAUUCUCCGAAGGUAACGAGGAGGCGGACCUGCCCGAUCAGGGUAGUAGAGCCGUCGGUCACUCCUAAAAAAGGUUUGGUAGGCUAAAGCUGGUCAUAUGGCACUUGGAGGUUGUCGAUCAUGUUGACGGACAGGACAUUGAGCCCUGCGGCACCGUCAAUGAGGGUCUUGGUAAGUUGCACAUUGCUGAUGACUGGUGAACAAAGCAUUGGGAGGACGCCAGCAGUAGCCACACACUUGAGCUGAUGUGCCGAACUGAAUGUGAUGGGGCACCUGGACCAUCUGAGUGGGCAUGCGGCCAUCAGCUUGGGGAGGACUGCAUUCACUUUGCAAGCAAACUGUUUGAAGAUACGCUGCGAGGCUAGGGCUUGAGCUCGGCCCAAGAUGCAGGCGAUAGCGGCGGCUCCUGGAAGCCCCAUUCCCCCUUGUCUUGAUGGUGGUCGUCAUUCCUUCUGGGUGGUGUCUGUAGUGGAGGAAGGCCAGCAUUGCCUUCAGGAUGAUCCUCACGAGGCUGGUCCCUCUAGGCGCCCUCGCGAGGCUGAUCCUGCCAGCGGUCCUCACGAGGCCAGUCAUGCCACUCCUGGCGCGGGCCACGGUCGUCCCAGUGUCCUCCACCAUGUCCUCCUCCUCGGCCGUAGCCCCGGUCGCUGCGCUCGGGGCUUCGACCGAACGUCCUUCUCGAAUGGCUCUGAGCUCUUGACAGUCGCUGGUGUUGUGGGUAUGCAAGUUAUGGAAGGCGCAGAACGGUCGGCUGCUCUUGGAUGACUCGGGAAGAUCUCGGCCGCGCUUGGUGUCUAGCUCCGCCAUGAGCAUGGACACUCCCCAUGCGCUUCACUUCCUUGGCCUUGGCUUUCUUCUCCUCCGGGUCCGCAACAGGAAGCUCGAGGAGGGAGGGGCGCCCCUACUCAGCUCUUGCACACUUGGUCGCGAUGUUGAAUAGCUCCAAGGUCGUGCACAGCUCCUCAUGGAUGGCGAGCUCCUCCUUCAUCUUGACGUCGCGGACGCCAUCGGAGAACACUGAGAUGAUGGCCUCGUCGGUCACCUUGGGGAUCCUGAUUCGCACAUUGUUGAGGCGCUAGAUGUAGUUCUGCAUGGUCUCUCCUGUUUGUUGCUUGAUACGGUGCAGGUCACCCGCGACCGGGGGGCGGCCGUGAGUGCCCUAGAAGUUGGCGAUGAAGCGGUUGCGCAUCUCGUCCCAGGAGGAAAUCGAGCCUGGAGGCAGGUUCAGGAACCAGGAGUGGGCGCCAUCCUUGAGAGCCAUGGGAAACCAGUUCGCCAUGAAUUUCUCAUCGCCGUUGGCCACCUCGAUGCUCAUCUCGUAGAGCUAUAGGAACUCCGCGGGGUUGGGGGUGUCGUCGUAGCAAGGAGGCAGAUCUUCCUUGAACUUGCCCGACCAGGCAACGCUACGCAGCUCGGGGGUGAAGGCGCGGCAGCCGGCCGUGGUCAACGGGGCCCGUCUUGGAGGUGGAACUUGGUCUUGGCUCCCGCGUGCCGCUACGACAAAUGGCGCGGGGCCUUGCCGUAGCAGACGAUCCUGGCGCGGUGGUGCGAGGAGUGGUAGAGCGUUCUCUUGCGGUCGAGGGACUUCUUGACAGCUUCUUUCUUAACGCACAGGCGCCGGACACGGUGGGUCGUGCCGUGGAGCCGCGUGCCUUGGCACUACGGUGCCGUCUUGGUGUGCAGAGGUGGCGGAGGUGCUUCAUGAGCUGCAUCGCCCGUGGCUGGCGGAGGGCGAGGCAGAGAGUGGGACGGCGCAGGGGAGCCCCCCUGCGGCGUGGACAAGCUCGGUGAUGCGGUCAAGCCAGUCCUUGUAGAGGUCGUCGACUGGGCGGUAGCGCAGGAGCUCGUGCGCCAUGAGGAGCACGGCCCGUGCGUUCGUGGGAACACGACGAGCGUGAGACGAUGAACCAUCAGGAGUCAGUGAUGGAGUGGCGGUGCGUCCGUCCUGUCGCACCGAGGGGUCCAGUGAAGAUGCUUGCUGCUCGUUCCCCGCCGGUCUGCUGGCGGCAUUGGCGGCAGGAGACGGAGAGCGACAGGGUGGCCUGCCGACAAGGGCCGUCUGAGCAACACGGGUGGCGAGGGCAGCCCGGUGCUCGGUGCGGGCGCGGCGUGCAUCCGCCACAUAGACGAUGAAGCGGCGAGACACAGAGCGACGGAAGGGAAGCUUCGGCGCACCCCUACCUGGCGUGCCAAAUGUCGGAUCACGUGUUCUAGCAAAACCCUUGAGGUUCAAACACUGGGGUGUGCGCGAAGAUUCCCCCCUACCGAUCCACGUCCUAGCUUGGCUAAGAUCUUACGAACUAACUUGACGAACUCGCAACGCAAAGGACACAAGAUUUAUAGUGGUUCGGGCCACCGUUGUGGUGUAAUACCCUACUCCACUGUGGUGGUGCUGGAUUGCCUCUUUGGCUGAGGAUGAGCAGUACAAAGGGAAGAACAACCUCCUGAGAUUGAGGUGUUCUUGUGCUUGGCGAACUUGUGCGUGUGAGGAUUUGAUUCUCUCCUCUCAAUCGAUCAAUCGAUCUCCCUAGCUAUGGUGGUGGCUAGUCCUAUUUAUAGAGGCCCUGGUCCUCUCCCCAAAUAUUGAGCGGGAAGGGAGCGAACAACAGCCAAUUUCAAAGGGGACAGCUAGUACAAGCUAUCCUGACAAAAGCAGUGUUCGCCUGCCAAAGACUCUGGUGGUGACGCCGUCUUGGGCUCCACAGUGACCUCUGUCUUGUCGUCCUGCUGGUCUUGGUCUCGUUGCACGGAUAUGGAAACCUUUGCUUGACACCUCGGUACUCCGCGCCUGCGCUUGCCGCCUUAGCACCAAAGAGGAAACAAGGAUGCUGUGCAUGCUCGCGCCCGCCUGGAGCCCGCCUGGUCUCGAUCGUCAUGGCUCACGUCACUAGAACCUCACGAGGUUUGCCGUGCCUUGAACUAUCCGCCCCUCAUGAGCCAUCCUAGCGAGGCCGCUCCUGAGGAGGUCUUGCGUCGUCCGCCUCGCAAGGCUUGGCCCCUCGCGAAGGUCUUUAUUCCUUGCUGAUGAAGACGGCCUGUACAAGCCUACUAGCAAAGCCACGCCAUGGGCCGCAGGCAGGGAAGUCUAGGGACCCCCAUUCCCAAAACACCGACAACAUUGCUUUGUUUGUCUUAUGCUUCGGUUUCCCUCCAGCGUCCCUCCUCUGCCUUGUUAAGUGUGGCCGGGGCGCGGCUCUGACUGCCCGUGCACAAGUAAAGGGGUCAAAAGGAGAGCCCCUACUUUUGUACACCGACACUCCGCCACCCCCACCCCCGCCACACCCACGUCGAGUUUUCUUCAUUCGACAAGGCCCCACCACCGCCCCCACAACCACCAUCCCCAGUCGAGCCCCUUCCUUCGCACCGGCGAACUCUGGCGAGCUCUUAAAAAUCGACUGACCCAAUUUUGAAAUUUAGUCUAUUGUCAUUUAGCUAUUGUUGAAUAUAAAAGGGGAAAACCAUAAGCAUUGCGAGUAUAGUGUUGAGCGUGGCAUGGCGGACCUGAAGGUGCAAUCCGGACAAAGGCAACUUCGCAACCAAUGUUUGCUUUCAACUAACAAGUAAGUGAUGGAUAAGAAAUCAGAGUAAAGCAGUGGCGAUCAAUUUUCUCUGCUGCGAUAAAUAAGUUGAGCGGAUAUGAAAGAGUACCGCCUUUGGUGCAGCACCAUGUAUGCAUUUGUUGAGAAUUUGACGGUGCUAUGGUAGCGUGGAAGAAGAUCUAGGAGGGUUGAUGGUGGCGGUGGGGCGCGGUGGACGAGACGGUCGUAGGAGCGGCGCUGGCAAGGUGGACGAUGACGGGGAUGAAGCGAGAGGACGGGAUGGAAGGAUCUCGGUCUGAAGCCGUGGAUGAGAGAGGUCGAUCUCUUGUAAUGGACGACGGCGUCGGGGUGUCAUCUCCGGCAUGGUGGAGGAGGAUGGCGGUGGAUGGGGUGGCAGACGGAGGAGGCUGGGGUGGAGAGGGUGUUUUGCCGCCCACGGAUUACGAAUGGGGAAAUGGAGGGAGAGAGUAAGGAGGAACCAUGUCUUCAGGGCGCGCUUGUCUCAAAUGAGAAGAAAUUUACAAACUUAUCCCCCGUUUAAAAUUUCCUACAUCACAACAAUAUUAGUCGGUUGGGGAUAGGACGGUUAUCUCACAUGCACCGAAUAUUUGCCGACGAGAGUUUGUUUUGGUGCCCACCGUGUAUGAAUCGUGGAGGGAGUCAAUUUCGGCCGAGGAGACACUGUGUUUUGGCACCCACCGUGUAUGAAUAUGGGUGAGAGGUGUUUAUGUCAUGUUUGAGUGAAAUUACAAACCUACCCCUAUCGAAAGCUAUAGAAAUCGAGCCGAUAGCCUUUGUAUGUCAGGGAUAGGCCGUAAUUUCCAUCUCUCAGAUUUUGGUUUCGGGAGGUUACUUCAAAUUUCCCCACUUCGUUCAAAUUUUUGCAGAGCAAGAGUGCACGUUUACCGUGCGAACUCAAUUUGAAUCUAGUUUGUAUUGUAUUUUUGUUCGGGCAGGAUCCAUUUUUGAUUGGAAUAAAAUUCUAUAUACAUCAUUUUUAUAUAUACUUUCAAAAGCACAACACCCUUUAUACAUAAAUAUGGUUUACAAAUGGCAUGAUCUCAGAUUCAUAUGGUUGUAUCCAUGUUAAUUUCGACUUUCAAGUAUUUGAAACCACUUUAUAUUGAAAUCCAAUGUAUGCAUUCCUCGCUAACUGUCUCCAAUUAAUGUGUGUUUCAUGCAUUUUUUUACUUCUCGGACAUGUAUAAUGUGUUUCACACACGCAAAAUAUAGUGUAGUCCUGUUUAGACAUUAAUUGCAUAUAAACCAUGCAUUGUAUCUAAUUAAAGAAUCUAUGGAUCACUAAUAUUGAUAAACUAUAUAACAUUACACGUGUCCCCAAAUUCCAAUGAAUAUGCAUGUUUGAUACACCAAUUUGUGUUAUGAUAUUAUCGAUGUCGUGAACUCUAGUUUAAAAAUUUGAAUCCCCUUUAAUCAAGAUAUUCGUCUCCUAUAGCUAUCACUCAUGCUUAUAUAGGAGUAUCUCUCUAGACCUAUACGUGUGCAUUCUCUCUCAGGUAUCUCUCAUGCUACAUGUAUCUCGACAACGAUCUUUCAACUUCAUAACACACUAAGGGUGCUCUCUCCCUCGACCUUCAUCACUCUAUGUCUCCCUAAGUAUAUCUCGCUCCCAGCUAUGUGUCUCUAGCUAUGAUUCUCCAUGGGAAAUCACUUUCCCUCGCACAAACACAAACUUCAUCUCCCGGGGUCUCAUUUCUCUCUAUUAUUCCCCUAUGUGCCACUCGCACACCCCCUCUCACACAGAGAUGUCUUUCACUCCUUAGGUAUCAGAAGCUACGAGUCCUCCUCUAAAAUAUAUCUUUCUCACACACAAACACAAACUCUGUCUUCCAGGGUCUCAUAUCUCUCCACCAUUCUCUUGUAUGUAGCUCACACACACUCUCUCUCCCUAGAGAUAUCUUGCAUUCCCUCAUAUGUGCGUCUAGCUAUCACUCUCGUUGUGAAAUAUCUUUCUCUCUUGCAGACACAAAACUCUGUCUCUCGGGAUCCUAUUUCUCUCUGAUAUUUGUUUGUAUGUGACUCACAUGCACCCUCUCUCUAUCUCUCUCACACCCAGACACAUAACUCACCCUUCUGAUACACUUGACUCCUAUCUCUAACACACACUAGCUAGCAUCUUUAUUUUUCUAUUUACCUGUUUCUCCAUCAACCUUCUUUCUCGCCCUCACUCUUGCUUCCUAUCACACACACUAUAUAUGUUUCUCUCUACAUGCAGUCAUGUGCCCUCCUUUUAUCUUUCUCUCACACACACAUAACUUCACCCUCUGAACCACCCGGCCGUCAUCUCCAACACUCAAAGUAGGCAAUGUCCGUCUAGCUAGCAUCUCUAUCUCUGUAUCUAUCUGUAGUUUCUCCGUCAACAUUUAUUUCUCACACACACUGUUGCUUCCUAUCAUGCACACUAUAUAUGUCCCUCCGUACAUGCAUCUAUAGGUUGAUCUCUUUUGCAAAAUCGUUGUGUCUCGCUCCCUCUGCUCGCCAUAGAUGCAUGCUCCAGCCCACACCACUAUCUCUUAAAGACAAAAACACAUGCUCAAUUAUCGGGCCUUCUUCCCUACACUCUCACAUGCAUACAUAUUGUCAUACUGAUCCGUCGCUCCCACGUCGUUGAUCUCAUGACUUAUGUCUUCUUUGUUUUAUCUCGAUCAUGUGUGUGUGCGCACACACACACACACACACACAUCCCACGUAUUCAUGUAUACCUCUCGCAGAUGCACGUUCAAGGUCUCCUAUGUCUCCAUACGUAGUUAAUUACCCUCAUCCCUAACGCCACAUCGAAUCGUUCUCUUCUUGUGUGCACAUAACUUCCACCUGGAUGGGUAAAACACACACUAACACUUAAACAAUCUCCUUCUAGCUACCCCCUCUCUCACUCUUCCCCUAUAUCCCCGAAACCAAAAAGACCAUCCCUUCAUUUAAUUCCCGCCUACAUGCCCCAUCGAUAUAUAGUAGUCUUCCUCGGUGUCUCUCGAAUAAACACGUUCUCUCGAUGUCGACUCCUCUCACGCGCACACUCCUUCUCUUCCCUCUCUACGGGCCUUUUCUCUCUCACACCCCCUCGUUGGUGGCCUUUGCCAUAAACACAACCUCUCUAUGAUGAAUCCACACACACUUAAAUUUCAUUCGCUACCGAGGACUCCGUGUCACACAGACACACACACGCACGCACACACCCACCCACCCACCCACCCCCCCACACACAGACACACUAAGACUCCAUCUCACACACACAUGCUAUAGCCGGAGCAUGUGUACCUACCACCCUUCGUCCAACCAUACACAUAUGAUAAACAAUCUGUCGAGGGUUGGGUGCGACAUAUGCCAAAGGAUGGCUUAUCAUGGUGGGAGCAAGUAGAACGUCGCUGAUGCCUGGAAACGGGAUGAGGCGUAGACACGAACGCCGGCGUACUUUACCCAGGUUCGGGGCUCUCCUAGGAGAUAACACCCCUAGUCCUGCUCUGCGGGGCCUUCGCAUGAUCACUAAGACAAAAGUGGUACAACGGUGCUCCUCGAGCUGUUUGGUAGAGGUGGGAAAGGGCAAGGCUGGCUCUCUACUCCUCUAGGUCUAAGUCUAGUCCUAACAGGCUCGGAACCCUUUGCAUGGGUGCCCUGGGGUGUUUAUUUAGACCUAUCCCCUGGGGUACAAUGGUAAUCCAGCUGGGUGUAGGGCCCAGUUGUCAGUCUCUUUUUCCGUCGGCUUCUCCGCCGGCUGCUGGGGCGCGCCGCCUGGUGGGCCCUGCCGACUGGUUAGGUACGGGGCCGACAGGCCGCCUCCGCCGCUCUCGGGUCUUGUCGGCUGCUGAUCACUGUAGCCGUGACACUGAUGACCCAGGCUUGGUCAGGGGAUCAUGGCUACAGCUUCGCCGUCUAGCGGGUGAUUACUGUAGCCACUCUGCGUCUUGUCUGGUUAGUGCCGUGUGGGACCCAAGGAAGGGGCGGGCCGACUGCUGGGGGCCGACCUCCGUCGAAUCCGACUUGUUGGGCUCUAGCCAUCUUCCGGACUCUGCUGAUUGGUGGGGCCCGUCGUCCUUGGGUCAUAGCGAUAGGCCGUCGUGGGAGCAGGCUCCGCCUACUUGUGGUGAUGUCAGGAGUGGCAUGGCAAUAGUGCCGCGUCAGGCGGAGAUCUCUGCCGGUAUGGUGCACUGUGGCCACGCUCGUCCCUGGAUCGGGGGGGGGGGAUGGUCUACACUUAGCCACCCCCUGUCUUGUCUUUCUUGAUGAGGGCGCGGGCUUUGUUGGCGCCAUGGGCCGACUGCUAGGGGCCUGCUUCUCUAGAAGCCGCCAACUAGGAAUCGGCUGGUCUUGAAGUCGGUCUCUGGAACUCAGCCGUCUAUGGGCAGCCGACUAUUCCUUCAGCCGGCCACCAGAAGGCGGCACUUCAUCUUGGUGUCUUGAGGAGCGCAACCAGCCGCGAUGUCUUGAAAGGUUCUAGGCCUUGGGUUAGCCUACCCGUGGCCCAUUACACCGACAACAGUGGACGAAGCUGGUGAGGUGCCGCGGCUGAGCAGCCGAGGAGCCCCAACAGUUUUCUUCUCCGAGUGCCUGAGGUGGAGCUUCGUCCGACUUCUGCCGGGCCGACUGGUGGGAGUCGGCUGUGCCCAUUCUGACUUAUCCAAACUUCGAAUGCGUCGGCGGGAACCAAGUGGUGUGCUAGCUAAGCCUCCAGGCCGCCGCCUGUUGUGGUCUUGUCACGUGGCGCCGAGCGGCCGAGCCAGUCUGCUAACCCACACCGUGAUGGGACACACCUACGGGCGGGGCCCGCCACUACCAUGCCUCGGCGCGUGAGCGGAUCCGCUGUGGCCGAGGUGGGCGGUUAGGGUCCCCGCGGAGUUACUGCGUGCAGUAUUUGCACGAUAAAAGUGGGAUCAUGGGCGCAGUAAAUCCCAUGAUUGCCCCCUCGGCUUCGCAGCCCAUAGGCCUAUAAGUAGGGGGAGGAAGGGGAGCAGCGGAGCACGCGUGUCCAUCCUCCCUAUUCUUUCCUCCUUAUUAUUCCUCUCGUCGAAGCGCCCCCAAGACACGUUGAGCGCCGUGGUGGUUCGUCUCCGAUGAGCUCAUCCUCCAACCCCACGCCCCCCAUGGCUCGCUCCGGUGCAUGGGAUGGCUCCGAGGUUCAUGAUGACCACAUCGACUUCCUCCGCCAGACGCGGCGGCUCCCCAGCGAGGACCACGUGAGGGUCCGCCUCGCGCUGAGGAGGGAAAUUUCGCCGGCGCCGGAGGAGGGAGAGCGGGUCGUCUUCCGCUCGCACUGCCUCCGUGGCCUUGGCUUGUCGGCGAGCAGCUUCUUCCGAUCCUUCCUCGAGUUCUACGGUCUCUAGCCGCACCACCUCACCCCGAACAUGGUGGUGCUGCUGUCCGCCUUCGUCACCUUGUGCGAAGGCUUCCUCGGUGUCCUCCCCACCAUCGAGCUCUGGGGGGAGUUCUUCUACAUCCAGCUUGGCACCCUUGUUGCGUGCAUGCUAGCUCAAUGCAGCGCGUUCAUCGCGGUGCAGAGGCGGCUGGCCGAGAACUCGUUUCCUGCCAUCCCGCUGAUCAAGUCGGUGAAGAUGUGGCAGCGGUCGUCUUUCCACGUGAAGAGCAUCUUUACGGAGGGCGACUGGGUCAACUUGCCGGCUUACGAAGCCGGCCCGCCGGCUGGGAGGCGGCCCAACUGGUCGUAUCGGCCCAAGACGCUAUCGCCCUCCGGAGUCGCCGCUAUCGCGCGGCUCCGAGUGCUGACACAGUCAGAGGGCCUGACCGGGCCCGAAUUGCUAUCCGCCUUCGUGGCAUGCCGAGUGCUCCCGCUCCAGAGCUGCACUCACAUGAUCUGCCAGAUGAGCGGACAUCGUGACCCGAGUCGGCUGUGCACCAAGGAGAUGCCUCAUGCAGAGGUAGCUCACAUGGUGAACUACCUUGCGAACUGCGAGCUCAUGGAUGAGUGGCAGUUUGGUAAGGAGCCAUAUUCACGCGCCAACCCCCGCCUAUUGUAAGUCGUCUGUCUUUUUCUCUGUCUCUUUGUUGCCGACUUCGUGUUGUCCAGCCUGACCAAUCGGCCUUUGAACAGAGUCCCCUCCUCCAGUCGGCAGCCGGCCCCGCGGGGCCAGAGCGCCAAUUCCUCCUCGACCGAGCGGAGAGCGACGUCGACGACCCCGAUCUGGGGGCUGCAGCCUUGGAGGACGAUGCCGAGGGAGGAGGAGGCGAAACAGGCGGCCCGAGGCUCGGAACCAGCCUCGAGGACUGGCCUGAUGAUGACGUGGGGGAAGUCGCCCCGCGCCACUAGCCAGGAGCUGGACAGCCGGGCACGAGCUCGCUUGCCGUGCCGGAUGCCCAAGGCGGCGCAAAGAAGCGCAGGGCCGCGCCGAGCUUGUUCGGCAGCCGGCCGAAGAAGCCCAAAGGCUCGGCCGCGACGACCAAGCGGGAUGAAGCGGCCGCAAAGGCCAUCCGCUUCCGCAAGGACGUGAAGAAGCCGCAACUGGUUUCAGCGUAAGCACCACCUUUAUCUUGUACCUUCAUUUUUUUUCCAUGUUGACUCUGUCUGAGUUUCUUCACUCCAUUUCCCUUGAUCUAGGGCUCCGCUCUCUCUUGAGAAAUCGGCCGCCGCCUCCAUCGUGGGGUCGGCAGAGACUUCCACCACCACUCGGCGGAUCGAUCCUGCCGCCGACCUUCGGGAGGCGAGGGAGUGGAACACGCGAGAAGUGCGCAAAGAGCAGGAAGCCACCCAUCGGGAGAAGGCGGAGGCCGCCACCCUGAAGAAACUGGCGGAGGCCGAGGCCGCCGACGCGGCGAAGAAGCAGGUUGAAGAAGUCGCGCGCCGCCAGUCGCUGAUUUUCGUCACUUCCCUGAACUCCGCGCCGCCACCCCCGGAGUUCGUGGCGCAGAAUGGGGAAACCAGGGGCGAGCACCCGGUCAUGGAGAGGGACGGAAGCGACGUCGCCAUGCCGGACGUGAAUGUGCCUCCACCGCCCCCGUCUAGGAGCGUGCGAGGCGAGUAGCCGGCGGACCAGCCGGUGCCGCCGACUGAAAACGAGGUGGCGACAGGCCCGACUCUUGAGGUCGGCACACCGACGCGUCGCCGAUUUGCAAAGGCGGCUUCGGCGCCAUGCCUGCUGGAGACUGUCGCCGCGAGAUCCUUGAUCCCGGACACCGAGGCGACCAGCGCCGUGCCCCAGGGGUGGGUGCGGGUUUGCGGGACAGGCCCUCUAAACAAGGCGAUGCUAGAUGUUCAAGCCAAACUCCGCGCCGAAGUCGACGGCAUCAAGAACUGCAACAACGUGUAUCUGGCGUCGCGAGAGGCCAUCCGCGUAUGCUUCUUGUUUCUUUGUGUUUUAACUCUUGUAUUGCUUCGCGGGGGCGCGUCCGCGCACCCACUGGGUGUAGUCCCCAAGUUCUGGGCCGACUGCUGAGUAGGCGGCGUGAAACUCUAACUAGUAGGCUCUGAAAGCCAAUAUCCUUGCUGCAGGAUUAUCAUAACCUCCGCGCGGCCUCCUACAACUCCAGGGUCCAGGAGUUGGAUCAACGCGCUGCCAACUUGUCAGAGAGCCGGAGUAAGUCCUCUUCCAUCUGCAGGGGCGCGCUGGCACACCCGCGGGCUGUAGUCCCUGAGAUCCAGGCCGACUGCUGAUUAGUCGGGCCAGAUCUUCCUGGUGACUAUUCUUCUUUCUAUUGAUUUUGAUGACUCCUUUCUCCGUGGGUGCACGCCGGCGCACCCGCGGGCUGUAGUCCCCGAGAUUCGGGCCGACUACCGAACAGUCGGGCCGGAUCUCCCCGGCGACUCUAGCCUCUUCUCUGUUGGCAACUGAUGCCUUCCCUUCUUCUUUCUUCCGCAUAAGCCAACGCCAUCCUUCAACGGCAACUAGGUGAAGCCAACGCCGCGCUGCGUGCCAAAGAGGCGGACUGUAGCAAGCUGGCUGAAGAACGUGACCGGCUGGCCAUGCAGUUGGCGGAGCAGGCAGGGCUUCUCCAGAAGGCCCAGAAGGAGAUGGAGGACAAGGAGACGUGUCUUCUUACCGAGUUCGAGAUCAAACGCUCCGCCUGGACCGACAAGGAGGCGAUGCUGACGGCUGGCUUUGGCGAAAUCGAGGAUUUGGUUGGUGGUAGGCGACCUUCUUUACUCUUCUUUUACGUCGCCAUUCUCUAGUCAAGCCGGCUUCUUUCUCUUUGUUCUGACUCUUUUGCUUAAUCCUGGCAGACUUCUUUCCAGGCCACUCUGGUGCCGCCAACGAGGCUAUCGAGGCCGACCGCAGAGAACGAAUGGCGGGGGGUGAAGCGAUCGCUGCCAAUGCCCCUCACACCCUUCGCGAGCAGCUUCUCAGCAUCAAGGCCCGUCUUCGGCCGGCUCACCAAAUACUGCGCCGGCUUUAGCAUGUCGGCGCCCAGGUGAUCGUCGCCCUGUGGCCUAACAUGCCGGCACCGCGCACUCCCAGUCGGACUGUCGACUGGCUGGAGGUGGCGGCCGGCCGUCUUGAGGCCUGGAAGGGCUCCUCGACCUGGGCUGGAGCGCGCCGGGCCUUGGAGUUCGUCAAGGCAUGGUACCAUGGGCUGAGUCUAGCCCAGCUAGCCACAUUCCGGCUGGAGGCUCAGGAGGAAUUGGUGGUCGUGGAAGAUGACCUCGUCAAGCGUGCGGCGUCAAUCACCGAAUACACUGACACCAGCGUCUUUGUCCCAGAGCGGGUUGAGAAUGGCGCCGAGGCGUCGCCGGAAUGGUUCGGGCUGAACUCGGAAGACGGCAAGGACACGGCGGAGGUGAUCGACUCCAGCGGCGAGGAAGAAGGCGAGGCGUAGGAGGAAGGCGAAGAGGAGGCGCGAGAGGUCGGAGCGGACGGCUAUCCCCAGCUCGACCGCGCCUCCAGCAACGAGCCACGCCCAACCGAGCUGGCUACCGCUGGAGGCGACCAAGCGGAGACUGACCAGUCAGCCGCUCCACCAACUGACGUCGCCGAUUCCUCCGAUCCACCGAACCCGUCCGCCGCUUCCUAGGCCGCUAGUUUAUCCUUUUUGCACAAUUCCACCCGCGGGUUGUAUCUUAAACUUGUGUUUUGAAGAUCGACCAAGGGCCUUUGUUAUGUAAAUAUUUUUCUGAGUUCUAUCUUUUAUUGUUUGCUGCUCUUUGGGUUUUUCCUUUGCCCCCUUCCUUGGUUGUCGUCUGGCCAGCCGAACAGCCACUUCUGCGGACUGUGGUUGGGUCAAGUACUUAGCUACUUCUGGGAAGGCAAGUACUUAGUCGUUUUUAGAACAUUCUAGCAAGUUAAGUAGAAGCUGGCAGGCCGACUGCUCAACAGUCGGUCGUAGAAGGAGGGAAGCCGGCUUAAACUAUGCACGUGCUUUGUGUCCUUAGCCAUUUUUCAUGUGGACACCCUUUUUGCCUUGCUCCUGCCCACAAGACAGUCGCUCUGCAAGCUGCGGCUUUUGGCAGGAGACGGCUUAAGUGCCAACACAUUACUUGUCUGGCUGUAGGAAGCAUUUCAUAGUACAAGGCGGCAAGUCCCCGGGCUGACUAGUCGGACCCGGUGCCAACCGGCAUAAAGAAAAUGACAUGCUCAUAGGCAUAAUUCCUAUCAUAAAGAUAAAAGAGGGCAGUGCCCGAGCUCUUCUCGGGGGACCCAGAGUCUUCGUACUUUAAUACAAAAGGUAGCAUGGUACAUAUUGUAUCAACUGUAAAAUCUUCGGAGGAUAUUUGCAUUCCAUGGUUGCUCCGUCUCCUUGCCGGAGUCGUCCCUCUUGCGCACUCGAGGCUUCUGAGCGUCGAUCAGGUAGUAGGAGUCAUUGCCCAACACCUUGCUGAUGAUGAAGGGGCCUUCCCAAGGCGCUGAGAGCUUGUGCUCGCCGGCUGUUCGCUGGAUUAGCCGGAGCACAAGGUCUCCUUCUUGGAAAGAUCUUGGCUUGACCUUCCGAUUGUAGUAUCGGUGCAGGCUCUGCUGGUAUAGCCGGCCCUCUUCCAGCAGAUCGACACCGUCUUGAUGUGCUUCUUCUGCCUCCUCUUCGAUGUACAUGGUGACUCGAGGGGAGUCGAAUUCUAUGUCCCUUGGGAUGACGGCUUCGGCACCGUAGACGAGGAAGAAAGGCAUGAAGCCGGUUGACUUGUUCGGAGUUGUACGCAGGCUCCAGAGGACGGCUGGCAGCUCGUCGAGCUAGCAGCCGGCCGAACGCUCCAUAGGCUCGACCAGUCGGGGCUUGAUGCCGGACAAAAUGAGGCCGUUUGCUCGCUCCACCUGGCCGUUUGACUGCGGAUGGGCAACGGAUGCUAAGUCCAGUCGGAUGCCCUGCGUCGCGCAGAAUCGGGCCAGGGCGCCUUUGGCAAAGUUUGUGCCAUUUGUCAGUGAUGAUAAUUUGCGGUAUGCCAUACUGGACGGUGAUGUCGUUGAUGAAAGUCAUAGCUGUCGGACCAUUCAGCUUCUUGAUUGGUUUUGCUUCUUUCCACUUGGUGAACUUGUCCACCGUGACAAGCAGAUGAGUCAUGCCACCUCGCGCUAUUUUGAAUGGUCCCACCAUGUCCAGGACCCAGACAGCAAAGGGCCAGGCAAUGGGAAUAGUCUUGAUUGCAGAAGCCAACUGAUCUGGCUUAACGGAACUUCUGGCACCCUUUGCAUUUCUGGACCAAGUCUUUGGCGUCUUCUAGAGGAGUCGGCCAGAAAAAACCAUGGUGGUAAGCUUUGGCAACAAGUGCUCUUGAAGCCGCAUGGUGGCCACAUUCUCCUUGAUGGAUGUCUUUGAGGAUUGCUUGGCCUUGCUCCGGCUUGACACAGUGGUUGUAGACACCGGUGACACUGCGCCUCACAAGCUCUUUGUUGACUAUGGUGUAUGCUGCUGCCCGGCGUUGCACUCGCCAGGCAGAGAUCUCAUUAGUCGGUAGCUCUUUGUUUACCAGGAAGUUGAGGAUGGGCUGGGCCCAUGAAGGUGCUGCGAUUUCUUCGACUGCUAGGACUGCAACUUGGACGAGGGCGGUUGGGCCGGGAGGCGGCGAGUUGGAGUCGGCUGCCGCUUGCUGGGUCGAUGAAGUCCCCGGGCCGACUGCCACAGUCCCCGAGCCGGGCUCUGAAGUCCCCGGGCUAAACGCUGCAGUCCCCUGGCUGGGUUCUGAAGUCCCUGGGCCGGGUGCGACUGCCGCUGCCCCCGGCCCGCCUGCUGGAAUUCCCGUGCCGGCUGUUGGAGCUCUCAAGUCGGAUCGGACUGCUUCAGGAGGAGCCGACACGAAGAUAGAAUCCGACUCUGGCGAUGGCUUGACAGACGGCUUGAGGAGGCAUUGUAGGGCGACACCGGUCGGUAUUUCUUGACGGGUGGAGACGAUUCAUGCCAAGGCAUCUGCUUGCUCAUUGUCAUUUCUUGGCACAUGGAGAAACUCGCACCCCUCAAAAUAUCCACUAAGUUGCUAUACGAGGAAGCGGUAGCUCGCCAUGUUUGCGUCUUUGGCAUCCCAGUCGCCUGAUGACUGCUGGACCACCAAGUCAGAGUCACCAUAGCACAGGAUCCGGCGAAUGCCGAGUUAUUUGGCAAGCCGAAGCCCAUGAAUGAGUGCCUCAUAUUCAGUGACGUUGUUGGAGGCGGCAAAAUGGAUUUGCAGCAUGUAUCUGAGCUUGUCACCUUUGGGAGAGGUGAGGAUGAUGCCGGCUCCCAAACCGGUGCGCAUCUUGGAACCAUCAAAAUGCUUCUGCCAAUGGGUGGAGUCGGGAGAUGACGGCAGGUACUAGGUCUCGGCCCAGUCGACAAGGAAGUCGGCCAGCGCAUGUGACUUGAUGGCGGUGCAAGGCUGGUAGUAGAUGGUGUAGGGGGCCAAAUCGAUGGCCCAUUUGGCCACUCAUCCUGAAGCAUCCCGACUUCCAAUGAUCUCGGCCAGUGGAGCUGUGCACACCACAGUGGUUGGGUGCUCUUGAAAAUAAGGCUUCAAUUUCUUGGCGGCAAAGUGCACGCCGUAGCACAUCUUCUGGUCGUGGGGGUAGUUUUUCUUGGAAGCUGACAACACUUCACUCAGGUAAUACACCGGUCUCUGGACUGGUAGUGCCUUGCCUUCCUCCUUGCAUUCUACCACCAUGACUGUGCUGACCACUCGGCUGGUGGCGGCGAUGUAGAGGAGCAUGGGCUCCUUAGGAGUCGGAGCCGCCAGGACAGGUGGAGUAGUCAGCAUCUUCUUGAGCUGGAGAAAAGCUUCAUCCACCUUGUCAUUCCACUCGAAAAAAUGGUCUUCUUCAUGAGCUGGUACAGGGGAAGAGCCUUCUCUCCCAGCCGACUGAUGAAACGGCUGAUGGAUGCCAAACAGCCGGUGAACUUCUGCACACCAAGUAGUAGGGUGGGCACUUCCAUCUUCUCGAUGGCCUUGAUCUUCACAGGGUUGCACUCUAUACCGCGCUCUGAGACCAGGAAUCCAAGAAGCUGGCCGGCUGGUACUCCAAAGACGCAUUUCUCCGGGUUGAGCUUGAUUUGAAAUCGGUGUAGGUUCUCAAAGGUCUCCUUGAGGUGUUCCAGCAGCGUUCCACGCUUCUUCAUGUUCACCACAACAUCGUCCACAUAAACGUGGGCGUUUCUGCCGAGCUGUUUGAGGAGGCACUUCUGCAAACAAUGUUAAAACGUGGCGCCAGCAUUCCUUAAGCCGAACGUCAUGGUCAAGUAGCAGAAGCCUCCAAAUUGUGUGAUGAAGGCGGUCUUCAGUCUGUCGGCCGGGUUCAACUUGAUCUGGUGAUACCCUGAGUAUGCAUCCAAGAAACUCAAUAGCUCACAUCCAGGUGUGGAGUCUAUCACUUGGUCAAUUCUCGGCAAAGCAAAUGGUUCUUUGGGGCAGGCUUUGCUGAGGCUGGUGUAAUCAAUACACAUGCGCCACUUCUUGUUUUCCUUCAGCACAAGGACUGGGUUGGCCAGCCAUUCUGGAAAGAACACUUCCAUGAUGAAGUCGGCUGCCAACAGCCAGAUUAUCUCUUCUCCAACGACUCUUCUCUUCUCUUCUAACAAGCAGCGCAAGGGCUGCCUGACUGGCUUGGCAUCAGACAGGACAUGUAACUUGUGCUCGGCGAAAUCCGUCGGAACACCCGACAUGUCUUUAGGUGCCAUGCAAAUAUGUCCCGAUUCUCACGGAGGAAAUCGACGAGCUCGCCUUCCUAUUUGUUGUCAAGGUUUGCACCUAUGACAGCGUACCUCUUCGGGUGGCUCCCGGUCCAAGGGUAUCUUCUUUGUCUCUUUGGCCGGCUUGAAUGAACUCUCGGCUUCCAACUCCUUGGGGUUGGCUGACAUCUUCGGUUACUUGCUUGCCAUUGCCACAACUCGGUCAAGGAGCCGCUUCUCGGCCGCGAUCACGAGGGAUUUGGCAAGACGACUGCUAUCUGUCGCACAAGCGGACGACUUCUUGUAGUCACGGCUAUGGUCAGAAUUCCCUUAGAACUCGGUAUCUUCAUCUUGAGGUAAGCGUAGUGGGGGACCGCCAUGAACUUGGCCAGUGCAGGCUGGCCAAGUAGUGCACGGUAUGGGCUCUCGAGGUCCACCACCUCAAACCAUACUGGCUCUCAUCGGAAGUGAUCCUUGUCUCCAAAGAGGAUGUCUAUCUGGAUCUUGCCGAUUGAUGAGCAGGAAAGGCCAGGAACUAUGCCAUGGAAUAAAGUUCGACUGAGCUGAAGCGGCCUUUAUUCGAUUCCUAACUUCUCCAUGGUAUGUUUGUACAGAAUGUUGAUGCUGCUGCCGCCAUCUAUCAGAAAUCGGGAAAACUGAGCAACUCGCCUAUCAGUGGCAAAGGUGGCUUCUAGGACCAGGGCGUAGGAGCCGGGGUUGGGCAUUACUUCCGGGUGGUCAGCUCUGCUCCAGCUGAUGGGCUUCUCGGACCAAUGCAUGGACUCGGGGGUCUCCGAUGCCACUGCAUUCACUUCUUGCUGUCGUUAUCGUCUGCUGUGCUUAUCGUCGGCCACACUGAUGAACACGACAUAAGCUCCCUGCUCUUCAGGGUACUCGUCUUGUAUGGCGAACAGUUUGGCAAUGGCCACGCACACUUCUGCUACACCGAGCCAAGGCGGGUGGGCCCAGCGGGAGCCGGCGUGCCGCCCACAGCAUGGUCCAUCUCGCGCCGGUAGGAUUCCGACAGGCAUCUCAUGCUAGCCAGCUUCUUGGCGCCCUCGACGAGCUGGAUGCGGCAUGCUUCUAGCAUAUCGGCGUCGACGUCUUCUGUGAUGGGCCCCGUCAGGUCUUGUAGUGCCGCGUUGAGCGGAUCGAGAGCACCUCCCCCGGAGUGUUCCCUGUGGCCGAUGACAAGCACUUCCGUGACGGUGCUUUUGCCGCAUUUCACGCAAGGGGGCGGCUUGUCGUAGACCACCAUGUUGGUGAGGAAUGCGUCAAGUGAUGCAAUGUCGGAAUCGACAAGCAUCGGGUCCGUGGAGCCAACGGAUUCCAAGUCCAUAGCGGGCUCGCUGGCUACAUGGAGCUGGUUAAGGAGGCUGACGUCGCGGCUUUUAGGGCCAUCAUUGCCCGGAUCGGACGCCGGCUCGUCGGAGAGGCGAACCUCGCCAACAAGGUCGGCGAGGCAGCUCCUCGUGCAGGCGAUCUUCGCGCCAUGCAGCGCGUCGACACAGACGCCGUCUGGCGUGCCGGGCUGACUACGCUCGCCAGGGAGGAAAAGGGUUCCCGUCCAGAACGGGUCUCCGGACGACGGUGCACCUCGCCCCAUAGUGGGCGCCAAAUGUCGGGGGUUGGGUGCGACAUAUGGCAAAGGAUGGCUUAUGUAACGCCCCGAGACCUUUGUGCCAGGUGUCUUCCAAUUAUUCACUGUUGUUGCCUUGUCAUUUGUUUGCGUGUCUUGCAUUUCAUAUCAUGUCAUCAUGUGCAUCGCAUUUCCAUACAUGUUUGAAUCAUGCAUCCGUGCAUUUUCCCCGUUGUCCGUUUCGCAAUCCAACACUCCUAUGUCCUCUGUCGCACCCUUUUGCCUGUUUUCGUGUGCGGGUGUUAAACAUUCUCCGAUUGGACCGAGACUUGCCAAGCGGCCUUGGUAUGCUACCGGUAGACCGCCUGUCAAGUUUCGUGCCAUUUGGAGUUUGUUUGAUACUCCAAUGGUUAACCGAGGAACUGUAAAGGCCUCAUGUGUGUUGCAGCCCAACACCUCUCCAAAGUGGCCCAAAACCCAUCCAAGCCUCCUCCUUCCUCUCGGUCGUUCGAUCACGAUCGUGUGGCCAAAAACCGCUCCUCAUUUGGACUCUCCUAGCUCCCUCUACCUAUAUAUAUAUGUGAUCCUCUCCGAAAUUUCGCGCAGUACAAACCCUAGCGUCUUCCUCCUCGCACCGCCGGACAUGUCCAACCGCGCCGGACAUGUCCGCCGGACAUGUCGCUACAGCCAAUCGCGUGCCACCACCUCAGCAGAGCCGCCGCUCCAAGCCAGUGGCAUCGCGCCACGUGUCCUGCUCCACCUCGCCAGCUUCCCCGCAGCCGCACGGGACCGUGAGCCCACGGCCGGCCCGCGUAGGCCCGGAUCCCCGCCAUCGCGCCAGUUCCAAUUUCCCGCUCGAGGGGAGGAGCCCCUCGAUCCUGCAGCUCGUAGCCGGCCUCGCCGGGGCCCGCUGUGCCACCGCCGGGGAUCAUCUCUCAGGCGAGCUCUCCGCCGCCUGGCCUUCUUCACUUCCUCCCCAUGCUCUCUCUCAUGCCGUCUCUCUCCUUCAUAGGGCAACCACCGCCAAGGAGCCUCGGGUCACCUAGUACCCCGCCCGCCGCCGCCGAUGGCCGGAUCCACCGGUUCCUGGGCGGAUCUACCGGUUCCCGCCUUGCUCUGGUAUUCUCCUCGCCUCCCUUCCGACCGGUGUUGGUGCCAUCCUGCCAUGGCCGCCUCCACUGCUCGAGCAGGAGGAGGACGAACACCCGCUCGGGCUGCCUCCUUCGUCGUGUGGGCCCAGCCCAGCUUCGGUGGCCCACCUCCUCGCCGGCCUGCCUCACUUCCUCCUCUCUGGGCCGAGCCCAUAUUGUGAGCACCCCCUUCUAUUCUCUGCCCGAUGCACGCUUUAGAUAUUCAGCGCCCGCCUGUUUUUUUUUCAAAACGGCCAAGUCGCAAGGAUCUUAGUAAUUUUAUGCCCCUGCUCAUCGCAUCAUAACUUCAUCACCGUUCCUCCGAUUUGUGCGUGUGGCAUAUCAAAUUGUUCGUCUCGAUGUCCUCUUCAUUUCAUUCCAUUGCACCAUGCUUGUUUGAGUUUAUAUUGAUGCCCUAAAUGCUGUUGCAAGAGUGCUAUGUAAUGUUAGUGUUUGUUUCUUAACAGAUUAUGGACAUUUGUCAUUUUUGCCAUGAUUAAUGUGUGCCUCCUAUGAGUAUGAGCUCUACAUGUGUUUCGUUAUAUGCCAGGUCAUCUUUACAGGGGUAUAUGUCAGGUAUUUUUGUGAUCAAUGUGGUGACCAGCACAAGCAUGCAAAGUAGCUCUCGUGAUGUUGCUGAUUUUAGGGACUUAGAAUUCUUCUAAGUCAUUUUCCUGCUGUUAUUUUCAUGCCAUGUAUUCAUGUUGCUACAGAGUGAUCCAUGCCUCUUUUGAGCAUGUUAAGUAAGGAUGAUUUUGCGAUAUUGUUAUGCUCUAUCCAUCCGUGCCUUUGUUUGCAAUAAUGGAGUCCCCUAGCAUUACUCAAUCUUGCUCUACGUUUGCUACAAAAUGUUCCUGGCAGACUGUUUACGUGUUAAUCAAUUUUGCCAAGGUUGUUGUAGUUGAUCCAUGCAUGCUAUGAGAUGGUUCUUGCCAUUUUUAGCUUAUUGAUCAUGUCUUCUUGCUGGGUGUAUGCUUAGUUUGUCAUGCAAUGCCUUGUGGUGAGUGCAUCGAGCUCGCAAACAUGCCUUCGUAAUUAUGUUUAUGCCAUGUCUAGUUUUCUGCUAAGUCUGAAUCUGUUAAUGAAACUUGCUAUGUUUACAUGGUUUCCACUGUAUUUUGUGAUUCCUUUUGGCUUAUGGUCAGUAAGGGACUUUUGUUAUAUGCUUUGAGUAGAUUUAUGCCAUGCCUUGCUUUGCCAUGAUAUGUUCCUGUAGCAUGUUGUUAUCUUGCUCUAAACAUUGCUUCCUGAUGUUAAGUCUGAGAUGCUAUUAUCUUUUGCUCUUUUGCCAUGCUUGUUUGAACCUGUUAUUGUGUGAUUUAGCCUUAGCUCAGUGUUCCUCUUUUGUCAAGCAUCUUGAGUAGUUCACUGCCAUGUGCUUUGUUGCUAUGUUGGAGUGCAGUAGCUUAGUUUCUUGUUGCAUUUUAGAUGGCAUCAUGUUGUUAAUCGCAGCUUUGUGCCAUUAUUGUUUUGCUUGCCAUUUGCAAACCAUGCAUCCGAUUCCAGUGAUAUUUAUACCGAUUUCGACCGAAAUCAACUCAUCUUUCCAGCGGCACUCUUGGUUUUCCAUGUUGAGGACUGGUUCAAUCUUUCCCUUCCGGAGCACGCAUAUGCAUUGCAUAACACAUCCCGCAUAUCAAGCCAUGUUUUGCAUCAUGUUGCUUGCGCAUUGCACCGUGGUUGAUUGUCGUUUCCUUUGCUUGUGUUCUUGAUUUGGGUAGAGCCGAGAGAAGAGUUCGUGUUCGAGGUACCCGUUGAGUACGCUUACGAGGAUCAAGCUUUCGUCUUCUUGGAGAACUUUGAAGGCAAGAUGACCAUACCCUCGAAAUCACUUCUAUCUUUGCUUGCUAGUUGCUCGCUCUUUUGAUAUGCCUAUGCUGCGAUACCUACCACUUGCUAUAUCGUGCCUCCCAUAAUGCCAUGUCAAACCUCUAACCCACCUUGUCCUAGCAAACCGUUGUUUGGCUAUGUUAACGCCUUGCUCAGCCCCUCUUAUAGUGUUGUUAGUUGCAGGUGAAGAUGGAGUUUGUUCCUUAUUGGAACAUGGAUAUUUGUUGGGAUAUCACAAUAUCUCUUAUUUAAUUAAUGCAUCUAUAUACUUGGUAAAGGGUGGAUGGCUCAGCCUUAUGCCUGGUGUUUUGUUCCACUCUUGCCUCCCUAGUUUCCGUCAUACCGGUGUUAUGUUCCUUGAUUUUACGUUCGUUACGCGGUCAGGUUAUAAUGGGAACCCCUUGAUAGUUCGCCUUGAAUAAAACUCCUCCAGCAAGGCCCAACCUUGGUUUUACCAUUUGCACUAACAACCUAUCACCUUCCCUUGGGUUCUGCAGACUCAAGGGUCAUCUUUAUUUUAACCCCCCGGGGCCAGUGCUUCUCUAAGUGUUGGUCCGAAAUGGGCAGCCUGCGGGGCCACCUCGGGGAAACUUGAGGGUUGGUUUUACUCGUAGCUUGACCUAUCCGGUGUUUCCUUGAGAACGAAAUAUGUGCAGCUCCUAUUAGGAUGUCAGCGCAUCGGGCGGCUUUGCUGGUCUUGUUUUACCAUUGUCUAAAUGUCUUGUAACCGAGAUUCUGAGCCUAAUCGGGUCUUCCUGGGAGAAGGAAUAUCCUUCGUUGACCGUGAGAGCUUGUGAUGGGCGAAGUUGGGACACCCCUGCAGGGUUUUAAACUUUCGAAAGCCGUGCCCACGGUUAUGGGCAGAUGGGAAUUUGUUAAUGUCCGGUUGUAGAGAACUUGACACUUAACUUAAUUAAAAUGCAUCAACCGCGUGUGUAGCCAUGAUGGUCUCUUUCCGGUGGAGUCCAGGAAGUGAACACGGUGUUGGAGUUAUGCUUGAACGUAAGUAGUUUUAGAAUCACUUCUUGAUCACUUCUAGUUUCACGACCGUGCCUUACCUUCUCUUCUCGCUCUCAUUUGCGUAAGUUAGCCACCACAUAUGCUACCACUUGCUGCAGCUCCACCUCACUACCUUUUUCCUACCCUUAAGCUUAAAUAGUCUUGAUCGCGAGGGUGUGAGAUUUCUGAGUCCCCGUGACUCACAGAUUAUUUCCAAAACUAGUUUGCAGGUGCCGAUGAUACCGUGCAGGUGACGCAACCGAGCUCAAGGAGGAGCUCGAUGAAGAUCUUGUUCAUUGUGUUGUUUUGUUUCAGUUGAUCAGUAGUGGAGCCCAGUCGGGACGAUCGGGGAUCUGUAGCAUUAGGGGUGGUCUUCUUUUAUUUCGGUUCCGUAGUCGGACCUUGAUUGUAUUCUGGAUGAUGUAAUGCUUUAUUCAUGUAUUGUGUGAAGUGGCGAUUGUAAGCCAACUAUGUACCUCUUUCUUAUUCAGUACAUGGGAUGUGUAAAGAUUACCCCUCUCGCGACAUGCCUACAAUGCGGUUAUGCCUCUAAGUCAUGCUCCGACACGUGGGAGAUAUAGCCGCAUCGUGGGUUUAAUAGCUUAUCAUAGUGGGUGCGAUUAGAACGUCGCCAGUGCCUGGAAACGGGAUGAGGCGUAGACAUGAACGCCGGCGUACUUCACCCAGGUUCGGGGCUCUCCUAGGAGAUAACACCCCUAGUCCUGCCCUGCGGGGCCUCCGUAUGAUCACUAAGACACAAGUGGUACAAUGGUGCUCCUCGAGCUGUUUGAGGUGGGAGAGGGCAAGGCUGGCUCUCUACUCCCCUAGGUCUAAGUCUAGUCCUAACAGGUUCAAAACCCUUUGCAUGGGUGCCCUGGGGGUUUAUAUAGACCUACCCCCCAGGGGUACAAUGGUAAUACAGCCGGGCGUAAGGCCCAGCUGUCAGUCUCUUUAUCCGCCGGCUUCUCCGCCGGCUGUUGGGGCCCGCCGCCUGGUGGGCCCCGCCGACUGGUCAGGUACGGGGCCGACAGGCCACCUCCGCCACUCUCGGGUCUUGUCGGCUGCUGAUCAAUGUAGCCGUGACACUAAUGACGUAGGCUUGGUCAGGGGAUCGUGGCUACAACUCCACCGCCUGGCGGGCGAUUACUGUAGCCACUCUACGUCUCAUUUGGUUAGUGGCGUGUGGGAUCCGAGGAAGGGGCGAGCCGACUGCUGGGGGCCGACCUCCCUCGGGUCCAACUGGUCGGGCUCUAGCCGUCUUCCGGGCUCUCGCUGAUUACUGGGGCCCGUCGUCCUUGGGUCGUACCGACAGGCCGUCAUGGGAGCAGUGCUCCGCCUGCUUGUGGUGAUGUCAGGAGUGGCGUGGCAACAGUGCCACGCCGAGCGGUGAUCUCCGCCGGUAUGGUGCACUGUGGCCAUGCCCGGCCCUGGAUCGAGGGGAGGAUGGUCUACACUGUAGCCACCCCUGUCUUUUCUUUCUUGAUGAGGGCGCGGGCUUUGUUGGCGCCAUGGGCCGACUGCUAGGGGCCAUCUUCUCUAGAAGCCGCCAACGGGUAGCCGGCUAUUCCUUUAGCCGGCCACCAGAAGGUGGCACUUCAUCUUGGUUCCUUGAGGGGCGCAGCUAGCCCCGAUGUCUUGAAAGGUUAUGGGCCUCGGGUUAGCCUACCCGUGGCCUAUUACUCGGACAAAAUCACCUCAAUUUACUUGUAUAACAUGGAAAAAUUCCACUUUUCUUUAGUACUUAGCAAACUUAUCAUCUCUACUCUUGUAAAAAAAACGAGUUGGUGAUGAUGGUGUGCCUACCAUCUUAGAAUAUAGACCUUCCGAUCUAUAUCUGAUGGGUAGAAAGCAAACUAUGAUAAUUUUACAAAAGAUACCCGCACCUCUCUCCACAUUUCCAGAUAAGGCCUUGCCUCGUUCAUCCUUAUCUCCCACAACCUCAUUGCUGAGCAAUUAAAAAAGAAGUCUCUAGAAGAAACAUGGUGGCCGCUGCCACCUGCCAUCGCCGUCCAUCCCCAUGCCUCCGCCCAGUCCGACCACCAGUCACCACCACGCUCCACUCCUCCUCACCUUAUCUCUCAUCUUUAAUUUUUUCGAUGAAAUUCUCGAGAUACCAUUUUUCCGAUAAAAUUCUCGAGAAAUCAUUAGUUUUUACACGUGGGAUUACUCCUGCAUGGGUCAAUCACAACAGGCGUUUUGUAAAAAAAUACAUCUUGAUGUUCCAUGCAAUGCACACGCAUCUUGCUAGUAAUUGUAUAACGCAAAUCACGAGCAGGAAGUGACAUUUUUUACACAACCACAUUAACAUGGCCACGUAAAUCACUAGCUAAAGUGUAAUACCAUUAUACUUAUAUCCCGAUGCAAAAGGUUGAGUACAUGACCGAAGAGUAGAGUCGCACACACGCACUCCGUCUCUCAGAAUCUCACACACACACCAUUUACGUGCCGCCCCUUAAGAAGACACAUAUGUUACAAUUUGUGCACCCGUGGGUACACGUGAUGGUGCGCAUUUAUCUAAGCUAGACGGCGAACCCAAACAGUAGCUGCAUUCAUUCCCCUCCCACCGCCUCUUCUCUGGUCGGCGUCGCCCGGUAGCCAUGGCCCGGCGGAAGGUAACGACAUACACCAUACACCCGCCGGAGCGGCGCUUUAAUUUGGAAAUUUUAGUGGUCAUGCAUGCAUUUUUUUGUGCUAGCACUCCUAUAUAAGUACGACCGGUCGUUUCCCACGGACGUGCAUGGGUGGUGGAAGAGGAAGGAGAAGGGAAGCGAGCUAUGGUGUAACGUUUUUACCACAGUUUCUUACGAAACUGAGUGCAAUAAUAGUGUAGUUUUGCAAACUACCAGUACUACACCUGAAACGGUUCAAAACCAAUACCACCACCACGCCUGCGUCUGACCACCCUAGCCGACCCAACCCCCCUCCCUUGCCAGCACACGAUUCCCACGUGAAACGUUCAACGUCACUAUAGAUCGUCAGUGUCGCAUUAAUGCCAGGCCAGAGCGGAGGCGACCUCUCAUCGGUGCCGGCUUUGAAGCAGCGCGACGGCCGCGAGAGCGCCGCUUCCCGGUGCACGUGACUGCUCCGCUUCAAGGCUAGCCAUAGUUUGGAUGAGUCUCCAUCGUGGGGAACCACACUAGCUGUGAUGAUAUGGACUCUCGCUGUCCACAGUUAUGAAUCAUUCCAUCUAUGAAGAACACAUGGGACUGGAACUAUGAGACGGACAUGUACCUAGGAGUGGACGUAUGAACCUGAGUAAUGUAGUGCAGUAAGCGAAGUAGAAAGGCACAAAUCUUACAUUCUUAAGAAGUCGAUCCCCACCACUACCAAUUCUGUCAACAUGGACAACGUCCACAUCAGCUUCAUGCCACAUCAGUGUUCACAUGAGGCUUAACAUGCAUGUGAUGCCAUGUCAUCCUACCAUUACCAUCUCAUAGAUCUUUACUUUAUCAUGGAAAAAAUAGAUCUUUUAUUUAUCAAUAAAACGUUCGAUUUAGUGUGCAUCGCUCCUCUUCCAUCUUCUGUAGCCGACGAUACACAUCGUCUUCCAUCUUUCAUAACUGACGCAACAUCUUCUUAUCCUCAACCCCCUGUUUGCUAUGCACAUCUCCUCACUCCAAUCGAAAUCUUUAAUAACCUCCAUCAGCCAUCCGCACCGCCCAAGCCGGCGGCAAUCUCUUCCUCCGUGCCACCCAAGAUGGAGGUAUUCUCUUCAUGCGUCCACAUAGGUGGUUCCUGCCUUAACCGUCCGUCCGUGCCAGCCAAGCCGGCCGCACAACCGCCGGCCACCAAUGUCUAAAGUGGCGCUCCUCCAUUGACGUAAGUGCGGCCGCCUCGCCGCAACCUCAUGGCGCAGCACGCCUUAGUUUCUAUCUCCCUCCAAAGCAUCUGGAUCCAUUCCCUUCCUGUAGUAUUGUUGUUUGGGAUGGCCCUGUGCACCCGCCUCUCUUUGAUUUAGAUGCAGGCCGGCCGCACGCUGCUGGCAAUACGGUAGUUCUUACUCCAUUGAACAAAACGAGGUAAUCACGCAUGUUUCUUCUAUGUCUGAGCAUUCAGACCCUUAAUGUUGCAUUCUAUUUCCUUCUCCUUCCUUUAUUUUUGUUCUCUGGGAUGGCCCAUCUAGCUGCCUCUCUUGAUUCAUGUUCAACCUUCCGACUGCCAGCAAUUCGGCACUGUUGCUAGAUUUUUGCUGCAUUUUUAUUCUUGUACACAUAUUAACUCUUUGCAUUUUGUGACGAGAUAAUUCGCUGUAGAUUUCUUACGGCUAAUGUAGCUACUUCGUAAUUAUCUCUGUACUACACUGCUACUAUCCGGAUGUACUACCAAUAACUUGGUUUGUUUGUUUAUGCUUGCAGGUAUACAGUCCAGUCUACACUUUUUGUUAUAUUUUACCCAAAGCAAUAUGACCUCACACAAAAGUGGACUGCUAUUGAAUCAUAAUCUCACAUGUGAAUGAUUGACAAUUUUUUCUCUAAUCUUGAUUGGGGCUAGUAUUUAUAACUGCAAAACUUUGCUCACUUUCAUGUUUGUUGCUUGGACUUCUCACACCUGUAAUUUGUUUUAAUUUAUAAAUUGUUUUAAUUUUCAAUAAUAUCAUUCAUCAAUUAUGUAACACUGAAGUAAAGAUUGGCUUCGACAUUAUCUCUGUAUUAUCCUAUGAUCGGGGUGUUCUAGCAAGAAAAAGAUUUAUUCAUUUGUGCUUGCAUGUAUACAGUGCACUCUACACAUUUUUAUAUUAACCCAUAUGAAUAUGACACAAACACUGACCCUGAUAACCUCUCUACACUUGAAUAAGGAUGUCAAAUACGACUGACAAAAUAUUUUCUUGUACUGUAAUCUUGAUCAUUGAAAAAAUUCAGUCACUUUUAGGCAGGUACUUAACUUAAUAUUAUUCAUCUGAGUUAACUGGUACCUGUGUCGCAACAUUGUACCAAUUUUGUGUCAUUGCAAAAUAACAUGUGCACUUAACUUUUGCUCAUUGCUUAUUUUUAUAUACCAAUAGGUCACUGCAGGUUGGGUUAUCUGUUUGUGAACUUAUAUUUUUCUUUUUG